ACAUGGAAACCUCAUCCGCACUGAUGGAUGGACCAUCACCAUGAAGCCUAUACAAAUGAGGUUGGUUAUUCGUACCAGCAUCAAAGCUGGUACGAGUUCGUGUGGCUAGGUUAUAGCUGGCAGAUUUUUUUACGAACUAGCCGGUGGGAUAUCACACCGGCAUACAUAGUUAAAAUAGGAAUUUAUAAAUAAAAAUAGCAAAAAAUAUUUUUUUACCAAGCCUGGAGGCCGCCCCUAAGCUACGCUCACGCUCGCGCAUCGCAAAGUCACAAGUCACGUGUGCGGUGUCCAACCUUCAAACUCAUGACCUACACCCUCGUGCGAUACCUCCUUACCAUCCCACCUAAACUACACACCCUGCAUGCAAAGGGAAGUUCUAUCCCUUUUGAUCCUUGUUGUCUGAUAUUUUGAUUCAUUAUAUAGGCAUCUAAAUGACUUUAAAUGAAAAAACUUUAAACUACAAAGUUGUAGAUCACAUUGUUGGUUUUGAGAAAGCUCUCAACCAAGCACUUAGAAUUCUGAAUGCAGAAAAAAGAAAAUGCAACUCUAAGGAGAAUUGUAUUUAUUCCAAAAUGCGAUCCCUUGUAUAGUGGGGGUGGCUCCCCGACCAAGCAACAUUUUACACCCCAUUUUACCUCUAGCCAACUGCUAUAUUCCUAGAAUAUGCUAUACAUAGAGGUAAAAAAGAGUCCUACUCCAAUUUUAACUCCACUUGCGGGUCACGCGAUUCAUGCUACCUCGGUCACGUUUGCAACGUAACCGGCCUUAUGAUCACCUUUGCGUCAUUGAGACCACCUUGACCAUCAAGCCAUCCAGCGAAGGUGCCGAUUAGAUUCUCUGCUUUCAUUCUCAUUUGGUGGACACCCUCACUCCAAUUCAUUCCGAGUAGAUUCCUGCGCAAGGAAACAAUCAAACGGAGGACACAUUCGGUGCGACUCAAAUGAUGGUGAUCAAUACGUGAAGGUGAAAUGUGGUGCAAAGGUGAAAACUCCCUCCAAUUCGGUGCGUGAGGGUGACGCCCUUGAUCCAGAUACCCAACACUCUUGAAACAAACAAAUUUUAUACAAAGUUUGUGUCCAUCCAAAAUCGCAUGCAAAGCUACAAAUUUUCGAAUACAAUAUAAAAUUCAAAUUACAAGAGCGGGAAGAAAAGCAGGAAACUGAGGUGAAAUUAUAUACAUUAUUUGACCUAUUCACAACUUUACAUUGAAACACUUUCAACUACAAAGUUGUAUAUCAGGUCGAUAUAGUAACUUUCAUAUUAAGUUUGUCUUGAUGCGAGUCCAUAUCACAAAGUUACGAAUUUCCAUAUAAAACAUGAAAUUCAAAUUAUAAGGAAUGCAAAAGGUAUGCUAAAGUUAUAAUUUUGGGCAUCUAAAGGAACUUUCAACUACAGAGUUUUAGAUCUCACCGAAAUGUACAAUUUUUAUAUAAAGCUUGUCUCUAUCCGAGGUCAUAUGUAAAGUUACGGAUUUUCUAGUCCAUGCAUGAACCGGCACAAAUAAUCCUGAGGACUAUCCAUGUCGGCUCUACAUAGAGCUUAUAGGACUGACGCGAAUAACUCUAAUUCUUGGCGGCUAUUGUAUUCGUGCUGGUUCUAUUGUACACGGCAUUGAUUAGAGCCGACAUGGAUAGUCGUCAGGAUUAUUGGUGCCAUGGACUAGUCCUUAGGAUUCGUGCUGGUUCUAUUAUCCUGAGGACUAAAUUCUUGCUGCUCUUAAAUCCUUGUUUCAUUUGUGUUCCGUGGCGUUAAUAUAAACGCAAAGCAACCCCUGAUAUGGUAGGAAAUGCUUCCCAAUUCUCUCAUAUCUUUGAUGUCAGUCAGGCAUCCAAAUGGACCUUUGAAGGUUAGUGUGAUUGACAGGCAAUGGGCAUGUAACAGGACGUGAUGAGCAACAAAAUCAAUCCAUGUACUCCUUCCGUUAUAUGACGUUUAGAACAAGCAAAUUAGUUUAUUUUUAACUAGUUAACUUAUCAUAAACGUUAUAUAUUUAAGGAUGGAUGUAGUAACUCUUUAUGCUGUUGCAAUCAAAGAAAAUGGGUCAUUCGUAUGUUACCACGAUUGCGUGCGUAUGUAGGUGGGUUUGGGUUUGGUGAGGCGGGAGGGAGGUUGUGCUGAAAUGCAUUAGCUUAAGCUCUUAUAUAUCACUACAUUGAUAUUGGAUCAGGUUCUUGUAACCGUGAAAUAUAUAAAGAUGCAAAAGUUAGUUCAUGAUUGAUAUGGUUGUAUUCUUUAUGAUCAAAAUGUGCAUAUACUUAUUUUUAAGCAACGAUGUAGGGCCUUGAUGACAUCAUACACUUAUAUGCUAUGCUUGCAGGAUGUGCUUAGUUCAUCUCAUGCGUCCAAACAUUGUACUGGCAGAAACAAACAUUGUUCUGAGCAAACUACAGAUUGCUCAUAGUGUUGUAAUCUUCUUUACAUGUUCUCCUUGCCGUGGGAUAGCAAACAGCGACAUCCAAAAGUAAAAGAGAAAAUUUCUUAUUUGACACCGGAAGAAGACUCAAUUCCUUUCUUGACUCUGAAUUUUUUUUAUUACUUAUAUAACACUGAGUUCUAACUUCCAUUACUUAUUUGACAUUUUCUUCACUUAUAAUAGUUAAGUCAGGUGAAAUGAUAUCCAAAUCACCUAAAAAAUCAUGUAAUUUUUUGUAGCGUUAAAAUAAAUGAAUAUGAACCCAUUUUUCUUAAACCCACACAUGUUCCUUUAUGGUUUUAAAUUUAAAAUUCACUAGAUUAGGCUACUUUACAAAUUAUAUGAAUUUUAUAGCACCAAAACACUUUCAAAAAAAAUAAGACAAAUAACUAAUAUUUUGGUUCCAUAAAAAUCGAAUAUGCUUCAAAAGUAGUCAAAUUUGAUGAAUUUUAUUUUAAAAACUGGAAACAUACAUGUGUCUUUUUAAGAAAAAAAUGGAUUCAUCUUCAUUUGUUCUCUAUGACCAGAAAGAGUUUCAUGAAUUUUGGAGGUGAUUUGAUGAUUGUUUGACCUGACUUAACUAACAAAAGUGAUGAAAAUAUCAAAUAAGUAAUGAAAGUUAUAACUCAGUGAAUUUUUUGGGGUCAAGAAAGAAAUUGAGUCACCUUAUAGUGUAAAAUAAGGAAUUUUCUCAAGGUAAAAUGCCCCAACACUUGGGUAAAAAGAUUCCGUUGAAAUGACUUGGAAAUUUUCUUUCGAAGCUAUUUUAAUCUUUUUGAAAGACAUCGGAGCUUUUUUAAUCAACAGGAGCACAUAGAAAUAAAUGAUAUACUAAAAUGAAGAGUACCAUAUGAGCCUUUUUAUGUUGCAGCACUUAGCGCCGACGCAGAGCAGAGCCUGUAAGUGGGAAUAGCUCCUUCAAUUCACUGUAGCUCAACUGAAAAAAAAUGAUAAAAUAACACCAAAACAAGUGAGCUGCAUGGACGACCUCUAGUGUUAUGACCUGUGUGUGUUCCUUUGGUGAAAUUCACUUCCUUCUAUGUUUGGAUGGGGGCCCAAUCAUGAAGUGGGCUUGUAAGUAACGUUCAUGACACCAAGGAAAAAUACUUCGACGUGGUGCGUACCUUUGAGACUGAGACUAUUAUAAUCAGCUUAUUUAGAUCGGCCUGACAUUGAAAUUCUUUACUGAAAUUUUAAUUCGUUUUUCAUUAAAUGUUAUUCAAUAUCGAGUGUGAUAUUUAACAAAAAAUAGUUUAAAUAUAUCGAUAAAAAUGCAAUAAAAUGAAAUCUUGUAGGCAUUAUCUUCUACAUAUUUGUUAUCGGUAACUGUUGUAAACAAACCUACAGGACACAACUGACAUACAAAAAAUAUUUUCCUAAAAUGAAGACCAUUGUAAAUUUGUCAGGUUGCAUGUAUGAUGAUCCAUGUGUUGUGAAUCUGCGAUAAACUGUAGCAAACGAGCUAAAAUUUACCUUCUUUGAGCUUAAGUGAAGUCAUUAGAGCUUAAUGGAACCAAUGAACAGCCUUGCACCCAAGUAAAAUGACCCCUUUUGCCCCUCACAAGCUAAACACGUGUUCAAGCCAUAACUCAAUUUUUUGCUCAAAAACUUAAAAAUAUGCCUAACUAAGAGUUGUAUAACUCACAAAUUCUAACAACUUUUGUAAUUAGCUUUUUGCUUGAAACUGAUCAGAAAAGGGUCAAAAUAUUGAAUUACAAAUCUGGGCCGAAAGGUGCAGAUCAAAUAAAGUCAGAACUUUGGAGCCCUUUUUCUCACAUUUUCGAAUGUAUGCUAAUGACAAACCUUUUAUGAAAGUUUUAGUGCUACGAGUCCUUAACAACUUUGAUUUUUGAGCAUAGGCCAAAAUCUGCACAGAAGGUUUUUAAAAACGAGGUCAAACGCAGCUAAAAUGGUCAACACUGUCAAAAAUGGCUGAACUGUUCAAGUCUGAAAGUUUCGGAUUUUGCCAAACUUUGAAGCGUUUUAUCUUCAAUUCGGGUUCGAAUUUGAAAUCAAGACAAUUACAAGAAUUGAACUUAGAUCCUAGGCCUACAACUUUUGUAAAGGGGGUAGGGGUUGUGCAGUUCAAAAAUCUGGAGAAGAUCGCGCUCGAAGAUUGCCCUAUCGUCCGAUCCCGCAAAUCCCGCACCAGAGCUCACGCCGAGCACGCGUGCGCCGCGCUCCCCUCGCCGGCCGCCCCGUGGCACGUGCUCCUCGUCGCUGCCCCGUCAAGUUGCCCCCCUGCCGCUGCUCUAUCCGCACGCGCCCUGCGACGCUCUGGCACGCCACCGCCGCCGUGCUCGCCAACGUACGCCCGAGACAAGACGCAAUAGCUCCUCGGCCUCGCCUGCAGCGCCCGCCUGCAAGUGCACCCGCCAAGUCGCCUCCCAUGUCCGCCAAUGGCGCCCGCCGUGGCCGGUCCACCCCGCAGCAGCGUACUAGCGCCCCAUCCUCCAAACCACCCUCCUCAAGUCUCCUGCCUCCUUUCCAAGCCCCCGUGCCCUCCAACAGAAAGUUCUUGCCCCAAACCGGCAGCUCGAGAGGUUCCCGUUCCCCGACGAAAUCUGGCCAGCUCCCUCCGCCUCUGUCUAAUAGCCCACGCCUGAGGCUCCUCCACUUCCUCAGCCACACCCUCGAACACUCCUCGUCGCCUGCCAUCCACCCCAUCGCCCGGAAUCCCACUUUCCCCAACUCCAGGAACUCCACCCGCCACCCCCACUGCCUCACCGCGGAACACCAUCUUCCAGUCAUCCUCGUCGUCAACCAACCACUCAAACGGAACCGUGGUAAGACACUGAUCAUCAUGCUCGCGCUCGAUUUCCUCUGGGGUCAACUUUCCGCGCUCGUUCCCGCUCAUGUCGACGGCGUUCCUCGCCGCCCGCGGAGCCCCUUCUGCGCCGCCCCGAUCCGCGUCUCUGGACCUGCUUCUGGGAGCCGUUGGCCCUGCUGCGCAGCCCCUCCUCGCCCCCAAGCCGCCCCGCUGCCCUCCCCCUACCGCCGCUGGCCCAAUCCCGAACGCCGGCCAAGCCUGUCUAUUUUGCUGUGCUGUGCGUUCUGUUCCAGAGGAAGAAGAAGGCCAGGGGUCUAGUUGCGAGUGGAAAAGAAAGUCAGGGGGUUAUGGGGAAAAUCGUGGGAUUUAUGUUUGAGGUGGGUUUUUGUCCAGGGGUGUAGGCGCAAGAUCCAGGGGCCUCUACGCAUUUAACCCAUAGACUGGAGGGCUAGAUUGGAAGAUUGCCUCGGUUUUCUUUUUUUUUUCCUAGAUCUAAAAAGGCUGAAAGUUUAAAAAGGCAUAGAAAAGUGUAGAAAAAUGCUAAAAAUGCAAGAUAAAUUUUGUUAGACUCAAUAUUCUGUGUAGUUUCAUAUAAAAAUAAGUUUACACAUGUCUCUGUUAGAAUUAAUGUUAUAUGAUUUAAUCCUUGUUUAAGCUAGUUUAAAUCAUAGCAAAUCACAGAAAAAUGCUAAAAAGGUAAAUCCAACUCUCAAGUGUUUGUUUCAGAGAAUAAAAGCUUAGAAAAAUGGUUUAGAGCCUAGCUUAGACAUUUAAGUUACUGUUUUAGUUUAUUAAUUGAAAUCUACGGGUAGAUUUUUCUUUUUGCAUAAUGAUAAAUCCAGAGAUGAUAAAAAUAUGAAACCACUUGGAAUAAUUCAGGAAUGAGGUGUAGUUCACAGGAAAAUUAUGAGACUUGGUUUGAAAGUUAAUGAAAACCUCUUUCCUUUUUAGAGAAAGAUAAAAAGGAAUAAUAUAUGAAAUGCCUUUCAGACUCUUGGUUUUGCAUGUUGAAUCAUUUGCACCUGCAUUUCAUGUAGAAGUUAACAUCGCCGACGGUACAUACGAGCUGCACCCGACGCUCGAAGAGGAAGCUAUAGCGGAUCUACACCACGCCGAAGUCGAGCCCGUGCUAGAGCAAGCCGAGGACCAGUUCGCUAACUCCGAGUGUGAAGGCAAGCCCCGGAGCAUAAAUUCCUAUGUUUAAAUACUUGCAACAUAUUGGUUGUUUUGAUUAUGCAUUUACGUUUAUAGGAAUUGAUUGAAACCAUAGAUGCAUGAAUAUAGUGCCCCUUGAUCUGAACACUAGUAUAAGAAGUCGAGUAGUUGCAAUGCUAAAUAGGACUCGGUAAAAGUCGAGUGAUUUCCUGUCACUCGCGAGUUAUAGGAGUUGAAUGAUUUUAUUUUCGUUGCAACUAUAAGGAUGAUGGACGGGGCUGGGCUUAUGUUGGUACUCGGUGGUUUGCCCCGUCUGUCUACUUGAAAUUGGACUAAGGUCGAAAGGUGAUGGUGUUCGUGAUCAAGUGUUUGAAAGUACUAAUCUCAUACCUAGUAUGGGAUGGGGAAGCCUAGUACCUGAUUGAACUGGGACGUGGCUUAUACCCCUGCUGUCCUUGGAACGUCGUUCCCAUGGUGCAUCAUGUGGGUGCAAUGGCGGUCAUAGUACGGUAGAGACCGGGACUGUGGAGCAUUGCAUGCCAAAGGAAGUUUGGACCUGACACGUACCUAGGGAUCGAUGGGGACGGCUGACAAGUGAAGCGACCCUUCGUGGUGCGCGGAUGUCGUGGGAUUAGGUUCGCCAUGCAUGGUUAAUAAAUUCGAAUCGAUUCGUCUGCCUCUCACAGUGUGGGACUACUUGAUCGCUAUGCUACACUGAGUAAGAAUGAAAGAUGAUGAUGAUAUAAUAUUGUUACUUGUUAUUAAUUGCUUGGAAAACUAUGCUUGUUUAGUAUAGCUGCUAACUUAGAAUGAUGAACAACAGUAGAACUGGUGGCUAAAAUGUUGAAAGUAAGGACCUACACUAGUCGCUUUUGGCAAAACAAAACCCAGAGCCAAAAAGCUUGCAUAUGUCUAGAUGUUAGUGGAUUAGUACCACAGGUCGGUUAAGUCUUGUUGAGCAUAGUUGCUCAGCCUUGUUGUGGCACCUCUUUUCAGGUGAGGAUGAUGUUCCUGAGUUCGCUGCUAGUUCUGCUUGGUCUACCCAGCUCCCUCCGGGUUGGACGGUCGAGUGGGAUCCCUCCUCGGACGGCGAGGACAGGGGUCAAUGAUGUCAUGAUCGGCUUCUUCAUGAUAUCGUGCAUCGACGUUUAGUUUCCGUUCGUUUUAUUUCCGCUGCUUGAACACUCUACAAACUAUGUUUGAAUUUCUGAACUUUAUGUUGUAAUAAAUCGAUGCACUUUGUUUAAUCUGGAUGGACUGUUGUAAUCUCUGUAACUACUCACCAUCGUGUGAGUUUUGCUUUCUCGAUCCUGCGUUACGUGGUUUUAUCGGAGGAAAUCCGACGGACGACCAAGUUGACUUGUUUAAAGUACAUGAUCGCGUUUAGGCGACUUAAGUGUGCUUUAGCCAAGUUAAUUUAGGCGGUUCCGCCACAUAAACCUAGGCAGAAACAAGGAGCUACAGACUGACGAUCGCACCCCCAACCUUAUCCUGUAUGUCAACGUCGUGAAGGCCGGACUUUACAAAUUCAAAUAUCCAACUGCUCCCCUGUUAAAUUACAUCAAAUCCCGGUCAAACUCUUCCUCCCCAAGUAUUCACAAGGCUAUACAAUCACAAACGCCCCGUGCACAAGCUACUCCACGAGCCUCAACCAAGAAGAGGAGGCGACACAUUCAGUUCAGGGUCAUGGCCUCCGUUGAUAUGCCGGCCACCAUGCGCGCCGUCCAGUACAGCGGCUACGGCGGCGGAAGUUCUGCCCUCAAGGUCACACUUGUUCAUCAAUUAUUUGCUUUUAACAUAUACAUUUACCCCUUUUUGGAUUGGAUGAUUCUUUUCGUUUGAGUCUUGGGCAAAAUCAUGCGCAGUUGCAAAAUACUUUAUUUCUGAAUCCACCCAUGCAUUUCCUGUGGUUUGAUUUAUUUGAAAAGAGUAUGGACGUCUAUCAAUUAUGAAAUUAAAGAGUAUGGACGUCUAUCAGAAUCGCAUUAGAUGGUUGCUUCUCACAAAUGAAGGACCUCAGGAGAUCAGGUGCAAUGUGGGGCCUAUUGUUCUUUUAAAAAAAAACUGCCGGCAUCAUUCAAAGUACUAGCUUAGAGAGUUCUUUUUAUUUUUGCAAAGCUGAGAUAGCUGCGUUUUGCAGUAUAAUUCUGCGUGCUACGUCAAAUUUGAAAAGGAUAGCUUCCUACGACAAAAAUUUCUUGAAGUGAUUAUGUUCAACAUCUGUUUUUUUUUCCUUCAGUAUGUGCAAGUUCCUAUUCCUUUACUCAAAAAGAUGAAGUCCUUAUCAAAGUUAAAGCAUCAUGCAUCAAUCAAGGUGAUUGGUGGGUUCAGAAUGGGUUCCUUCGCCCAUUUCUCCCCAAAUUUCCGUUUAUCCCAGGUAUUCAUUCUUUCGUAUCCAAACAUUGCAUUAUAUCUCUUGCAAUGAACAUGUUAUCCAUGUAGUUCGUGUUAACGGAAUGAACCUUCAGCCGACGCAUAAUUGUACUCAUCAAAACAUGAAACCAAAUUGAGCACUCUCUGCUCUGUACUUGUGAAACUACAGUAACUGACGUCGCUGGCGAGAUUGUUGAGGUUGGUUCUGCAGUACGUGAGUUCAAGCCUGGCGACAAUGUUGUGUCCAAACUACACUUCCUGGUAAUUCCGAACAACGUUCAGAUCUUUACAGAUAAUCUCCAUUCAUCCGACAUUACAGUGCUGACAGACAAUCUCUAAUGGCAGAAAGCCGGCGGCCUAGCCGAAUACGUAGCGGCAUCCGAGGGCAGUACGGUGGCCUGCCCCGCCGGAGUAUCUGCCGCCGACGCUGUAGGCUUGCCCAUGGCCGGCCUCACUGCUCUCCAAGGCCUCAAGACCAUUGGCACCAAGUUCGACGGCACAGACACCGGCGCCAACAUCCUGAUAACCGCCGCCUCCAGCGGCGUCGGCACGUACGCCGUCCAGCUCGCCAAGCUUGGGAACCACCACGUCACGGCCACCUGCGGCGCUCGCAACCUGGAGCUUGUUACUAGCCUCGGCGCGGACGAGGUCCUCGACUACGGCACCCCAGAAGGAGAGGCACUGAUGAACUCCUUGGGAAAGAAGUACGACUACAUCAUCAACCUCACGAACUCCAACAGGUGGUCCGUAUUGAAGACGACCCUGAGUAGCCGUGGCAGGGUCGUCGACAUUGCUCCAAACUUUGGCAACAUGGUCGCGUCGGUUACGACAUUGUUCGCCAGGAGGAAGCUGUCGAUUAUGACGCUGUCCCUGGGGAAGGAGGACCUGAGGUUCUUGCUGGAGCUAAUGAAGGAAGGCAAGCUCCGGACUGUUAUCGAUUCGCGGUAUCCGUUCGAGAAGGCCGCUGAGGCCUGGGAGAAGAGCAUGAGCUGCCAUGCGACUGGGAAGAUCAUCAUCGAUAUGUGAAUUUUUCUUGUUUCCUUCAAGGUUGUGUUGUUGUCUUUUAAGAGUACAUUGUCCUAAGUACUUGCUACAGUAUGCUUGAUUAUGUCUCCGGCAGUACAUAUGUCCAGUUAUGAACCUAGUGCUUCUAUUCUUUCUUCAAGUGAUAAUCGUUGUGAAAGUUAAGAAAAUAAUUUGCAGAAAUAUGUAUUCAUCUUCAAAAUGAAUGUGUUUGUGUUUUCUGCCGUUGGUUUAGAACAAGUCAUAGUAAUGCCAUUGCUCUCUUUUUGUACCAUAACAGGCAUUUUUGCAGCUAUUCUUUGUUAUGACGUGUUUUUUUGCAAUUGCCAAUGACACCUCUUUAUCCUUUGUGGCUAGCUUAACACAGGUAUAGAGAAAGAAACGGAGGCAGUAAAUACAGUAAUUACCUUAUUGGCUUAUUUUCCGUGUCUUAGGAUAAGAAAAUACAGAAAGUUUAAGUUCGACGAUGACAGCCUAAAAAAACGUACUUCUGUUGAACUGAUUUAGACCUUGCUUCCAAAACUAUUUUCUUCUUAUUUCAUAUAAACAAGAAGGACGGCGGCUUUAAUUCACCAAAGCUCAGCAGCCGGCUGACAAGAUCGGAAAAUAAUGACACCAAGCAAGUGAGCAGCAAGCCGCAUAGCAUAGUUUUUUUUUUUGGAGAAAAAGGGUCUGCUAGUCAUAUGAUCUGUGUUCCUUCUGUGGGUCAAUUUCUCCUUUCGCUCUGUUUGGAUGGAGGCCCAAUUAUAUGAACACAGCAAUGGUCAAACUAUUUGGUUCAAUUCAUCAUCCAUCGGGUGGAUCCCUAUGAACUGGCCGGGCACGGAUUCAGCCCACUAACUAAAAAAGCCCAAUAUCAAUAACUAAUACCAGCCUUCAACCGCUAAAAUAAUGUGAUAAGUAAAAAAUCCAAUCUUCCGUGUAAAAUAUUUCGGAAAUGCUACGCCCCUGUCAUCCGAUGCUGUAGUUUCCUCCGAACGGACACGUGGGACAUCUUGCCGGCACAUAUAUUUCUUUCUACCACUGCAUCGUUCUUAUCCCUCCUGCCCGUUUCUUGUCUGUCCACCGCCAUCACAGGUUGCGCAGCCAAAAUCUUCCGCCUUAGCUGGUUGCGAAUGUGAGAAGCCACGCAGCAACAGCUCGUGGAGGCCGAGAGCUAUCCCCAGCGGUACAAGGCAUCGAUGAGGACCUGCCUCGACGGUGCGCAGAUCCGGGACCUUGGAGAGGAUGAGCCGCCGUGGUGGGGCGCGCGAAGGAGAGGAAGCACCUUAGUGCUAUGGCCCUAGAGGGGAGGAGCUGCCACAGCGGCGGCGCACGGAGACUAGGAGAGGAACUAGCUGUCCUAGCGCCGGCGCAUGGAGGUAAGAUGAAUUAGCAAGCAAGCUGCGAGGCUAUGAAGGUGGAUUUAGAUACUUGAGCACUAAUAAACUUCCCACUUGCCAUCUCCUCUCUUCGAGUAGAUUAGGGAUGUUGCAUUGGGAUGUUGAAAUUUAUGAUUCUAAUGUUGCGGUUUGUUGUUGGACAUUGUAGGUAUUUUUGUUGGGAUUUAUUUUUUCCCUAUGCUACAACCAUUGAUUUAGAAUAUUAAAACGGUUGAUCUUUGAUGUUGCGAUGUUCUUUUGUAAUAGAGUAUGCUAGAAUUAGUUUUAUUUUUUCAGUAUUGCAUUAUACGUAUUUAGAUGUUUCAACUAUUGAUAUGAGAUGUUGCAAAGGUCUUGUACGAUAUAAAUGAGUUGAUGCAGUGGGACUUUUUCUAGUUGAAAUGUUGCGCGCAACAUAAGAUAGAUGUUACGGGCGGGAUUUUUGCGUGUAUCUUUGUGCUAGAAUUUUUUUUGAUGUUGCAUGCAACAUUAACAUAUGUUGCGGUGGGAAUUUUACUGGCAUCCGGAUCGAAGGCGUUAGCAGCUCCAAAAAUAUUUUAAACAGUGCUCCUGUCGGCCCACGAGAAGGAUACCACCCGACACCAACUACCAAGCCACCAAUUUAUAAGGGGUCCUUCUAGCAGGUUUUGCAACAAAGCAGCUGCAGCCUACAGCCCCACAUAGCACAACAACUAGAAAGAAAGAGAACAUGGCCAGCAAGGUGUGCCUCUUUCUUCUCGCGUUCCUCAGCGUCGUGGUCGCGCUUGCCAACCCCGUCGCCGGCGGCGGGAUCAAGGCCACGUUCGCCGGCAGCCCGGAGUCUUGGUCCGGAGAGGCUGCGGUGCUGCGGCAGCUGCUGUCGACGAGGCUGGAGGAUGCCGUGGCACCGGAGCUCACCGUGGACCUGCACCUCCACCGCCGUGUCCUCGCCGGCAUGGUUAAAGGGUCAGCGUUGAAACCUGACAGCGCGGCCUGCAUAGGGUCGUGCCCGGCGCGUGGGGAUUCGUAUACCGGCCGAAGCCGGGGAUGCCUGAAGAAGUACCAGUGCAACGGCUGAAGGAGCGUUCCUUGCAUCCUCGAAGGCAUCAUGAUCAUUUGUUUGAUGUCUGCCUUGUUAUUGCUUUCAGUGUCUUGUAAUAAUUUUGUGAUGUCUUGCUGGAAUAAUAAAUUCUACGCAAAGCUGAUUUUAUAUGUUCUAUUGCUUUCAGUGUCUUGAAACCGUUUAGUUUUUUUUGUAAGAAUAAAUUCUAAUCAUUUCUAUCGGCAAUUAUUUUUAUGUUUUCGUCCAGCUUGUGUGCAUAGUACAUGUACAUGCAAGAACAAGUAUUGGUGAACAGAUGCAGGAACAUUAAUUCUGAUGUAUAAUUGUAAGUAUAUCUUAGCGCGUUACAAAAUCAGGGUGUGACUAUGAGUGUCUAGCCAAGCGCAAAGCCUGCGUAUGUGUGGAUAUGCUCUUGUGGUACGGUGUGUGUUUUGGUAGAUGAUUGCUGUGUCGGUCCGGCGUAUGGGCACAAACUUUUGAAGUCCAAUAUGAUAUGUGCGAGCAGAGCAGGUAGCAAGUCGUGAUCUGUAAAGCAACCAAUCCAUGAAAUCCUCCUUUUGUUAUGGUGGGGGAAUCAAACCACAAUUAAGUGGUUACUUUGUUAGUGGGUACUAUUAUUCUUCAACCCGGACAACAUGAUCAAGGACAGGACACGGAUAUGGGCAUGAUUGCAAGGAGGCAAUAUCACGAAACGAUACAAGGGAAGCAAAGUGCAUGACAUAGUUUUCAAUUAGAAAUUCAGAUUAUGAGCAUGAUGACACAUCUUUCGUAGCUCAUCAGCUUCAUCUCAUGCUGCUAUGGACGGUACAGAAAGCCGAUCUGCAUUUUUUUUUUGUAAUUUUUUUGGUCCAUGAUGCACAAAGAAAAACAACACCACCAAGGCCGUAUAGAUUCACGCAGAUUCAGAGUGGGUGACGGCACACGCCCACAAGUAUUAUAGCCUCCAAAACUAACAAAUCUCCACGACUUGAAGGUCCACUCUCGUAUCGGUCCGUCAACAAAUCUCAACAGCUCGAGCACAUCGUAACAUAUUUCUAUUGUAUAGAUAAUAGUUAAAACGGAUCACUACACCGAAAAAUGUGAUUCAGGUGAUGGCGUCUACUCUGAGUAUGGGAGGCGAUGGGAAUUCUCACAAAGUAGGUCGCAUUAUUCUCUGAUAAUAAGUUAUCCCACUCCCCAGUUGUGUCCACAAGAUUGUAAUCCUAUAGCAUUAUUAACACUGAAGGUCGAGAGAUAGAUGGGGUUGUCACUCAAAUUUCAUACUAAGACCGUAUCGAAAUAUUUGUCGCUGUUGACUUUUGGUCGCGACGUUUGACCAUUCGUCUUAUUCAAAAAAAUUAUGUAAGUAUCAUUUAUUUUGUUUAUAAUUUACUUUAUUAUCAAAGGUAUUGUGAGCCUAACUUAUCUUUUCUUAUAUUUACAAUAAAUUUUUGAAUAAGACGAAUGGUCAAAAGUUGCGAGAAAAGUCAAUAGAGACAAAUAUUUCGAUACGGAUGGAGUAUAUAUAUAUAUGCUAACAUGUUUUCUGAUGAAGAGCAAACAUGACCACAUAGGCCAAUGUCUCUAACUCGUAGCACUGAUGAGAUGACCAACGUAAUCACACAAAUCAGUUAUCAAACUUGUGCGCCUGCAGUUGUGAUGCAGGAUUUAUAAAGUUGAUAUUUCAAACAAUAAUGAAAAAAUAUGGGCUUAAAUAAACUAAAUUGUUUAAAACAUAUAGAUCUAUCAUUUUAGCACCUGCGCUAUGUUUUUCGUUUCUCCGGUUCUAAUAUGGCAUUAAGCUCCUGUGUAGCGUGGUUGUCGGCCUGACUCCACCUAAUACCACACGGUUGUGGCCCUCAUCAGAGAAGUGAUGUGUUGUACUGUGUGCUGCAGUGGCUUCAACGGGCCACUUGUUCAGUAACUAAGUUCUGCGAGUUUUAGGCUGGCAGCAGGCACAACCAAACACCUGCAGCUCCUCCCAGCAGAAAAUUCUUCAAUGCAACGCAAACCACAAUCUUCUGACGCUGUUUGAUGAUGUGCAUGAGAUUCACCAAGCUAUCGCAGGCGCAUGCCCUAUAUCUGCUACCAUUUGUCGAUACAUUACAAGUUGCGUUAUUCAUCCAAUGUUCUUUCUUUAAAACAUUAUUCAGCAAUGUUGGGCGCAACACUCCUGCGCAAUACUGUGCCACCUCUAUUCCUAAGUGUCCGGACUCCUCCUAGGUCUUAGGUCUUUGGGCUGUAUCAAAAGCCCGCUGAACAAAUUGUUCCCUCACACUUACAAGUUGUGCUACUCCACUCUUAACAAGCAAUGUGGGACUAUUCCCAACAAAAAUGCAAAGCAUUAGAAAGUCAUCGAUUCGUUGAAGAAUCUAACUAGUAUAUAUUUAUGUACUUUGUUAGAUGUUCAAUUGAAAUAGUAUUACGUUGGUACCCCAUCCUUUCAAGAUUGCUGUCUGUUAGGUGCACUGUUUAUGACUGAGCCGCUUCCAUAGCUAUUGCAUAAAUAGCAGAGACCCGUAGUUAGGUUCAAAGUAGCUAGGUUCCAUAGGUGUGCUCUUCAUAAACAAGUAGCUAGGUUCAAAGUCAAGAGCAUAACUAUUGUUAUAUUCCAAGUGACCCGUAGUGAGAAUGAGGGAGAUAUUGAAAGAAACUCAUCCACUUGUACAAGCAUAGUUUGUGGUGUUUCCUAGGAAUGGAAGGCGUAAGGAAUGUGUGUUGUACUUGUACCAUUGAUGUCACUCACUACCGGAAACAGUAAGUUCGCCGAGUGUAAAACGUGUGCCGAGUGCAUUUUUUUGGGCACUCGGCAAACACCGUCUUUGCCGAGUGUAUACAAUGAGGCACUCGACGAACAUAAUACACUCGGCAAAAAGGAGGUUUGCCGAGUGCCAAAAAACAGGCACUCGGCAAACAACUCCUGGACACUCGGCAAAGAAGACACACUCGGUAAAUCAACAGCGCGUGUGUCGCACGUGCGUCGUCCGUUACCAGGUUGGGCCGGCCGUUAGACCUUUGCCGAGUGCUUGCCGUUCGACACUCGGCAAAGUGUGAUUCGCCGAGUGCCAACCGCACACACUCGGCACACUCAAAAGUUCGCCGAGUGCCUCGUCCGGACACUCGGCAAACUCAACACAUUGCCGAGUGCCGUCCUAAAGGCACUCGGCAAACCCAACACUUCGCCGAGUGUUUUUGUUGGCACUCGGCAAAAAAAAAUUUUUUCCCUCCAACAGCUUCCACACUUUUUCUACUCCCCACGUAGGACAUUUGGUUAUACAUAUUAAAAGUUGGUCUAUUUUCGGGUCUGUUUGGGAUUUUUAAUGCUUUGUUUGCAUUAAUAGGAAUUUUUUGAUUGAAGUCAAAUUUUAACUGCAAGUACUUGAAAUAAUGGAUUGAAAUCAGUGAAAAAAUCAUAUUCAUAUUAUGGAGACCGGAUUGAGGUCUCAACCAGAAAAUGAAACGAAAUUUUGAACAUUAUUUUUAAAAAACACGACCACGAACCUGUGGUUCAAUGGUUGUUAAAUUGUAAAAAAACCAAACGAAAUCUGAAAAUCACAAGAUUUGUCAAGAUGUCAUUAUAUUAUGUGUGUAGGCUGUGGUAAAAAAUUGAGAACGUUUCGCCCAAUUUCUGACAUAUGAUGCUUAGAAACCGACUAAUCUCCUGGAAGGAUUCAUAGAAGUUAGAAAGGAGCCAAUAAGAUUUGGUGUCCAAGUGACACUUGAAUUAAGGAGUGCCUUCAAAUCUUUUUGUAUAGGCAACAUACAACACAGAUUGGUUCAUGUCAAAAUUUGGAAAUUUUUCGGAUACGUUUGAUAUUUUUUAUUGAUUAAAUGCAAUUAUAGAUUUUUAUUAGAUAUAAAUGGAAUUUGAGCUAUAACUGCAUGAAAUAAUGGAAUAAUAUCGGUAGAAAACUAAUUUAACAAUUUUUGAGUGAUUUUGACACGAUUUUGAACAAGUAUAUUAGAAAAAGGUCACUAAAAUACGUUAUUUCAUGUAACGUUUGCCGAGUGCACCUAGAAAACACUCGGCAAAAAUGGUAGUUUGCCGAGUGUUUUCUGGAUGCACUCGGCAAACUAGUUGCACGGGCCCACUCCCUUCGGCCUCGCUUCAAAUAAAAAAUCCCGACUUAUCUUUGCCGAGUACCGUAGAUCUGAGCACUCGGCAAACACUAAGGCUUUGCCGAGUGCCCCCGAUCUGGCACUCGGCAAAGCCUUGCCCUGAGCGGUUUCGGCCCUUUGCCGAGUGCCAGAUCGCGGGCACUCGGCAAAGAUUCGAAGUUAUGUCCACACUUAGCAUUUCGUCGAAUCAUUUCCGCGCCGCUGUUGCCUCGCCCGCCGGCCCCCGCGCCCGCCUGUGUCCCACCCCGCCGGCCGCCACCGCCCCGCCGGUGCCCACCGCCACCGCCCCGCCGACGCCCACCGCUCCGCCCGCCACGUCCCCGCCCGCGCCCCCUACCCGGCGCGAAGCCCGACCGGCCGCCCCGGCCGCCCGUCUCCCCCGGCGCCUGCGCUCCGUGCCCGGCGCGCCGCCCGACCGCCCGCCGACGCCCCGGUCCCGGCUCCCCGCCACCGGCGCGCCCUCUUGCCCCGCCGGCCGCCCAUGCCCCGCCCCCGGCGCCCCUUGCCCGGCGGCCCCGGCCCACCGGCCGCCCCAGCCGCCCCCUGCCCGGCGGCCCCGGCCCACCGGCCGCCCCCGUUCCGGCCCCGGCGCCCCCUGCCCCUGCGUCCCGGCGUCCCUCACCCGGUAAUGAAUUUUUCUUUUUGAAUUUAGAAAAUCUGAAUUAGAAAGUAAUUAGAAAUUGUAGGGCUUUAGUUGUUGAAAUUAGGAAAUUGUAGGGCUUUAGUUGUUGAAAUUAGGAAAUUGUAGGGCUUUAGUUGUUGAAAUUAGAAAAUGAUGGUUGGCUUGGGAAUUUAAGCUAUAAGAAUGUUUGUGGAAGUGAGCCAUCGUGCCAUUCCUUCUUCUGUACAUGUGGUUGUCGGCCAUCGUGCCGUUUCAUUUGAUGCAGGUUAUGGAAACCUCCACGUGCAGGGGAGGUGCUGCUGAAUAUUUUAGUUGACAGUUGUAUGUUUUUUUUUGCAGGAGAGGCUACGUUACCGUCCUCGAGUCGUCACUUUGUACGAUAGCAAGGUGAGUCAUCCUACACAUCUAUUUGACACUGAUGGUCGUAUAUCACGUAACCUAGUUAGGCGUCUCCCGUUCGAAAGAGAUACGUUUGGAAAUAUGCAGAUGUUUGCAUAUUUAUAACUGUAUCUGUUUCGAAUUGUCCACGUUACUUUGGACAGCACGAGGAUGUGUAGGUGGGUUUAGUUUCCAUAGUCUACUAAUCCCGAUCAUGACGAUUAUUUCUAAGACAUGUAUGGAUCGUAAUAAUUUAUUUAUUAUUUGUCAUACCAUGUUAUAUUUGAAAUUAUGUUUUAUUUAUAUAUGUGCUGAUUGGUUUACUCUUGGCAAAUGCAGGUGAUUGAACAAUGGUGGGCGGUACGAGGAAGAUCGCAGCGCUUUACGAAAAAUAAAAAGCUGCAGCUUCCGGGUCAGGUACACGGUCAGACGCAUCGAGAGGUCGAGGAAGGCGUCGAGGGAGGGGUGGAGGCAGGGGUGACGCACACGUGGAGGAAGCGGUGGGGGCACAGGUCUUGGCUAGAGGCAGGGGUCGGGGCAGGGGUCGAGGAAAGGGUAAAGGGGUGAGGGCCCCGUCGCCUGUGCCUUCGUCGUCGUCGGAGGAGGAGGAGGUACCCUCCGCGCACGCCUCUAGUGACGAGGCGGAGGUACAGGAGGAGCAGGAGCAGGAGAUGGAGGAGGGGGAGGAGGCAGGGGAGGAGGCAGGGGAGGAGGUAGGGGAGGAGCAGUCCAAGAUCUGGUUGCGAGGUCCCUCGUCCCUCCCGAGGCGACCCAUCCCUGUUCAUUUACGCCCACUGAUUCAACCCGCUGGGGCAAAGUAAGUUCCUUCACAUAUUGUCUGUACUUUUGAUAUGUUCAAACUUACACUAGAAAAUAAUAAUUUAUAUUAAUCACUUGUGCAGGAGUUGGACUAAGCUCAGUGGGGGUGCCCACAACCGCAAGGUCAACGGCAUCGUCGGUCUUUUGUGUAGGCUACACUUCCCCGGUCUAGUGGUCUUCGCCGGACAGGAGGAGCCGGCCUACACGUGGGACCACUACGUCGCUGCCGCCGACGUCGGUGAUCGUGACCACAGGCAGUUUGCGAACAAGGCGGAGCGGGUGAAGGCCGAGCUGUGGGUAAGUCUUCGCAGCACUACAUUGCUUAAUACAUUCUUGAUAUAAUAAUUGUAUGCUUGCCGUCUAUACGCAGGACUUUUAUAGAUGCCAGGAGGGCUUUGAGGCUAGGGCGGCCUCCGUCAUUGAACAAGCCGCUAAGAAGCUCGUUAAGGACAUGCACUACGAGGCGCGCGUUCAGGCCAUCAUCGACUUUUAUGCUGAAUACAAAAGGAUGACGAUCAAAAAAGAAGAGGCCAGGACAAUGAACCUGACCAAGGAAGAAUUCAUGACAGUAUGUACAUAAAGACUAUAUUUACUAUUUGAGAGAUUAAUUAUGCUUAAUUCCGUUAUUUAUAUGUCACACACUUCAUAUAGGUGCCUCCGUGGUGGUGCCGAUCCUUUACCCGGUGCUGGGAACAAAUGGUGGACGUGUGGUUGCAGCCUGGGUGGUUGGAGAACCACAAUGCCUGCCGGGAGCAGCGUCUGCAGAUGCCAUAUGCAUCACACCAUCAAGGAAGCCUGAGCCUUGAUGAGUACAAGGAAAAAUGGGUACGUGAAUUCAUUUCUGUUUUCUCAGACAUAAUACUGCAUAUUUUGUAAUCAUUUUACAUUUUUUCCGCAGACUUCAUCACAUGAUGGUCAGGAGUGCUCCCGGUUCAAGGCAUGGGUUAUGUCCAAAAAGGGCAAGGCCACGGCAGACAUCGACUUCAACCCGGAGGACCCGCCCGAGGCGUACAGCCAUCCCAGCAUCCACAGCUGCGUCACCAAGUACACAGCCAUGGCGAGGGAGGUUCACGGGCCAGAGUUCGAUUCGAGCUCUCAGGAUAUCGAUGCUGAAAUAGUGAUGAGGGUAGGAGGAGGGAAGAAGCAUGGCAGGUAUUGGAUUGGAGAUAGCGUGAUCGACACUGCCAGUACUCCCACUCUCUCCCAGAUCCGAGCAAGGAGCACGGACUCGAGCCCCGCGAUACGGCCACGGCCUACCGCUGCACAACUACAGAUGCAGGCUCUGCAGGUUAUUUCUGUUUCUUUAAUUUUUCAUUCAUUUUGUACUUACCUUUUGCUUGACAAUAAGUGGUUGGGAUGAAAUAUUGUAGGCCCAGGUGGAAGUAGAACGGAAGCGCCGAGAGGAACUAGAGGCGAGGAUCGAGGCGGAUCGGCAGCUUGAAAGGCAGAGGACGGAGCAGAUGUUCCAAUACAUGCAGAGUGUUUUCCACAGUUUAGGUCAAACUCCACCACCUAUGCCACCGAACCUCUUCCCGCCACCUCCACCACCCUCCUGCAGCUACUCCUAUGAGUCAAUCUCAACCUUACAAUCAAUCUAGACUUAAACUAGAAACUACAGGCACUACAAACUUCCACUAGAAUUACUUGUUUACACUAUGAAAUCUCUUUACCUAAAUUUGUGCAGAAUCAAUCGGCGGCGUCCAAUGCAGAAUCUUCCUGGGGGCAGUGGCCACCUGCACGUCCUCCUCAUCAUCCUCAGUGACUUGUCAUUUCUGUGUUUGUGAUGCAAAACUUGUGAAUUACUUCUUUAGACGAGAACUUAUGAAUGCUAUUUGUGUGCUUGUGAAUCCUGUGGUGCAAUUUAUAUGCUUGUGCUGCAAUUAAUAUGUCUGUGCUUCUGUGGUUGUUUUUUGAGAGGGGUCCUUUAUACCUAACGUUUCUAUUUUGUAGUAGGUAUUAGGACACUUUGCCGAGUGUUAACACUCGGCAAAGAGGCCAUUUCUGGUACUAGUAGACGGGUUUGCCGAGUGUAUUCUUCAAACACUCGGCAAAGGGGUCAUACAUUUUGGCGGGAGUGCUUGUUUGCCGAGUGCCACAGGGUAGGCACUCGGCAAAUAGGGUCAUUUUGCCGAGUGUUUUGGAAAAAGCUCUCGGCAAAGGGGUCAUAAAAAAUUGGCGGGCCGGGCUUCUUCGCCGAGUGCCUGCCCCGUGGCACUCGGCGAACCAUGGUUUUUUGCCGAGUGUCUGGCAAAAAAGCACUCGGCAAAUGAUAAAAUAAAAAUGGCGGGUGGGGCUUCUUCGCCGAGUGCCUUUAAGAAUACACUCGGCAAACGAGUAGACUUCGCCGAGUGUCGGCCGUCAGACACUCGGCAAAGCUUCCGUCGUCGUCACAGACCGUUAACGUCUUUGUGCUGAGUGUUUAAUUUUGCCGAGUGUAUUUUGGCACUCGGCAAAAGGUUUGCCGAGUGCCCGACGAUCGACACUCGGCAAACAGCCUGUUUGCCGAGAAAAACUUUGCCGAGUAGACUUCGCCGAGUGUCUAUUUGCCGAGUGUAAUGGGGCCUUCGCCGAGUGCCUGGGGCACUCGGCAAAAGAACUGUUUCCGGUAAUGACUUACCCGUAGUGUAAAGAAACAAUGGUUUGCUACACGUCCCAGUGCCUUGCUAUUUGGAAUAUAGUGACUUUUCAUAUGUUCACCUUUCUAUUGUAGUUUGGGAUAAGCUGCUGGAUAUGGAUCAACCAAAUAUGUGACACUUUUACCUGUUUCUUGUGGCUAGGUUUUCAAACUCUAGCUGUAAAAGUGGAGGCUAGGUCUAUCCUUUCUUAAUUCUACGAUGCAUGCACUAAUUUUUUAGAAUCAUAAGUUUUUUAAAUAGCUGAUUACUAAUAAUUGAAAGAAUGCAUGUAAACUUUGCUAUUUGCUGAUGUACAUGCUUAACCUGCAUUGAAAGAAUGCAUUUUUUUUCUAGCAGAAUCCGUUCAUACCACAGAAUAUAUUCAUCAGUACAAGGGAUAAUUUGAAUUAAAAACAAGUUUUAAAAUUUUGUGCUAAGAAAUUGUUUUAUAUUAAAAUAAAAAUAUUGUCAGAAAUGUGUAGCUAGGGCCUCUAGUUUUUGUCUCUCCCUGUGCCCCCAAAGUUCAGGACCGGCCCUGGUGGUUGGGGAUCACAAUCUUAAUAAAGUGGACAGCAAAUUCAUUCUCAAUGAUAAUUCUGUAAGUUAACUCCACCAAAUUAAGUUAAAUUUCCCACUUUUUUCUAGAUAAUAAGUUUAUUUUAUUGAUGUCUUACUUUUCAGGAUUGUGAGCAGGGAUUCACAAGCAUGAGUGACAUAGGAUUGGCCACAACGACAUUUGUUAAAAAAACAAAAGGUUCCAGCUGCAUAUGUAGAACCCAACAAUGCUGCCAUUUAAAUCUGCACCUCUUGUACAGCUAAGGAACUUUAAUUUGAACCAGCUUCAGCACCAUAACUUUCUCCUGUAGAAGAUCAGUACUCAUAACAUCUUUCUACAACAAUGCCCAACAAUGAAAGUAGUUGAUCUUUCUAUGAUUAUGGUGGCAAAAAGGAAUGUGAUGCGAUCAGAAUUCUUAUGGUUUACGACCAAGUAUUACGCUUUCAGUCAGUCGAGAUGCAUAUCAUGUUACAUUGUUCUCAGAUGAAAACUUGUGCUGGUCGGUUUACCUCAACAUGAUUUUCCUCAGACAGAUAAUCAACAUGAAGCUCAAGUUAAGAUUGUGGCAUUGCAUCCUUAUUCUACAUGCAGCCCUAGCCUGGUUCCGGCUUGGUUAAGAACAAGCAUUCCCAUAGACGUACCAAAAUGGUUAGUUAACUAGUAACUAUGGUGCCAUUAUUUUGGUACACGAUUGUAGGACCAUCAUCUCUGGAGAUGAGAAAAACGAUUGUACAGUUGUUCAUUAGGGAAAUAUGUACAGAAUAAUGAAGCACGACAACAUUAAUCAGUGGAUGAGGGGCAUUUACAUAUGUGCAUAUUUGACUCCAUUAAUUAUUCUUUUGUAUAUUUGUUCUUGUAUUAGUGGCUAGACAAAUUUUGAGCAUUCCAUACAUUUUUCAUUAAAAUGGUCUCCCCCUGAAAUGAAAAGAUAGAUACAGAGUCUAUCUAGGCCCACGUCCCACGUCUCAUGGUACAUUUUUUAUAAGCAAUGCACUGGCUGGUUGGUGAACUGUUUUAUGAGAAAGUAAAUUACCCUUUCUAUGUUGGAAUUAUGAAUAAAAAGCACUAGAGUGCAGCAUAUAAAAUCAAUGAUGGCGGCACACAGCUGAUAUUUCAGUUUAUGUGGGAGAACAUGAUGAUGUCAAAUCGCUCAAAUAACAGCAUAGAUGGUAGCUAUCAGGCAUGGAAGGUAUUGGGAGUCGGUGGUAUGCCCUAUCUGUUUGGUUCUGUACAGCAAUGACCGUAUGGGCUAGGAUAUAUAGGUGCUGAUGAUGGUGGACAAUCUUCAACCAGUUAGCCACCAGCAAGGAGGGUCAGGAUAGGUGGUGAUGAUGAUUUGGGAUAUAUGUUGCUAAGUGGCCUUGAAAAACUCUGAAAUGCUAUUGUGCAAACUGCUGCUGCUUCUGUAGAUAGUGAGCUCCCAAAAGACCUAUAUGACAAUCUGAUGGCUGUCCGCGGAUUCGAAGAAGCCCAUCUGGUCCACUACUAUGCUUACUUAUGUGACCAUCCUUCAGUAGCAAGGGUGUUCAACAGGUUGUCGUUGUCAAACAAAAUGGUAUGAGUUGCCUGAUAUAUCAAGGACUACAUUCCGGGUUUUUAGCUGAUGGCGGCUAAUCAAAACCAAAUACAUAGUGGAUUAAAUUAUUUUUAACUAUAUGGUCAAUCCGCGACAUUAUGUCAUUUUCUAAUCUAUUCCAUAGACUCUUGUUUGUGCUGUAAGGUAGUCAUAGUGCUUGCAGCUAAAAAAUUUUGGUAUUUUGAUCGACUUUUUUCCAAUUCAGUCUACGGACUUGGUGAUUGAAACAUAUGUGAUUUUGGUAUAUUAUAGACAUAUCAUUACUUAACUUUUGGAUUAUAUGCAUUAUUUGAAUUUUUGUGAGCAUCAUGAAUUUGGUUCUGGAUUAUGUACCAUAGACAGUGUUUGGCUUGAUUUAUUUGGAACUGCAUUACAAACCAUGAACCUGUACAUCCAUCCAACCAAACAAGAACCUGUAUGAACCUAUACAUCUUAUAUACAAGCAACCAAACACAAGUGGGUGUACCAUUCUGUGCUGCUGUGCUAGAUCAUCCCAUCCAAACUGCAUCAUUCUAUCCAUGAACCGUUUAAUUCAACAAACCAAACACACCCUGAGGAAACAUACUAGGGCUCAGAUAUUGAUGUCUGCAAGUCUGCUGCUCUGAUCCUUGUAGGGCGUGAUUGGUAGCCGAGAGGGCACUGUCCACUGCACCGUCCCAAACCUUCCCGUGCACUCUCGCAUGUUCGGUUGGCCUUCCCAAACCGAAACGCCGCAACACCCCCCCCCCCAUUCCUUUCUCCCAUUCCAUUCCGCAUCGGCCCAUCCACCCUAAGGGCUCCUUCGCUCGCAGCUACGAUGGAGCGAUGCUGGUGGGAAUUUUUCAGCGGAGCGUGGGAGAUGGCACCGUCCCGAGGCUAAAGGUGCGGGUGGCUUACGGUGACCUCCCAUUCUCCCACCACUAUCUUCACUCCCCUCCUCCUUGGUGCGCCUUCUCCUCUCACUCCCCUUGUUCGACCUCAGUUCGCUGGUGGAUCGAGGUACUCCGGCGGCACCCUAUGCCCCCGCUGGUGCUGCAACGGUACAUCUCCCCCUCCUCUUACGUUGCUUUGUCCCCUCUCCCGCACUGAUCUGUUGAUUCGUCUUAUUUUGCUUGGUGUCGAAGAAUCCUGGGUUCUUCUUCUCUCAGAUCCGUGCACUCCUUUUGUUGUUCUGUAUCUGAAUUUAUGGUUGUGAUGAACCCUAGGUAGUUUGUGAUGCGGAUCUAUGGUUUUCACAUAUAGAGGUCGAUCUGAUUUUUUUUUGUUCUUGUACCAUCCUCCUAGUGGGUCGAGGUCCUCCAGCGGCACCCUGUGCCUCCGCCGGUGCUGCGACGGUACAUCUUGCUUAGUGUCGAUGAACCCUAGGUUGUUUCUGAUACAGAUCUAUGGUUGUUCUGCAUCUGCAUUUAUGGUUUUGAUGAACCCUAUGUUGUUUCUGAUGCGGAUCUAUGGUUGUCAUAUAUACUUGUCGAUCUGAUUUUUUGUGUCCUUGAACCAUGGCUUACUCCUUUGCAACCAAUCACGCCUGUAGUACUGAGCUGAGCAAAGUGCGUCGAUGAUGAAUCCUUGCCGCGGAGGAGCACCUUCAGGUGUGGCAGCCGCGUCUAGGAUAACAUGUACUUCUGAAUGUUUGCUUGCUUAACAACAUGACCCCAAGUUCUUCUACUGAACUCUAAUGAACACUGCAUUGUAUUCUUAAACAUGGAUUUGCAAGGUAGGCGCCGGGCUGCGGCUGCUCUUGUUGCUGCUGUUGCGGUAUGGUUUUUCAUGUGGUUUAGGAGGAGAGCUGAGGAUGCUCGGGCCAUUACCUAUGGACCCAUGGUAGAGAGGGACAAAGAGAGGAAUAGUAAUCUUAGAUUCAUUUAUGAAUCUGAUGAUGUCCAUUGUGUUAACCUGCUAAGGAUGAUGAGGGCACCUUUCUUUCAACUGUGUGACUUGUUUCAUUCAAGACAGUUGGUUACGGACAGCAUACAUGCCACUGUUGAAGAAUAAGUUGCAAUGUUCUUGCAUGUAGUUGGGCACAACUAGAGGUUCAGGAUCACUAACAUGACAUUUAGGAGGUCACCUGAAACUAUCAGUAGAUUCUUUCAUCAAGUCUUGUAUGCAGUUGGUGAGUUGAGAAAUGAGUUGAUUGUUCCACCACCCACUAUUGUCCAUCCUAGGAUCUUUAGCAGCAGGAGAUGGAACCCAUAUUUCAAGCUUGGUGGCCCUUUCCUAAUUGUAAACCAAUUGACCUUACCCAUAGUAACCUGUUAAUAUGGCUAUUUGUUUUAGGAAUGCAUAGGAGCAAUUGAUGGGACACAUGUCUUAGCUAGAGUUUCUUUGAAGAUGCAAGCUGCCUUUAGAGGCAGGAAGCACACCAUCACUCAGAAUGUUCUGGUAGCAGUAGACUUUGAUCUCAGGUUCACAUAUGUGCUUGUUGGUUGGGAGGAAUCUGCACAUGAUGCUCUAAUUUUGUCAGAUGCUCUUGAAAGGGCUGAUGAUCUUACAGUCCCACAAGGUACCAUACCUCACAUAUACAUAUGCCAACAAAUUGCACCCACUAAACUGAUAAAUCAUCUCAAUUUGUUACAUUGUCUAGGAAAAUUCUAUCUUAUGGAUGCUGGAUAUGCAGUCAGGUCUGGGUUGCUGCUGCCAUAUUAUGGUACAAGGUACCACUUGAGGGAGUUUGGUUCUAAUAGGCCACAAAACCAAAGAGAGUUGUUUAACCUAAGGCAUUCUUCUCUUAGAGUGACAGUAGAGAGGGCCUUUGGUGCUCUAAAGAAUAGGUUUAGAAUCCUUGACAAUAAGCCUUUCCAUCCUUACAAAACCCAUCCUUGACUAGUGUUCAGUCAAUCUUCAUGCUUAGGAGGUUUCAUGAUCUGGUUAGGCAAGGGGUCAAAACUGACAAAGGCUUCAAGGAAGUUCAUGUUAGGCAAGUUGCUAGGAUGGUUUCUGAUUUUGCUGAAGUCAAUGUCACUACCAACCAAAUUUACAACCACCUGCGCAAAUGGCGCCAAAUGUGGGUUAAGAUUGCUAGGCUGAAGGAUCUCAGUGGUGCUCUCUGGAAUGAGGAGCAUCACAUGAUAGUUCUUGAGGAGGAGCAUCUGAUAGGCCACACUAAGGUUAGACCACAACCAUAUGUCAAACUGUUAUGGUUAAUAAUUGCCCUUUUCUCUAACUAUUGCACCAUCUCUUUGCCCAACUAGGAUCAUCUUGCUGAUGCCAAGUUCUUGAACACCCUAAUUGAGAACUAUGUCCAGAUGGAGGCCAUUUUUGGGUCUAGCCAGGCUACUGGUAGGUUUGCCAUGGGUUCCAAUGAACCUUUAGGUGUACCAACUGACCUUGGCCACCUUGAGGGGGGAGAUGUUAGAUCAGAGACAAUUGAUUUAGGUGGGAGUGAAGGUGAUUCUGGUAAGCAAAAUGAAGCCUCCAAUGGGGUGGACAACUCAAAGGUAGUGAUGGUAAGGAAGGAAGAGGUGGUAAAAGGAGGAAGUUGUGUGAGGAAGAAUACCAGUUGAUGCAUGGUAUGAGUGUUGUUGUUGCCUCUGUUGCAGAUGCCCUCAAGGCUCCCCAGCACAAUGAGGUCCAUGAGGAUCUUUAUGGUUGUAUCAUGUCCUGCCCUGGGUACUCAUAGGAAGCCCUGAUGUUUGCACUUGUGUAUCUGCUGAAAAACAAAGCAGAAGGCCUAUGCUUUGUUCAGAUGAGUGAAGCUCAUAGGAUCCUUUGGCUUAGGAUCUACCUGAGCCAAGCCUACUUCAUCUAGAUGCUUAAGGACUGCCAUCAGAUAUUUUGCUUGCCUAUGCUAUAAUCUGACAUUUUGGGUUAGCACUAACCACUAAUGGUGAGGGUAAAGACACCAUUUGAAGCCUAUCUAAGGCUGCAUAUAUUUUUGUAUAGCAUAGGAGGUCACUAGGUGGGAUUUGUUAGGUGUAAACUUGAACACCUGCAAUUGUGGUUGUGAUGGAUGCAUCUUGUCUUUGUUCUGGUUCUUUGAUCUUUCUUAUUGGUUGUCCAAUGAUGAUUCCAUCUUUCAAGGUAAGAAACUAUGCCUAUGAUGAUUGAAAUAUUUUCCCAAUUAUAUGUGGAUGGGUAACAUCAGAUGACCUUGAGCUUGUGAGGGACUAUGACAUUGUUGUUGUUCUUGUCCACUGAUCUUGGUUGUUACUUCUUUCUUGGUUGUCCACUGAUCCUGUUGCUGUUCUGUUGUCGAUGUGCUGUUGCUACUGUUUCUGUUGUCAAUGUGUUGUUGUUUCUGUUCUGCUAUUGAUCUUGUGUCACUGAUGCUCCAAGCUCAAGGUCAAGGGAAGAUGAAAAUAUAAAUCUGAGACCAACAUUUACUAUAUCACAUUUCCUAUCAUCUUUCUACAACUUGCAAUUGAAUCAUGUUUUAUUUGCUUUAUAGGGCACAAUGGCUUGGUAUGUUGUGUAUAUAGGUAGGAAGCCUGGGGUCUAUGCAAAUUAGGUGACCUACCAUCAGCAGGUCACCGGUUAUCUUAAUUGUUGCUACAAGAGAUUCAGUUCCAAAGAAGAGGCAACUGCUUCUUUCCUAGAGUACACUGGUGAUGAAGUUGUCAAAGAAGCUUCUUUCGGUCCACAAAAAAUGGCAAAUGAACUUAGUUGCCUCCAUUUCACACUUAUGCUACAAUUUAUUGUUAUUACUAUAUUGCUAGUACUAAUUAGUUGCCUUUGGAAGUAGUUCAUCAACAUCAACCUUUGUAACAUGAAAACAGCUCCUCAAAUCCUCAUGUUCAUGAACAUUGAUGGUAACCUCACCAAAAUGGUACUAGGGUCCUCUGAUCUCCUCCCAUUCAAGCUACCAAACAAGAUCUGGUGCGCAAUGUCAUACACGAUAACGAUGCAUCCAGUUCAACCAAACAACAGUUCGCAUAAUUCAGGACGACAGCAAAGUGUAACCAAACAAACCUCCCUGCAUCACUUUAUCCAACCUCCCUCCAUCUAGUACAGCCCAUCCAUCCUGGAUGGCCCCCUCCUUUGCAACCAAUCACGCCUGUAAUGUCCAGGUCCCCUCACUUGAAUUCUUGUAGUGUCUGUGGUUCCUAAGUAUGGCAUCACAUGAAAACAGUAUUUGACUUAAAAUAAUUAGGAUGGGCAGGAUCUAGUUGACCAUAGAGUACGAAUAUGAUGAAAUGCCCAUAAUCCCUAGAGGAUCCGUGCUGGGUUUUUUCUUAAAGAAAGCUUUACUAAUUUCUAUGAUCAUUACGUCAAUACAUACAUGAAUUUUGAGAGGCGAUUCAUUGAUGUCCAUUUUCAAUCACAAGUCUCAAAAAAUAGCGAUCUCUUUGGUUCGGAAUAUAUUCACGUGACAUAAACUUAGCAGCAUUGUAACUUUACUCAAUUGUGUACUCACUAACAUCCACUGCAACUUUAUUAUAACCUCAAUAUUGUGUAGGUGUGCGCCUAUUCAACUUGCCGAUCUGAAGCCAAGCACAAGUUUGAAGAGCAUGAGUACCACUUACGGUAUUGUUAGGUCACAUAACCAUAACUAUCACAGUGCGGGCCGGUGUAAAAUUCUGGAUAUUGAAUUUCAUCCGUUAAGGGCUGCGACAAUGUUGCAUAAAGGUAACCUUAAGCCAUAAAUGCAGAGGCAAUCGGCCUGUUCGCUUCAGCUUAUAAGCCGGCUGAAAAGCUGAAGCGGCUGAUUUGUUGUGAGAGAAAAACACUGUUUGAUGGCUGAUAAGCCGGCUGAAUAAUCUGAAGCGAACAGGCCGAAUGACCAUUGUGGGCAUGCACCAUUAGUCAGAAAACGCUAAGGUGCACCGUAAGCUUACGGUGCAACCAUAAGCAAUAAAAAAACAAUUUCUCCCUCUUGCUCCUUUCCUUUCACUCCUCUGUAGACAUGGCCGUUGGUCUUGGCGCCCCCGUCGGAAGCUCACCGAAAAAUCACUUCAGAAGUUGAUGGAGAUGUGGCAUGGCUUGGUGAAGUCUUAACGCUGAUUGCUGUCUGGGAUUUGGCUGCGUGGAGGUCGUCUCUGGAUGCUGCUCACUAAAUCCAAGGCCAAAGCCAGGGACAUCGGAAAAAGCUGAUGUUGCCACCAAGGAUGAAGCAAUAGAGUAGAACUCCAUGAUCUUGGUGGAGCAAUGGGCGACCUUGGCAAGGACCAAGGAGGGAGACGAGGAAGGCGAUGGAAUCCUCACCGACCUCAACGAAGAGCAGCACCUCCCAAAGUCAGGGAUGAAGAGGGGAACGAUCGAUUUUGCAAGAUCUGAUCGCCACACCAGCGGAUCUGGGGAUGGUAGAUAUGGAUUUCAUGGAUGCGGCGAGGAAGCGAGUGAGAGGGGCGGCGGGCGCGCAAUACAAGCGGGAGAGAGGAUCAGCAGCAGGAUGAGACGAUAUGUCACAUUGUGGGUGGGGCAGUAAUACAAGUUACCUUUUUCUGACCCCACCUUAAUGCUACUUGAAACAUAAACAUUGCCCUUACCUUAAGAAUUAUGUUACUAGACAACGAUGGCCCACGCCCACAGUUUAGCUCAAAGCAUUCAACAUCAGGCCAAUUGUCCGGGUCAGCUAUUGGUGAUUUUUCCGGAUCUCAAUACUUUUCACUGCUAUAUGUAAAAUUCUCCUUUGCCUGGCAUACUACAUAUGGUAGUUUCCACUGUAAGUCAAGAGUUAGCCCUCGAAUUUAACCACAGACUUGAAAAGGCACCUAUACAUAUGCUUUAGCCCAAUCAUUCUGGACAGAACUCUUGCAUCCUCCAUCAUACCACGGCUGCUGGCACAACAGUUAGCAUGCAAUACUUGUUUCUUAGAGAUUGCUUCGUGCAGGAUUAUUGGCAGAGCUCCGCACGGAGAAGCCCAGCGCGGUGUGGAGCUUGACCCCGAGCACCUCUGUGCAUGCCCACAGGAGUGGCACCAUAUAGCCAGCGGCGACGGGUCAUGGCAAGCUCCCGCGCGAUGGAUUGGGGCUAGGGGUGCCGGAGCGGCACCGCGAGGUGUAGGCGGCCUAGAGGCCACAGCAAGCGGUUCCGGGCUGCGCAGACGAGUACGCUGGGAACUAGGAAAUGUCGGCGGGACCAAUAUAAUUGAUGUGAGACCACCGAAUCCUCUCACCGGGUGGCAUUUUUUCUAUUGUUCCUUUUUUCAAAGUUAUUCCUACGAUCGAGUAGUGACAUUAGAUUCUGACACCCUUGUGGGUUGAAACACAAAGGUACCAUCAGGCUGCCGGUUAUACACCAACCAACAACAAGGGCACACUAUAACAUAUUUCUAGUUUCAGAUGAGCAAUCAAAAGUGAAAAUAGAUGACUACACCGCAUAAAAGGUAAUUGAGGUUGCUCCGAGAGUCCGAUGUGAUGGCGGCUAGAGGUGAUGGGAAUUCUCAAGGUGUAGGACCAAAUCAUCGAGGGGUGUCCAGUCCAUCCCGAUCUCCAUGAUGGAGCAGAGCACCUCGCAUUGUUCUGUGCUGGGAAGUUAUUCGAUUCCCUUGUGGUGUGUUCACAGUAUUGUCCUCCUACAGUAGGCAUGAUUAUUUUUUAUCGUCAAGAUGGUGUUGUUGCACGCCAACUUGAUAGGCUUUUCUCCCUCGCCACCAACAAAACAGUUAGUGUAGUUAACACGUACGUGCCUCACAUGUAGUAAUACCUUUUUCUCCCACUGUUGAGUGCAACUAUGACAUUUAUUUUGUUGGAAAAGUCUUGGAUGACAUUAAAUUUUCAAUAGAUGUGUGGUCAUUCGUGGGGUGCCCAAGGUAUGUACCCCAUAUUUACUUAUGUGAAGAAUAAGCUAUACUAAUUAGUCUAAAGUAAACUGAUUAUGUUAUGUAUCUUGUUCUAUAGGUUGUUGAAUAUUUAAAUACUCUAAGUAAUUAUUCUAAAGGUACCUUAGUACCGUGUGGUGUUAUUGCCCGGUACUAAAAGUCUGUCCAUGGAUUACUUGAAAAAGAAAGUAUACACUAGUAGAGAAAUGACCUUCGAUCCUCAAUAAAAAUCUCGGAACGAAUUGGACCCGGGACUAAAGAGUCCCAGGUCUAAAUUUCGUAGUAUGUGUAGACCCCUUUAGUCCCCGUUAGUGAUACAAACCCGGACUAAAGUCUCUCGGGUAGUCCCGGUUGGUGGUACAAACUGGGACUAAAGGGUCCACCACGGGUAACUACAAAAGGAUAGCAUCCUUCUACUUAAUCAGAUGUGAUGUGUAGGUGAGAUGAUAAGGAAGCUAAUCGUGAGGCAAGAGGUUGUCGGUUCAAAUCCCAUGCACCGCGCACACGCAUAUUUCGCAUGAAAAAAUCGUGUGACUUGUGACAUGCGUGUGUGUGGGGGCUUCCCAGGAAUUUCUAAUAUUUUUUUGGCAGAAAAUCCUUUAGUCUCGGUUGGAACUUCGAGCUCUAUGCGGCUCUCUAAUCGGAACUAAAGCCCGUUUUAACCGGGACUAAAGGUCGGGACUUUUAGUCCCAAAUUAUUAGUCUUGGUUGGAAUUUUGAGCUCUAUGCGGCUCUCUAACCGGGACUAAAGCCCAGUUUUCUACUGGUGAUAUCUAACUCCAGCACAUGUGCAGUGUAGGUGAGAUGGUAAAGGAGGUUUGCACGAGGUUUGAGGUCGUGGGUUUGAAUCACACAGACCACGCACGUGCAUAUUACCUGUGACUUGUGGCAUGGUCACGUGUGUGGGAGCCUCCCGGCUGUUAAAAAAAUAUCUUUAUUUUUUGGAUGCAAAGCCACCAACGGGUGGCGCAUUUAGUACCAGUUGAACUACCUGGUACUAAAAUGCAUUGCAUUUAGUACCGAACUAGGUCGGGCACCCGGCACUAAAGGGGAUUCCCAACCGGUACUAGAGGUCGAUCAUCCAGCAGUGCUGAAAUCUUAGUUGCAUGCUAUUCAUGAUGUCAUGUUUCUUUAUAUUGAACGGGUGGCCUGCAUAUGUUGAGCUCUCAGAGGUUAACAACCCACGGAGAGUAUAUGAAGCUAUUUGUGCUACCUGAAUGGAGGACCAAUGGAUUUUUGGCAUCUGAUAAACGUCCUGCUGCAGGUGAACGCUGCUAUUUGUUGUGAUCAAGGGCCUCUCUCUGGAAAUACGCACUUUUUAACUUAUUCAAAGAAUGCCAAUUACACUAAAGCGUUCAAUUUAUCAUCUUUUUGGUGAGCUUUUUCUUCUUCUUCUUUUGAUGUUGGAAGAUCUAUUGUUUUCUUCUUUUGCGAAUAUCUACCAUUAGCACCGAAAAAUUUUCUGUUUUGAGAAAAUGGAUGACUCGACAAUUCAAAGAUUCUCACGGCAGAACAGUCUCUUUAAUUUUUCCAUGGAUGAAAUGAAUCUGCAGUUAAGGAAAAAGACAGCUUUUUGCAAGCUUUGAUGCAAUAGAACAAGUAUACUAUCCCAAAAUUCUUCAAUGAAAUGCCAAAUUGUAUGGUUGUUAAUGAGAAUUCGUUAGUAUAAUUAAUUUUUAUCACCAACAAAUUGCUUAUCUGGAAGCUGCUUUCCUUUCUGCAAAAUCUAACACAGAGACAAUGUUCAGGACCAUUGUUAGACAUAUACUUGUGGGGCUUAUACGGCUGCCCUAUGGACCUUGGAGGUUGCCGCACAGGCCCUUGUCCGUGCACCCUCCUUCAUGGGAUAGAUAAUAGAUUGUCAUCUAUUAGGCAAAGAUCUCCGUUGAUUGGUUCUAUUGCUAUAAACCCAUCCUUGCCGAUAUAUGUACCCUGUAUGGACAAUUCAUCUAAUCUAUUAUUUUGCCCAGCCACACAAUUCUACUUUCAACAAUAAUUACUUAUAUUCCUAUCAACUUUGGUCUAUAUGCUGCUGGGUUGUUAUUGGUGAUUUUAAGCUUAAUGAAGUAGGCACCAAACUGUUGGUCCAGCAAAGCACUGUAAAUUGGUUCCACUAGAUAUCAUAACUAAUUGGGGGUUUCAUAACAGAGGCAAUUUUGUAGAAAAGCAGCAGUCACCAAGGCAGCACCCUGACGAUGAAGUUUGCAUCAACGACGACUACAUCAUCAACUGUCCAUAAAGAUAUACAUUCUGACUACGGUGUCUUUGGAGACUGAAAACGUUUCUUCAUCUUGACGAUAUCCAAGCUGACCAUGGUGUCACAGCUGGAAAAGAAGUACAUGACGUGGAGAGUGGGCGGACAAGGGCAUAACUGGACAAGAUAAUAAAUAGCCUACUGGUUUAACCAGGCUGUCUUGUUACUACUCAGCCUCCAUUUUACCAAGAUUGGCGCAUUAUUGCACACACCAGCAUACUCUUCUGUGCGAAACUGUAGGAGUAGGUGAGAGAGGAACAGCAGCAUGUGUAAGAGCUCUGCAUAAAUAGCCUACUGAUUUAGCCAGGCUCUCUUGUUACAACCAGCAUAUGCAAAACUGUAGGAGUAGGGAGAAAGGGAGAGGACCAUGUGGAAGAACUACUCUAGUUAUGCUUUAGAUGAUCAUAUUUGGCUGCCCACAUGGAAUGGGAGGUCUCGAAAACCUCAAUUGCACAAUCAUAAAAAGUCCGCUCUUCACCUAUUAAUGUAUGGAUCACGCAUCUGUUUCGAACUGGAAUGCAUUGAGCAACACAGGUCCGUGAGAUCAACAAGGUGCGUCAAUGGAUAGACAGUGGCCAGUCAGUCUGUCAGUGCAAUUCAACAAAUUUGGGUAAUUGGCUUCAAGGUAAUCUCACAACUUGCUAGCCAGGUGUUCUAGGGCACUAUGGAGUGCUACGGCAUCGUACAUAUAUGUUAACUCUAAUAAACUAAUAACAACUCACCCUUUUAUUGUAAGCAGAAAAUGGGCUUCAUUCUUUUUUGCUAUAUUUUCUGAUGAUUAUUGUUAUUUUUUUCUGUCUAUAUGUACUUUGAAGUACUGUAGUUUUUACAAUCUCAACUAAAAGGCUUCAGCAAAAACGGGACGAUUUAUCAUUCAGCUUUCUAUGUAUAUAUUGCUUUAGGAUUUCUUUUUCCACCAACAGAAGUGAUUCCAACAGUUGAUGUUUCAUAACCAGCACGUAUUUGGUAUGCUUUAUUUACUAUGCUUUUCCCAAAAAGUUUCCGUAAAGAAUGGCAUUCAUAUGAACAGGUAAAUAAAAUUGUUGAUCAAGAACAUAUGAACAAGCGAGAUUGACAUCAGUUUUAAUAUGAAAACAUUGAUGAUGUGCAUGUUGAUGUGCACAAAUGGGAAAUUCAUAUUGAUACAUACUCCCUCCAUCUUGAAAUAUAAGGCAUCCUUGAGAUUUUAUGACAUAUUAGCAGGAGUAGCAAAAGAUGCAUCUACCCUGAGUUAAUGGUAGUUGCAGAUAAUAAGGAAUUUAUUUUUAAUGAUAAUUCACCAAUCAUCCACCCUUAUAUUGUCAAUUAUAGAAAGAAGUAAAUGAGCAAUUAUCCAAAUAUGCCUACAAUGUCUUAUAUUUGAGGAUAAAUUUUGAAUGCUUGGAUGCCUUGUAUUACAAUACAGGAUGGAAGGAGUAUUAAUAAUCACCUCUAAAAGUUUGAAAUAAAUAAUCAUGCAGAAAAUCAUAGGUUAGGACUCUCAAAAUGGCUCCUCGAAUGGCUUCACGUGAAGCUAGCCAAACAGCAAAAAAAAAAAGAAAUAGCUUCACACGUGAAGCCCUUAUGAAGCCAUUUUCGCCUUCCACUGCACAGGAGGAGGCCAGGCCCAAAUACUGGCUCCAACCAGCUCUUCAAUUCACACGUGAUCGAAGCACCUCAUGAAGUCAUUAUGAUAAACGUUUCCCAAAAUGGCUUCAGCUUCACUAGAAAAAGUUGCUCCAUCAGCCGACCAUUUUAGGAGAAGUCGAAGCUUUGCCAAAGGAACCCCAAAAUGAAAGAACGAAUUAAUAUGCCUUUACAGAAUAGAAAUAAACGUGCUUUAGUUUCAUGUGGAGCAGAAGCGUGGAACAACACCUAAUAUCUCAAUGCCUGUCAUGGAUUUCAGUCUUCAAGUACUAUUGAUGGUGUCAUCAAACAAUCUGAUUGAAGUAAGACUAAUUGAAAAGAAUAAGUUCUAUCCGCAGGCGAGAAGCAACAGCAUGACUGCAUAUUAGAAUCAACAGCUCCUUUCAGAAAAUUAAAAUAUCAAUAACUGGAAGGCAAAUAUAGGUUCAUCUUCUUCACCUUGAGUUUAAUGGACUCUAAGAAUCCACCCCAAUCCUCAGACGGAGAAGCAUGAAUGAAACACAAGAAAUCUGAGGUCCGAUCUUGCCAUUCAGGUUAUGAGCUAGAAGGCACAGAGCAGAACCCAUCUGGGCACAGCAAAAAUACGAUGGGAGAGGUAGAUUCGUGUAGGACGGAUAGUUUCCAUCUCAAAAUAUCGUUCAAUGUCUUAACUAAAUGUUACAGUCAAUAAGGACCAUUGAUACUUCAUCAAAUGGUUAAUUUUUUAGUUUUUCUCCCAUUAAGAUGGGAUUUUCCUGGGAAUCUGUAAUUAGUAUAGGUAUAGUGGUAUAGAUAUUAUUGUCACUCAAGCCCACAUCUUAUAUAUGAAUGCAUCCACUAAAAACAGAGUUAAGGUGUCUCUGUGCUGUUUAUACAGAGAGUGGAGGUGUCUGGCAUAAUAUUUUUUGACAUUCCAAUUUUCUUUCCGUGUAUGUUAUAUACAAUAAUUCUAGUUAUUGCAAUGCAUGGGAGCAGCAAAACUGCUAUACUUUUUUGUAAUUACUUUCACAACUUCUUAAAAUUAUCACUUCAUGCUAACAGAAUUUAUGGUUUUAGCUACACCUGGAGCAGCAUACUGUGGGUAGAGUUGUGCUAACGAAACAUAGCUUGACUGGAAAUUUGUACUGAGGUAGGAAAUGAGGUAGCCUGAGUCCGUAAAAAACUGAGGACCAAUGGUCGUCACCUUUGUAUGAUAAGUGAUUGACAAUGUUGUAUUAGAUUGAUGUUGCUCUUGGCUUAAGAUGUGCAGGUGUAGGAUGCGACGUGGCAGCUGACGGCGUACGGUGAAGAUCAAACGAAAGGUUCAUACCGGUGGACCAAGGGCGGUGAAGGGUAAACGCGAGUAGGCUUGGACCAAGAGACCCGAGGAGUCCGGGCGGAGUCAUGGGCGAUCCACAUAGUGCACGGAAGAGCAUGAGAACAUGACGGGAUGGGGACGGCAUCGGUCGAGUCAAGCGGGACGGGCGUCAGAGGCUUGGUGGAGGCCGGACACGCGUCGACAUCGAGGAGGUUGCGUGGCGGCCCAGCGGAGAUGCACGGUUUGGGUGGUUUGGGCCUCAAAACCACCGUAUAGGCAGGUUUCCCGGUUUGGAUCGAGGGCGAGCCCGGUGCAGCCGGAGCUUUGAGAAGGAGGGCUCGUGGUGCCAUCACGAAGCUUGCAUCGAGAUGAAGUAAAGUCGUGAAGGCGGCGUGUCCGUCCGAUGCGUAUACAAAAAAUUUGGACCAAAAUACCUUUGCGUGGGCAGUUAUCUUAGUUGUAGCUGUAGGGGUUUUUUCGUCAUCAGUCAUGGACUAUAUAUAUUAGAGUUGGCUGGUUUGGGGAGUGUUUGUAACCCUAAUUUGAUUUGCUUAGAGGCUAACCAAGUGCUUAGUGAGAGGAGAGGAGGGAGAUGAGAGGGUGAGAGCUUCUUUUCUCUUGAUUUCUUCAUUUUAGAGGGAGGAGGAAGGGAGGAGGCUAGUCCUCAUCUUGUAAAGAUGUUGUCUUCGUGAUUUAGUCGAAUUUGUGUCUCAAAUCCGUGACUAAAUCUUGUUGUUUCUUUCAUUUUUUUAGGAUUUUUAGGGUAUUUUUGUGGGAAUUUUCGUACUUUGAGUUUGAACCCAAAUCCCGCGAGGUUUGCAGGGGAAUUUAUUGCUAGGAUACUUGUGAGCAUCUACGAUAUGAUCCCUCAUCAAAUCCCCACAGAUUCGGUUUGAAUUUGAAGUUUUUCCCAAUACUCGUGUUCUCCAAAAUUCGCGAUAGAUACUCAUGCUUUUCGAGAUCUUUUUUAUGGAUCUAUUAGGCCUUGGGUUGUGCAUAUAUGGCUUAAAUUUUGUCCGAAUCGUUGAGUUUUGCGGGAGGAUUUUAGAGUUGAAGUUUCGUUUCUUUUGUUCUUGGUGCUCUUGUUUCCUACUCUGUUAUUCGUGCUACAGGGGGCGAGCGCGAGCUGCUGGAGGACCAGGCGCCAGCGCGCAAGCGCGUGCGGCAGCGGCAGUUGCUCGCAGGCCAGCGCAGGCUCGCGGCCCAGGCCAGGCCCUGCAGGCCGGCGCAGCAGGCUGGUAGCCCAGUUGCCCGCCCGUGUAGCAGGCCACGGCCCAGCGUGCGUCGCAGGCCGGCCCAAGCGGAGCAGUCCACCCGGACGGAGCAGCCAGUAGCAGGCGGCCCAGUGCGUGGCACAUCAAGCAGCCCAGCUUGCCCAGGCCGGCAGCCACAGCCCACAGCACGCACGGUGCAUCUCGCCCCUGGCAGGGUUGCAGGGCCACAGUUCGUUUUGCUUCUAUAUCAGUUGCUCAGUUGUUUAAUCCAUGCAAUUAGUUAGUUAAUCACUGUUACAUGUUUUAGCUACUUACUCAGUCAUAUUUUUUGCUAAUCAUGUCUAGUGUUUGAUUAAUUGAUUAUCAUGCUUGGUUGAGUAAGUGGUUAGUAGUGGUUCCUUGAUUUCGUUACGCAAGCUUUUCCGAGUCACGUUGUGCUUUGCUUCCGUGAACGUGUCUAAUUGUUCUUAGGGUGAACUUUUGAAGCGUCCCUCACAUAAGUAGAGACUAAAUGUGAUCCAAUUACCAGUUCCAGGAGGCUGAUAACAUAUUUAUUCAACAGAUAGUUCAGAAACCGUACAGCUCCCAAAGGAGCGGGCGGGCAAGCUACACCCAAAGUAAAACUAAAGCGAUAACAAUACAAAUCCAAGUUGCAGUCCAGUCGGACUCCGGGCUGUAAUCGGAACUAUACGUCAGUGGAAGCAUCCUGCAAAAGGGCCAACACCGCAGGCAGCGUUGGGUGCAGACGCAACCUCUUACUCGAGAUCCUCGGCGACGUAGUCCGGAUCCUCCUUUGAAGCAACAAAACAGGGGUGAGUACAAAGGAACUCAACAAGUCCAACCCCAUCCAUGGAGGGGGAUACAGCAAGAAUAUGCACGGGAUAUAACAAGGAUGAGGUUAAGGUUCAUUUGCAAUAAAGCUAGAUUUUUAACUCAUGCAUGGGUUCAUUUUCAAAGAGUUUUCGCAAAGUAUUUUAUUUAGUAACUGAAACAUUGAGUGGGGUUUAUCCUACACAAAGGAUCCAAGUUUUAUCGCUACCGGACUCCCCGUCCGCCGUAGCGCACGGCACAAUUGCCGGACACUUCCAAAAUCAAACACACGCCAUAAAAACCAACCAUCUCCAAAAGCUAGUUAUGUGACCAAGCCGUAACUCGUCCAAUGCCGUGGACACGGCUACCCGGAUAGGUUUUAACUCUGCAGAAGUUGUACACUUUUCCCACAAGUAGGGUACUGCAGCACGAUCACCUUAGUGACGGUGCGGAUCCUAGCAAAGCCAUUACCCACCUUAGCCAAAACUGACUAGUCAUCACGGAAGCACCCAAGGGGUUAACGACCUAUCCACGAGGCCAGAACCGGGACCUAAGUCACCAAGAGCUUACUCCUUUUCCAUGGGCUCCCGUUGCUCAUCAGCACACCUGAAGCCUAGCAGUUUAGCUAGUGGGAUUUAUGCUAAGCCGUUGCCCAUACAACGGUCGAGUGGUUGCAUGAUGGUUGAAUUAGGCAAGAUGACACAUCAACUCGGUCCUUAAACAUGAUAAGAUGGAUAUCUCCCAACCUUGCUCAACCACUAAGGUACGAGCCCAACAUUCUGGCAUUUCACACAAGAAACACCCAUCCAUCUCAUCUAUACAUCCCGUCUCUUUACACCCGAGAACCCAUUUUCUCAGUUGAACACACUCACACAUUUAUUUUCUGAAUAAACAAGUGUAGUCGUGAUUGAAAUUGAGUAACAAGUUCCUAAGCAUUCUAGCAGUAUUUAUCAUCUAAACAGAGCAAUUCAUAUUUAGAGACAAAUAUGGGACAACAAGGAAUAAUCAUAACAAUCAAGGGGUGGCUAUCCAACCAUGUCUUGCGAUAAAACAAUAUGCAUUUUAUAAAACAGGCCAAUAGGUGGUGUUUGAAAAAAACUAGGUAUUAAAUAUGCAUCAAAGGGUGAGAUUGGACUUGCCGUUCUCAAAGCCCUCCGGGAGCUCCUACUCGCGGUACUGGUCCUCGGGCUCGGGCUCGCGGUCGAACUCCUCCUCGUGCUCCUCCUCGGGUACUCCGCGAUCUACGGCACACACAAACGAGCACACAAUAAAUAAAAAGGAAAUAAGAUUUUACCCGUUGAGCUCUGAACAGAAAAUGCGAACAGAAAAUAGGUAGGAAGGGUAUUUUCAUGAAAUUUGGAUAUGCCUCGGCGGGAUUAUUGAGAGGAGGCCAUGGUCGAAUUUGGGACCGAUUGGAGGAAGUUUGGCGCAUGAAAUGACGAGUGAAAGUGGUGUUAGGGGCUUAAAAGAGAGUUUAGGACUAAACCGCGAGAAACCAGGGACCUAUUCGCAAUUAUUUCUGAAAUGGUGGAAGGGCUUAUUUGUGAAUAUAGGAAACUAGAGGGUCAGAUUGAGAGGGGGGAAUUUAUCCCUUCUUGUUUCUUUGGCUCGGAACAGAGGUGGGGGAGGGCACGACCGGCGGCGGACCGGCCGGCCUAGCUCGCCGGUGGCGAGGUCGAGCGGUGGGGGAGGGAGAGGAGAGUGUGGUGGACCCAUUUUGGUCCUCACCUUGGCCGGCUAGUGAUGGGAAAGGGGGGGCGCCGGUGGUGAUUCUGGAGGCGGCGGCGGCUCGGCGGCGGCGUGUGAGGCGGCGGCGCAGGGAGGCGGGAGGUGGAUGGUCCGGCGAGCUCGAGGUGUGGGAGGUGGAGGCCGGCCUCGGGCGGCUUUUAUAGCCGGCGGGAGGAGGCGGGCGGAGGGCAGAGGUGAUGAUGGCAGCCGGACUUUCGGCCAGUAGCAUGCCGGAGUAGCGAAGCUCAUGGAUGGCGUGGGCUCGGUCGACGAGGGGGCGCAGGGGCGACGACCGCUUGGGGAGGCGCGCCGGGAGGGGCGGCGUGCGGUGGCCAGCGGGCGGGCCGGGACACGGGGCGGCGAUGCGACGGUGGCUUGGUGCGGAGCGAGCGGCGCGGUGCGGUUGACCGAGUGCGGGCUCGGGCAUGCGGGCGAGCGCGUGGGGCAGGCAGGCGCGCGCGGCGUGGGGCUGGCGUGGCAGGAGGCGGUGCGGGGUAGCGCGGUGCCGCCAGGCCAGGCGCGCGUGCGCGCAGCGCGCGGCCAGGCGCGCGGCCCGGCGCGUGUGCGUGCGUCCAGCGGUAGGCGCCCAGGAGGGAGGCGCCAGAGGCAGAGCGCCAGGGGAAAAAGAAGGAAAGAGAGGAAGAAGGAAGAAAGAAGAAAGAGAAAGGAAGAGAGGAAAAAAAAAGAAAAGGGAAAAAGAAAAGGAAAAGGGAGAAGGAAAAGGGGAAACGGCGAAAGUUGCGGGAUUGGACCGGCACGCGUGAUGGAUUUGACGGGCACACGGCGAAAAAUACGGGGAACGGAAAAAGAGGGUUGACGACGUCGAGGGCUGAAACGAUGGGUCCGACGGGAAGGAAAGGAUUUGUCGGGAGCUCAACGGUCGGAAAAAAUUUGGAAUGCAUUUUUAACGAGUGAAUUAAAUUGGUAAUUUUUAUGGGCGUUACAAACCUACCCCACUUAAUUUGAAUGUCGUCCUCGAGAUUCGACUGAAUUCUGAAAAGAUGGGGAAACUCCUUCUUUAACGCAUCCUCGCGUUCCCAAGUAGCUUCUUUUUCACCAUGCCUACUCCAUUGGACUCUGCAAAUCUGUACUACUGAAUUCCUUGUCCUCCUGGUGACGAUGUCCAGAAUCUUGACCGGCACCUCCUGAUACCGCAGAUCCUUUUGCAAAUCUAUGGUUUCCACCGGUACUUGCUCUUCUGGUACUCUCAGGAAUUUUCUUAGCUGGGACACAUGGAACACCGGGUGUAUAUCUGACAUUUCUUCGGGCAGCUGAAUACGGUAUGCUACAGCUCCAACACUUUUUAACACCUAGUAUGGUCCAAUAUACCGAGGGGCUAAUUUUCCUUGCACUUGGAACCUUCGGGUACCUCGAAUCGGGGAGACCUUGAGGUAGACGAAGUCCCCUUCAUUGAAAAUCAAUUCUCGUCUUCUUUUAUCUGAGUAACUCUUCUGUCUAGACUGUGCUGCCUUUAGCUUCUCUCGUAUUUCGGCCACUCGAUCUUCUGCUUCUUUGAUAAAGGCGGGUCCUAAUAGAGUGCGCUCUCCUACUUCUGACCACAUCAACGGGGUCCUGCACUUCCUUCCGUACAGAGCUUCAAACGGUGACAUGCCUAAGCUAGCUUGGUAACUGUUGUUGUAUGAGAACUCUGCAUAGGGUAGACUCUGUUCUCAGUCCUUGCCAUAAGUAAGGACACAUGCCCUCAACAUAUCUUCCAUAAUCUAAUUUACUCUUUCUGUUUGGCCAUCGGUCUGGGGGUGAUAGGCUGAACUGAAGUCCAAUUUGGUGCCCAUAGCUUUAUGCAAACUUUUCCAGAAUUUAGAGGUAAAUUGGGUCUCUCUAUCCAAAACAAUUCUGCUAGGCACACCGUGCAGCUUCACUAUGUUGUCCACAUAGAGCCGAGCUAGCCUUUCUCCACCAUAGGUGGUCUGUACAGGUAAGUAGUGGGCAACUUUAGUGAGUCGAUCUACUAUUACCCAUAUGGAGUCAUUCCCUUUCUGAGUUUUGGGUAAACCCACUACAAAAUCCAUGCCAAUCUCGUCCUAUUUCCAAACUGGGAUGGGUAGUGGUUGUAGUAAGCCGGCUGGCUUCUGAUGUUCGGCCUUAACCCUUUGGCAAAUAUCGCAAUGAGCGACGAACUGGGCUAUGUCCACUUUCAUCCCAUUCCACCAGUAUUUCUGCUUUAGGUCCAUAUACAUCUUGGUGGAUCCCGGGUGGAUGGAGUAUGCUGAGUUAUGGGCCUCAUCCAUGAUGGUUUGCCGGAAAUCACCUCCUUAGGCACACAAAUCCUAUCCUUGUACAACAAGGUCCCUUUGUUAUCCACUCUAAAGUCUGGGGCUUUAUUCUCUCCGGUUUGCUUGCGAAUCCUUACCAAGUCCUGAUCUGAACCUUGAACCUUUCGGAUUCGAUCCUCCAAAGUGGGCUAAACACUUAGCUUGCGGCUGGUAUUUUGGGGAAUAAUGUGUACAUUUAAUCAGGCCAUUUCCUCUUGCAAGUAGGUGUCCUUAGGUCCGAUCUGUCCAUAGGAUUUUUUGCUUAAGGCAUCCGGUACCACGUUAGCCUUACCGGGGUGGUAGUGAAUUUCCAGAUUAUAAUCCUUGACCAACUCUAACCACCUUCUUUGUCUUAAAUUCAGAUCUGGUUGAGUGAAGAUAUAUUUUAGGCUCUUGUGGUCUGUGUAAAUCUCACACUUGUUCCCAAUUAGAUAGUGCCUCCAGAUCUUGAGAGCAUGCGCUACUGCUGCAAAUUCCAAAUCAUGAGUGGGGUAAUUUUGUUCAUGGGGCUUAAGCUGGCAGGAAGCAUAUGCCACUACCUUCCCAUCCUACAUCAGGAUGCACCCUAACCCUUAUCGGGAAGCAUCACAAUAAAUGACGAAGUCCCGCUAGAUAUCCGGUAGGGUUAAUACUGGGGUGGUCGUCAAUCUUCUCUUCAGUUCUUGAAAACUCCUCUCACAUGACUCUGUCCAAUUAAAUUUCUUAUCUUUCCUAAGUAGCUCUGUCAUGGGCCGGGCUAUCUUAGAGAAUCCUUCAAUAAACCUCCGAUAGUACCCAGCUAGACCAAGAAAACUCCUGAUUUCACUAACAUUGGUGGGUUGCUGCCAGUUGGAGAUGGCUUCCACUUUCUCAGGAUCAACUGCUACUCCUUCUGCGGUCAAAAUAUGACCAAGAAAUGCCACUUUCUCGAGCCAAAAUUCGCAUUUGCUGAAUUUAGCAUAGAGUCGGUAGGCUCUCAAUUUCUCCAACACCACUCGUAGAUGUUGUUCAUGCUCUUGGACACUCUUUGAGUAAAUAAGUAUGUCGUCGAUAAAGACUACGACAAACUUAUCUAACUCCUCCAUAAACACCUUGUUCAUAAGAUUCAUGAAGUAAGCAGGGGCAUUGGUCAGUCCAAAGGACAUCACUGUAAAUUCAAACUGGCCAUAGCGGGUGACAAAAGCUGUCUUCGGGAUGUCACUUUCCUUGAUCUUGAGCUGAUGCUACCCUGACCUCAAAUCUAUUUUGGAGAAAUACUUGGCUCCUUUCAAUUGGUCAAAUAGGUCAUCUAUUCUGGGAAGGGGAUAUUUAUUCUUGAUGGUUACUUCAUUCAGUGCACGAUAAUCCACGCACAUCCUCAUGCUUCCGUCUUUCUUCUUGACAAAGAGCACUGGGGCUCCCCACGGGGACGAGCUAGGUCUGAUAAAGCCACACUGUUGCAGUUCACCUAACUAUUUCUUCAGCUCUGCCAACUCAGAUGCUGCCAUUCUAUAGGGUCUCUUGGCUAUAGGGGAGGUUCCAGGGAUAAGGUCGAUUACAAAUUCUAUAUCCCUGUCUGGGGGCAGUCCAGGUAGUUGUUCAGGAAAGACAUCAGGGUAUUCACUCACUGCCGGGACUCCUCCUAUGGUCUUGGCUCCCAUGCUAAAAACUAUUGGGUCAGGUCCACUUCCCCGAGUGUGACAGGUCACUUGUACAUCGUCUUGAUUAACCAGGCGCACUACCUUAUCAGCACACCCUAUGUGACCAUCAUGUAGGCUUAACCAAUCCAUUCCAAGGAUCACAUCUAUCCCCUUAGAUUCAAGUACUACUAAGUCUGCUAGGAAUUCUACCCCACUUAAAUUGAUCCUUACCCAGGAACAACCUAGUCGACACUGGAUGUCGGCUCCAGGUGUCCGGGUUAUUAGGGGUACCUUUAGUAGUACUGUAGGUAUGUGGUGCUUAUCCACAAAGCUUGAUGAUAUAAAUGAAUGUGAUGCUCCAGAAUCGAAGAGUAUUGUUGCCAAAACUGAGCUGACUAGAAACUCACCGAGUACCAUGCCCUAAGCUUCUUGAGCCUCUUGCGCGCUGAUGUGGUUGACGCGGGCUCGUCCGAACGAUUGCUGAGGCUGCCUCAUCUGCUGGCUGUUGUUGUUGUUGCCAGGGUUAUUGUUGCUAUGGACGGGGACACGGUUGGCUCCUGACACUGCUGCCCUUAGCCCAGUCACUGCGUUGGAGAAGGCUGAUGUAGCUGGCUUGUUGGCGUAGGGGCAGUUGGCGAUGAAAUGCCCCGGCUCACGGCAGUUAAAGCAAGCCCUGCUGUUGUUUGUGACUUGACUGGCGCUAUUCUGUGGGGCCUUGGCAGGGUUCUGGCUUCUGAAUGGGGCAUUGGGCUGAUGGGAACCGGAGGCUUGAGACUGGGUUUGGUACUGCAUGGGAGCUUGGGACCUAAGCAUGGGGUGACCAAAGCUUCUUGGUUUCUUGAACCUGUCCUGCUAGUGGGCCUUGCUGUCCAGGAACCGGUGCUUGUUGUCCCUCCUUUCAUCUGCUUUGGCCCUCUCAGUCAGGAUGGCCAUGUUUAUCAGAGUGUUGAAAUCAGGGUAGAUCUGAGGAGUAAGCAGGGUCCUCAGCUCUACGCUCAAACCCUUCUUGAACAUAUCUUGCUUCUUCUCAUCCUUGUCUACUUCUUCUGGAGCAUAGCGGGCCAACUCCAUGAACUGAUAGGUGUAUUCUUCCAUGGACUUGUUACCUUGGUGCAAUUCACAGAACUCAUUCGCCUUGCACUUCAUGGUGGCCGCAGGGAUGUGAUAGCGGCAGAAUUCAGUCACGAACUCAUCCCAGGUGAUAGUUGAGGCAUCCUACGCGACAGUGCUGUAGUUCUCCCACCAAGCUAGAGCAGUCCCAGUGAGUUGAUGAGCAGCCAGGAGAACCUUGUCCCUACUCUCACAACCGAACGGCUCUAACUUCCUCUGGAUGACCCGCAGCCAGUAAUCUGCAUCCAGAGGGUUGAUGGACCCACCAAAAGUGGGUGGCUUGGUUCGGAGGAAGUCUGUCAGCUUCUCAUUCAUGCCUUAUCCGCAAGGCCUUUGGCGGGUGAUGGCAUUGGCCAAGGCUUCCAGCAGAAGGGUCUGGUUGUUCAUUACUUGUACCAAAUCAAUGACCGGUGGGGGCGGUGGCUGCUGUGCUCCCACUUGACUUUCUCCCCUGCCCUCGGGCUGAUUCACUUCUUGCUCCUCAUGGUGCACCGCCGGUGGUGGUUCCUGCCUUUCCAGCUGUCCUUCUGCACUAGGGGUGGCACGUGCUUGACUCGGGGAGGUCUUGGUAGCACGCUUGGGAGGCAUCUUACGGAUUGAGUGAACUUUCAUGAGACUUGGAUUUGGAUAUUAAAGUGAUGUUUAGUUAAUUAGUUUGGAUUUUCGAAGAGACAAAAUCCACCUCCUGUCGACAAGCACACAGACUAACAAACAACAAACACAAAUAAUUUUAUUAUUUUGCCGGGGUUGUUACAACACUUGGGGUGAGGCUAAAACAUGCACUACACGGCUGGUACAACAACACAACUGGGGUACAAGUCUAGACUCAAGACAGCUUCUGGGGUACAACUCUAGGUGAGGCACUCUACUCGCGGGAUGAAUCUUCACCCUGCACGGAGUGGUCUUCUGGCGGAACAAGGAGGGCUAGCACCUCGUCUUUUAAGGUCCCACCUGCAGGAGGAGGUUCCGAGGCUUCUCCGUUGGUCACCUCAGAGUCCCUUUCCGAAGGUGGUGGUGCUGGUGGGGCAUCAGGGCUCUUCCGUUUUCGGACCCCUGGGCAACAGGGACUCCAUCCAAGACUGGGGCCUCGUUGUCCUCCACGACCUGCAUCUUCCUUCUCGCGCGGUUCGAGUGGUGGACCUCCUUCAAUGCCCAAGCGUGCCGAUCUUUGGCCUCCUUGAGGGCCUCAAUGGCGAUGGCCUCAUUGCUCUGGGUGGCCGCGGCUCGUGCCUCAGCUGCUGCCAACCUUACCUGGAGUCUCCUCACCAUAACCUCCGCGUCCUUGGCUCUAUGGAUCUGCUGCUUCAGAUGGGCUGUCUGCUCAUCGUAGAGCUUAUCCAAAGUGAGGAGGUAGGCAGCCAUGUGGAGCACGGUGGGGUCAUCCUCGCGUUGUCCACGUCCUUCCAAAGUCCUCACCCGGGCCAGCCAAACCGGGCGGUUCUUCUUGACAGGCGGGUAAAACCUCAUCGGUGUGCGGCCGAUGUGCCUCUCAUAAAUCUGGCAUAGGUAGCGCAGGGUUUUCCGAGUUGCCACCUCAUAAGUGUCUUUCCGCCGGAAACCAGUGGCAGACACGUUCCAAGGCUGAAUGUCAGGGAAGUGACUGCUCCUACCAACGUAGAUGGUCAUCUCAUACCGGAGAGUUCCACGGUCUUCAUACUCCCGGCUAGUGUGCUCCGGGUGCUCAUAAAUCUCAAGGCGGUCCAUGCAGGCGAACAGCAACCUGGGAAAACCGGGCUCCUCCAGGCAAUGGCUGUUGACCCAACCUUCUUCGGCCAUCUGGAAAGAAUCGGGGUGUAAAUCAGUUUUGCAAUUGAGCAGAGGAAGCAGAAAAUUUUGUAAAUUAUUUAUUUUGGUCAAAAAGGCUUUUCCGGUCCUAAUGGUUACGUCAUACGGCCAACAAUGGCUCUGAUACCACCUGAAGCGUCCCCACAUAAGUAGAGACUAAAUGUGAUCCAAUUAUCAGUCCCAGGAGGCUGAUAACACAUUCAUUCAACAGAUAGUUCAGAAACCGUACAACUCCUGAAGGAGCGGGCGGGCAAGCCACACCCAAAGUGAAACUAAAGCGAUAACAAUACAAAUCCAAGUUGCAGUCCAGUCGAACUCCGGGCUGCAAUCGGAACUAUGCGUCAGUGGAAGCAUCCUGCAAAAGGGCCAACACCGUAGGCAGCGUUGGGUGCAGACGCAACCUCCUACUCGAGAUCCUCGGCGACGUAGUCCGGAUCCUCCUUUGAAGCAACAAAAUAGGGGUGAGUACAAAGAUACUCAACAAGUCCAACCCCAUCCAUGGAGGGGGAUACAGCAAGAAUAUGCAUAGGAUAUAACAAGGAUGAGGUUAAGGUUCAUUUGCAAUAAAGCUAGAUUUUUAACUCAUGCAUGGCUUCAUUUUCAAAGAGUUUUCGCAAAGUAUUUUAUUUAGUAAUUGAAACAUUGAGUGGGGUUGAUCCUACACAAAGGAUCCAAGUUUUAUCGCUAUCGGACUCCCCGUCCGCCGUAGUGCACGGCACAACUGCCGGACACUUCCAAAAUCCAACACACGCCAUAAAAACCAACCAUCUCCAAAAGCUAGUUAUGUGACCAAGCCGUAACUCGUCCAAUGCCGUGGACACGGCUACCCGGAUAGGUUUUAACUCUGCAGAGGUUGUAUACUUUUCCCACAAGUCGGGUACCGCAGCACGAUCACCUUAGUGAUGGUGCGGAUCCUAGCAAAGCCAUUACCCACCUUAGCCAAAACUGACUAGUCAUCACGGACGCACCCAAGGGGUUAACGACCUAUCCACGAGGCCAGAACCGGGACCUAAGUCACCAAGAGCUUACUCCUUUUCCAUGGGCUCCCGUUGCUCACCAGCAGACCUGAAGCCUAGCAGUUUAGCUAGUGGGAUUUAUGCUAAGCCGUUGCCCAUACAACGGUCGAGUGGUUGCAUGAUGGUUGAAUUAGGCAAUAUGAUACAUCAACUCGGUCCUUAAACAUGACAAGAUGGAUAUCUCCCAACCUUGCUCAACCACUAAGGUACGAGCCCAACAUUUUGGCAUUUCACACAAGAAACACCCAUCCAUCUCAUCUAUGCAUCCUGUCUCUUUACACCCGAGAACCUAUUUUCUCAGUUGAACACACUCACACAUUUAUUUUUUGAAUAAACAAGUGUAGUCAUGAUUGAAAUUGAGUAACGAGUUCCUAAGCAUUCUAGUAGUAUUUAUCAUCUAAACAGAGCAACUCAUAUUUAGAGACAAAUAUGGGACAACAAGGAAUAAUCAUAACAAUCAAGGGGUGGCUAUCCAACCAUGUCUUGUGAUAAAACAAUAUGCAUUUUAUAAAACAGGCCAAUAGGUGGUGUUUGAAAAAAACUAGGUAUUAAAUAUGCAUCAAAGGGUGAGAUUGGACUUGCCGUUCUCAAAGCCCUCCGGGAGAUCCUACUCGCGGUACUGGUCCUCGGGCUCAGGCUCGCGGUUGAACUCCUCCUCGUGCUCCUCCUCGGGUACUCCGCGAUCUACGGCACACACAAACGAGCACACAAUAAAUAAAAAGGAAAUAAGAUUUCACCCGCUGAGCUCUGAACAGAAAUGCGAACGGAAAAUAGGUAGGAAGGGUAUUUUCAUGAAAUUUGGAUAUGCCUCGGGGGGAUUAUAUGAGAGGAGGCCGUGGUCGAAUUUGGGAUCGAUUGGAGGAUGUUUGGCGCAUGAAAUGAUGAGUUAAAGUUGUGUUAGGGGGCUUAAAAGAGAGUUUAGGACUAAACUGCGAGAAACCAGGGACCUAUUUGCAAUUAUUUCUGAAAUGGUGGAAGGUCUCAUUUGUGAAUAUAGGAAACUAGAGGGUGAGAUCGAGAGGGGGGAAUUUAUCCCUUCUUCUUUCUUUGGCUUGGAACAGAGGUGGGGGAGGGCACGGCCGGCGGCGGACCGGCAGACCUAGCUUGCCUGUGGAGAGUUCGAGCGGCGGGGGAGGGGGAGGAGAGUGUGGGGGACCCAUUUUGGUCCUCACCUUAGCUAGCUAGUGAUGGGAAAGGGGGGCAUCUGUGGUGAUUCUGGAGGCGGCAGCGGCUCGGCGGCGGCGUGUGAGGCGGCGGCGCAGGGAGGCGAGAGGUGGAUGGUCGGCCGAGCUCGAGGUGUGGGAGGAGGAGGACGGCCUCGGGCGGCUUUUAUAGCCGGCGGGAGGAGGUGGGCGGAGGGCGGAGGUGAUGAUGGCAGCCGGACUUUUGGCCGGUAGCAUGCCGGAGUAGCGAAGCUCAUGGAUGGUGUGGGCUCGGUCGACAAGGGGGCGCAAGGGCGACGACCGCUUGGGGAGGCGCGCCGGGAGGGGCGGCGUGCGGUGGCCGGCGGGCGGGCUGGCGCACAGGGCGGCGACGCGAUGGCGGCUUGGUGUGGAGCGAGCGGCGCGGCGUGGCGCGGUUGAUCGAGUACGGGCUCGAGCGUGCGGGCGAGCGCAUGGGGCGGGCAGGCGCGCACGGCGUGGGGCCAGCGCGGCAGGAGGCGGCGCGGCGCGCGUGGGGCAGGCAGGUGCGCGCGCGGGUGGCAGGUGGCGUGGCGCGGCGCGAGCAGGGCCGGCACAACGCGGCCAGGCCAGGCGUGUGGGCGCGCAACGCGCGGCCAGGCGCACGGCCCGGCGCGCGUGCGUGCGUCCUACGGUAAGCGCCCAUGAGGGAGUUACCAGAGGCAGAGCGCCAGGGGAAAAAGAAGGAAAUGGAGGAAGAAGGAAGAAGGAAGAAAGAAGAAAGAGAAAGGAAGAGAGGAAAACACAGAAAAGGGAAAAAGGAAAGGAAAGAGAGAAGGAAAAGGGGAAACGGCGAAAGUUGCGGGAUUUGACCGGCAUGCGUGAUGGAUUUGACGGGCACGUGGUGAAAAAUAUGGGGAACGGAAAAAGAGGGUUGACGACGUCGGGGGCUGAAACAGCGGGUCCGACGGGAAGGAAAGGAUUUGUUGGGAGCUCAACGAUCGGAAAAAAUUUGGAAUGCAUUUUUAAUGAGUGAAUUAAAUUGGUAAUUUUUACGGGCGUUACAACUUUUCACAAGAUGAUUAGUGUCAUCUUGGAGAUGUGACACGAGAUGUAUUUUGGGGUGGCAACGGUGAUAUAUGACUUGUUCUCGGAGAGAAUUUCAAAGACUCUCAUUCACCCUUCCUCUGGUCGCCCGUUCCGGUCCCUUAAUUGGUAUCAGAGUCGGUUAAAGUUUCUGCAUACUCUAAUCUGUUUCGAGAUCCCAAACGGUGACCUCUGAGCGUUCUUCCUCGACUGCACCUCCCUACUUUGAUGGGUCUGAUUAUCGAUAUUGAAAAACACAUGAGAGCCCAUCUCAAUAGUAGAGGAGCAGGGGUUUGGGAAAUCACUCAGGAUGAUACUUAUGUGAUUCCUACCACUCGCUUGACUCAAGAAGAAAGAGAUAAAUAUCACACAAACAGCAAGGCGGUGGUGUUGGUGUUUUAUACCUGGCAACCUGCCGAGUUGUAUCCCGAGGUAGUAGAUUGGUUGGUGGGGGAUCAUCGGAUUUGGAACUCGAAGGUAGAAGCGAGGACACAAGACACGGAUUUAUACAAGUUCGGGCCACCAGAGUAGCGUAAUACCCUACAUCCUGUUUGGGAUGUUGCAUAUUGCGCUCUGCGCUUGGGUGUUGCGUAGCCUAAUUGUUGGCUAUUGAUGAUGGUUCUAUGAGGUCUUGGCCUCUGUUGGUCUGAGCUCUGACGAUCUAGAUACACCUACCCUCCUUUAUAUACUCCAGAGGGCGGGAUAACUAGUUUGUUAUAAGAAAGAGUCCUAGUAGGAUUACAUGGUAUGAGUCUGUUGGCGCUAGAAAUCGGCUGACCGAAUCCCCAGCGUCUGACACACGACCCGGGAGAAUCUGCUUAACUCCUGUUCGGGUGAUCGCCCUGGUGCGGUUCGCGCGGCGUGCCAGCCAAUCUGACCUGUUGAUUGGCAAGGAAAAAGACGUGUCAGAUCCUAGAGGUUGCGAUCGGCUAAGUUUCCGAUCUCGAGGAAGCUUAUUAGCGAAUCGGCCGAUUUGCCGUAAUAAAGAAAUCGGCUAUGAAGCAGCCGAUUACCGGGCAGCGUGAAUGAAAACUGCUGGAGCAAUCAAUACAACGCUACAGUAGUAACACUAGGAACAGAUCUAGUCGGCUAUGCGUAAAAUAAGUAAAUUAAAUGAUGAAAUACGAAAAAGCCGAGAUUGCCGAUUCCUAGCUGGAUAACUGGUGAUAAAACUAGAACAACAGGUAAAACCUAGAAUUCUAGUAAAUAUCGAUAACUAGUGAAUAAAUCUAAACGAAACAAUAGCGAUGCGCCCGAAGUUAAAGCUUAGAAUUUACUCGGUAAACGGAACUUACAAGAUCGGCCGGAGGUCAAGUUGAUGCAGCCCCGCCAACCCGUACGAACUCGUGAAAAAGAAGAAAAGUAUUUGGCGAAGUCGCCUGCUUGAAAGUAAGUACGAGGAAAUAGUAGUUUGUUGUAUCUAGUUGUUGAUGAUUACAGAUCUACAAAAGUGGCUAUUUAUAGCCCCGUACAGAUGACUCCUUAUCUGACUAGAACUCUAUCCCUAAUUCAAAUAGAAAAUGAAUAUUUACAAGUACGAUUCGUACUAGGUCGAUUAUUAUGCGCUUUAUGGGCUGAUUCCCUCUUCAUCUUUAUAAUCCUUUCUAAGCCCAUACCGGCCCAACUAUUCCAACCUCCUAAUCGGCCGAUUUCCUCAUCGGCAAGGGGUAACCGAUCGGGAACCAGGCGCGUCCGAUCCCAAACCCCAGGGGUCAAGCGAGGCGGAAUUCUAAAGAUCAAUCGGCCGAUCCUCGACUGUAGCAUCAAUCGGCCGAUCCUUGACUGUAGCACCAACCAACCAAUCUUUAACUGUAGCACCAUUCGGCCGAUUUCCAAUUGUCGCCCCUGUACCUCGCCAUUUCUUCUAAUUUCUUCCUCUCCUGACGCCGAUUUUACUCGUGUCAAAAUCUGGCAUCAACACAUGCCCCCCAGUUUCGGAGUAAAACACAGUCUUUACUUCGAAAUUCUUUUCAACUUCCCCUCCGAAACAGCCGCAAUGAAAAUAUCCUUCCGUUUCGCGGUCUUCAACCUGAUGAUUGCAAUCUUUUCGAAACGGGCGCCCACGACAACCACUACUCCCGAAAAACUCGAAACGCCGGCGUGGUAAAAAUUCCAUUUUUACCCCUACUCAGACCCCCUUUAAAUAUCAGCACAUCCCGUACUUCCCUUUCGAGCUCACGUCCUUCUUCCUCAGCGCACGAGCCUUCUUCUUCCUCCAGCAUUUUUCCUUAGUUCCCCAGCUUUCCGGCAUCAUCUUCCUGUCACUUUCCUUCCUAUCCCUCCAAUGGCGGCACCUUCAGGCACCUUACCCACACGCGAAGCUCUAGAAAUAGUGCCUUCGGCGGAGGUUCCAGCAGCGACAGUGGUGGCCCCAUUGUCGGAAGAAGGAACUCCAUUAGCGAAAGCUGAAGCUUCUUCCGAGAUCCCAAUGGCAGCCUCGUCUUCCGCAGCUGCACCGGCGAUCCCGCCGACUACAAGGAACUUCAUCCCAGAGGUCAUCACCGAAUCUUUCCUUUAUCGGUAAUACAUUUACUUUAGAUCUAUUUCUUACUUUCGCACCCCCUUUUCCUUUUUUAGGCGGUUAGGCAUCGCAUCACCAUUCAUCUUACGGGAAAUCCCGACCUUGUUUGCCUUGAACCCAUGGGAAACCCAGAUCCAACGGAGCUAAUCAAUUUGGAAACCCAUAGGAUCCCCUUCAAACAAUCAACUAUGGACCUAGAUCACUGGUUGGGCACCUUUAGGUCUUGGCCGAAUGAAACUCCCGGUUGGAGGGAAUGGUAUCACCGGAUAGCCGCAUCCAAGAGGGUCCGAUGGGACGAGCUCAAAAUCGGCCAAUGCAUCAAUCUAUCCCUAUCCCAAAUGGAGCGGAAUGAACCAUUAGUGAUGGCAGCUUCUUACUUUUGGUUUGAUGCUCUUAAUGCAUUCUUGUUUGGACACGGACCCAUGACCCCCACACUGAUCGACGUGGUUUUGCUGACCGGCCUGGAUAUUUCCUCCCCGGACACCCCUUUCCGCCUGUUAACCGCAACAUCACAUCGACUGGACACAAGGGGCAUCGACGGGUGGAAAGGCUUCAUUAGACGCAACAAAAGGGCCGGAUCUGUCGAGAACAGAGAACACACGGCCUUCCUAAUGAUGUGGUUGGAGAAGCACUUCUUCUGUGGGAGAGCAGCUGGCCCAUCGACCAACACCCAAGCUUUAGCUGAAGCAUUAUCAAUAGGGACUUCUGUUCCUCUUGGAAAGCACUUACUAGGAGCAGCAUACCACAUGCUUCACCAAAUUGGCAUCAAACUAUCCCAAGGGGAGCCGAUUGGAAAUCCAGGUGGACCCUGGUGGUUCAUUAACUUAUGGCUGAACCUGUACAUGAGCAAGAUUUCUCAGCAAAGGGUGGAACACAUGACGUUCCCCACCAUCGAAUCGGCAGAGGAUCCCACUGCCCGACGCCGAUGUACAUCUUUCGGCGAAGCGGCAUCGGCCUUUCCCGGUUGCCCGUACUCUGCUACCAAAGUGGCUGAGUACUUUCGGUGUUUUUAUAACGGUUUUAAUGAAGAUGCAACCGUCUAGUUUCCUUAUCGGCGAGAUGACCCAAUCUUUGAGCUCCCUUCUUGCUUCGACUCGACUACCGGCCGAUUCGACGAAGACCUCACAGAUGAGUUAAUUAAACCAGGAAUCCUACCGGCCAACUUCUUCUCAGGGAAAGAUGCUCCUACGUAUGAGUUUUACAAUCCCUCUGCUGCAGCACGUCAAUUCGGCAUGGGUCAGCUGCCGAUUCAAGCGUACUUCACCGGCCGAGCUAAGUUUAGAGAUGAGCUCAGAAAAGGUCUUGACUAUAGUCGGCUGCGAGAUCGGGUCCCAGACUCCAGCACCAUUGACCUGAAUGACUGGAUAGUAGCUCCCUUCACUGUCCAACCAUUCAAGCUUUGGUGGGCCGAAUGGAAACAAUACCUUUUCUGCAACUCCGCGUCGACAUACUGCAAUCUCCUGGAUCCGACCAACAUCGACCCGAACGCCGAGGUAUUUUUCCCUAGCCGAUUUUCACUCCUUUAUCAACGCGGUUGAAUACGUAUACUAACAUCUUGCUAUUGCUUCAGUCUGAGAACCGUGUCCCCCCAACACGCAGCCGGAGUGGGCGGCCGAUAGAAGAUCAUCAUCCAUACACCAUCUUCCCCCUUAUCGGCUACGAUGCCCCUUCCGUGGAUGUGAUCGCUGGCCGAUCGAAGCAGGUGCCGAAGAAAGUUACCAAGAAGACCAGUCGCCGAGUUCGAGCUCGUAUAGAAUCGGCUGAUCCUCCUACGAUCAUAUCGACAGAAACUUCGGCCGCACUGCCUACUCAAGCUGCCAGAGAAAUAGAUACUCAAGUCGUCACGCAAGCUGGGGCAGCCGCUGCAUCAUUACUGGUGGAGGCCAUGCAGGUAAACUUAUGUCCAAUCCUUCCGAUUGAUGUCUCUAUACUAACUCCUCUUAUCUUAGACUGCACAGAUCACUUCUAUGGACCCACAACAAUCGGCAGCAACCCAAUCGGUCAUCGACGCGCCCCCGCUUCCAUCCGCCGAGGUAUAACACUCUUCAACCGAUUCUCCUAGUAUUUGAACGAUGUUCUCAUUCAAUCCUUUGACACAGGUCACCGGUACGCUAAGCGCCCCUCUUAAUCAACCAAUGGUCAUCUCCCGGGAAGCUGGCCCGAGCACAGCACCAAUCAUCGUAGGAUCUUCUUCUUCUGAUGAACCAAUGGCACCAGCCCCUGAAUUGAGGAUGACGGCUCCCCAAACGCAGUUUGAGGAAAUCCGAUUCAAGGAGGUAAGAGACUUUUCACCCUUACUUAGCCGAUUUGCUAUCACCAUCGGCUGAUUUGUUUUUCUUCUUAACUUAUUAUUUCCAGGAACAGGACACCCCUGACAACAGUCUCUUCUCAUUUGCGGUCGCACUCUCUGAUGACGAGGAAGUCGCCUCUCGCCAAGUCACUUUGAGCUCCAUCCCUGAUGACGUCCACGCCAAACUUACCAGCAUCCGAUCCCUUCUUCAAGAAGACAUCGGCCGAUUGGUAGAAGAUGCCUCGCCGAUUCGGCAGCUCUUCGGUGACGUCAGCGGGCGGGUACCAGAAGAAGCGGAAGAAGCCUUGGCGCCGGCGUAUAUCGAGUCAAUGAGGAUCCCGGUUUUCAGGGCCCUGCGUCACAUGGCCGAUCGCGCCAAAUUGGCCAAGACUCGUGAAGAAGAAGGAACGUACAAGUGUCAGGCCCAAGAGGUGCAUCAACGAAUUCACUUUCUGGAAGACUCUCGCCCAGGGAUCGUCGGCACGAUAGAUCGCCUCAAACGCCGAAAGGCAGAGCUUGCCAAGGAGAUGGAACAGGUGACCAAAGCAAUAAAUGCUGAAGAGAAGAGACUUCAAGAACUCCCUUCCGUCAUCGCCGAUCAGAAACGGGAGAGGCAGCAUCUAGCUCACGAAGCCCUUAAACUCCACCGCAAUAUGUCAGAAGUCCCCGGAUUGGCAGAUGAUGACCAACGGGUCCUGGACUUUGCCGAUCAGAUCCGGCGCCGAGCGAUUGCGGCUAUCGAUGCUCUUCUGGGUAACCUGUAAAAGUACUGGCCAUUUUUGUACGAACAUUUAAUGACCGCUUUAACCGUCCUUCGCGGCGCCUCUUUUAUUUAUUGCCUUUCUCACCUCUGACGGGACGCGCCUUACCAAACAUCUACGCCUCUUUUUCUUAUAAAUGCCGGCCUAGGCCCCCGUUCCAAGAGUAACAGUCUAGCUCGGCUUCAUCUUCCCAACCUGCUUUCGUCGGUGCGACUUUCAGUCAUGUCUUCUUCAUCCUCUUCCUCUUCCUCUGUUAACCAGGUGAAAGUUUUUCCUUCAUCCUUUUUCUUGGUUUAGAUCUUCUGAAGGGAAUCCCCUUUUUGAUCGUUACUUUCCACAGCCACGGCGCCUUAGCCCUGAACUCGAGCGAGCCAUCGAACUCAUGCACUCCGAUGAACCGUUGUCACAAGAGGACAAGGACUUAAUCAGGGCUCGUCGUGACGAACUCCAAGAGCAUGUCCCUGCUGACAUCCGACGGAUCUGGGAUUUUCUGGACGGCAACGCCCGCCGGUGACCUCAAGCCGACAGAAGUCAUCUGCUUCCUCAACAAGUCGUCCUUGAAGAUGCAGCAACAGGAACAUCACGCCCGGCAAUGGACCGGAGCCACCCUCUCCCCCGUCAAGUCGAAGCGGAGGCUUCGAUGAAAGAGAUAGAAGAAGAGUACAUCCGUCUUAUGCUAGAACUAGGUCGGGCUGAGAGAGAGCGUAAGAAAAAGCGUGGUUAAUUAUUUUUUUGUUCUAAGGGCGACUUGUACCUUGUCGGCCGUGUAACCCACCGUCCGUACCGAAUGAAAUAUAUCGGCCAAUUUGGACGAUUACGUGUUUUCUCUAGACGAAUCCUUUUGUAUCGGCUGUGUGUUGCUCAUUGUGAUCGAUCCUUAUGCUCCGACCCAUAUACUAGGGUAGUAUCUUUUCAAGUAUCUUCCGUUCAGAGCCCUAGUAAACUCUUCUCCUUCGAUUGUUUCCAGAAUAUAAGCAUUUCCUGGAGCUCAUCUGCCGAUUUUAUAUGGCCCUUCCCAUGUAGGGGACCACUUACCGAAUUUAGGAUCUUUUGACCCAAUCGGCAACACUAACUUCCAAACCAGGUCCCCUGGAGAGAAUUGUUUGACUUUGACCUUCUUAUCAUACCACCUGGCCACUUUCUUCUUGUUUUCCUUGAUGCUUAUCAAAGCUCUCAGUCGUUGGCCAGCCAAGUCAUCAAGUUCCCUUUUCAUGAGUGAGGAGUAGUCGUCGGCCGUCAACUGGUCCUGGAGCGAAGUGCGUCUCGACCCUGCCCUAACUUCCCAUGGUAGUACUGCAUCGUGACCGUACACCAACUGAUAAGGGGACAACUUGGUGGAUCCAUGGCAAGCCAUCCUAUAUGCCCAUAGGGCUUCAGUCAAACAUAGAUGCCACUUUUUCGGCUGCUCCUCUAUCUUCCUCUUGAUUAACUUUAUUAUCCCUUUGUUGGAGGAUUCGGCCUGGCCGUUAUCUUGGGCAUAAUAUGGAGAGGAGUUUAACAAUUUGAUUCCCAUAUCGGCCGUGAACUCCUCGAAUUCUCCUGAUAUGAACAUUGUCCCUUGAUCAGUUGUGAUAGUCUGGGGAAUGCCGAAUCGGUAGACGAUAUGGUCCCUUACAAAGUCGACCAUGGCAGCCGAUGUUACGGCCCUUAACGGAAUUGCUUCCACCCAUUUGGUAAAGUAAUCGGUAGCCACCAGAAUGAAUUUGUGCCCUUUGCUUGAUGGAGGAUAAAUUUGGCCGAUAAGGUCUAUUCCCCAUCCUCUGAACGACCAUGGUUUGAUAAUGGGAUUCAUGGCCGACGCGGGCGCACGUUUGACAUUCCCGAAUUUCUGACAAUCCUGGCAUCCCUUAUAAUAUUUGAAGCAAUCUUCGAGGAUCGUCGGCCAGUAAUACCCAUUAUUCCUGAUUAUCCAUUUCAUCUUAUGGGCCGACUGGUGGGCUCCACACACCCCCUCAUGGAUUUCUCCCAUCAGGGUCUUGGCCUCCUCUGUUCCCAGACACUUGAGUAGGACGCCGUCAAUUGUUCGGUAGAACAAGUCGUCUUCCAGUAGUACGUAUUUGGUAGCAUGGAAACGCACCCGCCGAUCCACUUUCUUAGAUGGAUCUUUCAGGUAAUCGGCAAUUUCUUUUCGCCAGUCAUCGGCCGCGAGUUCCAGAGCCAUAGCGCCUUGAAUUGGCCGAUACCCAGAUUUGUGCUGGGCGAGCUUGUUGGUAUCCUCGUUGUGAUUCCUUGGGAUGUGUCCGAUUACUGCCAACUUGAACUCUUUUAAAAGCUGCAGGCAAUCUUCGUAAUAAAUCCUCAAUACAUCAUCCUUGCAUUCGGACUUCCCUAUUAAUUGAUCCACAAUAAGCAUGGAAUCCCCAAAAAUUUCGACAGAAUCGGCCUUGACUUCUCUUAGCAAUUGUAAUCCCUUCAAUACAGCUCGGUACUCUGCUUGAUUGUUAGUGGCGGUCGCUUCUAUCGGCAGAGAAAAAUCAUAGCUUGCCCCCCGAGGCGAUAUGAGGACGAUGCUGAUUCCUGAUCCGACCCCACAUGACGAUCCAUCAAAGUAUAAAGUCCAAGGUACCGGUUCCACGAAGGUAGCCUCUGGUCCGCAGUGUUGGGCGACGAAAUCGGCCAUGACCUGACCCUUGACGGCUUUCGCCGAUUCAUACCGAAGGUCAAACUCUGACAAAGCUAAGAUCCAUUUGCCGAUUCAUCCUUUCAAAAUCGGCAAUGACAGCAUGUAUUUUACCACGUCAUCUUUGCAUACGACCACACAUUCCGCCGACAGCAAAUAGUGCCUGAGUUUGGUGCAUGAGAAGUAAAGGCAUAGGCACAACCGCUCCACUGGAGGAUACCUUGUUUCGGCGUCCAGAAGUCUUCUACUGACAUAAUAAAUUACUCGUUCCUUUCCCUCGAACUCCUGGACUAGAGCCGACCCAAUAGCUUUUUCAUCGGCUAAUAAAUAUAGUUUAAACGGCUUACCAGUUUGAGGAGGGACCAAUACCGGUGGUGAGACCAAGUACUGCUUGAUAUCUUCCAGUGCCUUGUGUUGCUCUUCUCCCCAUAUGAACUUCUGGUCGGGCUUCAACUUUAAUAGUGGUGUGAAAGCUUGGAUUCGCCCAGAUAGAUUAGAUAUGAAUCUUCUGAUGAAAUUCACCUUGCCGAUUAGAGAUUGCAACUCAGUUUUAUUCUGCGGGGCCACGACUUUGUUGAUGGCCGCUAUAGUCUUCUGAUUGAUUUCUAUUCCCCGCUCGUGCACCAUGAAUCCUAAGAAUUGUCCGGCGGAUACGCCGAAGGCACACUUAUUCGGAUUCAUCUUCAGCCCAUGUUUCUUAGUGCAUUCCAACACUUUUCGCAAAUCGGCCAGAUGCUCCUCGUGUCCUUUUGACUUGACUACAACGUCGUCGAUGUAGAUUUCUACCAGUAUGCCGAUGAGUUUGUGAAAUAUAUAGUUCAUGGCUCUCUAAUACGUGGCGCCGGCGUUUUUUAAACCGAAAGUCAUUACCACCCACUCGAACAAACCAAGGUGAUCUGGGCAUCUGAAGGCCGUUUUGGGUAUGUCUUCUUCGACCAUAAGUAUCUGAUUGUACCCAGCGUUUCCGUCCAUGAAACUAAUAACCUUAUGUCCCGCGGCAGCAUCUAUCAGCACAUCGGCCGUCGGCAUGGGGUAUCCGUCCAUUGGUGUGGCCUGAUUAAGAUUCCUGAAAUCGACGCACAUGCGUAGCUUUCCAUUCUUCUUGUAUACUGGUACAAUGUUGGAGAUCCACUCGGCAUAACGGCAUUGCCGAAUAAAUUUUGCUUCGAUUAGCCGAGUUAUUUCGGCUUUUAUAUCUGGUAGGAUUUUAGGAUUGCACCGCCGUGCAGGCUGUUGAUACGGCCGAUAUCCUGGUUUUAUGGGUAGCCGAUGUUCAACAAUAGAUCAGUCUAAUCCGGGCAUCUCAUGAUACUCCCAAGCAAAACAAUCCUUAAAUUCUCUUAACAAACUUGUCAGUUUACAUUUGUAUUCCGGAUCUAAAUUUGCACUAAUAUAUGUCGGCCUUGGUUUGGUGCCAUCGCCUAAGUCUAUUAUCUCUAAUGAAUCAGUCGACGUGAACCCAUGCCCUAGCUUCCCAUCUUCUCGGGCGAACUGAUCCAUUUAAUUGGAGUCUUCGGAGCCGACUGCUCGGAUCGGCUGUAGGCCAAAAUCGGACACCUUCAAGAAGUCAGUAUCCCAUACCCUUCCGGAUAUGCACCUGACAGUUUCGCAGCUCCAUUGCUGCGUGUCGGCUGCUGCGAUGCUGUAUGCGGAAUCGGCGGUGACCACUUCGAUGUUGUCGCCGACCCAUUGUACGAGGCAUUGAUGCAUUGUCGAUGGGAUGCAGCAGUUUGCAUGUAUCCAGUCUCGGCCGAGAAGCAUGUUGUAGGACCCUUUACCAUUAAUAAUAAAGAAAGUAGUAGGGAGGGUCUUACUGCCGAUGGUGAGGUCGACGCAAAGGGCGCCGCGAGCGGGGGAUACGUUGCCCUCGAAGUCCUUGAGCAUCAUAUCUGUCUUGGUCAGGUCAUCAUCGCCCUUCCCAAGCUUCCGGAGCACGGCAUACGGCAUGAUGUUGACUGCAGCUCCUCCGUCUACCAGUAAUCUAGUGAGGGGUUGGCCGUUGACAUGCCCUUUAAGAAACAACGCUUUCAGGUGUUGCCGUUUGUCAUCUUCGGGCUUCUCGAAUGUGGCUGUCAUUGGCUCAAAAGCCAAUUGCACCAUCUGUUCUGCUAUUGCCGAUAUGUUCUGUCGGUCGGCAGUAUGAAAACCAUGCCGAUGUCGGCUGCCGAUUCUUCGCCUGCUGAUUCGUCGCCUCCUUUGUCGUUUCUUUUGGGGCGCCAUACCUGAGAUCUGCCUUCCUUCUUGUCCGUCGUAUACUGUUGUUCUUCCUCCUGCUGUUCCCACUGGCGGAGACGCUGGAUUCUUCGUUUUUGAGACUUGGUCAAUCCAUCGGGACACCACCUGGGGUUCACUGGUUUGGUUCGUGGCCUGGCGCGUUCCCAUUCCGGUUCGCGUCCUAAAGGGUUCUCGUCUGACACUUGAGCAUCGGCCAUCUCUUCAAGCCGACUGUGGACGCUGGCCCUAUUUUCUGGCCGGUCAUGACGAUCAAAUCUGCCCCUCGGCCUAUCAUGGCGCCUACCUUCCGACCGGUCAUAUCGGUCACUUCUGUCCCCCAGCCGAUCACGCACGGGAGGGCGCCGGUCGUCUUGGUCGCGCCAGUUCCUGCUGAUCGGCUCUGGUCUCCCGUCUCUGGAGCGAGACCUGUUGAACAGCUGAUUGUUACGAUACGGGCCGUUGCAGUCCGGGCAAUUAUCGGCCGAAGGUAACCUGAGGUUGCUUUCCCAACAGUGGAUGAAGAACGGGCAUCUCCAGUGAUCUUCAUGUCGCCGCAUCGCUUCUUCCCGGGAUCUUGAGUGUUCAUGUUGCCGCUGAUAUUUGUGGAGCAGAAAUUGGGAAGUAAUGCGUGGUUCACCUGAUCCGCCGUCAUCGUCUUCCAUCCGCCGCUUCCCCUUGAUGUCUUCAGGCGCCGCUUGAUUUUUGGAGUCUACGACGCCACUCUUUUUAGCCGAUUCGGACGUCAGCACCUUUGUUUGGAGCGAGUUCUUUCCCGUGUCAACCAUGUUGGUGGGGAAGGGGUGCUGAUCGAUCUUCAUCGGCUUGGCUGGUUUUGUUGGUACUUCAAAUUUAAGUCUGCCCUGCUCAAUAGCCGUUUGUAUCUGCUGCCAGAAGAUUUUGCACUCGUUAGUGUCAUGGGAGGUAGCGUUGUGCCACUUGUAAUAUUUCAUCUUCUUCAGCUGUUCGGCAGAAGGAAUAGUAUGGUAUGGCGAGAGCUUGAUCUGUCCUUCCUGGAGGAGGAGGUCGAAGAUUUUAUCGGCCUUCGACGUGUCAAAGCCGAACGUUUCUGGCUCCUUCUUGCCGAACGGGCAUGAUAUCAGCUUCUUUCCUUUAACCCAUUCUGCAAGACCGACUUCUGCAUCUUCUUCGGCCUCAACCUCUUCUAAGUAUGCCACCUUCUUCUGGAAGUUCCUCCGUGGAUCGAAAGAACGUACCUCCUGUCCAGACAAUCGGUGGAUGAUUUGGCUCAAGCUCUCAAACUCCUGUGAGACGUAUUUUUCUUUGAUGUGAGGCAGGAGACCUUCAAAGGCUAUAUCAGCCAGCUGUGCAUCAGUCAGAGCUAGAGAAUAGUAUUUGUUUCUGAUUUCCCGAAACCUCUGCACAUAUGAGGAUAUUGGCUCGUCGCUUCUCUGCCUGAGGCUGGUCAAAUCGGACAGCUUCAUUUCAUGUACCCCGGCGUAGAAGUAUUUAUGGAACUGCUUCUCCAGAUCGGCCCAUGUAAUAAUCGAGUUGGGCGGUAAAGUUGUGAACCACUGGAAGGUCGAACCAGACAAGGACGACGAGAACAACCGCACCAGUAGAGCAUCUUGCGCCGCUGCCUCCCCGCAUUGGAUGAUGAAUCUGUUCACAUGUUCUACGGUUGAGGUAUCGUCCAUCCCUGAAAACUUGGUGAAGUCAGGAACUUUAUACCGAUGGGGAAACGGUAGUAAGUCGUACGUAGACGGGUACGGUGUCCUGUAGGUGUAAGUCUGCACCUUCGGCUUCAAGCCGAAUUGUUCCUGAAUCACCUCUGCUAUACGUGCUGACCAAUCUGGCUGUUGCUGGUAAACCGUCGGCUGAGGGACUGGUACGUGCUGGUAUAUUGGCGGCGGGAUGACUUGAUGCUGAGUGAAAGUAUGUGGCAUUUGAUGUGUUAUAGCCGGCUGUGUAUUCAGGGUCGGCUGUUUGAAUGAGCCACUCGUUUCAUCAUAUAGUACGAGAUCUGCUGUUUUACUCAUCUCUGGUGCGACAGGCUGGUACGGCGGCAUAGUUGGUCGAGUGGCUGUCUGGAAAGACGCCUGGAAUUGAGGACUUCCGUGAUUGGCUGAUUGAUCCUGAACGACCAUCGCUGAUGGUGCCCCCCAAGGCGCUGGAUUAACCGGAGGAAACUGCACAGAGGACAACUGUACGGGAUGUGGCUGGAGGUGUUGUGUGCCAGUAAACCCCAUAGGGAUCGAUGAUGAGGAAGCGCCUGAACCCCCAACUGGAAAUUGGAUCGGCUGAGAAGCCGAAUUCGGAUAACUCUUGUUUGGUGAAAUCGGCGGAGCAUAUGCCAAUCCCUUGUACCCUUGAGAUACUCCACUAGCCAAGGAGCUGAUGACGGCAUUGUACACCGUAUUCGCAAGCACCGGGGAUUGGUCGAUGAAAGCUUGAUAAACGGACUGCUGAACCAUCUCGGACAUCUUGUCCGAGUCCUCGGUGAUUGUGAUCUGGCGGGGAGUUGGAAACGGAGACUUUUUGAUAGUCUCCCUGCUCCUGGUGCGACUGAAGGACUGCAGGCAUGCCUUCCGGUAGUAUGCUGUCUGCCUCUCUAGUUCUUCCUUCUAGUCGUCCUUGAGAUCUGCUUCUGUCACUUCGAUGACGUUAUCUUCGGAGACUUCAGCAGCUUUCGACAUGGUGGCGGUUGUAUUGGUCCCACCAGGCGUGCCAAAAGUGUGUUGGCGCUAGAAAUCGGCUGACCGAAUCCCCAGCGUCUGACACACGACCCGGGAGAAUCUGCUUAACUCCUGUUCGGGUGAUCGCCCUGGUGCGGUUCGUGCGGCGUGCCAGCUAAUCUGACCUGUUGAUUGGCAAGGAAAAAGACGUGUCAGAUCCCAGAGGUUACGAUCGGCUAAGUUUCCGAUCUCGAGGAAGCUUAUCAGCGAAUCGGCCGAUUUGCCGUAAUAAAGAAAUCGGCUAUGAAGCAGCCAAUUACCGGGCAGCGUGAAUGAAAACUGCUGGAGCAAUCAAUACAACGCUACAGUAGUAACACUAGGAACAGAUCUAGUCGGCUAUGCGUAAAAUAAGUAAAUUAAAUGAUGAAAUACGAAAAAGCCGAGAUUGCCGAUUCCUAGCUGGAUAACUGGUGAUAAAACUAGAACAACAGGUAAAACCUAGAAUUCUAGUAAAUAUCGAUAACUAGUGAAUAAAUCUAAACGAAACAACAGCGAUGCGCCCGAAGUUAAAGCUUAGAAUUUACUCGGUAAACGGAACUUACAAGAUCGGCCGGAGGUCAAGUUGAUGCAGCCCCGCCAACCCGUACGAACUCGUGAAAAAGAAGAAAAGUAUUUGGCGAAGUCGCCUGCUUGAAAGUAAGUACGAGGAAAUAGUAGUUUGUUGUAUUGAGUUGUUGAUGAUUACAGAUCUACAAAAGUGGCUCUUUAUAGCCCCGUACAGACGACUCCUUAUCUGACUAGAACUCUAUCCCUAAUUCAAAUAGAAAACGAAUAUUUACAAGUACGAUUCGUACCUGGUCGAUUAUUAUGCGCUUCAUGGGCUGAUUCCCUCUUCAUCUUUAUAAUCCUUUCUAAGCCCAUACCGGCCCAACUAUUCCAACCUCCUAAUCGGCCGAUUUCCUCAUCGGCAAGGGGUAACCGAUCGGGAACCAGGCGCGUCCGAUCCCAAACCCCAGGGGUCAAGCGAGGCGGAAUUCUAAAGAUCAAUCGGCCGAUCCUUGACUGUAGCAUCAAUCGGCCGAUCCUUGACUGUAGCACCAACCGACCGAUCUUUAACUGUAGCACCAUUCGGCCGAUUUCCAAUUGUCGCCCCUGUACCUCGCCGUUUCUUCUAAUUUCUUCCUCUCCUGACGCCGAUUUUACUCGUGUCGAAAUCUGGCGUCAACAGAGUCCUAAUAGGAUUAUAGAGGAAUCCUAGCUAGUAGGAGUCCGUCUUCUUCCUUCCUUGCGGGUACUGGGGAUCUAUCCCUGACAGGUGGAUAUCCUGUUUGCUAUUCUGUGCCAUGCUAAGUUUGAUCGUGUCGAAGAUCUAUCUCUUGCUCAUGGGAAUUUGUGCCUCCUUAGGGUGUAGGCGCUAUGAGCCUGUAGUAUUCAGUGCAUCAAAUCUGUGGUCGUUGCCUCCAUAAUUCGAUUUACCAAACCCGUGGCAGAGCCUCCGAAACUCAGUGCACCAAACCCAUGGCUAUAGCCUCUGUAAUUAAGUGUACCAAACCAUGGUUGUCGGUCAACAUGCCCCAGGAAUAAUUGGCAAAGUGUAGCUCUGGAGGGUAAUUUCCAAUGAGAGGCAUACACAAAUAAGUAGUCGGCACAUUGCCCUGCAUGCGGAAAACAAGUCAAAAAAUUUAUAUAAAAUAAUUAAAAAAGUGACAUAGCUUGAUUCGUGGACAAUUGUUGACGAAACCAUGUCGAUUGUUGAUGAAGCCAACUAGUCGGAGUCGAUUCCGACUAGUUAUUGAUCUUGCGAGACCUGUCCCUGAUAAGUUUCUAGUCGAGACAAUUAGUCAAAUUAGUCGUCAGCGAGUCGAUGAUGAAGCCAACUAAUCCGAGUUGAUUUCAACAAGUUGUUGAUGGUGUGAAACCCGCCCUCGACUAGUUUUCUAGUCGAGAUGAGUAGUCGAAGUAGUCCUUCCUCGACUAGUUUUCUGUCAAGAUGAGUAGUUGAAGUAGUCGUCGGUGAUUUGACGCGACCGAACGUCGGGGUAGCAGUGCUCGUGUACAUAUUCUAUGUACAUUAGGCGAUGAUCUUGAAGCUUCCUGGUAUCCCUCAUGUGCAUGUACAAAAUUCAGGCUGAAUUUUAUCUUCUUCAUGCACCACGGCAACCGGUUUUCUUGGUCAUGAUGAUGCUCUACUUUGAAUUGGAACUUGGCGAUUUGCUUUUGGUCGAGUAGAUUGAUCUUGAUGAUGAGGUCCUUCAAGCUCGCCCGAUGAUCUCGACGAUCACCCUUACCUGGCGUGCCAGAUGUCAGUGUUUUAUACCCGGCAACCUACCGAGGGGUAUCCUGAGGUAGUAGAUUGGUUGGUGGGGGAUUGUCAGGCCUGGAACUUGAAGGUAGAAGCGAGGACACAAGGCACGGAUUUAUACAGGUUCGGAUCGUCAGAGUAGCAUAAUACCCUACAUCCUAUUUGGGAUGUUGUAUAUUGCGCCCUGCGCUUGGGUGUUGUGUAGCCUGAUUGUUGGCUAUUGAUGAUGGUUCUAUGAUGUCUUGGACUCUAUUGGUCUGAGCUCUAAUGAUCUAGGUACACCUUCCCUCCUUUAUAUAUUCCAGGCAGUGGGAUAACUAGUUGGUUAUAAGGAGGAGUCCUAGUAGGAUUACAUGGUAUGAGUUCUAGUAGGAUUAUAGAGGAAUCCUAGUAGGAGUCUGUCUUCUUUCUUCCUUGUGGGUACUAGGGAUCCAUCCUCGACAGGUGGAUAUCCUGGUUGCUAGUCUGUGCCGUGCUGAGUUUGAUCGUGUCGAGGAUCUAUCUCUUGCUCAUGGGAUUUGGUUCAAACUCCAGAGUUUCCAUGAGGGGAACAGUCAGAUGAAGGCACGACUCUUUGAGACUUACCGACGUGAGUAUGAAAACUUUGUUCAUUUGCCCGGUGGGUCAGCUGAUGUUUUGUUCCAGCGCUUUCCUGCUAUUGUGAACAAGAUGAAAGCAAACAUCACGAUCUUACCCUACACUGAUCAUGAUAGAGCUUUAAAACUCCUGCAUGCUUUGGAUCACGAGGUGUGGGGUACGAAGGUUGAUGAUAUCAUCGAGUCCACAAGCUAUGAGACUCUUACAAUUGAUGAAAUUUUCGCCAAGCUGAAAUCGAUAGAGGUUGACAAGAGGCUCCGAGCAAAACAAGGGAGCCCUACUAAUCCUCAUAGUUGGCUCUUGUGUCAGACUCUGGACAGUCUACAUCUUUGGCUAACCCUUCUACCAUGUCCUUUGCUUUGUCUUCUUUGUUGUUUGUUUCAGAGGAGCAGUUGGAAGUUCUUGAGGAUGAGGAGCUCGCCUUGAUCACGAGACGGUUCAUGCGCUUCAACGACAACUACAAGAACCGGUGAAGGAACAACAACAACUGCUUCGAGUGUGGCAAGUCAGGAUACACAAGUCCAAGAAUGGGUACGACUAUAGCAAGUACAAGGACAAGGAUAACAACAGCAAGAAGAAGUACACCGAUCGUGAGAAGAACGAGCACCACAAGAAAGCUAAAGCGCGCGCCUUCAUCGCCUCCCUCUGCAAGAACGGGUACUACUUGUUUGUAUGGAAUUCCCAUAACAAAUUUGCAUAACAUUUCAUUCUUUACAACCUGAAGAGCAUAUACAGACGCGUGUUACACAAGAACACAAUUAAAACACCUUCCAUGUAUCUACAUAUACUUAAAUACUACUUAUGCAAUAUGCCACUGUUGCGACAAUAGAUGUCACGGAAAUUUUUAUCUUGCAAAUUCUAUGCUCAUUGCGGCUUCCUUUGUCGGGCUGUAAUAAUCAGUGGUUGCUUCACCAGUACAGUCAUAUGAUGCAUUCGAAGACAACCCUGCCUGCACUUUGAAUGGACUACCAGCAAGGAGUUCACCAGUGCCACGAAUCUCUGGACCGACCAAUCGUUGGCCUGCUAGCACCAGUCAUAGCCAAACACUUGUCUGCCAGGCUAGCAACUUGACAAAGUACCAUGUUAUCCUGCUCGGCUAUCUCCCUAUCCACGAGUUCCAAAAGCUUGCCCUCCUUUGCUGCCUCCUUGAACACGGCUCUUCUUAUGUUUCGAUAGAGUGGCAUCCUGCGUGUUAAUAGUUCAAGAAGAACAACACCAAAGCUGUAUACAUCACUCUUAUCAGUGAGCUCAAAGUUUAAUAGGUACUCUGGAUCUAUGUAGCCCAUUGUCCCUUUAACUGCUUGAAGGUUUUCUUCAGCUGAUAUAAUCAUCGAGCACCCAAAAUCAGAUACCUUAGCGGAAGGAUUGUGGUCUAGGAGAAUGUUUGCAGACUUGACAUGCCCAUGAAAGAUUGGGUGGCUAAGUGUAUGUAGGUAGGCAAGGGCUUUAGCAGCUUGAGCUGCAAUCCUCAAACGGAUCUCCAGUGUUCUAAUGGAUGCCUUGUCCUAGACAUGGAUUAGAUAGUGUAGAGUAUUAUUUGGAACGAAUUCAUACACUAGAAGAAGUGGAGCUUCAAAAUGUGAACUGCAACUAACAAGCUUGACAAUAUUUUUGUGUGUGACUCGAGAAAGUAUGAGUAGCUCCUGUCCAAAUUCUAGGAUCCUAUCUUCGUCGAAUCUCUUGCAUCUCUUUAUUGCAACUAGAUUAUUGUCUGAAUCAAUAUUAUACCCUUUAAAAACUGUCCCCUGACCUACUUCACCAAUGACCUCCGGGUUAUGAAAGUUGUUUGUUGCCAAUUCAAUUUCUUCUCUACCAUAAAACUUAAAAGGAAAUGUUUUCUAUUUUCGGGCCGCGCUAAUUAGCGUGGGCGCGCCAGGAGGGCUGCCGGCGCUCGAUCCCUGACAGCUCACUCCCAUCACGUGACUUUCUUUUUUUUUGAAAAUUUUCCAUUUUCAGAAUAUCAUAACUUAUACACAUAACUUCGAUGCAUAACUCCACAAUAUAACUUUUUAUGAGAUAAUUUUUUAGCAAAACUUCGAUAGCGUGCAGAAGUUCUGUGUACAACUUCUAGGUACAAUUUGUAAGAAUAACUUCGAAUUUUGUUUAUUAGAAAGCUGUAACAUAUGCAUACAAUUUAUACCUAUAACUUUUUCCUGGUGAUAAAUUUUGUAAUACAACUUGCAUGAUAUACAUAACUUAUACGUGUAACAUUUAUCAUAACUUUUAUAACUUUUAUGCACAUAACUUAUACACGUAUAUAAAAUAUUUACCUGGUAUAGAAAAAAAAUUGAAAAGAAAAAAAACACACGCGGGGCGCACAGCGGGGCCAGCACAUGUUCGGGAGCCGCGUGGGAUCCACCGGCCGUUCGCGUCACGCGCCGCUUCGCCUUGCAGCACGCGCGAUCACCUUCGAGUUUUUACCUACAAAUCAACUACUUGGUAACGUCCAGUAAACUAUCGGACUUAUAAAUCCGACAGCAAGCCGGUGAAGUAAAAUUAGGCAAGUGCAAAACUGGCGGCUAUCAUAUAUAUAAGGCCCUGUUUGGAUACACCCUCCUAAAGAUUAGGAGUCCACUUUCAGGACACUUUUAGGACUUGUACAUCCAAACAUGGGUCCUAAAAAUGCACUCCUAAACUUUAGGAGGGCCAUUUUCAUUAGGAGGGCCAAGGUGUACUAAUGGAUCCUAUUUCUCCUAAAAGUGGUUCCCAAGUCCCCCUUUACCCCUAUUGCCCUCGCAUGCAUUAAUGACGUGAACAGUGUAGGGGUAGUUUAGAAGAGUAAUUGGGAGGUAAAAAUGAUAUUUUCCCUCUAAGAUCCUAAAGAUUAGUAGUCCAUCCAAACAGUCCUGUACUAAACUUUAGGACUAGCAAUUUGAGAGUCCUAAACUUUAGUACAUUACUAAACUUUAGGAGUUUGUAUCCAAACACGACCUAAUACAACUUCCAUUAGAACAUGUCGGAGUGGGUGAGAACGGCCAAUAUAGAGGAGUAUCACUACGGGAGACAGUGAAAUUGCCGAGUGCUAGGGGCACUCGGCGAAGGGCAAAAAACCCUCGGCGAACCGUUUGCCGAGUGUAACACUCGGCAAACGGCACACGGCAAAUUUUCAGUCGGCAAACACUGAGUUGCCGAGUGUUUUGUGUCGGGCACUCGGCAAAGUCUUUGCCGAGUGCCGAGAAAACACUCGGCAACAAAUUUUUGAAAAAAUAAUAAAAAAAAAACAUCCUCCGCCACCACCACAUCCUGCUCCGCCGCCGCGACCACCGCCAGCUCCGCCGCCACCACCACCGCCAGCACCACCACCACAGCACCACCUCCCAUGCUGCCGUGCCUUGCCUCCUGCCGUCGAUGCCUUGCACCCGUGCCUCCCACCGGCCGUCGUGCCUUGCCUCCACGCCGCCAUGCCCGCCGCCGCCACCACCACCCGUCGACCACCACCACCACACCCGCCGGCCACCACCUCCACCACACCCUAGCCUCGACGUCGACCGCCGCACGAGCAAGCUCGCCCCACUCGCGGGUCGGGGAGCUGGAUCCGGGGCAGAGGGGCGGAGUCCCCCCCGGAUCCAGGGAGAGGGGCGGGGCGGCGGCCGGAGAUGCCGCCGGAUAGAGGCCGCCGCGCGAGAGAGGGGAAGAGCGGAGGAGUGGAGGGAGUUACCUGGAGAGGGAGGGGAGGAUCCGGCGCCACCNNNNNNNNNNNNNNNNNNNNNNNNNNNNNNNNNNNNNNNNNNNNNNNNNNNNNNNNNNNNNNNNNNNNNNNNNNNNNNNNNNNNNNNNNNNNNNNNNNNNGCUCGGGAGGGAGGGGAGGGGGCGCGCUAGGCGAGGGGGUUCGGGAGGGAGGGGAGGCGCGGCGUGCAGUGAGGAGGGGGGGCCGGGGUGGGCAGGGUGUCUUGAGGGGGAGGGGGGGCCGGUGAGAGGAGGCGGACCCGGCCGGUACGGGGAAAACAAAUUCGCCGAGUGUCCUAGGUGGACACUCGGUAAAGGGUUUCUUUGCCGAGUGUCCACCCUAGGACACUCGGCAAAGUUUUUUUAAAAAAAAUUAAAAAAUAUCUAACAGUUUCAAAAAAAUACCAAAUUUUCACACGAAACAAGAUAUGUUCUCUACUGACUAUACAAAAAGUUUUGUAGUCAAACCGAGCUCGACCGUCACUUCGACUCUAAAUUUUAUCGAAUCCUUCUCAAAGUUACUAUUCUUCUUCUGAGAUACUUCGGUUUGUAAUAAUCGUACAUGAUGAAAUGUGCAAAACCUUCUCAAUUUUUUUUCACAGCCUCCACGUAUUAUAUCAUCACAUCAUGACAAAUCUCAUGAUUUUCAGACUUUGCUUGUUUUUUUUACAAUUUAAAAAUACUACUGCCACACGUUCAUGGUCGUGUUUGCUGAACAAGAUGUUUGAAAUUUCUUUUCAUUUCAUGGGUCAGGUCUCAAAUUGGGCCAAAUAACAUGAAUAUCAUUUUUCUACUCAUUUUGUUCCAUAAUUUGAAUCACUUGCAGUUCAAAUUUGACUUAUACCAAAAAUUCCCUUGAAAUGCAAUUAAUUAAAUAAAUAUAGCAAAUAAAUUCAAAAAUAUACCAAAUUUUAACAUGGAGUACCACAUGUUGUAUGUGGGGAGUAGAAAAAAUUCCAAGGUGAAAAGAGGAAAAAAAAUUAUUUUUUUGCCGAGUGUCAAAAAAAACACUCGGCAAACCCCCCUCUUUGCCGAGUGUCUUUUUGACACUCGGUAAAGCCCCCUCUUUGCCGAGUGUUUUUUUUGACACUCGGCAAAGAGGGUGGUUUGCCGAGUGUUUUUUAUUUGAUACUCAGCAAAGCCCCGAUUUGCCGAGUGUUUUAUCUUUGCCGAGUAUUUUUGGCUUGACACUCGGCAAAGAGCUUGUUUGCCGAGUGCUCGAAAAAAAACACUCAGCAAAAAAAUUACACUCGGCAAUUUUUAGCUUUCCCGUACUGUAUGUCCCAAUUCCACGAUACUGGCUCGAUUCAUUGGAAUAGGAAGUCUCUGGAAUCUCAGUAGCCGACCAUCCAUGAUGUCUUGUUCAUUUGAUUUUGUGCCGGUCGCAAGUGCUUGUUUAAAAUCUAACAAAACACGGAGAUAGUCGCAAUGGACCAGUGGAUUACGGACCUCUGAUGACCUCUGGUGAAAACACUAAGCUGUUCUGCUUUGUCGUGGUCAUUGACAUCUCGAGAAGCACAUGGUUGCAGUUUCUUCCUUAUAUAUACAAAAGGCCGGCAAAUGAACUCUAGCAUGCAGAGGCUGGAACUUUUCCAUUUUCCAAAAUAAAAUACAUUAUAGGGUUCAGUUUCUUAUGUUUCCGAUAAGUAUUUUUCUCCUAUUUUUUGUUUGAGUCGGAGGAGCAAUUGUUUUCUCCUUUUGGAAAAAUCGACCAUUGGCACAUAAAAAAGUUCCAUUUGCCAAUCCAAAGAUUAUGAUACCGAAAUAUUCUAUUUUGCUAUUGCCAUGACUGAAAUGAAGAAGCAGUAGUGGAAAAAAACCACCAGUAUACUAUCUCAAAAUUAUCAAUUUUUUCUAGAUAAUGGAAAGGUUCCAGAUUCAGACCUAUCAUGGAAAAAGGAUCAUUCUAUAACUAUUACAACCACAAUCAAAAUUUAUCAGAUAAAUAUCAAAUUGUAUGGAUAUUAAUGAGAAUUCAAUGGUAGAGCUCAUUUCUAGCAACAUGUUGAAGUGGUCCGGGUUCUUAAUAUUAACGAAGUGGACACCAAAUUCUUUGUUGAGGAUAGAACUGUAAGUUACACUAGAUAUGAUAACUCGCUAGUUAUUUUACAACGGAGAAAAGCAGCAGAGUCGAUCGUCAAGAACAGUGGCCUCUAUACAGGUUGCAUCGAAAAGACGAUGACUUCUUGCAGUAUACGUUGGCACCUAUGUGUGUCCUCGAAAACAUGUUCUGGCUCUCUCUCAAAAAAAAAAAACAGAAAACAUGAUCUGGCCACACGGGAAGGAAACAGCACGUGACGAGCCAAACUGUUUCAAUGAUAUCGUACACUAUCAUCUUUCAAUUGCUUAGCUAGAAUGCCAUACAGGGUAGCUCAUGCAACAAGAGUACCUUAAGCUAAGCCUUUCAUGGAUGAGAAAUAUCGUUUUAUGGAAUGAACAAGUACACGUCCCGGAACAGAUUAAAUCUAGCGUAGUUCGUCAUGAACAGAAAUGAACUGAAUGCAAUUUAUGAAAACGCAAAUGCUUCUUUUACAUCCAUUAUUUUGCUUAUCAAUUGCAGCUGGUGGCAGUUUCUUUAGCCAAGAGCGUGGCGGUUCUGUUUAUGAUUUCCUUUAUUACACCACUUUGGUUGUCAACACUGUUAGUGCCUCUUUUAAGAGGAGGGAUCACCUUCAGGAUCACCAUAAGGGAUCACCUUCAAGAUCACCAUACCAAACUUGUUGACAAAUUAGAUAGUGACGCUAUUUUUGCUGGGAGGGGAAAAACUCAAACUCAAGAAACUAGUCUUACAAGGCCUUGUGAUAUACGGUGGGGUACAAAUCACAAGCUCGUCUUCAGUUGAUCUGGUCUUCUAUAUUGGUGGUCUAGAGAAUAUUAGUGAAGAUGGGAAAAGAAAACACGAGCAUCUGGUUUAAUAUAAAGAAUGGAGGCAUUUAAAUUUGUGAUUAUAUUACAUCUUAUAAUAGGGUAUUGCGGAAGACUCAUGAGCUGUCCCAAUCUUACUAUUACUAAUUGGAGGCUUCUUUUGAAGCCUCCAGGUGAAGUCACCUAGGAUUCCUAGGUGGACAAUCUAGAAAAAGAGAGAAGUCCUUGAAAUUCUUACAAAAAAAAUAAAACAUCUAGCCAUCAAUCGGUAGACUCAACUCAUCAUAGCCAUUGGAUCUAUUAUAUUUUAUGAAAAAUUACCCACCUAUAUCAUUAUAAAAAUAGCCUAAAGUAACCCCUAAAUCUAUAUCUAAAUUACCCACCUCUACCAUUAUAUAAAAUUAGCUAAAGUAACCCCCUAAUCUUCAUCAAAAUUACCCACUCAUGCUAUUAUAAACAAUAUUUAAAAUAACAUCCUAAAUUUGCAACUAAAUUGUCCACAACUAAUACUUCAAAAAAACUUAAAGUAACCCCUGAAAUUUGCAUCUAUAUUACCCACAUAUGCUAUUAUUAAAAAAUAAUAUGAGGUAACCCUACAUUUAAAUCCAAUCACCUUAAUUAAAAAUAUACAUCAAUAUAUGAACCUAAAUCAUCUAUUUCUUACACUAUUAGUAUAUGAUAUAAUAACUAAGGUAUGUACGCAUGACGUGGGUCACCAUUUAUAAAGAUAUAGGCAAGUGAUGAGAAUAUAGGUUUUAAUGUUAAAAUACAGCUCAAACUUAGGGUCCAUUAAACAAAUUCAAGCGCAUACCUGCGAUGCAAAGCGAAAAGUUAAAGAUUAUAAAUGUGGAUGAAAAUAUUAUAGAGUAAUUAGUAACUAAAUCUAUCACAAUCGGAUGAAAAUACUAAGUAUAUAUCUACAUAGGUAUUGUGUUAGAAUAUUUAACAAAUGAGAUGUAGCUCAUGUUAAUAGUUUUGUAGCUAUGUAGCCUUAUUUUUUUUUCCAUUGGAGACUCUGCAUUAGUUCCCACGAGAUACGUUAGAAAAAAAACAAAUCCUAAAAAUUCUCACAAAAAUCAGAAACAUCAAACAUCAAUCCUACUCUAAUAAUCAUUGUCAUUAGUCUAUUAUAUUUUUUAAAAACUUAAGCACCACUAUCAUUAUAAAGAUAUUCUAAAAUAAACCCUAAACCUAUAACUCUACAAUUAUAAAAAAUAAUCAUAAGUAACUCCAUAAUCUUCAUCCAAUUUACUCAUGCAUAUCAUUAUAAAGUAUAACUUAAAAUAUCAUUCUAAAUUUGUAUUUAAGUUACUCACCUAUGACGUUAUUAAAAAUAACCUAAAGUAAACACUUAAAUAUUAAUCUAAUUAUCUUCACGUGCCAUAAAGAAAUGUCCAAAAGCAAACUAAUAUAUGAUUCUAAAUUAUCUAUUUAUAUCAUUGUUAGUAUAGAAAUACUAAGUUAAGGUACAUGCAUAUGAUGAGUGUCACCAUGUAGACCAUUUAUACAUCUACGUGAGGAAGUGAUAGAAAAAUAUUAAUUUUUAUGCUAGGCACAAUGUAUGGAGGUGCUAUACAAAAUGAAAAAAAAGUGAGAAUGUGCAUGAAAAAGUGUAUAGAGUAAUUAUUAAUUAAAAAUCAAUCAUAACUGGACAAAGAUAAGUACACAUCUAUAUGAGUAUUAUGUUGAAGUAUUGAAAAAUGAGAGAGUAGUAGUAAAAAAUUUUGAUUAUUAGCUAGGAUUCUAAUUUCUAAAUAAUUUUAAAAUAUAAUAGCUUUUAAAAAUAUUAGCCCGUGCGGGAGCACUAAUAAUUGCAAUGGAAAAAUCAGAAUAUUGUUCAUGCAAUAUGAUUAAUUUGAUCUGUGUUGAAGAAUAUGAAUGACAUGAGUGAGAAUGGUUAGAUACACAGUACCAACUAGGGGUUGUUCUAGGUGUCGUGGUGCUAAAUUGGUCAGCUACUACCAUCAUUUCUAUAAUGGAAUUUUAUUGUUGUGAUUGAUCAUAUACUUGCUGGGUUAAACCACCAUUUUCCAGAAAGGUCAACUCAAUUAUGGAGAUGUAUAGCUUGUCUUGAUACAAAGAAUUCUUUUGCCAAUUGUGUGGUUCAGAAAUUAGUUGACCUAGCUAGGAUGUAUGCCGUUAACUUCUGUGAUUAUGAUUGCCUAAGACUUCGAGGACCAACUUGUCAUAUGCAUUGAUGAAGUUAGAUCCUGAUUCCUCAAGCUGUACUGAUUUGGGGAACCUUGCUGUGAGGAUGGUUGAAAGUACAUGCACAUUUCACUUUGGUGUAUCGAUUUAUUGAACUUUCACUAAUUUUGCCGUUGGCAACAACAGUUGAAAGGGCCUUCUCUUAUGAGUAUUGUUAAGAAUGAACGCAGAAAUAAAAUGGGUAAUGAAUGGAUGGAUGAUAGCAUGAUGAUGAGGACAUGACUAUUUCGAUAAUAUAUCGCUACCUAAUGAUAUUAAUAUGACUAGGAACAAUGGAAAGGAGAAGAAAUACUUAAAGAGAGGCAUGGGGACGAUGGAGAGGAUCAGCAUGGGGGCGUCCAAACCAUGUAGAGGCCCAAAGAAUAUUAAGGUCGAGCCUGUCUCGGAAUCCAAAAGUAGCCUGCACUAAAAUCAAUGCGGCCGCAUAUGGACGUUGUUUUGGACGUUCUACAUAUUCAUGGAAAGCUAAGUAGAUAAGCUUUCCAAUAGCACUAGUCCCUCAUCAAAAUUCAUUCGGAAUCGACGAGAAUCGUCAAAACAAUUGAGUGUACAGAAUUGGUUAAGAAGCGGUGUCACCAUCUUUUGAGCCGGUGAGCCGUGUAUCGUAUUGGGGUCUAUUAGGGACGUGUCCAGGGAGUGGAGCUCACCCCUAACAGCUUGUAUUCAGUAGCCGCCACCUACAAUAGGAUUUGGGUGCUUAGAUUAAUCUAUCUUUGAAUAGUUUUGCCCUUUAUCGGUUUAUGAGACCCCAACUCGCGUGCUCCAUAUUAUUAGCAAUAUUCAGAUUGUAUCUAUCUUGUUCUUAUUUGUGUUCUUCGAUUCGCAGGUAGGAAUUAGCCUUCGUGGUGAGGUCAACCAGGCACGUGGUGCUUCGGUUGCGGGGUUCGGAUCUUUCUAAUCAGAAACCGGAUCGAGUGUGUUGCUACUCCACCACCAAAUCGAGAGUUAUCCUUCACCUGAUGGAAGAUCAGCCACCCUAGUUCCCAUCACAUGACAUGCUUUACCGAGGGGUAUGUGUUUUCAUCCAUUGAAUAUGAAAAACUUUAAAGCGCUUUCAAGCGAUAAGAAACCAUAUGAUAGAUGUGCCCGCAAGCAAUGAGUGGUAUGUAUUGUAUUCCUUAAAUUUCAACCCAUAAUACUAUCUUCCAUACAUGGAGUAUUAUAACAGUUCAAAUUUUAAUGUAGGAUGGCGAACUAGUGGGCAAAGUGGUCAUGUAUGUUGGACUGAAAUGGAGAUAGAAGGCAUGUAUGAUCUUUUGGUUAUCAAAACUUGUUGAUUUGAUAGUUGUCUACCCACAAAAUUGUUUUCCAUGUUGCUUGAGCAUUUAAAAUUAAUACCUAACACUAGUGAGAUUCCUAGCCUCUUGUCAACAUUCCAAGUACCCAACGACUUGCCCGAAGUCUUCCCAUCUUGUCCUGCUCGGUUGAUGAUGCAUGCAGCUGUUUCAUAGAUGGAUGAUUCGCUAUGGAAACAGCGACCCUCUACCGAAUGUUGACCCAGCCGGUGUGUACUGGACAAAUAAUCAGCUUGUACCUACCUGGAAGCCUACCAAUAGGAGAAGACUGCAGGUCUUGCUUCAGCAGUGCCUGCCAGGUCUUCCACGUCUAUGAAGUUGACCCACAGAUAAUAAAGCCAGUCAAGCAUCCCUCGAGCGAGCAUCACAGGUUUUUCAAAAGACUGUUUAACUUAAAAUACGAAGGAAUAGCAUCAAUAUGUCUAUAUAUGUGAUCACUACAUGUACAACUAUGGUUAAAAAAUAAUAGCAGCUUUCGUUAGACCCAUUAGUUUAAUUAAUAUCAGAAUGUCAAUGAUGUCCGCAGUUAAAAAAUUAUGCUUCAUGGUGAAUAUGCAGAAACUAACUUUACAUCGUCAAUCUAUGUAUGUACAUGUAGUGAAAGGGGAUAUGAACUGUGGACAUGCAAACCAAUCCACAGUUAACUUUACCACGCGCACAGCAUGCUUUGCGCGAAGGCGACGAGAGGAAGUAUUUGGGCAAGACGACUCAUACAGCCAAGGGAAGGGCGGAGGGUCAUGACACAGUCAACACUUGAACAAAUUACCCAAUAACGAUGCAGCUGUUUCGUACAUGCAUGAGCCAAUUAGCAUGGCAAGCAGACUACUGAUAGUUACGUUACUGGACAACUAAUAAGAAGCAGCUUCUGCCUACCUGCAAGCUAACGGAUAGAAAAAAGGAGACUGAUUCCUGGCAGGUCUUCCCCUAGCAAUCAAGCCAAGGCCUUGUUUACUUCACCCCCAACUCCCAACUUUAGCACUAUACAAAAAGAAGAUUCCUCAUCACAUUAAACUUGCGGUACAUGCAUGGAGUACUAAAUGUAGAUGAAAUUAAAAACUAAUUGCACAGUUUUGUUGUACUUUGCGAGACGAAUCUUUUGAGCCUAAUUAGUCAAUGUUUGGACAAUAAUUCACAAAUCCAAACGAAACGCUACAGUGUGCUACAGUGCCAGCACAGUAAUUUGGCACCUCCUAAUUUGACCAACUAAAAAAGGCCCAAGUUGCAAGUACGACUGUGCACGCCUGUACACUUGCAAGUGGCAAAAAACACAUGCCAAGUUGUGGUAAUGGAGAGACCGAAGACUUGGUGUGUGGUUCGUUGACUUGGUCAGGCUUCUGUACUCUAGAAAGAACAUGUUGGUUCGCGUAUUUAUACCCCCUUCCUCUUUUGUUCCUCUAACCACUUAGGAAAAGAACUUCCCUCCAAUCUUCGAAAGCCCAAACCUUCGAUCUUCGUUAAGCCGAAAGACUGAUCUAGCCUAUCCAUGCCGUCACUAGUGCCCAAAUUAGCACAAGUGCUAUGGCUGGCCUCAGCGCUCGCAGCAAUUCACCCCGUUGUUGGAGCGCUGCCGCAGCCAAGUAGCAACUGCCAGAGAAGAUGUGGCCAACUCGAGAUCCCCUACCCGUUUGGCAUCGGAUCAGGCGACUCGCCUGACCACUGUGCCAUGCCUGGCUUCUACCUGAACUGCAGCGACUUCAGGACAUUUCUUGGUAAUGUCGAGGUGCUUAACAUCUCGAUACAAAACAGCACUGCACGGAUGAGGGUGACCAUGGCCUCAUCUUGCUACAACACCUCCACUAAGGACAUGGACUACGACGCUCGGGCGUUGAACCUUACAGGUACACCCUACAGGCUCUCCGACACGGCGAACAAGUUCACGGUUGUUGGGUGCAGAACAUUGGCAUACAUUGCUGAUCAGGACAACGUGGGAAAGUACGCGAGCGGCUGCGUGUCCAUAUGCAGGCGAGGUGAUGUGAGCAUCCUCACCGAUGGCUCAUGCUCUGGAAUUGGCUGCUGCCAGACAGCCAUCCCCAAGGGGCUACAAUACUACAAAGUGUGGUUCGCACGACGCUUCAACACAUCCCAGAUCUACAACAUCAGCCGCUGCAGCUACGCGGCGCUGGUCGAGGCAUCCAACUUUACAUUCUCCACAAGGUAUGCUACAUCGUCGGCGUUCUAUGACACUUAUGGCAGGAAGCCGCCGUUAGUGGUGGACUGGGCUAUCGGAAAUGGAACGUGUGAGGAAGCCCGUAACAAGCCUGGAUCCUAUGCUUGUGUCAGCAGCAACAGCCAGUGCUUCAAUUCCACAAACGGGCAAGGCUACGUCUGCAAUUGCUCCAAAGGGUUCCAAGGCAAUCCAUACCUUGUCGACGGAUGCCAAGGUAACGAAUCUGCAUAAACCUACAGGCUACAUAAUUGAAACAUGAAAGAUGCUGAGUAGAGCUGUAGAAUCUGAAGCUUAAUUAUGAUAUGUAUAAAUGUUACUGAAAACAUAGUAGUAGUACAGGUUCACAAGAAGCUACAAGCUAAGUCUAUUCCUGGUCUCUGAAGUAAAAUUUGACGCUCUAAACAUGUUAAAUGUUCCAUAUUAUCAAUCAAUAUAUUGCAAAUUUUUGACAAAAUAUUUUUUAUGCAAUUGCUAAUACUGCAGAUGUUGAUGAGUGCAAGGAUCUGGAAACCAACCCUUGCUCUGUGAAGGAAGCUUGCAAGAAUACUCAUGGUGGAUUUGAAUGUACUUGUCCUCGACAGUCCCCAAAAGGCAACGCCUACAACGGGACAUGUGAGAAAGACCAAUCAAUUCCACUUACAGUCACAAUUCCAAUAGGUACACCUAUCUUUCCUCUUUCAAUACAUUUAUUAUGUUUUAGAAGUAUAUAUGUUCAAAACAGAUCCACGAUCGUGAGAAGUUGGUGGAUAUUAUAAGAAGUAUCAAGCUGAUAACGUAUCCACGGACAUGGAGACAUAACCACGAAGCCACAAAUCUUACCAUUACUAAUUGGAGGCUCCUUUUGAAGCUUCCAGGUGAAGCCACCUAGGGUCCUAGGUGGACACUCUAGAAAAAGAGAGAAAUUCUAAAAAUUCUCACAAGAAAGCAAAACAUCUAGCCAUCAAUUUGUAGACUCGAAUCAUCAUAGCUAUUGGAUCUAUUAUAUUUUCUAAAAAAAUUACCCACCUAUGCCAUUAUGAAAAUAACCUAAAAUAACCCCCUAAAUCUGCCUUUAAAUUACCUACCCAUGCCAUUAUAUAAAAUAAACUAAAGUAACUCCUAAUCUAACUUACCCUCCUAAUCUAACUUACCCUAAUGUGAGGUGUACAAACAUUCAAAAUAGGUGUACGUAAAUCUAAUUUGUUACGUGACAGAUGCACGUACAUACGUGAUCUAUUUUUUCUGAAAAAAAAUAUACUAAUGGUUGCAUGUGAGUAACCCCUAAUCUAACUACCCUAACGUGAUGUGUAAAAAACCUCAAAAAUAUGUAUGCUAAUCUAAUUCUAUUACGUGACAGAUGCUAAUAUUACUUGAUCUAUUUCUUUAAAAAAUAUACUAAUGGUUGCAUGUGAGUGGCAAUGUAUCGUACGUAAAUAUAAUUCUUGACAUCUAAUAGAUUAUUUCUUUAGGUAAGUAAUAAUUGUGUUAUAUGCAACAUAUUUCAAACGAGACGAUGGCAGGUCAAAUUUUUAGGUGAAGUGACAAUUGUAUCAUACGUAACAUUGUAACAAGAAAUUGCUUGGAUAUGAGAUUAAAUUGUUAGCAACAUCAGAAAUAGCAUACAAGUGCAGAUGUGACAAAUAAAAAUCAUACUAUGAGACAUGGCAGACAUGGGACCUACAUGCCGUUGCACGGUAGUAGAGAAAAAAAUUGUGGAAAAAAAUUAAAAUGUUUAUGAUGCUAUGCACACAUGCUAACGGGACUUUAAAGAGAUAAAGACGGGAUGGAUGCAUGCAUACAUGUCACCGGUAGUUGGAAAGAAGUGGGUUAGUAGUUUUUUUCUAUUUUCUAAUUGGGUUUUUUCUUAAUAAUCAAAGGUCCAGAUUUAAUUCACGUCUUACCUCCCAGGAGGUAAGAGGUGUAGUCCGUCAUCAAAAUUACUCAGUUUGUUAUUAUAAAAAUAGUUUAAAAUUACUUCCUAAAUUUGUAAUAAAAUUGUCCACCACUAAUACUUAAAUAAAAAUAUUUUAAAGUAAUCCAUAAAUGUUCAUCUAUAUCGCCCACACGUGCUAUUAUUAAAAAUAACAUAAGGUAACCUAAACUUUAAUCCAAAUCAUCUUAAUUAAAAAUAUAGAUCAAUAUAUGGUUCUAAAUCAUAUAUUAGUAUAUGAUAUAAUUAUUAAGGUAUAUAUGCAUGUUUUGUGUCACAAUUUAUAAAGAUAUGGAGCAAGUGAUGAGAAUAUUGAUUUCUAUGUUAAAAGUAUAGCUCAAACUUAGGAUCCUUUAUUAAAAAAAUUGAAGCGCAUAACUGUGAUGCAACGUGAAAACUUAAAGAUUAUAAAUGUGGAUGAAAAUAUUAUAGAGUAAUUGCUAACUAAAACCUAUCACAAUCGGAUUAUCUAAAGAUAAUAAGUAUAUAUCUAUAUAACUAUUGUGUUCGAAUAUUUAACAAAUGAGAGGUAGAUCAACGUAAUAGUUUUGUAGCAAUGUGGCCUCACUUUUUUUUCCAUUGGAGACUAAGUUCUACGAGACAUGCUAGAAAAAAGGACAAAUCCUAAAAAAUUCUCAUAAAAAUUAGAAACAUCAAAUAUCAAUCCAGUAAACUCUAAUAAUCAUAGUCAUUGGUCUGUUAUAUUUUUAAAAAAGUUACCCACCACUUUCAUUAUGAAAAUAUUCUAAAAUAAACACUAAACCUUUAUAUAAAUUGCCGAGCUCUUCCAAUCCAAUUUACUUAUGCAUAUCAUUAUAAAGUAUAACUUAAAAUGUCAUUUUAAAUUUAUAUCUAAGUUACCCAUGUAUGUUGUUAUUAAAAAUAAUCUAGAGUAAGCACGUAAAUCGUAAUCUAAUUAUCUUCAUGUGCAUCAUACAUAAAUGUACAAAAGUAAGCUAAUAGAUGAUUCGAAAUUACCUAUUGUGUCAUUGUUAAAAUACAAAUACUAAGUUAAGGUAUACGCACAUGAUGAGUCACACCAUAUAGACCAUUUAUAUAUGUAUGUGAGGAAGUGAUGAAAAAUAUUGAUUUUUAUGCUAAACAUAAUAUAUGGAGGUGUGAUACAAAAUGAAAAAAGUGUGGAUGGGGAUGAAAGGUGUAGAGUAAUUAUUAAUUAAAAAUAAAUCACAACUAGAAAAAUAUAAGUAGACAUCUAUAUGAGUAUUAUAUCGAAGGAUUAAAAAUGAGAGAGUAAUAGGUAAACAAUUUUAACUAUUAAUUAGAAGUUUAAUUUCUAAAUAAUUUUCAAAUACAAUAACUUUUAAAAGCUUUAACCCAUGCUGAGCACGGGUUGAUAGACUAGUAUUAAACAAAUUGCAUACCAAUUAUUAAUUGUUUCAGCUAACCAGAGUGCUUUUCAGACUCUUUUUUCCAGCCGUCUAACAACUUAAAGUUUCCAUACAUGUCUGAUCUGCAGGAAUUUUUGGCUGUCUUUUGGUUGGUCUUUUACUUUUCCUUAUUAAAGAAUGGAUCAAGCACAAACGACGAAUAAUCAGGCACGAAUACCUAAAGAAAAUGAACGAAUGUUUUCAACAGAACGGUGGCCAACUUCUAAUGGAUAUGAUGAAAGUAGAGAGUAACAAUUUAUUUCAGUUGUAUGACCGGGAAGAAAUUGAGGUGGCCACAAACAACUUCGACAACAGAUCAAUCAUUGGAGAAGGUGGUCAGGGAACCGUUUAUAUAGGGCAAAAUCUUGAUGCACAAAACAAUCCUGUUGCAAUCAAGAUCUGCAAGGGAUUCGAUGAGAGUAGGAGAAGGGAAUUUGGUCAGGAGCUGCUUAUACUUUCUCGAGUAAAACAUGAAAACAUUGUCCAGCUUCUGGGUUGCAGCUUGCAGUUUGAAGCUCCAGUUCUGGUGUACGAAUAUGUGCCGAAUCAAACCCUGCACUACCUGAUCCAUAGACAAGAUGAUGCAUCCAUCAGAACUCUGGAAAUCCGUCUUAAAAUUGCCACUGAAAUUGCUACUGCACUAGCAUACCUACAUUCACUUAGUCACCCUAUCUUCCAUGGAGAUAUCAAAUCUGUCAACAUUCUUAUAGGCCACAAUCUCUCCGCUAAACUUUCUGAUUUCGGAUGCUCAAUGAUUAGGUCUGCUGAUGACAAUGUUCAAGUAGUGAAGGGGACAAUGGGCUACUUAGAUCCAGAGUACCUUUUGAACUUUGAGCUUACUGAUAAGAGUGAUGUUUACAGUUUUGGUGUUGUUCUUUUGGAGCUCCUAACACGUAGGACGGCACUGUCCGAAACAAAGGAGAGCCUCGUGUCUGUCUUCACGGAAGCCAUGAAGGAGGGCAAGCUUGUGGAGCUUAUAGAUACGGAGUUAGCCAACCAAGAAAACAUGGAUUUAUUACAUCAAAUGGCUGCAUUAGCAAGAGAAUGCUUGGCCAUGACUGGUCAACAUCGACCAAUGAUGAGCCAGGUAGCCGAGGAACUCCAACGAUUGGCAGGCCCAGUGCCACAGCGCACUCGACUGUUUCAUGGUGUUAACGCACUCAUGUUGCAGGGACGGUCGUUUAACAAUGCAGCAGGUGACUAUACUACUGAAGAAAGUACAGAUUACUACAACCUCCAGGAGAAAGCCUCCAUGAGCACAGAGUUUGCACGAUGAAAUCAGUAUGCAUUAGUUGGUUGCACAGAGUAUUUUUUCUUUACCUAAUAUUUUUUUCGGACACUCGGCAAAUAAGCUCUUUGCCGAGUGCCGAGCUGAAAACACUCGGCAAAGAAAAACCACUCGGCAAACAAGGGGCUUUGCCGAGUGGCAAAAAAAACACUCGGCAAGAGGGUGUGCCGAGUGUUUUUUUGACACUCGGUGAAACAUAAGUUUUUUUUCCUUUUGUGUUUUUUUUUGUUUACCUUUAUUAUUUUUUCCCUCCCUCUUCUUUUUUCUUCUUUUAUUUAUACUUCAUAAAUUAUUUUUUACUCCUCCUUUACCUUUAUUCUUAUAUAUUUUAUUUUAAUUACUUUUUUUUUUNNNNNNNNNNNNNNNNNNNNNNNNNNNNNNNNNNNNNNNNNNNNNNNNNNNNNNNNNNNNNNNNNNNNNNNNNNNNNNNNNNNNNNNNNNNNNNNNNNNNGAUCCCUCCCUUUGCCACCGCAUCUCGCCGGCGGCCGGCCCCUCCCCUCCAUCUCUUCCCUGGCGCCGGCCACUCCAUCUCCUUCCCCCGUGCCCCCUCUUUCUCCCAGCGGCUGGCCUGUGCCCCUCCCUAGAUCCGUCCGCCCGCGCCUCAUCUCCUCCCUAGAUCCGCCCACCCGACAGCCUCCCCUCCCUCUCGGACGCGGGCGUCGCCCCACCCCUCCUCCUCUUCACCAGAUCUGGCGUGGCCCCACCCUCUCCUUCCUCUCCGCCGCCCCGCCCCUCCUCCUCACCCUCCCCUCCCUCUCUGCUGCCCCGCCCAUCCUCCUCCUCUCCGGAUCCGGCCGCCGCAGCUCCCCCUCUCUCUCCUGGUGGCGGCGUGGUGCUUGUGGUGGCGUGGCGCGGCGGGAGGCGUGGUGGUGCUGGUGGUGGCAAUGGCGGCGAUGGCAGCGGGAGGCGUGUUGGUUGUGGUGGUGCGACGCGUCCGUGCUGUUGGUGGUGGUGCGCUCGAGGCUAGUGGUGUGAGGCGUGUUGGCGGCGGGAGGGGACGGCGGCACGGGCCAGUGGCGGGACGUGGUGCGGGCGGCGGUGGCGUGCUUUGUGGAGGUGCGGGCGGUGUGGUCCAGUGGCGGCAUGGGAGGUGGAGCCGGAGAGGAGGCCGACUUGGUGCUGGCAGUGGUGGUGUUGGCGGAGCCGGCGGUGGUGGUGGUAGUGGCGGCGGCGGAGCAGGAUGUGGUGGUGGUGGAGCACAAUAUUUUUUUUAUUUUUUCCAAAAAAUCUUUGCUGAGUGUUUUUUAGGCUUGCCGAGUGCCCGACAAAAAACACUCAGCAAAUAAAACUUUGCUGAAGAAAUUUUUGCCAUGUGCAGUGUGUCGAGCGUAACACUCGGCAAACACUUUGCUGAGUAUUUUUGGGGUUUCGCCGAGUGCCCCCAGGCAGUCGGCAAACCUUAUGAUUCCCGUAGUGUGUAGACAUAGUAUAUAUAUUGAGGUGUGUGUCCUAUUUAGAUACGUUCACAAUGUCAUAAUCUAAUUUUGUUCAACUUAAUACUUCCUCAGUAAAGAUUUGUAUAUUUUCUAUAUAUACUGAAAUUACAUUGUAUCAGGAAAGUGACUUUUGCCGUUCAAAAUUAUUGCAUUUAUAAAUAUGGUAAAGACUACUUUACAGCCGGCCGUAUUUUUGUUAAACGGAACUACCGGUUCCAUCCAGGAUCUAACAGCCACGGAAGCUAGCGCUCGUGGGCCCGUCGACUUCGUGCGGGGUCCACAGGUCAGACCAGACGUUUGCUCUCCCAGGCAUAGUAUAGAAAAUCUCGGGGCGCACCUGUUCGUCUUCAUCCGCUAUCUUUAUCAUUUCGCACCGCCGACUCUCUUUAGUCUGUAGGUACUAGUAGCGAACUCACCUUUAGUCCCAAUUGGUAGGGUGUAUAUCUCCUGAAAAUCUAUCUGAGAUAAACCAAUCGAGAUAAAAGGGAGAUCUUUAGUCCCGGGUCCUUCAACCAGGAGUAGAGUGUUUCGCCAACCAGGACUAAAAGUCCUACUUAAAUUUCAGGCGCGCGAACCUUUAGUAAUUGAGACUUUUUUUAUAAUGAAAUCAACUAGUAUUUAAACGAAUGAAAUUAGUAAUUAUACAAUUACUGUAUAUACACAAUUCUUAGUAUAUACACAAUUCAACUAGUAUAAUGAAAUCAACUAUACAAAUCGAUCAUAGCGCGUAUUAUAUAUACAAAUCAAACUAUAUAUUUACAAUCUUCCCGUCGAGGUGUUGCUCGGAGCGUCUAAAUUUCGUCCAUCGUAAUAAAAUUUUCCUUGUGGAUUUACCACCUCGUCCAUUAGGAAUCCAAUGAGACCUUCACAUAUUGCCGCUACUCUUUCUUUCUUCAAGAGUCCUUGUUGAAUAUUUAACAUCUAUAAUUUGGAAAUAUAUGAAUGUUACACGAACAAUUAAAUAUAAGGAGCUAGAAAAUAAUUAACUAUUAAUAGUUUUAUUUUACGUACUUUAAAGUUGUGCGGCGUCAUCUUUAGUCCCUUGGGUCCCAUAAAGCUGUGGAUAUGCUCACAGAUGUAGUAGCCACAUAGAUUAUUCCCGGAUUUCUGUCUUAAGCACUUCAGUGCGGAAAAAAAUAAGUUAUGAAAUAUUUGUGUUAUACAAUGUACUAAAUGUGCCGACUUCAUACGUACUGGGAAGUCUGUGUCCUUAUGAAUUGUUUCCAUGCGCUGCGGAUUAGAAUAAUGAAUGAUAUGGUGUAACAGGGAUAAAUUUAGGAAACAACUUUUGCAUAGAGAUAAAGGUCCAGAAUUAUUACAGCCUAGCACUUCUUGCAUGUCUCGGUACUCCACCGGAUCUUUUCCUCAACGAAUCGAAGACAGUGANNNNNNNNNNNNNNNNNNNNNNNNNNNNNNNNNNNNNNNNNNNNNNNNNNNNNNNNNNNNNNNNNNNNNNNNNNNNNNNNNNNNNNNNNNNNNNNNNNNNNNNNNNNNNNNNNNNNNNNNNNNNNNNNNNNNNNNNNNNNNNNNNNNNNNNNNNNNNNNNNNNNNNNNNNNNNNNNNNNNNNNNNNNNNNNNNNNNNNNNNNNNNNNNNNNNNNNNNNNNNNNNNNNNNNNNNNNNNNNNNNNNNNNNNNNNNNNNNNNNNNNNNNNNNNNNNNNNNNNNNNNNNNNNNNNNNNNNNNNNNNNNNNNNNNNNNNNNNNNNNNNNNNNNNNNNNNNNNNNNNNNNNNNNNNNNNNNNNNNNNNNNNNNNNNNNNNNNNNNNNNNNNNNNNNNNNNNNNNNNNNNNNNNNNNNNNNNNNNNNNNNNNNNNNNNNNNNNNNNNNNNNNNNNNNNNNNNNNNNNNNNNNNNNNNNNNNNNNNNNNNNNNNNNNNNNNNNNNNNNNNNNNNNNNNNNNNNNNNNNNNNNNNNNNNNNNNNNNNNNNNNNNNUACGUAAAAUCUCAUAAGUAUUAGAGCUAUGUGCACAUUAUUCAGGUAAGGGACAGGAGACACGAACGUGGACGGUAUAGACGCGCGUUCUUGAAGCUGCAUGGAAAUAGUAUGAAAUCCUUGAAAUUUUGGUCGUCUAGGAAAUUGUAUACUUCCACCAAGGUUUUUUCCAGUGAUACCUGUAUCUAUUUUUGGUUAACUACGGAUGGAUCCAUGAAGCCAAUAUGGAGAUACGCUUCUCGUCGGCACGUCUGAAUUAGCAUCCUACAUAAAAUGGAAGACGAAGUUAGUACAGUGACGCACGCAAAAAAAAAUAAUGAUAUGAGCCAAAAUUUACAUGUAGAUAAACGGACACUUACAGAACCCAGGUGCUGAUCAGAGAGACGUCCAGGUCAUCAUGAUGGUACACUUCGUAUAUAUCCUUGAGUUCUAGCCACAGAACUUUCUCGCCUUCGCUAUAAAAAUCUAUCGGUUUUACCUUAAGGCCGAACAUCUGUCUCGAGUCGGCGGACACCUUCAUGUACCAUUGAUGGAAUUCGUACAUCUUUGUUGAUAGCUUCCGUACCAACUCAGGCCUUACUAGAGAUUUGCCUAGCUCAAAAGUCCAUCUCGGUUGAACUGGCGGUGCAGCUGGCGGCUCAACUUGCCCUAAACAUUCAUCAAGUCCCAUACCUGUUUCUUCCAUGAAUUUCAAUACUUGUGCUUCUUGAUCCAAGGGCAUUGUUGCCAUCUUUUGAGCGUCUUUUUUUUGUAGAUGCACGAGGUCGGGUAUAGCACCACUGAAAGAUGACUUUCCUUUCCUUUUAUCCCUCUCAUCAGCCUUUACUAAAGCCUGUUCGUAGUUUGAUAGUAGUGGUAUACUUUUCUUGGCUCCUUCUUCCAUCCUGAUAAAAAAAUUUAAAUCUCUUCGAUUUACUGGCGGUGGCUCCAACUCUCUUACUUUUUUUUCGGCUUGUUUCUUAAACCACUGACUGGCCUCUGCUUGGAUUUCUGCCCACUGUUCCGCAUCACUCAUUGCCUCCCAGCGUUCCUUACAAGUCACUUCAGGCUCCUUUGUUUUCUUCUUUCUCUGUCUUGGCUUGGGAGGCGGUGCUUGUGACUUCUUUAGUGGUGCUGCAGGUUCCUUCAUCGGGGCUGCUCGUAGUCCUAGUGACGGUGAUCAGGGAUAGGUGUUGUUAUUGUCGUCGUCGCUCCCACCACCAGGAUGUGGUGGAGAUGGAGACCUUGAUCGAGCAGGAAGCGACGGUCCUGGAGUAGGUUGUGCAGGAGAUGACGGUCUCAAACUUUGAGGAGAAGGUCGCUACUAGGGAUUUGCGGGGAGCGGUCUUGAGCUCUGAGGAGAUGGCUCCGUGCUGGGAAUGAUGAUGUAGCGUUUGUGCCAUAGAAUUAUCCCAUGAAGCGCAUCUCCUAGUGUCGUUUCCCCAUCGCCUCCUGGGAGGUUGAGCUCUAUGCCUUCAUAUUAGCUAUCAACAAGCUGCUCUACGCUGACACUGGCGUAGCCAGGUGGAAUCUCCAUUCCAUAGCUUGUUUGCCCUGCCAGGAUUGAUAAUGCAUUCCCGUACGCCACCUGUACAUAUAGCAGAAGUAAACAAGUUAUUGAACUCCGAUCCCGAGGUGUGGAUCAUUUGAGAAGAUUGCAUAAAUAUUAUGUAUAAUUAUACCUUAAUAGUGAGGUUGCUGACCGAUGCAUGCAGCUCACAUGAGAUGCGUUGCGUGAUGGCAUCCACAACAAAUCGUUGCUCCUCCAUAGGUAAUCUGGGCAUCUGCGCAUCGGGGAGCCCUGUAGAAGCACAACUGCUUAAGAGGUGUUGAGAAGGGCUGGUGAAGUUUGGAUUCAGCAGCUCCAGAUUGGGCUAAUCCCGCAACUGCAUAGGCCACUCGACGAUUGAUUUCCUCCAAUAUUCUUUCUUCUUGGGAAUGCACUUUGGAUUCUAGCAUCUGCUGCCAACUCUCCUCGAUCUGUUCCUUCCUUCGCUUGCAGCUUCUGUACGAUGCGCUGUCGCCUCAGAAAGCAAACUUCAACAGAAUGACCCCGAACCCUCGGCAACGUCCUGGGUGCUCGGGAUUACCGAGAGCCAAUGUGAGAUCAUCAUUCUCUUAGUCCAUCUUCAACCUCCCAGCCUUAGAAUCUUCAAUGUUCUUCAUAAGCCUUUCGGCCUUUUGACGUAUUGUCUCAUUGAAUAUCAACAUCCCAUCCUCUUGGCUCAAGGAUCCUCCAUGAGUGUAAUACCAAUUUUUCGAUAGUUCGGACCAUUUAAUAGUUGCAGUACGAUACCCCAUUCAAUUAGGUCUUGUUCCAUCUUGUUCCAUUUGGGAAUUGCUGUGCCAUAACCACCUCGCCCUAGAUGAUGAUGGUACUCCUUCUGACUAAAAUUUGUAGUGUUGGUCUGGAUCUUUUUUCACACCGUCUUCACUCCCCUUAUAAUCAACAAAUGCCUCCCAGUGGUCCCUCAACUUUGGCCACACAUUGAAAUCUGGAGUUUGGCCCUUAUUAAGUUAGUUGGCAUCCAGGAUCUUCUUGAAUGUAUGCAAUUGUGUAGCCAUCUUCUUCAGCGUCCAUGCUUUCACAUCCUUUUCAAUAUAUCCUUUGGGAAAUGUGAAAUGUCUCUUGACAUCUUCCCACAGCAUACGGAUUAGUGCUUUUGCCCUUCCAUUCCCUGAUGCUGAUAGGCACGUUGUCCCUUAUGAUUGCCCCGAUCUGACUCAUGUACUUCUUUGCUACUUUUUUGGGAGCAACCGGCCUGCCCUCUUCUGUGACUUCUGUGAUGACAAGCCUCCCUUCCAUCACCCUUGUAUGACCUUGGGUCUUCUGCCCUUUUGUCGAUCCAGAGGGCUAACAGUUCAAGAUUCGUUAAUUAGUAUACAUAGUAUUAAUGGUGGGGUAAAAUAAUAGAAAUUAUAUAUACCUCGCCGAAACCUUCCACCACGGCAAGGUUUUGCUGGGGCUCGGGCUCUUCAUUGCCAUCGCCGGACAUGUUGAGGAACAUGUCCGCCUGGGUGCCCUCUUAAUCGGUGUACGAUAUGGGAAGGUUGGAGCCACUACCAUCACCAGAAAUAAUCUGCUCCAUGAGAUACCUUGCGGUCUCGUCGUCUGCCAUUUUCAAUUACUAAUUGAAACAUACAUGGAAUUAUACAUAAUAGUCAUGAAUCAUAGAACAAGUAUGAAAUAAGCAACUCACACAAAAUGAAACUUACAUGAAAUCGCCUUAGUUACAUGUGCGUAAAGGUAUAUACAUGAAAUCAUACAAUAACAUAAAUCCCACAAAGUCCGGAAUGUUUAUACAAAUUUCUACAAAUUAGUAGUAAUUUGUAAGAAUUUCUACUAAAUUUCUACUAAUUUCUACAUAUUUAUUGGAAUUUCUACAAAAUUUCUACUAAUUCCUAUUAAUUUUAAGAAUUCCUACUAAAAUUCUUCUAAUUUCUAAAUAUUUCUACUAAAUUUCUACAAAUUAGUAGUAAAUUUUUAAGAAUUUCUACAAAUUUAUUGGAAUUUCUAGAAAAUUUCUACUAAUUCCUACUAAUUUGUAAGAAUUUCUACCAAAUUUAUCUACUGAUUUUCUAACUAAUCUACUAUCUAUUGAUUUUCUAACUAAUCUACGAAUAUCUAUUGAUUUUAUACUAAUAUCUACUCAUUUUCUAACUAAAAAAUAAGAAAGGCCUUGCUGACGCAAGCCGGUGCCAGUGCCGGCGGACGCGCGAUGCCAAGCUAGGCAACGAGAUUGUACGACGCACGGGGCAGCGGGAUGGUAGUGGCCGGGGCGGCGGAAAAGCAAUGCGCACGCCAGAGCGAGGUGGCCGCAGCGACGAGGGGCGGAGGUGGCGCGACGGAGGCUGUGACGAGGCGCCGGGAUGGACGAGGGCACGACGGCGACGGAGGAGGUGGCGUUGACGGAGGCGGCAACUUGGAUGGAAGCGGAGACGAGGCCCCGUGAUGGAGGUGGCCGGCGGCGACGAGGUCGAGUGGGCGUGACGAAGGAGGAUCGGAGGCAGGCCAGGGCGAUGGAGGAGGAAGCGGUUCGGGCACGGGCGAGGCGGCUGGGGCGGCGGGACGACAGUGGCCGGGGCGAUAGGCAACGAGGACGACGGCGGCCGGCGAGGGAGGCGGAUGGGUGGCGACGGAGCAGGCGGGAGGGUGCGGGAUCUUGGCAGCGGUGAAAAUUUGGCUAAGUGUAACUGGCAUGGGGGGGGGGGUAGAAGAGGCUACAGUGGCUUUUAUCCCCCUCCCCUUUAUCCGGGUUCAUAAUUGAACCCAGGACUAAAGGUCCUUUUAUCCCGGGUGCCAACACCAACCGGGACAAAAGGCCCUUCGCCUUUUAUCCCGGUUGGAAACUGUAACCGGGAUAAAAGGCUACGUUCCCGGGAUAAAAGGCUACGUUCCCAGCGGGAAUCGAAAACUACCCUUUUAUCCUGGUUACAUUUGGCAACCGGGAUAAAAGGGGAGCCUUUUGUCCCGGUUGCUAUUGGCACCCAGGACAAAAGGGACGCCCUUUUAUCCCGGUUGCUUGGCCUUUUGUCCCGGUUACUAUUGGCACCCGGGACAAAAGGGCCUUUUCCCAAACUUUCGUCUCCCGCCUGUUUUUUGGAAAUGGAUUUUAUUUAUAUUUUCACUGCAUUUCAGGAUGAAAAACAAAAAACUUUACAUAUUUGAACAUGCAAAAAUAUAUUAAAUUAGCGAGUAUAAUGACAAUAAGUGUGAAUUAGUCAUUAAUUCUAUACCAGUUCAUUUAGCUUCUAAAAUAAUUAUUUUACUGCAUCGCUAUGAUCAAGAAUUUAUUCAAUUAAAUAAUUUCAACGCGCGAAAAAUUCCAUUUAUGUAUGUGGUUAACAUUGUUCAUGUUUAUCUAAUAAAUCUUCACCUCAACUAAUUUAAGCACACAUGAAAUCAAACAUAUGUUAAAUUAAAAAUUGUAUCAAGUAGUACAUAAAGGUCAUGUAAAUUUAGUGCAUUACAAUACAACGUUAUAAAAUUUCUUCUUCACGAAAGUUCCUUGAUCAUGAUCGCGGCGUAAGUACGGAGCCUCUUCUUUGGAUAGCAGGAUACUUGGGUCAACUUCAACAGCGAAUGGAGGCAUGCCAUCAAACUAAUCAUAAUCAUCUGAUUGGUCUAUUUUAUUCUCGACUCCCACGAUUUUUCUUUUACCUGGAAGAACUAUGGGGUACUUUGGCUCCCAUGGCUCUUUUGGAUUUCUCUUGGGGUUUCUAGACAUGUCCUUCACAUAGAAAACCUGAUGCACAUCAUUGGCAAGUACGAAUGGUUCAUCAUUGUAUCCAGUCUUGCUCAGAUCCACUAUUGUCAUUCCGUACUGAUCUUUGGUUACGGCAGUUAGCUUCACCCAAUUGCAAAGAAAUAGAGGGAUGUAGAGCGGUCCGUAUUCGAGUUCCCAUAUCUCCUGUAUGAAACCAUAAUAUGACUCCUUGCUAUUAUUUCUAUCUAUGGCAUCUAUGCCGACACCACGAUUCUGGUGCGUGCUUUUCUGGUUCUGAGCUCUCGUGUAAAAUGUAUAACCAUUUAUCUCAUAGCCUUGGAAUUUCACAAUUGUGCUAGCAGGACCCCUGGCUAACCAAGCAAGCUGUGGGUGAAUCUCAGAGUUACCCAUAAGUUGUUGGCGCAACCAGGAGGGAAAAGUUUCCAUGUGAUGACGUGUAAGCCAAGCAUCGGAUUUCAUCGGGUUUUUGGAAACUACCAUCUGCCUGUGCUGCUCGAUAUACGGAGCCACAAAGGAUGACUAUUGCAGAACAGUGUAGUGUGCCUUGUCAAACAUAUCAGUAUCAUUGCUCAAACUUGAUUUCUUUCCAAGGGUGCUCAUUCCCCGUAGCCUCCCCUCGUGGCGUGAAGUUGGAACCCCAAUCAAGUCAAUUGAGUUAAUAAAAUCAACACAAAAUUUGAUCACCUCCUCUGUUCCAUAUCACUUGGCGAUGCUUCCUUCUGGACGGGCACAAUUAAGAACAUAGUUUUUUAGGACUGCCAUGAACCUCUUGAAAGGCCACAUAUUGUGCAAGUAUACAGGUCUGAGAAUACCAAUCUCUUUUACUAGGUGAACCAUUAAGUGCGUCAUAAUAUUGAAGAAGGUUGGUGGAAAUACCAACUCAAAGCUGACAAGAUAUUGCACCACAUCGUUCUGUAGCUUUGAUAGCUUAGAUGGAUCAAUUGCCUUCUGCGAAAUCGCAUUGAGAAACGCGCAUAGCUUUAUGAGCGGCAACCGAACAUUUUCUGGUAGAACACACCUCAGUGCAACAAGAAGCAAUUGGGUCAUCAACAUGAGGCAGUUGUUGGCCUUGAAUUUGUAAACUUCUUUUGUUUCAUAUUUAUUAUUCCCUUUAUAUUCGAGGAGUACCCAGAUGGGACUUUCAUACUAUUUAAGCAUUCAAACAUGCUAUCCUUCUCUUCCUUGCUGAGAGUGUAACUGGCAGGACGUAAGUAGUGCUGUCCGUUAUCUCUCUUUUCCGGAUGUAGGUGAUCUCGUUGUCCCAUGGCUUUUAGGUCCUGUCGUGCUUCCAAUGUAUCUUUCGAGGCCCCAUAAACACCCAUGAAGCCUAGCACGUUCAUUCAAAGAUUUUUCAUCAGGUGCAUCACGUCUAUUGUGUUGCGAACCUCUAGGAUUACCCAAUAAGGUAGCUCCCAAAAUAUUAACUUUUUCUUCCACAUGGGUGCACGUCCGUUAUCAUGGUUCGGAAUAGGUUGCCUACCAUGACCCUUUCCAAAGACUACAUUUACAUCCUUUAUCAUCUCGAAGACACGCUUUCCAUUACGGUAUGCAGGUUUUUUAUGAUGGUCUGGCGCCCCUUUGAAAUGCAUCCCACUCUUUCUCAGCUGGUGGUGAGUAGGGAGAAAUCGACAAUGACCCAUAUAGACGACCUUCUUACAGUGCUUCGAAUACAUGCUGUUUGUGUUGUCUAAAUAGUGGGUGCAAACCCGAUAUCCCAUGUUUGUCUAUCCCGAAAAAUUACUCAGUGCAGGCCAAUUAUUGAUGGUUACGAACAACAAUGCUUGUAGAUUAAAGAUCUCUAGUUUAUCAUCAUCCCACACACAUACACAUUCUUCCUUCCAGAGCUGUAGAAGUUCAUGAACUAACGGUUUUAGGUACGCGUCAAUGUUAUUGCUGGGUUGUUUUGGGCCUUAGAUAAGCGUUGAUAUCAUAAUGAACUUUGGCUUCGUGCACAGCCAAGGAGGAAGGUUGAACAUACAUAGGGUCACAUGCCAAGUACUAUGGCUACUACUCAACUCACCGAAUGGAUUGAAUCCAUUAGUACUUAAACCAAACCUUAUGUUUUUUGCUUCACUUUCAAAGUUCGGGAAUGCUCUAUCAAUUGAUCUCCACUGGGCCCCAUCUACGGGGUGUCUCAGCAUCUCAUUUUCCAUAUGUUCUUCUUUGUGCCAUCGCAUCAACUUAGCAUUCGCCUUGUUAUGAACAAGUGCUUCAAGCGUGGUAUUAUAGGGAAAUACCACAUCACCUUCGCGGGAACUCUCUUCUUGGGAGCCUGGCCUUCGACAUCACCAGGAUCAUCUCGCCUGAUCUUAUACUGUAGUACUUUGCACACGGGACAAGCAUCCAUUUUCUCGUAUUCAUCACCAUGAGAGAGGAUACAGUUAUUAGGGCAUGCGUGUAUCUUCUGAAUCUCCAAUUCACCAUGCUUGGUCUAAACCAAAUAGUUAGGCAUGAAACCGUAUCUAAACAAGUGGCUGUGAAUACUCCCCAAGAAAAUCCUUUGAAUAGUCCUUCUUGUUAUUGCAUUGGAAGCAUGGACAACAUAUGAACCCAUUCUCUGGCUUGUUCGCUUUGGCCACUUCGAGAAAAUAAUGCAAACCAUCAAUAAACACCUUGCUCUGUCUGUCUGCAUUAUACAUCCAUUGCCGGUCCAUCUGCAUCGUAUUACACAUGAAAAUGGAUUACACUUGAAAAUGGAUUAUGCGUGAAAAUAGAUUACACUAAAAAUUGAUUACACGUGAAAAUAAAUUACUCUUGAAAAUGGAUUACGUGUGAAAAUGUAUUACACUUGAAAAUUGAUUACGCAUGAAAAUGGAUUCACAAUUCAAAGCAUGUCAAACGUUGUAGUGCAAAUAAUGCUAAAAGUUUAGAUACAGAUACAAAUACACAUAUUUCAAUUAAAGAUCCAAACAACAUGAUAGACUACGACAAGCCAUCCAUGGGUUAUUAUCUAGGAGGACUUUAAGCAUCCUUGGGCAGUGAAGACGAAGGUUCCACUAACUCAGCCUCAUCCUGUAGUUUAUUUGUGCCGCCUGAAACGGUAGUACGAAGUGGACGUGAAACACCCGGGACUGACGGUGGAGCAUAACGACCACCAGAAGGAGGUUCCUGACCCGCCGCAACAUCUUCUUCAUGAUGUUCUUGCAAAUAACGAAGCAUUGCUUUCUCCAACGUGCUCAUUUUCUUCGACUUAUCCUGAGGGCCAACUAUGUUUUCCUCUUGCCGGAAGAGGAACGACGAUAGCCCCCACCAUCGCCACUUCCUCCAGUAGCAGAAGUCAUCUAUGUACAAAAAUUCAUACCUUAGCACUGGAAGACCGUGAUCAUCUGGUGAGCAUGUUCUCAACUGGGUGGCACCGCACUUCGUCAUGGAAGAGGUUCGAUUCUAUGAAAAAGGGGACACGGUCUUCCACGAUGUCUGUAUCCACUUUUUCUCGUAGAAUCGGACCUCCUCCUUGACGUAUGUUGCUGCUCGGCGGAGAACAUUCUCACCGAGAUGAACACGGUAUGCAAGUUCAACAAGUAUGGAUUUGAAAAACCAUAUUGAAUUUGACAAGAUAAACCAUCUAGACAAGGGUAGCAUCAUUAUUAAACCACUACAAGAAUACAUACUAUAUAUGACACAUCAAUCUCCCUCACAUUCUAGCUCAAAAUACCUCUCCAUUUUCUACUUCACAUUCUAACAAAUAAACUAUCCAUUCCAAAUCAUAAAUAANNNNNNNNNNNNNNNNNNNNNNNNNNNNNNNNNNNNNNNNNNNNNNNNNNNNNNNNNNNNNNNNNNNNNNNNNNNNNNNNNNNNNNNNNNNNNNNNNNNNNNNNNNNNNNNNNNNNNNNNNNNNNNNNNNNNNNNNNNNNNNNNNNNNNNNNNNNNNNNNNNNNNNNNNNNNNNNNNNNNNNNNNNNNNNNNNNNNNNNNNNNNNNNNNNNNNNNNNNNNNNNNNNNNNNNNNNNNNNNNNNNNNNNNNNNNNNNNNNNNNNNNNNNNNNNNNNNNNNNNNNNNNNNNNNNNNNNNNNNNNNNNNNNNNNNNNNNNNNNNNNNNNNNNNNNNNNNNNNNNNNNNNNNNNNNNNNNNNNNNNNNNNNNNNNNNNNNNNNNNNNNNNNNNNNNNNNNNNNNNNNNNNNNNNNNNNNNNNNNNNNNNNNNNNNNNNNNNNNNNNNNNNNNNNNNNNNNNNNNNNNNNNNNNNNNNNNNNNNNNNNNNNNNNNNNNNNNNNNNNNNNNNNNNNNNNNNNNNNNNNNNNNNNNNNNNNNNNNNNNNNNNNNNNNNNNNNNNNNNNNNNNNNNNNNNNNNNNNNNNNNNNNNNNNNNNNNNNNNNNNNNNNNNNNNNNNNNNNNNNNNNNNNNNNNNNNNNNNNNNNNNNNNNNNNNNNNNNNNNNNNNNNNNNNNNNNNNNNNNNNNNNNNNNNNNNNNNNNNNNNNNNNNNNNNNNNNCUGGAGAGUAGGUGAAGCCCGGAUUUUUUCCCUAAUUUUUGUGCAAAUUUCACUCAUCCAAAGUGUUGAGAAGGUUUGCUACUUCAUCCUCGUGUUACGCUUUAAUUUAUGCUUUGGAAAUGGAUAGUUUAUUUGUUAGAAUGUGAAGUAGAAAAUGGAGAGGUAUUUUGAGCUAGAAUGUGAGGGAGAUUGAUGUGUCAUAUAUAGUAUGUAUCCUUGCAGCGGUUUAAGAAUAAUGUUACCCUUGUCUAGACGGUUUAUCUUGUCAAAUUCAAUAUGGUUUUUCAAAUCCAUACUUGUUGAACUUGCACACCGUGUUUAUCUCGGUCAGCAUGUUCUCCGCCGAGCAGCAACGGACCUCAAGGAGGAGCUCCGAUUCUACGAGAAAGAGCGGAUACGGACAUCGUGGAAGAUCGUGUCCCCUUUUUCGUAGAAUCGAAGCUCUUCCAUGAUGAAGUAUGGUGCCGCCUAGUGGAGAAAAUGCUAGGCUUGAUGAUCAUGGUCUUCAAGCUCAACAAAUUCUGCAGGCAUACCGUAUUCAUCUCGGUAAGCAUGUUCUCCGCCGAGCAGCAAUGGACGUCAAGGAGGAGCUCCGAUUCUAUGAGAAAGAGCGGCAACGAACAUCGUGGAAGACCAUGUCCCCUUUCUUGUAGAAUCAAAGCUAUUCCAUGAUGAAGUACGGUGCCGCCUAGUGGAGAACAUGCUCGUCGAGAUAAUCACGGUCUUCAAGUUCAACAAGUUCUGCAGUGCUAAGGUAUGAAUUUUUGUACAUAGAGAUAGCUUCUGCUACUGGAGAUAGUGGUGAUGGUGGGGGCGAUCAUCGUUCCUCUCGUGACAAGGGGCAAACCAUAGUUGGCCCUCAUGAUAAGCCGAAGAAAAUGAGCACGUGGGAGAAAACAAUGCUUCAUUUUUUGCAGAGAUGUCAUGAAAAUACUGUUGUGGCGGGUCAGGAACCUCCUUUUGGUGGUCGUUAUGCUCCACCGUCAGUCCCAAUUGUUUCACAUCCACUUAGUACUACCGUUGCAGGAGGCACAAAUAAACCACAGGAUGAGGCUGGGUCAGUGGGACCUUCGUCUUCACCGCCCAAGGAUGCUUAAAGUCCUCCUAGAUUAUACUCAGUGGAUGGUUUGUCGUAGUGUAUCAUGUUGUUUGGAUCUGUAAUUUUGAAUAUGUGUAUUUCUAUCUAAAUCUAAACUUUCAGCAGUAUUUGCACUACAAAGUUUGACAUGCUUUCAAUCGUGAAUAGCAUGUAGAUGAGUUGUAAAGUGUAUAAAAAAAAUCAUAAUCCAUUUUCAUGCGUAAUCCAAUUUCAAGUGUAAUCCCUUUUCAUGCGUAUUACGAUGCAGAUGGAUCGGCAAUGGAUGUAUAAUGUGGACAGACGAAGCAAUGUGUUUAUUGAUGGCUUGCAUUAUUUUCUUGAAGUGGUCAAAGCGAACAAUCCAGAGAACGGGUUCGUAUGUUGUCCAUGUUUCCAAUACAGUAACAAGAAGUACUAUUCAAAGGAUUCCUGGGGGACUAUUCACAGCCACUUGUUUAGAUACGAUUUUAAUGCCUAACUAUUUGGUUUGGACCAAGCGCGGCAAAAGAGGGGUUGUAAUAGAAGACGGCGAAGAGGAGGAUGAUGACAACAUUCCGGACUAGGCUGCAGGCCAAACUUUUGCAGAUACUACAAUGGGCGAGGUUGAUGAAGAUGAGUUUGCAGAAGAUGGCCCUACCGAUGACCUUGGUCAGGUGCUACGAGAUGCACACAGAGAUUGCGAAACUGAUAAGGAAGCAGCAAAGUUGCAGCGCAUGAUAGACGAUCACCAAAAAUUGUUGUACCCAGAUUGCCAGCAGGGCCAUAAAAAACUGGGUAUGACACUAGAAUUUGUGCAAUGGAAGGCCAAAAAUGGUGUGUCCGAUAAGGUAUUUUAGGGGAUGUUGAACAUUGUCAAGAAGAUUCUUCCCAAGAAUAAUGAAUUGCCAUCUACAACAUAUGAAGCUAAACAGAUUAUUUUCACUCUGGGAUUGGAGGUUCAGAAGAUACACACAUGCCCUAAUGACUGUAUCCUCUAUCGUGGUGCUGAAUAUGAGAAAAUGGAUGCUUGUCCCAUGUGCGAAGCGCUACGGUAUAAAAUCAGGUGAGAUGAUCCUGGUGAUGUCGAGGGGCAGCCUCCCAAGAAGAGAGUUCCUGCACAGGUGAUGUGGUAUUUUUCUAUAAUACCACACUUGAAGCGCUUGUUCAGGAACAAGGCGAAUGCUAAGUUGAUGCGAUGGCACAAAGAAGAACGUAAGGAAGAUGAUAUGCUGAGACACCCCACAGAUGGGGCCCAAUGGAGAUCAAUUGAUAGAGCAUUCUCGGACUUUGAAAGUGAUGCAAGGAACAUAAAGUUUGGUUUAAGUACUAAUGGAUUCAAUCCAUUCGGUGAGUUGAGUAGUAGCCAUAGUACUUGGCCUGUGACCCUAUAUAUGUUCAACCUUCCUGUGGCGGAUCCACUUCGGAUUUGCUUGAUUAAACAUGAUUCAGCCGCAUGAUACGCGACACUCACGCCUAAACAAAGUAAACACGAAGUGCCGUCGGAUUUCAUCCGAUUUAACCACUUGAACAGGACCGAAUAGCAAACCCACAUGAAGGUGAGCGGUUCCAGAGAAUACAACAAGUCCACCGAGUUAACAAAUUAACCAUUUAGUUUGGUUAUAAAAUAACAUCAGAGUUUACAAGAUCAGAAGAAAAACCACGAAGGGUGAAACCACUAGCGGAAGCUAACUCGUUGGGGUCGGCAUCCCUGGUGAGGCCAACCGGGACAUCAAUGAUCCCUCUCCUCACCGUCCGAGGAGGGAUCCCACUCAACCGUCCAACCCGGAGGGAGUUGGGGCGGCCAAGUGCCAGCAGAGGGAGGCUCAAAGACAGCAACUUCACCUGAAAAAGAAGAGCCACAACAAGGUUGAGCUACUAAGCUCAACAAGACUUAACCGACAGGGAGCGUGCUAAACUACCUCUUCUAGACAUGCAAGGCUUUUUGGCUGAGGGGUUUGUGUUGCCAAAAGCGCUAGGUGUAUUCCUACUUUCAAGUUUUAGCUCCGGUUCUAAGUUCAUUAUCCGGUCUAAGUUUGCAACCUAUUCUAAGCAACCAAGAACCAACCAAAGGUAUAUACAUCAUCAUCAAAACCAUGUCAUCAUCAGAUUCCUCAUUUACUCAAGGUGACAUAGCGAUCAAGCAGUCUCAAACUGUGAGAGGCAGACGAAUCGAUUCGAGUUUCUUAACCAUGCAUGGCGAACCUAAUCUCACGACAUCCGCGCACCACAAGGGUCGCUUCCUGUGUCGGCCGUCCCCAUCAAUUCCCAGGCGCGUGUCAGGUCCAAACUUCCCUUGGCAUGCAAUGCUCCACAGUCCCAGCCUCUACCGUACUGUGACCGCACUUGCACCCACAUGAUGCACCAUGGGAACUUCGUUCCAGGGACAACAGGGGUAUAAACCACGCCCUAGUUCAAUCAGGUACUAGGCUUCCCCAUCCCAUACUAGGUAUGAGAUUAGUACUUUCAAACACUUGAUCACGAACACCACCACUGUCGGGCCUUAACAUGUUUCAUAGAAAGACGGGGCGAUCAACCGACCACCAAAAGUUACCAAAACCCUGCCCCGUCCAUCGUCCUUAUAGUUGUAAUAGAAGGGAAAACAACCAACUCCUACAACUCGCGAGUGACAGGGAAUCACUCGACUUUUACCGUUUCCUAUUUAAGCAAAGCAUCUACUCGGUCCAACAGCUAGUGUUCAGAUCAAGGGAGCUAAGUUAUGCAUCUAGGGUUCCAAACAAUUCCUAUACGUAAAUGCACACGCAUGUUAAAGAAGGCAUGCGCAAGUUUGGUAAAACAUAGGGGAUUUAUGCAUCCGGGGCUUGCCUUCAAGCAAGGAGGAGUGAAACUGCUCGUCUGCUUGGGCGGCUUCGGCUUCUGGAGGCAGGAGCUCAGCUACACCUUCGUCUUCUGGCGCCGGGUGCAGCUCGUAGAAGCCGUCGGCGAGACGCAGCUCUACACGAAUGCAAUGCAUGGGUUAGCAUUUAGACGGUUAUUUCAAUAGCAACACUUGCAAGUUUGAGCCUAGAAACUUGCGACAAGUUACAGGAGGGUGGGGAGGUUCAAUGGAGUCGAUGGAGAUCAAGGUAUAAGGUUCGGAUGGGGAGGCACUUACGAUCUAACCCUUAAUCUAGAGGAAUAGAUGUGCUAGGGGUCCUCAGACUCAACGUUGAAAAGUCCCCAAUUUUUACACAUACACCCUCGGUUCAAAGAAAAAGAUACAGCCGAGCCCUUGGGCGAGGCGGAGAAGGGUCGGCGGAACAGACAGGGUCAGGCGAGACGGAACCGGGGUCGGGCGGAUAGGAGGGGUCGGACGAGGCGAACAAGGGUCGGCAGCCUACCUUCGUCUUACAGAGAAGGCUUGGGCGGAAGGACUAAGGGCUUGGGACAGCGGUGAGGAUGUCCGGCGGUGUUCCGGCGGCGGCGGUGCUUCUUGUGGAUCACAAGCAAACUCUUGGGAAGCAGUGGCUGGUGGAUUGGGGAAAGGUGGUGUUUGAGCAGAGAGGAGAGUUCCUCAGAUUUUGGUGGUGGCGCUAUGAGCAUGAACAUGGAGUAAGAGAGAGGGCAGCGAUGGCAAGGGGAACUUCGGCGGGGCUUCGGCAUCCCAUUUUAUAGCUGCGCGGAAGAGGGAAGGGGGAGCGGCGCGAAGGCUGGGGAAGAAGCGAUGGAGUGCUCUGCCGGGGCAGCGAUUCAGCGACGAGGGCGGUGGAGCAGGACUUCGGGGAUGACACCGGCGGUCAUUGGGCACUGACGUCAGGGCGGCGCAGGCGUGGGUUUGCCGGUGGUUGAGAUUUGGCGGAGGUGGGCGUCGUCGUGCGGUGGAUCUGAUGGAAGUGACCGGGAAAACGGCGCUAGAAACGAGGGCGCACAGAUGAGAAGACAGGUGGCUGCGGUCGCGCGGGCGAGCGCGGAGCAACAGAUUGUCGGGGCGGAGCUUCUGACAGGGCAGAAAAGGAGUUGUCGCUGCUGCGGUCUGGGUUGGCAGAGGAGGAAUUGUCGCGUAGCGAGGACCGGGGCGGCGCGACUGUGGCGAGGUGAUGGAAAAGACGGGCGGCAUCGGGCUCUGCAGCCGGGAUCUGGCGAUGUGAUGAUGGGCGUGGGCGGCGAGGUGCUGCAGAAAGGGUAGCAGAGGAGCUUCUGCCGCGAUUGGGGAAGGGGGCGCGAGAAUCCAUCCGGUCGUGGGCCGGCGACGAGGCGGAGCGGCGGGCGUCGGAGGAGUUGAGCCACGCGGCUGGGGAACUCUGAAGUGGGCAAGCAACUCGAGUGCGCCUGUCGCGGGAGAUCUGGGGAAAAAGAUCUCGUGGGCCCACCGGUCAGUCUCGGUGGUCCACGGCUCGAACUGAAGGGCGACGCUGUGGGAUGGCUUAGAAAGAUCCGACGGUGGGUUGGGGGUCGGCGGGGUCAGAACUGGGGAGACCACGGCGAGGGGUCGGAUCGAAGGGUCGGAAGAUCUGGAGGUUGAACACUUAGGCUUGGAAACUGAGAUAGGGGAUCAGAGACUCGGAUUAAGAUUAACGCGAAGGAUUUUCAUCCGAGGCCGUUACACUUCCUCCGUGGCUGUGCACGAAGCUGAAGUUCAUUAUGAUGUCGAUGCUUAUUGAAGGCCCAAAACAACCCAGCAACAACAUUGACGUGUACCUAAAACCGUUGGUUGAUGAACUUUUACAGCUUUGGAACGAAGAAGGUGUAUGUGUGUGGGAUGAUGAUAAACUAGAGAUCUUUAAUCUAUAAGCAUUGUUGUUCGUAACCAUCAAUGAUUGGCCUACACUGAGUAACCUUUCGGGAUAGACAAACAUGGGAUAUCGGGUUUGCACCCACUAUUUAGACGACACAAACAACAUGUAUUUGAAGCACUGUAAGAAGGUCGUCUAUAUGGGUCAUCGUCGAUUUCUCCCUGCUCACCACCAGCUGAGAAAGAGCAGGAUGCAUUUCGAAGGGGCGCCAGACGAUUGUAAAAAACCUGCACAUAGUAAUGGAAAGCGUGUCUUUGAGAUGAUAAAGGAUGUAAAUUUAGUCUUUGGAAAGGGUCUUGGUAGCCAACCUAUUCUGAAUGAUGAUAACGGACGUGCACCCAUGUAGAAGAAAAAUUCAAUAUUUUGGGAGCUACCUUAUUGGGAAAUCCUAGAGGUCCACAACGCAAUAGAUGUCAUGCACCUGACGAAGAAUCUUUGCGUGAACAUUCAUGGGUGUUUAUGGGACCUCAAAAGAUACAUUGGAAGCACGACAGGACCUGAAAGUCAUGGGGCAACGAGAUGACCUACAUCUGGAAAAGAGAGAUAAUUGACAGCACUACUCACGUCCUGCUAGUUACACUCUCAGCAAGGAAGCAAGGAAGAGAAGGAUAGCAUGUUUGAAUGCUUGAAUAGUACGAAGGUCCCGUCUUGGUACUCCUUGAAUAUAAAGGGAAGAAUAAAUAUGAAACAAAAGAAGUUUACAAAUCUCAAGGCCCAUGACUGCCACCUGUUGAUGAUCCAGUUGCUUCCGGUUGCACUGAGGGGUGUUCUACCAGAGAAUGUCCGAUUGCCGCUCGUAAAGCUAUGCACAUUUGUCAAUGCGAUUUCACAGAAGGCAAUCGAUCCAUCCAAGCUAGCAAAGCUACAGAAUGAUGUGGUGCAAUGUCUUGUCAUUUUUGAGUUGGUAUUUCCACCAUCCUUCUUCAAUAUUAUGACGUACUUCCUGGUUCACCUAAUAAAAGAGAAUUCUAUUCUGGGACCUGUAUACCUGCAUAAUAUGUGACCUUUCGAGAGGUUCAUGUCAGUCCUAAAAAACUAUGUCCUUAAUCGUACCCGUCCUGAAGGAAGUAUCACCAAGGGAUAUGGAACAGAGGAGGUUAUCGAGUUUUGUGUUGAUUUUAUUGAAUCAAUUGACUCGAAUGGGGUUCCAACUUCACGCCAGGAGGGGAGGCUACGGACAAUGAGCACCCUGGAAGGAAAUCAAGUUUGAGCAAUGAUACUGAUUUGUUCGACAAGGCACGCUACACUAUUUUGCAACAGUCAUCAUUUGUGGCUCCGUAUAUUGAGUAGCACAGGCAGAUCGUAGUUUCCAAAAACCCGACGAAAUCCGAUGCUUGGCUUACACAUCAUCACAUGGAAACUUUUCCCUUCUGGUUGCACCAACAACUUAUGGGUAACUCUGAGAUUCACACACAACUCGCUUGGUUAGCCAGGGGACCUGCUAGCACAAUCGUGAAAUUUCAAGGCUAUGAGAUAAAUGGUUAUACAUUUUACACGAGAGCCUAGGACCGAAAAAGCGCGAACCAGAAUAGUGGUGUCGGCAUAGAUGCCAUAGAUAGAAACAAUAGCAAGGAGUCAUAUUAUGGUUUCAUACAGGAGAUAUGAGAACUCGAAUACAGAUCGCUCUACAUCCCUCUAUUUCUUUACAAAUGGGUGAAGCUAACUGCCGUAAUCAAAGAUCAGUACAGAAUGACAGUAGUGGACCUGAGCAAGAUUGGAUACAGUGAUGAACCAUUUGUACUAGCCUAUGAUGUGCAUCAGGUUUUCUAUGUGAAGGACAUGUCUAGCAAACCCAAGAGAAAUUCAUAAGAGCCAUAGGAGCCAAAGCGCCACAUAGUUCUUGCAGGUAAAUGAAAAAUCGUGGGAGUUGAGGAUAAAACAUACCAAUUAGAUAAUUAUGAUCAGUUUGAUGGCAUACCUCCAUUCGCUGUUGAAGUUAACCCAAGCAUCUUGUUAUCCAAAGAAAAGGCUCCGUACUUACGCCGCAAUCAUGAUCAAGGAACUUGUGUGAAGAAGAAAUUUUAUAACAUUAUAUUGUGAUGCGCUAAAUUUGCUUCACUUUUAUGUACUACUUGAUACAAUUUUUAAUUUAACAUAUGUAUGAUUUCAUGUGUGUUUAAAUUAGUUGAGGUGAAGAUUUAUUAGAGAAAUAUGAACAAUGUUAACCACAUACAUAAAUUGAAUUUUUCGCGCGUUGAAAUUAUUUAAUUGAACAAUUUCUUGAUGGUAGAGAUGUAGUAAAAUAAUUAUUUUAGAAGCUAAAAGAACUGGUAUAGAAUUAAUGACUCAUUCAUACUUAUUGUCAAUAUACUUGCUAAUUUAAUAUAUUUUUGCAUGUUCGAAAUAUGUAAAGUUUAUUGUUUUUUAUCCUGAAAUUCAGUGAAAACAUAAAUAAAAUUCAUCUCUAAAAAACAGGCGGGAGAUGAAAAAUGAGAAAAGGCCCUUUUGUCCUGGGUGCCAACAGCAACCGGGAUAAAAGGGGGAUAAAAGCCCCCCCUUUUAUCCCGGUUGCAAACUGUAACCAGGAUAAAAGGGUAUUUUUCGAUUCCCGCCGGGAACGUACCCUUUUAUCCCAGUUGCAGACUGGAACCAGGAUAAAACGGGUGCCUUUUAUCCCAGUUGCUGUUGGCACCCGGGACAAAAGGUACCUUUAGUCCCGGGUUCAAUUACGAGCGAGGAUAAAAGGUACGGGGGCUAUAAGUAACUAUAGUCUCUUCUACCCCCCACCACCCUUCAACACUUGGUCAAAUUUUUCACCGCUGCCAAGAUCCGUGCCCAUCCGCCUGCUCCAUCAUCGCCCGUCCACCUCCCUCGCCGGCCGCCAUUCUCCUCGUCGCCCAUCGCUCCGGCCGCCUUGCCCGCACUAGGACCGCCACCUCCUCUAUCACCCUGGCCUGCCGCCUCCUCCGUCGUGCCCCCUCGAUCUCGUCCCCGCCGCCUCGUCGCUGCCUCCGUCCUUAUCACCGCCUCCGUCCCUGUCGUCGCCGCCAGCCUCCGCCCUCGUGGCCACCCUCCUCUGUCCCCGUCGUCGCUGCCGGCCUCCGCCCUCAUCGCUGCCACCUCGCUCCGUCGCCGCCUCCUCCUCUGUCGCCCCGGCCCGCCGCUUCCUCCGUCGCACCACCACACCGCCGCCUCCGUCCCCGUCGUCGUUGCCGACCUCCGCCCCUCGUCGCUGCAGCCACCUCACUCUAUCCCCACCUCCGCCGGAGGCCGUCGCUAUCCCGCCGCCCCGGCCGCCGUACGGCCUCCUGCCCCAGUCGCCACUGCCUAACCCCCACCGGCUCUAGCUCCCGCAGGUACGGCCCUUGCUGACGCAAGGGCCCUUUUUUAUUUUUUAGUUAGAAAAUCAAUAGAAAUUUGUAGAAAAUUAGUAGAUUAGUAAAAAAUUAAUAGGAAAUUACUAUUAUUAGUUAAAACUCAAUAUACUUAGUAGAAAUUUGUAUAAAUUUGGUAGAAAUUCUUAACAAUUUGUAGAAAUUUAGUAGAAAUACUUGGAAAUUAGAAGAAAUUUGGCAGAAAUUCUUAAAAUUAGUAGGAAUUAGUAGAAAUUUUCUAGAAAUUCCAAUAAAUUAGUAGAAAUUUGUAUAAAUUUGGUAGAAAUUCUUACAAAUUACUAGUAAUUUGUAAAACUUUAGUAGAAAUACUGUGAAAUUAGAAGAAAUUUGGUUGGAAUUCUUAAAAUUAGUAGGAAUUAGUAGAAAUUUUCUAGAAAUUCCAAUAAAUUAGUAGAAAUUUGUAUAUACACUUGAAAUUUGGUAGAAAUUAGUAGAAAUUUGUAUAAACACUUCAAAUUUGGUGGGAUUCAUUCAAGACUGUCAUGUAUAUGUGGUUUCAUGUUAUUCUAUGAUUUCAUGUAUAUACCUUAACGUACAUGUAACUAAGGUGAUUUCAUGUAGGUUUCAUUUCGUGUGAGCUGCCUAUUUCAUGGUUGUUCUAUGAUUCAAGACUGUCAUGUAUGGUUUCAUGUGUACGUUUCAAUCAGUUUGUUUCUUUUCCAUGGUUGUUCUAUGAUUUCAUGUAUACACCUUAACGUACUUGUAACUACGAUUUCAUGUGUGUUUAAAGUAGUUGAGAUGGCAUAUGACGAGACCGCAAGGUAUCUAAUGGAGCGGAUUAUUGCUCAUGAUGGUAGUGGCUCCAACCUUCCCAUAACGUACACCGAUGAAGAGGGUACCCAGGCAGACAUAUUCCUCAACAUGUUCGGCUGUGACAAUGAAGAGCCCGAGCCCCAACAAAACCUUGCAGUGGCGGAAGGUUCUAGCGAUAGCAAUGAAGAGCUUGAGCCCCAGCAAAACCUUACUAUGGCAGAAGGUUCCAGUGAGGUAUAUAUAAUUUCUAUUGUUUUACCCCAUCUGUAAUGUCUUAUUCGUUAUUACUAUGUACUAAUUAACGAAUCUUGAACUGUUAGCCCUCUGGAUCGACGAAACGUAAGAAGCCCCGAGGUCGUACAAGGGUGAUGGAUGGGAGGCUUGUCAUCAUAGAAGUCACAGAAGAGGGCAGGCCGGUUGCUCCCAAAAAAGUAGCAAAGAAGUACGUGAGUCAGAUUGGGGCAAUCGUAAGGGACAACGUGCCCAUCAGAAUCAGGGAAUGGAAGGGCAAAAGAACUAAUCCAUACGCAUCCCGGAUGUGGGAAGAUGUCAAUAGACAUUUCACAUUUCCUAAAGGAUAUAUUGAAAAGGAUGUGAAAGCGUGGACAUUGAAGAAGAUGGCCACACAAUUAUAGACAUUCAAGAAGAUGUUGGAUGCCAACUACCUUAAGAAGGACCGAACUCCAGAUUUCGAUGUGUGGCCAAAGUUGAGGGACCACUGGGAGGCAUUUGUCGAAUACAAGAGGAGCGAAGAUGGUGUGAAAAAGAUCCAGACCAACACUACAAAUGCUGGUCAGAAGGAGUACCAUCAUCAUCUAGGGCGAGGUGGUUAUGGCAUAGCAAUUCCCAGAUGGAAGAAGAUGGAACAAAACCUGAUCGAUUGGGGUAUCGAACUAGCAACUAUUGAAUGGCCCGAAUGAUCAAAAAUUUGGUAUUACGCUCAUGGAAGCUUCCUAAGCCAAGAGGAUGGGAUGUUGAUAUUCAAUGAGACAAUACGUUAGAAGGCCGAAAGGCUUACCAAGAACAUUGAAGAUUCUAAGGCUGGGAGGUUGAAGGUGUACUGAGAGAAUGAUGAGCUCACAUUGGCCCUCGGGAAUUCCAAGCACCCAGGACGUUGCCGAGGGUUCGGGGUCAUUACGUGGAAGUUUGCUUUCCUAGGUGAUAGCGCAUCGUACAGAAGCUGCAAGCGAAGAAAGGAAUAGAUCGAGGAGAGCUGGCGGUAGAUGCUAGAAUCCAAAGUGCAUUCACAAGAAGUUAGAAUGUUGGAGGAAAUCAAUUGUCGAGUGGCCCACGCAGUUGCGGAGUUGGCGCAUUGCCGGAUCCAAACUUCGCCGGCCCUUCUCAAUGCCUCUUGAGCAGUUGUGCUUCUACAGGGCUCCCCGAUGAGUAGAUGCCAAGAUUACCCGUGGACGAGCAACGGUUUGUUGUGGAUGCCAUCACGCAAUGCACCUCAUGUGAGUUGCAUACACCAAUCGGCAACGUCACUAUUAAGGUAUACUUAUACAUAAUAUUUAUGCAAUCUUCUCGAUUGAUCCACGCCUCGGGAUCGGAGUUUAAUAACUUGUUUACUUUUGCUAUAUGUACAGGUGGCGUACGGGAGUGCCUUACCAAUCCUGGUAGGGCAGACAAGCCAUGGCAUGGAGAUUCCACCUGGUUACGCCAGCGUCAGCCUAGAGCAGAUCGCUGAUAGCCAAUAUGAAGACCUAGAGCUCGACCUCCCGGGAGGCAUUGGGGAAAGGACACUAGGAGAUGCGCUUCAUGGGAUCAUUCUAUGGCGCAAACGCGACAUCAUUAUUCCCGGCUCGGUCAAGGUCUCCAUCUCCACAUUCUAGUGGUGAGAGCGACGACGACAAUAACAACACCCCUCCCCGAUCACUGUCAUCGGGACUAAGCACAGCCCCGAGGAAGGAACCUGCAGCACCACUUAAGAAGUCAUGACCACCGCCUCCUAAGCCAAGAUAGAGAAAGAAGAAAAGAAAGGAGCCUGAAGUGACUCAUGAGGAACGCUGGGAGGCAAUGACUCAUGCGGAAUAGUGGGCAAAAAUCCAAGUAGAGGCCAGUGAGUGGUUCAAGAAACAGGUUGAAGAAAAAAAAGCAAGGGAGAUGGAGCCACCGCCAGUAAAUUGAAGAGAAUUAAUUUUUUUUAUCAGGAUGGAAGAAGGAGCCAAGAAGAGGAUACCACUACUAUUGAACUACGAACGGGCGUUAGUCAAGGCUGAUGAGAGGGAAAAAAGGAAAGAAAAGUCAUCAUCUAGUGGUGUUGUCCCCGACCUCGGGCAUCUACCAGAAAAAGACGUUGAAAAGAUAGCAGCAAUGCCCUUAGAUCAACAAGCACAAGUAUUGAAAUUCAUGGAAGAAACAGGUAUGGGACUUGAUGAAUGUCUAGGGCAAGUUGAGCCUCCAACUGCACCACCAGUUGAACCGAGAUGGACCUUUGAGCUAGGCAAGUCUCAGGUAAGGCUUGAGUUGGUACGGAAGCUAUCAACAAAGAUGUACGAAUUCCAUCAAUGGUACAUCAAGGUGUCCACCGACUCGAGGGAGAUAUUCGGCCUUAAGAUAAAACCAAUAGAUUUUUACAGCGAAGGCGAGAAAGUUCUGUGGCUAGAAUUCAAGGAUAUAUUCGAAGUGUACCAUCAUGAUGCCUUGGACAUCUCUCUGAUCAGCGCCUGAGUUAUGUAAGUGUCCAUUUAUCUACAUGUAAAUUUUAGCUCAUAUCAUUAUUUUUUUCCGUGCGUCACCGUACUAACUUCGUCUUCCAUUUUAUGUAAAAUGCUAAUUCAGAUGUGCCGACGAGAAGCAUAUCUCCAUAUUGGCUUCAUGGAUCCAUCCGUAGUUAACCAAAAACAGAUACAGGUAUCGCUGGAAAAAACCUUGGUGGAAGUAUACAAUUUCCUAGACAAACAAAAAUUCAAGGAUUUCAUACUACUUCCAUACAACUUCAAGUAAGUGUGUGUAUACCGUCUACUUUCGUUUUCUUUUUCCUUACCUGAUUAAUGUUAGUUAUCUCUAAUAUAUAUGAACAUUUACGUAUGCAGCUUCCACUGGAUUCUCAUUAUAAUUGAGCCUCAAAGAAGACACAUCACUGUCUUCGAUUCGUUGAGGAAAGAUCCGGUGGAGUACCGAGACAUGCAAGACAUGCUAGGCUUGUAAUAAUUUUGGACCUUUAUCUCUAUGCAAAUGUUUGUUUCCUAAAUUUUCACCUAACACUAUAUCAUUUAUUAUUUUAAUCCGCAGUGCAUGGAGACAAUUCAUGAGGACACACAAAGGUCCAUUCAAAGAAAAACUUACAUGGAACACCGACUUGCCGGUACGUAUGAUGUCUGCGUAUUUUGUACAUUCUAUAACACGAAUAUUUCAUAACUUAUUUUUUCCCUACUGAAGUGCUUAAGAUAGGAACCCGGGAAUAAUCUAUGUGGCACUACAUUUGUGAGCACAUGCACAGUUUUGUGGGACCCAAGGGAUUAAAGAUUUAAAUACUAGUUUGAUUUCAUUAUAAAAAAAAGUCUCAACUACUAAAGGUUAACAAAAAGGCCGGGGUACGUACGUGAUGCAUGAAAUUACAGGCAUGGCGCCUGCAUGGCGCGUGUCUGAAAUUUAAGGAGGACUUUAGUCCCGGUUGGAAAACCCAACCGGGACUAAAGGGGCACCCUUUACUCCCGGUUGGUAAAACCCCUUUACUCCUGUCCCGCGCUUGGCGUGGCAGGCCCUUUAGUCCCGGUUGGUAACAUCAAUCGGGACUAAAGGGUGGCUUUACUCCUGGUUGAAGGACCCAGGACUGAAGCCUCCCCUUUUGUCUCAAUUGGUUUAUCCUGGAUGCAUUUUUGGGAGAUAUGCAUCCUACCAACCGGGACUAAUACAGAGUUUUCUACUAGUGAUUAUAAAUUGCUUAACAGAUUAUGUAUUUUUCUAUUGUUUUUAGAGUGCAAGAGAAGCAUGAUUAAAGGGUGUGAAAGUAGCAGCUUCUAUACACAGUGGAGAGGAGCCUAGAUCCACAUAAAUGUGAGACUCUGUUUCCAUUCUUUUUUUUCUGAUCUGAACAUUUUUUAAGUUUCUUUAAUUGCUCUUCAGAGUAGUUGUAGUAACAUUCUUCCUGUACACAUUUCAGAGUAGUUCUAGUAAAUUUUCAGAAUAGCUUUUAGAGUUGGAAUUACCAACUGGGACUAAAUCAGGAUGUCCCGAUUGGAAUUAGCAAUCGAGACAAAAGGGGGACCUUUUGUGCCGGUUGGAAUUUCUAACCGGGAGAAAGGCGUGAGCGUCGGUGGGAUUUUUUUGUACGCGUUACAAUUUGGACUAAAGGGGGCCUUUAGUCCCGGGUUGGUAUUUACAACCGGGACUAAAGCCCCCCUCCCGCGGUCACCUUCGGUGGUACUUUUUUGACUUGGGACUAAAGCUACUUUGGUCACGGAUCCAAUAUUAACCGGGACUAAAGGGGUUGGAUGGAAUGUUAGUUCUCUACUAGUGAUAUUUGGUUAUUACAGGACAGUAAAGAGACCUCCACGACUGCAUUUUAUCUCUACUUCAAGUUUUGUAUCUGAUACUCCGUAGGAUGUUUCUAAAUUAAGUUUUGUAUUUGGGGCUACGUCGCCCUGCACAUAUUUAUGCCUUGUUUGUUUUGGCCGGAACAGCCCCGAAUGAGGCCCGUUCCGGGCGGUUUGGUCCGGCCCAGAAUGAAGUCAGGCCUCAAUUGGAAUCGCUGUUCAGUUGGCCUAGCCCGAAACCAAACCUUGUACGGCUUCCCCCCACCCCUCUCCACACACCUCCACAUCCCAGAAGGAACCCACGCCUCAUCCCUCCGAGAUUGGAGCCUGGCGGUGCACAACGCGAAUACUUGAAGGUGCACGAGGCCGACGAGGCGGCGGCGAGAGGUGGCGGCACAAGGUGACGCCGUGGCGGCAUGGCACAUCCCUGGCGGUGACCGGCUCCCGUCCAGCAUCCACUCUCUCUGCCGCCUUCUCCCCAGUAAGCACCGCCAUCUCUCCCUCCCCCUCUCCCAUCCUCGCGUUCUUGUUCUUGAGGUUUCUGAGCCUAGGGUGUAGUGGAUUCGAUUGUUCUUGGGGUGUAGUGGACCUCCACUCCCUAUCGCCUAGGGCUCUUUAGUUUCAUUGGAUCUGCGUUAACCGGGUGGGCGAUUCGUGAGUCGCUAGUGACCGGUCUAAAACUAGAGCACCACAAUCUCACACCCAGCCACGCCCUUCGCUUUGCUAUUCAGGAUUGGCUUCGUCACUCUCACUCCCUGAUGAUGUAUGUAGUAGUUGCUUUACUCUUGCUUUUAAGUUUUUUCUGUACAAAUUGACCAAGAGCUUUAGUACCUUGAAUUCAGAGUAGAAAUGGAUGCCCAAUGGGUUAGUGCAAUGGAAUACAAAAGCAGCUUUCAGUCUGAAACUCUGAAUUCAUUGCUGGUGUUUUCUGUUACCUAUAUAUAUGAUUUUACUUCAUAUAUUUGUCUGAUGGGGUGAGACUAAUUAACAGACUAUGUUGUGUUGAUCUGCUGAAAAAAGAACAAGUUUUUCUCUAGAACUGCAGCUACAUCUGAAUCUUUUGAUGGUGGUUUUCAGUAGUUCUUUUCAGUUUCAUUGCAGUAGGUCUUUUGAUGGUGGUUUUCGAGGUGAGCAUUUCAGAAGUUCCUUAGUUACCUGAUUGGGCUGUACUGCUAGUACUAGUACUGAUUGGUUCUGUUAGUUUAUUCAUUUUGUUAUAAAGCAUGAUGCUAUAUCAACAAUUCUAGCAGUAGCAGUACAUGAGUAUAGUGGCAUACCUGUUACUCUUUUAUGCUUAACGAAUACCUUUUCUUGUUACUUGUAGAUCCCUCCAGCACCGAGAGCAAAGAAAACAGAUAGGCUUUCAUAUGUGCCUGUGAAGCAGAUCAAGAAUCAGCUUUGAUUUGGCUAAGAAAUGAGAUGCUUACUAGAUAAAGUCGCUGUCUACUUAGUUGCUAUAAAUAGCACUUGUUCUGUAUAUUUCAAGUGAGAUGUCACCUAUUAUCAAUUCACAAAGUGUCAAAAUUGCAGAUUUUCAGUUCAAACUUUCAAUUUUGAAACCAUGUCUAGAAAUGGAAUAAUAUGGCUGUAAACAAGUGCAUGUUGUUUAUCAAUUUGGCAUUAAACAUGUGAUCUGAGUUAACACUGUUUGAACAACUAAAAUACCAUAAAGAUAGAACUUUGGAAGCAUGUUGGUGCCUUUGGAAGUAUACUUUCACUACCAAGUACCUUUUAUAUCUGAAUAUUAGUCAGAUUUUGAUACAUUGUGCUGCUGCUUUUUGUGUGUGCUGGUCUUGAAAGAACAGCAGUGAGUCCAGUCUCAGCUUUUGUUUUCUUUCGUUCUCUCUAAAUUGUAGAGUGAGGAUUGUUCUGUUAUAUUAAGCAAUAUUGAAGCUUUUGUCGGUGCCAUGGGACAUGCAAUAUUGAAGCAAUAUAUUAAGCAAUGUCGUUCUAAAUUAGCAUAAAGAUAGAACUGUAUGAUGCAAGUGCUAGCAUAUGUAUGGUCUGCCAACAUGCAUGCAUAUGAAGUAUUCUGUAUGGAUAACGGACAUGAACUUAAUGAUGCUUUUGCUGUAAUUCAGUUAUGAAGUAUUCUGCAUGCUCUGCCAACAUGCAUGGGAUUGACCUGGAUUGAUCCUAUCUGUGCAAGAUGGAUUGACCUAUUUGGUUUGAGUGGAUUGGCAGGAUUUAAUCUUCCCCAGAUUAAGUGACACAGGUAGAAUCACUCAAACCAAGUAUGGAAGUAAUCCUGGCUAGAAUUCAAUCUGGUAUUACCGAAGGAGGCCUUAGGUGGAAUCGUAUCACACGCACGGAAUCGAAGAUUCUUCCACGUACGUCUCGUGUUUCGCUCCACGCUCCUUGCCGUUCACAGUGGGUGCUCCCUGAAGUGCUAGCUUUUCCAGGACGCGCGUGCAUCAGCCACUGAUCAAUUCGGUGUGGAAUUCUACCUUCGCGCCAUCUGAUGUUGAAAAUGUGGAGACAAACACGCCCUAAAGAAAUAUUGCAUUUGUUCAUAUUUGUGUAACGGGAUGAAACCAUAUUUUCCACUGCAUAAGUAGUCUACUGGCAUGUCUAUGCCCUCUUGCUAUUACUCAGCCUCGUUUUACCAGGAUGGACACCAGUACGCCCACCAGCAUAUACUCUUCUUUGUGAAAUUGUAGUAGGGGAGAAAAAGGGAAGAGCAUGUGUGCAAGAACUCCUCUUGUUGUGCAUUAAAUGAUCAAAUUUCCGGAAUGGAAGGUCUCUGGAAUCUCAGUUCGUUGCACAAUUCUGAUCGUCCUUCCUUCACAAAUUUAUGUAUGGACCACCCAUAUGUUCUGACAAGCUAGAGCGAGAUAAGUCUGUGAGAAACUCAAGGUACGUGAGUGAAUGGAUAGUAGCUAAUAGACGUGCCACUGCUAUUCACCAAGCCUUCAUGGUAUUCCGGUACUCAACGCUUCUUGGGCUUGCUUUAGAUCCAUUUGUUCACAUUUGUGUAAAGGGAUGAAACCAAAUUUUCCCCUUUUUCGGUUUUAACAGACGAGACGUGUACUUGUUCAUUCCACAACACGAUCUUUCUCAUCCAUGAAACGCUUACAGCAGUAUCAGCUAGCCUGUAUAUAUAUACAAUUCUAGGAACACAAUUGAAAGAUGAUACUACGAUAUCAUUGAAACAGUUUGGUGCGUUGUAUAAUAUAGUUUAGUUACUCAACCACUGCAUAAAUAGCAUAUUCCCGCUGCUCUAAGUUAUAGGUCGUUUUAGCUUUUUUAGGUUUAUAGAUAUUAUUAUGCAUCUAGAUAUAUUGUAUGUCUAGGUGCAUAAUAAUAUCUAUGAACCUAGAAAAAUCAAAAUGACCUACAAUUUGGAAUGGAGGGAGUACUAGUUUAGCCAUGCUCUCUUGUUAUUCUUCCUCGUUUUACCAUGACGGACAUCAGUACACACACCAGCAUACACUUCGUUGUGAAACUGCAGUAGGGGAGAAAGAGAGAUCAGCAUGUGCUUCAAAUGAGCAAUUCUACGGAAUGGAUGGUCUCUGGAAUCUCAGUUGCACAAUCAAGGACGAUCCCGCUUUACCUAAUUAUGUAUUAGAACACAGUUUUUAUUUGUUAUUAGGGCCUUUCAAAAGUAUCCCCGCGAGCCUGUAGUGAGCACCGGUAGUGAGCCUAAAGCGCGGAGCUAUUAUGCACCUUAGCAGUCGUAACUCCCUGGCAUGCAUCUGACCGCUUGCUUCUACCUUGUACCAUCCACCUAGAGUCACCACAUCUCAUGUAGUUCUUCCAAUUUACAUUUCACGUCCAUAAUUCUUAAAACAUCGAAAAAGAUUCAGUACUGAAAGAAUUUUCAACAAAUAAUGCUAAAAGUUUGUCUAAAACACAUUGAACAGCUGAAAAUGAAUCGGCACUGACUAUAGUACUGUUUUCUGCCUUAGUAAUCAUUGUACUGUUACUAGUCGCUACUUCCAGAAAUAGAUGUACUUAAAAUAAAAAAUUUCAAACAUAUUACUAGUUUUGAUAAAAUGACCUUGUUGUUCCUGAUUACUCAUGAUUCAAAGUUGCGCUAUCUCUAGCUACUUGUUAUGUUGAUCCUUAGAAUAUAUGUGCAUGUAGUCCAACCGUGAAAGAAGUUAUAAUUAGUAACUAGAUUUGCGACAUGCAUUUCUCCAAAUAAAUUUGGUUGUUGGUGUGAAAGUUUAAUUAAAUAGAUAUGCCCACAAGCUAGCUAAAAGUGCAGCCUUUGUAGGAAAAAAUUUGAAAUGCUCGAAAUGCACUCAUUUUAGGACAGAGGGUUAGUUUUUAAGUAAAAUUUCCCUUUGAGCCAUGUGUGCCAAUUACGGGGUGUACAAUUAUGUGUCAGCUGGUUGGCAAGCUGUUUAUGAGCAAGUAAAUUUAGCCAACUGCAAAAGUUGAAAUGCUCGAAAUGCACUCAUUUUAGGACAGAGGGUUAGUUCUUAAGUAAAAUUUCCCUUUGAGCCAUGUGUGCAAAUUACGGGGUGUACAAUUAUGUGUCAGCUGGUUGGCAAGCUGUUUAUCAGCAAGUAAAUUUAGCCAACUGCAAAAGUGGAAGCCAUCAUAUAUAUAUAUAUAUAUAUAUAUAUAUAUAUAUAUAUAUAUAUAUCCUUUUUUAACUUAUAUAACAUCCUAAUAAAAUAAACUUCUUUCUCUCUAAUAGAAGGCCAUUCACACAACAUAGAGGUAUGAUAUUCAUGAGGUAUUUUAUUUAGCUUUUGUUCAUAGUAAUAAAUCUUACUUACUAAACUUUCCAUUAAAAGUAAAAAAUACUUACUUGGGGCUAUAAUGACAAAUUCAAAUAUCUUGACUAGAAAAAGCAAAAGAAGUUCCACAAAGUAAUAUCAGCAAAGAUAGUGCUAUAAAUAAAGAAAUCCAAAGGAAGCCGAAUGAAAGGUAUCUUUUAGAAAGCUAUGAAGAAGAAGAAGAAAAUAAUGCGCAGAGUCAUAAAGCUUUUAUAAACUCUCUUGGUGACGAGGAAAUACAUAAUUUAGAAAAUGCUAUGGAUGCACUAGAAAUAAAAAGAUGAAGAAAUAAGUGAUUCAAAAGAAGCUAGAACUGAAUUAAUGGAUCAAGGAGAUUGUGAACAUGAUUGGAUAAAAGGAAGAGGUGAUUAUAAUAUCAAAUGUGCUUUCUGCAUAUAUUAUCCUAGUCAAGAUAGUAGAUUUACAUGUAGUGUAUGUUUAAAGCAAGCAUGUGCUUCAUGUUUAAAGAGUUCUAAUAAAAAAUGGAGACAAGAAAUAGAAAUAGUAGUAGAAGAUAAAAUAUUAGUAAGUAGAGUCAAAAAUUUAGAAAAUAGGAUAAAUAUUUUAGAUGCUGAGUUAGAAGAAUUAAGAAGUAAAAUAGAAUUCUAUAAUAAGAUUGAAGGAAAUGUUAGUGGCAACACUGAGUUUAAAGACCAAGCCAUACUUGAUAAAAAUAAUGAUAAGGCAAUACAAUUAAAGGAUGCCAUAAUUAAUUUUGGCAACAAAUAUAUAGUUAGGUUACCAUUUAAAGAAAUUGUAGGAAUAAGAAUACCAAUAAAGGUAAAAUUAACAUCUACCAUCACUUACAAAAUAUUAGCAUUAGUAGAUACGGGUUGUACAAAGAAUAUUAUACAUGAUAAAUAUUUUGCAAGAUGUCCAGAAAUAGUGCGUACAAUAGAUCAAGAUAAAGUUGAAAUAUCCACUGAUAUGUCAGGAAUAAAGAAGCUUCAUAAUCAGUUAGGUUAUAACAUUGAGAUACAAAUAAAUAAUACAAAAUAUAUAAUGGAUGAGAUCCCAAUAAGAGACCUAUCCAUGAUAAAUGAUGAUAUGAUAUUGGGAUUGAGAUUUUUGCAAUUUUCCUUACAAACAACAAUUAUACAUGAGCAAGGGAUUACUUUCAUCCCUUAUCAAGAUAAUAUUCCAUACAGAACAGAAGUAAGAAAAACUAUAAGCUCUAAUGAAGGAAAAUCUAAACUAGAAACUCUAGAAUAUGAUGAUAAUAAGUCUGUUGAUAAUAUAGACGAAGAAUUAGGUAAAAGCAUAGAAGAAUUUCACAUAGCCAAUUCUUGCAUAGAUUGUAUUAGUCUACAAUCACUAUCGCCAAACUGGUAUAUAGAUUGUAUAGAGAUAUAAAAUCUAAGAAAGAUAUAGAUAAAAUAGUACAAAGAUUAGAAGAAAUCCAAAUAAUUGGAGAAAUACUAAUGAAAUAUUAGGAUAAGAACAGUAUAGUAUGUAAGCUUAAUAUAAUAAAUCCUAAUUACAUAAUUAAGACAAGUCCUAUAGAAGCAACACCUAAAGAUAUAGAAAAAUUCCAGAUGCAUAUUGAAGAAUUGCUAAAGCUAGGAGCUAUAAGAGAAAGUAGGAGUCUCCAUAGGUCAGCUGCCUUUAUUGUUAGAAAUCAUGCAGAAAUAGCCAGAGAAAAGUCAAGAAUGGUUAUUAAUUAUAAAAGACUAAAUGAUAAUACUAUAAAUGAUGAAUAUAAUAUCCCAAAUAAGCAAGAAUGGAUAAAUAGAAUACAAGGAAGCAAAUAUUUCUCAAAAUUUGAUUUAAAAGCUGGGUUUUGGCAAGUAAAAAUGGCAGAACAAACAAUAGGCUGGACUGCAUUCACAUGUUCUCAAGGUCAUUUUGAAUGGUUGGUGAUGCCAUUAGGUUUAAAAAAUACCCCUGCUUUAUUCCAAAGAAAAAUGCAAAAUAUUUUUAAUGAAAAUCAGGACUUCAUAUUGGUUUAUAUAGAUGGUUUAUUAGUUUUUUCAAAAUCAUAUAAAGAACAUAUAGCUCAUCUGGAAACCUUCUUUAGAAAGGUAGAACAGCACGGGUUAAUACUUUCUAAAAAGAAAAUGGAAAUAUGCAAAGAAAAGAUAAAUUUUCUAGGCCACGAAAUAGGUGAGGGAAAAAUUUAUUUACAAGAUCAUAUCACAAAGAAAAUUUUGCAGUUUCCUGAUGCUAUGAAUGAUAAGAAAACCUUGCAGCAAUUUUAAGGAAUAGUAAAUUAUGCUAGAAAUUAUAUAGAAAACUUAGCAAAACUAGCUGGGCCAUUAUAUGCAAAGUUAAGAAAAAAUGGGCAAAAGCAUUUCAAUUCCGAAGAUAUAAAGCUACUAAGAAGCAUAAAAGAAAAGGUGAAAGAACUAAAACCCCUAGAUUUACCUUUAGAUGAUUAUUAUUUUAUUAUAGAGACAGAUGCAUCUGAAAUAGGAUGGGGUGCUAUAUUAAAACAAAAGCCACGUAAAUACUCUCCAAAGACAGAAGAAAAAAUAUGUAUGUAUACUUCAAGGAAAUAUAAACUAAAGGCAAUAAAUAAUACUGAUAGAUAAAUAUUAGCUAUAAUUAAUGCUUUAAAUGCUUUUAGAUUAUACCUAGGAUUUAAAGAGUUCACUGUAAGAACAGAUUGUGAAGCUAUAUGUAGAUACUACCAUAAAAUUAAUAGUAAGAAAAGUUCACCUAGAAGAUGGAUUUUAUUUGAAGAUAUUAUUACAGGAAAUGGAUGUAAAGUAAUAUUUGAGCAUAUAAAGGGAGAAGAUAAUACCCUUCCUGAUAUAUUUUCUCGGUCAUCUAUUUUGCAGGAAUGAAGAAAGUAGUAAGCCUAACAGGGAUUGAUUGUUUCUGUUUUGGAGCAGAAAAUAAGUUAAGAAUAUUCCCUCCAAACACAUAUAAAUUUAAACCAAGAGAUCAUAUUGUAAUGGAUGAAGUACAAGAAUGCAUAUUAGAUAAUUUUUGGUACCAAUAUAAUAACAAAAGAGAAGAUAAGGGCUAUUUGCUAGCUAUUUUAAAUAGCCUGGCUGAAUAUUUCAUACAAUUAAUGGGUUAAUAUAGCCAAAAGAGUCACCAGAAAAUAUAGAAAAAAAAAGCUAUAUAUGUCAUAUAUAAAGGGAAGAUUCUAGGAAUUUAUGUAUCAUUUGAGCAAGUAAUAGCUCAAAAGAUAGAGAAAGAUAAAGAUGGAGGUAUAUUAUGGAAGAAAUACACUCAUAUUGAUCAAGCACUUACAUAUGGUAGAAAUAUUUUAGGAGUAAAUUAUUUUUUAGAAGCUGCAGCCAAGGAAUAUAUUCAGAAAUAUAAAAAAACAAGGGAAAUUAAAUCAAGCACAUCUGGAAUAAAUAUAAAAGAAGAAGGACCAUCCAGAGCUCCAACAUAUAAAGAAGUUCUGAAGAAAGAAACAGACUCAUCAAAUGAAGAAUAUAUUGAGAAAAAGUUAAAGGAAAAAUUUGAGUCAAUAUUUCCCAAUGGAAGAAUAAUUUAAAAGAAGAAAUAAUUAAAGAAAUAAGGCUUGAAAUAGAUGAAAAAUUCAAAAAUAUGCAAAACGAUUCUUUGAGACUUACCGGCGUGAGUAUGAAAACUUUGUUCAUUUGUCCGGUGAGUCAACUGAUGCUUUGUUCCAGCGCUUUCUUGCUAUUGUGAAUAAGAUGAAAGCAAACAUCACCAUCUUACCCUACACUGAUCUUGAUAGAGCUUUAAAGCUCCUGCAUGCUUUGGAUCACGAGGUGCGGGGUACGAAGGUUGACACUAUCAUGGAGUCCACAAGCUAUGAGACUCUUACAGAUGAUGAACUUUUCACCAAGCUGAAAUCGACAGAGGUUGACAAGAGGCUCCUAGCAAAACAAGGGAGCCCUACUGAUCCUCAUAGUAUGGCUCUUGUGUCAGGCUCUGGACAGUCUAUGUCUUUGGCUAAUCCUUCCACCAUGUCCUUUGCUUUGUUUUCUUUGCUGUCUGUUUCAGAGGAGCAGUUGGAGGUUCUUAAGGAUGAAGAGCUCGCCUUGAUCACAAGACAGUUCAUGCGCUUCAACGACAACUGCAAGAACCGGCGAAGGAACAACAACAACUGCUUCGAGUGUGGCAAUCCAGGACACUUCGCCGCCGACUACUCCGACAAGAACAAGUCCAAGAACGGGUACAACUACAGCAAGUAUAAGGACAAGGAUAGCAAUAAGAAGAAGUACACCGAUCGUGAGAAGAACGAGUACCGCAAGAAGACCAAAGCGCGCGCCUUCAUCGCCUCCCUCGGCAAGAACGGGUGCUACUCGUUUGUAUGGAAUUCCCAUAACAAAUUUGCAUAAUAUUUCAUUCUUUACAACCUGAAGAGCAUAUACAGACGCGUGUUACACAAGAACACAAUUAAAACACCUUCCACGUAUCUACGUAUACUUAAAUACUACAUAUGCAAUAUGCCACUGUUGCGACAAUAGAUGUCACGGAAAUUUUUAUCUUGCAAAUAUGCUCAUUGGGGCUUCCUUUGUCGGGCUGUAAUAAUCAGUGGUUGCUUCACUAGUACAGUCAUAUGAUGCAUUCGAAGACAACCCUGCCUGCACUGUGAAUGGACUACCAGCAAGGAGUUCACCAGUGCCAUGAAUCUCUGGACCGACCAGUAGUUGGCGUAGUUCCUGUGCCACUUGGCUCAUCGUUGGCCUGCUAGCACCAGUCAUAGCCAAACACUUGUCUGCCAGGCUAGCAACUUGACAAAGUACCAUGUUAUCUUGCUCGGCUAUCUCCCUGUCCACGAGUUCUUCCACGAGUUUCAAAAGCUUGCCCUCCUUUGCGGCCUCCUUGAACACAGAUACAAGGCUCUUCUUAUGUUUCGAUAUAGUGGCAUCCUGCGUGUUAAUAGUUCAAGAAGAACAACACCAAAGCUGUAUACAUCACUCUUAUCAGUGAGCUCAAAGUUUAAUAGGUACUCUGGAUCUAUGUAGCCCAUUGUCCCUUUAACUGCUUGAAGGUUUUCUUCAGCUGAUAUAAUCAUCGAGCACCCAAAAUCAGAUACCUUAGCGGAAAGAUUGUGGUCUAGGAGAAUGUUUGCAGACUUGACAUGCCCAUGAAAGAUUAGGUGGCUAAGUGUAUGUAGGUAGGCAAGGGCUUCAGCAGCUUGAGCUGCAAUCCUCAAACGGAUCUCUAGUGUUCUAAUGGAUGCCUUGUCCUGGACAUGGAUUAGAUGGUGUAGAGUAUCAUUCGGAACAAAUUCGUACAAUAGAACUGGAGCUUCAAAAUGUAAACUGCAGCAAAGAAGUUCGACAAUGUUUUUGUGUGUGACUCGAGAAAGUAUGAGCAGCUCCUGUCCAAAUUCUAGGAUCCUAUCUUGGUCGAGGUUCUUGCAUCUCUUGAUUGCAACUGGAUUAUUGUCUGGAUCAAUAAUAUACCCUGUAAAAACUGUCCCCUGACCUCCUUCACCUAUGACUCCUCGGUCAUCAAAGUUGUUUGUUGCCAAUUCAAUCUGUUCUCUGCCAUACAACUUAAAUGAACUGUUCUUUAUUUUCAUCAUAUCAAUUAACAGUUGACCUCAGUUGAAAAUAAGCAUCCCCUUACUGAUGAGAUCCUGUUUUGGGAUCCUCUGCUUAUGCCUGAUCCACUGUACCGCAAGAAAAAUAAUAACGCCCAAAAACACAGCGGUGCAAAUUCCAACGGAGAACAAAAAUCUUGUAAGACAAAUACAAGUCAAUGAGUGCUUGCUGAUAUACAUUUUGUCGUCGAAUUUUGUGAACUCUGUGAGAUGAAGUUCAUUAGAAAUAUCCAUUAACUACCGAAAGGAGAAAGAGUUACUACAAACAUGUAACACCCCGUCCUCCAAAGUCGCACCGCCCAGCCCUUCCAAGGAACAGGCACGCGUACACACAACACCCUGCUUACACUUUUGUCCUCGCUUCAUGUAAAAGGAUUGUCGGAUUUAGUAGCUCGGCAGUCCACCAGGGGUUACCUAAAUGGUUGAUUUGUAGGCGCGCAACGAGGAUUGCGAGACCAAGAACUCGAAGGUGAUCACGAGAACAAGAGGGUUUAGAAAGGUUCGGGCUUCCGGAGAGUAAUACCCUACGUCCUGUAUUUUGGUGUUUAUAUUGCUUUGCGCUGGCGUGGAAUAGUUGAUGUGCCCUAGGAAGGCGUCCUUGGCAGCCUUAUUUAAGCUGACGACCUAGAGUUACAACUCGGUUUGAAUCUAAUCUAUACGGUUGUUAUAUGGAAAGCAACCCGAGUCGGGUUACAACAAGUAUCCCGCAAUAUUCGGGCUGAUUUGAAUCGCCCGGCCUCCUUAACUUGUGCUCCAAGUACCUUCACAUCGUUGGCCCGCACAUUCCGAUCAAACAGGCCCACUUGUCAGGAUCGGCUAGUAUCCUAGUCGGUGGGGAUCCAUGGGAUACCUAUAUCCCUCAAGCUCCUGAGUGAUGUGUAGGCGAAUAGGAACCUGAGGACAUCACAGCGGAGCUUGGAAUGUGGUCGGCUGAAGCUGCGAUGGUAUCAUAGUGACCGGAGAGGUUGCGCAAUACUCAAAAAGAAGAAAAUCUAAGCAAACGUAGAGCCAUAUGCACAAAGCGAAGUUGAGCAUCAAGCUGAUGGAUGUCGGACAUCUAGUAGAUCGAACCGAAGGACAUGGAGGGCAUCGCAAGACACACUCCAUAUGAAGUAGCCCCCGAGAAUUGAAGCGAUUAGUAUAAUCGGUCCAAUGGUCAAAAAAGGAAGAAAAAAUUGAUCCUAGAAGCAGGUCCUAAUGCACGAGCACAAGGAUAGAUGAAGCCACAGAGGCACGCCGACUAGAAGUAAGUGCCCAGCCCCUGAGCAUGAGCGCGAGGACUAGUGGAGCCACGGAGGCACGCCGACCUGUAAUAGGCACCCAACCUCUAAGCGUGAGCGUGAGGAUUGGCGGAACUACGGAGGCAUGCCAUGAAAAACAUAAUAGAAAACCCGUGGACUACGUCCAGCACGUGCGCCAUAAUAAUGGAAAACCCGUGGACUCCGUCCAACGCAUUCGUUGUAAUAACAGAAAAUCCACAGAUUCCAUCCAGCGUGGGCGGCGUAAUAAUGGAAAACCCGUAGAUUCCGUUGUAAGGUCACGUCGUUGUCUUAGAAAACCAAAGGGACGUGGUUCCAUUUUCAUUUCCAUUAGCCACACUCAUGUUGCCGCCACCGCCGUCCAUGGAGCACACUGCUGCCACACCCGUGGACCCUAGGCCGCACUACCGUGCUGUCCAAUCUACUCGUGCACACUCCUCCGCCGCCACCCAAGCCGCCACGCCGCCAUACGUGAAUCAAGAGCCUCACGGUUAUUAGAUCCAAUUCCUAGGGAAUAGAAAUCGAAGAGAUGGUGGCGGGGAAUGCACUAGAUCCAUCCACAUACUGGAUGAAAACGGUGAUGACGGAGAAGUGCAUCCAGACGCUCAUCGACCGGGGCCUCCUCGGGCCCAAGGCGUUGCUCGAAUGGAAGGCGACCGCCAGGCAAGAAUUCCCUAGUCAGGACAAGAUGGAGACAGUGGUCUUCGCAUCCUUCUUUGAGCGUGGAUUCGAAAUCCCUUGCGGGGACUUCUUUCGAGGUCUUCUCAACUACUACUAGAUCAAACUGGUACAUCUCAAUCCCAACUCAAAUUUGGAUAUCGCCAUCUUCAUUCAUCUAUGCGAGGCGUACUUGGGCAUUCCCCCCCAUUUCAUUCUAUGGAAAUACCUAUAUUAGUUGAAAUCCAUGUCGACCAAGGGGAAGCCAUGAGUGAAUAGGGGAUGUGGGUUUUCACUGCGGCCGAAGAGGGUGUAGGAGUACUUCGACCUCUUGUUGAAGGAAUCCAACAAGGACUGGCCCAAGUACAUGGAAUGGUUUAUAGUCGCCAAUUAGAAGUCCGAGCUCCUACCACGUAUUGGAUACACCCCAUUCACAAUGCCCAAGUGGUUGAACCAGUAGACCUUAGAGGAAAUGGUGUAGGUGAAGCAACUGCUGAAAGAGAUCGCUAACCUGAAGGCGCGUGAGCUCACAACCGAGGCUGUAAGCAUCAAUGUCUAUUAGAGAUUGACACAGUUGAUCAAGAAUAGGGUCAAUCCCGUGUAUGAGUACACAGGACCACUGGAUCUGACCCGAGAGGUGCAGCGAAAGGUGACCAAAGAAGAAGUCGCCGCCCGUGUAUGCGAGUUUUUUGGCGGUGUCAUCAAGAAUAAGAGCUGCCCCAAGAUGUUUCCCCUCAAGAGGCUAGCUGACCCGUUAUGAUCUUGAUGACCUGAAUUUGGCAUUCCCAUUUUGUUUUUGUGUUGUCUCUGACAAAUCUUGUUGAUUAACCAGAACUGCGAAUUUGAAUUCUUUUACCCGGCGCCACUUCCUAGAGGGGCCGAGCAGUAGCGACCCAAGGUCCACCCGACCACCGAGUGCGACCAGCCGCGUGCCAGCCUUGAUUGGGAGUUAGACUCCUCUAUUGGGUUAGACGAGGACAUUGCCAGAAGAGGUGGGCUGGGCCAAGGACUCCGCACUAGUUGGACGCCGAACACGAUAGGUCGUGAAGAAGAUUCCCACCUCCAAAUCCUAGAAGCCGAGCUUCAAGAGGAAGAAGGCGGGUGGCAAGAAAGAGAAGGCUGCCUCGAGUACAGUUUCCACGGGUAGGUCGCCAAGCAAUGCAGACGAGGAGUCGGACACGCUGAGCCCGACUGCCAGGAAGAAGAAGACCGAGCUCCUUGAGACAACCACGGCUGGCACGGAGUGGAUCAAGGAGACGCUCAAGGAGAAAAUCCACCGGGGGCUGAGCAAAGGUGUGUUCUCACCACCACUGCCUUUGUGUCUCAAGUUCCGGGUGAACUAGAGCACCAUGUAAGUAGUCUGGUUAUGAUAUCUGUCUUGUGGUUCUUUUGCUGCCUAUCUUGCUUAAAUUGUUGCUCGCACUGGCAACGCAGGAAUGCCGCACUAGAUGAUGAAUCUGGUACAUAGUUGACUGGUUGUUCAUCCCAUGCCGAAGGGGCAAGCUGCCGCAUCCCUGAACAGUUGCUGCCCCCGGAGGUCGGGAGGAAUUAGGGUAGUCACGCCGGAGGAGGAGCGGUGCCACAGCAAGGUGUAGUCGGGGAUAUUGGUUCCUCAAGUGCAGUUGCUGCGGACAAUGCUUUGUUUGGUUCAGGGCCGAGUAGGCAUUUGGUGAGGGAGCCAGAGCUGAGCGUCAGCUGGAAGAAUUGCCCAGAGAUGAUCCACUGCUGAAGACAUCCAUCGGGGAUGUUGAAGAUGAUCCUGAUACCCUAGACUUCUCCGGGACUGACCUUGCUGGGGACGCGGUGUAGGACAAGAAAGAUCUUGCCGAACUAUGGCAGUCAUCCUCAAGGAUUUUCGAGUUGUUAUCUGUAAGUAUGUCGACCAACUUGAAGAACCUAUAUCUUAAAUCCUGUUUCGUUGCAGUGCUCUGAUUUUUAGAGUGUAAACAAGGUCUGGCCGCUCAUGCUCAUAGGAGGGUUGACGCAAUCCAGCAAACCGAGCAAUAUCGCCUGAAGGCAGAGCGACUUGAGGCUGACCUCAAGAAGGCCAAAGAAGACGCCGCUCAGAAAGACCUGGAUCAUGCCUUGCAGAAACAGAUUCUUACUACACACUUGAAAGGUAUGUUGUGCCGACCUGUUGAGUCGGUUUUGUUCUUGAAGUCUUGGUGCUAAUGUGGGCUGGUUUGAAUGAGCAAAUGCCAAGGCGAAGGAGCAAAGGCUCAUCCAGCACCUUAAAGAAUGCGAGGAUUCAAAUGCUCAUCUUGAGCAAGAGCAGGAGCCAAAUGUUCACCGUGAGUACGUUGUGUCGCAGAAGCUGGCUUACGAGGCCGGCUUGCGCAAAGAUACUGACCGCUGCUUAGAAGUUGCACUUCAAAGUCUUCAGCAUGACCUAUUGGUGAUUACAAGGUUGGGGGUGGAGUUGGAAGAUCUACGCAGGACGGCCGGCUAUGUGAUGGACAUGGUCGAACAGGAAACUGACCCGACCGCUCCGACACCAAUUCUUGAUCACCUAAAGGCUGCGCCUGGUCGGCUGAAGAAGCUGCUGAAGAACACCACGGUGGAGUGCGUUAAUAAUAUCUUGGUAGUGCUGAAGACACACUUCCCGCGGAUUCCUUGGAGUGUGCUGGUGCAGGGGUCACGACCGACUUCGACGCAGAGAAGCUGCUAGAACUAGCCAGCUAGUUUAAUGAUAUAGCAAAAAACAUUGUUAAUGAGCUGGACCUAUAAAUUGAAACUUGUAGUGUAUCAAACUAUAUGAUAAGACAUGUGAUGUAAUUGACUUAAUGUAUGUAGAAAGAUAGGAGGCUCCAUCCCUCCCUUGGUGUAUACGAUAGGAAAGCGUGUAGCUGAGGCCUGUAGCCGCUAAGCGUGUAGCUGAGGCCUAUAGCCGCUAAGCGCCUAGCCUUUCUUGACCAGCGUCCUGCUGAGAGUGGAUCUCAAGCUUGUAGGAGGGAUGAACGCAAGGUUGUCUAGGUUUCAUGAGCUAGAACUCCGACCAAACGAGUUAGUCGUAUUGCCUUGAGAGGGGAAGGAGCAGGAUGAAAGGCCCGGAGGUCGGCGCCUAGGGGAAGCCCUCGAGCAUGGAAGCGAGUGGUCUAUCGAAUAGGUCGGAUAGCCCCCGAGCGUUAGGAACAGCUCGAGCAAAGGAAAUUGGAAGGCAGUAGGUACACAAAGAACCUCGGAGGUUUUAUUCAUUCAGUAAAAAAGGGGAAAAUAGAAUACAUAGCUUUUAAGCCCUGAGGGUAGAAGCGCCCCGGGUGCUCAAUGUUCCAUGGAUUGGGGAUGCCUGAGCCGUCCACCCAUUGGAGUUGAUAGGUACCUGGCUGGAUGACUUCUUUGACGAUGAAGGGGCCCUCCCAGGGAGCUGCCAACUUGUGCAUGUCCUUGGUCGACUGGAUCCUAUGAGGCACCAAAUCAUCAAUGUUGAAGGAGCAUUCUUUAACGUUCCGAUCAUGGUAGUGUCAUAUCUGCUGCUCGUGGCGUGCAUGCUGGAUGAGAGCCACUACUUAGUGUUACUCAAGGCUGUCAAUGUUGACCCACCGACUUGUUUCUGCUUCGCCUUCCUCGUAGUACUGGAUGUGUGGGACGCCAAAGGCCACAUCGAGGCAAGACGGCCUCUGAGCCGUAUACCAUGAAGAAAGGUGUGUAGCCGGUAGCCGGACUUUUUUAUGUUCGUAGGCCUGUAUGACAUGGGGUAGUUCGCGUAGCCACUUGGUGGCAUACUUGGACGCGUCGUCGAGGGACGGGAGGACCAUCCCCUUCGCACGUUCAACCUGUCCGUUGCAGCAUAGGCGUGCUACUGAGGUGUAGUACAAAUCAAUGAGGUUGUCUUGGAAAGAGUCCUAGAACUCGGAGCCUGUGAACUGCUUGCCAAGGUCGGUGAUGAUCUUGUUUGGAACUACAAAGCGGUGUGUGAUCUUUUCCAUGAACUGAGCAGCUUUAGCUGACUCGAUGUUGGUGAUAGCCUUUACCUCAAUCCACUUGGUGAAUUUGUCAACAGCCACAAAGAUGUGAGUGUAGCUGUUGGGAUACGAGGUAGGCUACGCUAGCGCAAAUCAAAAUUUAUACCGCGUAUAACCAGGAAGAACUGCCGUAUAAGGAUCACGGGAUUACCACUCGACGCACUACUGGUGCGGAAGAUGUAGAUAUGCGUCGGUGCAGUGAAGACGAUCACGUAGUCGUACGUAGUCGAACAACGUAGUCGUACGUAGUCGAUCACGUCCAGCGGCUCCUCAGCAGCUCGUCCACGUGCACAGCAAGAUCGCCUCUGGUGCCGCGGCUCGUCGUCGGCUCGUCGUGGCUCGUCGGCGGCUCGUCGAUGGUUCGUCCAAGUGCUGCACAGGGAGGAAGCGUCGCAAGCCGGAUUGCUAGAUCCGCGAGUUGCAACAGGCGAGGGCGUGGGAGGCGCGGCAAGUGUGUUCAGCCAAAAGGUGUAAACCCUAGGGCGCCCCCACCCCUCUAUUUAUAGAGGUUCCUGAUGGGCCUCUGGAUCCGAGGCCCAUUAGCACUCCUAAACCUAAUCCAACUCGGAUCAGAUCCGAAUUGGGCUUCCAGCCCCUUAAGUGUGUGACCCUAUGGGUUCGGAUACGUAUAGACAUGGCCCGAGUACUCCUACUCGGCCCAAUAGUCGGUAGCGGCCUCUAGCAAGACGUGCCAACUCCUAUACGCAUACGAAGAUCAUAUCAGAUGAACCAUCACAACAUCACGUACAUGCUAUUCCCUUUGCCUCACGAUAUUUGGUCUAGCUUCAAGCCGACCGCUCUUUCUCGAUCCUGUGAUUCGGAAUCCUUUUGUAGGUUAACUCUUAACCGUACGUAGCAUGGCCAUGCAUUUUCGGAUCCGAUCACUCGAGGGGCCCAGAGAUAUCACUCUCAAUCAGAGAGGGGCAAAUCCCAUCUUGAUUGACCAUGUCUCAUAGCAUGCUUCUUGACAAACCCGAAAGCUACCUUUAUAACUACCCUGUUACGGCGUAGCGUUUGAUAGCCCCUAAGUAGGUCGAUCCACAUCUAGAAUACAUGCGACAAUCUCAGGUCUAAGGACAAAGCGUAUAUGUUGUUUAAAGAGAGAACUACUUCUCGUGUUGGGUCAGUCCUAACACAUGUCUCCACAUGUGUCCACAUUAUUAGUUCAACAUCUCCAUGUCCAUGACUUGUGAAACAUAGUCAUCAACUAAUACAUGUGCUAGUCUAAUAUUCAUGUGUGUCCUCACAUGAACUCCGACUAGGGACAACUUUAGAAUAACCAUACAAGUAAAGAGUUUCACAUACAAUUCACAUAAUUGCAAAUCAAUUCAAGUAGCCUUUAAUGGAUAUUCAAUGAACACAAUAUACAAAUCAUGGAUACAAAUGGAAUAUCAUCAUCAUACCUCCAACAGUAGCUGCCUGAGGCAGUCUCUAUAGAUCUUAAUGCCCAGAAUAUAUGCCGCUUCCCCUAAGUCCUUCAUCGAAAAACUAUUUUUCAGUGAAGUCUUUACGGACUCAAGCAUAGGAAUGUUAUUUCCAAUCAGUAAUAUGUCAUCCACAUAUAAGAUUAGAAAUACUACAGAGCUCCCACUAACCUUCUUGUAAACACAAGACUCUUCUUCGUUCUUGGUGAAGUCAAACCCUUUGACCACUUCAUCAAAACGAAUGUUCCAACUCCUAGAUGCUUGCUUCAAUCCAUAAAUGGAUCUCUGAAGCUUGCAUACCUUUCCAGCAUUUUUCGGAUCGACAAAACCCUCGGGCUGUAUCAUAUACACGUCCUCAGCUAGGUUUCCAUUCAGGAAAGCUGUCUUGACAUCCAUCUGCCAUAUCUCAUAAUCGAAAUAUGCAGCUAUAGCUAGAAUAAUCCGAAUGGACUUAAGCAUCACUACGGGCGAGAAGGUCUCGUCGUAGUCAACUCCUUGAACUUGUUGAAAACCUUUUGCGACAAGUCGUGCUUUAUAGAUGUGAACAUUUCCAUCCAUGUCCUUUUUCUUCUUAUAGAUCCACUUGCACUCUAUGGCUUUAACACCAUCAGGCGGGUCAACCAAGUUCCAAACUUGAUUGUCUCCCAUGGACUCUAUUUCGGAUUGCAUGGCACUCUGCCAUUUUUCGGAGUCUGGGUCCAUCAUUGCUUCUGCAUAUGUCGCAGGCUCAUCAUUGUCCAACAAUAAUAUUUCUCGCAUUUCGCGGAGCCUUGCCGACCUUCGUGGUUGUGGCGGUGCUUCUCUUGCCAUGGGUAUCUCAACUUGUUCUGCUACGUUAGCAUCACUCAUUGAUUCUUGCCCGAUUGGCUCAUCUUGAACUUCUUCAAGAUGCACUGUCUUUCCACUCUUUUCUCCUUUGAGAAACUCUUUCUCUAGGAAAACCCCGUUCCGAGCGACAAACACUUUGCCUUCUGAUCGGUUGUAGAAAUAAUAUCCCAAAGUUUCCUUUGGAUAUCCCACGAAAAUGCACUUAUCCGACUUGGGUGUGAUCUUGUCCGACUGAAGUCGCUUGACAAACACUUCACAUCCCCAAAUCUUUAGAAAAGACAGACUAGGAACCUUUCCAGUCCAUAUCUCAUAUGGUGUCUUAACUACGGAUUUAGAUGGUACCCUAUUUAGUGUGAAAGCUGCUGUUUCUAGAGCGUAUCCCCAAAAUGACAACGGUAGGUCCGACUGGCUCAUCAUUGAUCGAACCAUGUCUAACAAAGUUCGAUUACGUCGCUCGGACACACCGUUUCUCUGAGGUGUUCCAGGCGGCGUAAGUUGUGGAACAAUUCCGCAACUCUUUAGAUGAUUGCUAAACUCGUGGCUCAAAUACUCGCCUCCACGAUCAGAUCGUAAGGCCUUAAUUUUCUUGCCACGUUGAUUUUCAACUUCAUUCUGAAAUUCCUUGAACUUUUCAAAGGUCUCAGACUUGUGCCUCAUCAAGUAGACAUAGCCAUAUCUACUAAAAUCAUCAGUGAAAGUUAUGAAGUAUUGGAAUCCUCCUCUAGCCGUCGUGCUCAUUGGUCCGCAUACAUCACUAUGUACGAGUUCCAACAAGUCUACUGCUCUCUCAGGAAAUCCUGUGAAAGGCGUCUUGGUCAUCUUGCCUAGCAAGCAAGCCUCACAUGUCUCGUAUGAUUCAAAAUCAAACGAAGUUAGAAGUCCAUCAGAAUGGAGCUUCUUCAUGCGCUUUUCACUUAUAUGACCCAAACGACAAUGCCACAAGUAGGUAGGACUCAAAUCAUUAGGCCGAGGCCUUUUAGCACUUACAUUACAAACAGGUGAACCAUCAAGAUUUAAAACAAACAAUCCAUUCACAAUGGGUGCAAAAGCCAUAAACAUAUUAUUCUUAGAGAUCACACAACCAUUGUUUUCACUCGCAAAUGAAUAACCAUCCUUCAUCAAGCAUGAAGGAGACAAAAUGUUUCGACUUAAACUAGGAACAAAAUAACAAUUAUUCAACUCCAUAAUAAAUCCUGACGGGAGGUGGAGUUGCAUCGUCCCGACGGUCAAAGCAGCAACUCUUGCAUUAUUGCCCACGCGGAAAUCAACUUCUCCUCUUUCCACGCUUCUACUUCUUAUCAUUCCCUGCAUCGAAUUGCAAAUAUGAGCAACCGAUCCGGUAUCAAAUACCCAAGAAUUAAUAACUGUAUCAGCGAGAAAUAUGUUGUCUAUAACAUUAACAACAAGCGUACCUGAGGUAGAAGUACUCUUACUUCCGCCGUUCUUCAACGAAGCUAGGUACUGCUUGCAGUUUCUCUUCCAGUGACCAAGUUCAUGAUAGUAAAAGCACUCUUUAUCUGGAGCAGGUCCAGGUCCAGCUUUAACCUUGGGCGGUGGGUUUGGCUUGGACGUUCCAGCCUUGCCCUUCUUCUUCCAAGAAUUGCCCUUCUUUUUAAAGCUGGGCUUGUUCUGUAUCGCCAUCACAUGGCUGGUACUAGCGCUUUUCUUGAUGUCAGCCUCUGCUGUCUUGAGCAUACCACACAGCUCAUUCAAUCCCUUCUCCGUCCCAUGCAUAUGGUAGUUCGAGAUGAAGUUCCCAUAGCUAGGCGGAAGAGAGGAAAGAAUGAAAUCAGUGGCCAACUCUUGGCCCAGUGGGAAGCCUAGCUUCUCGAACCGUUGAGUGUAACCAACCAUCUUGAUCACGUGUGGUCCUACUGCUGCGCCUUCUGCUAGCUUGCUCUCAACAAAAGCCUUAGACACAUUGAACCUUUCAGUCCUGGCCUGUGUUUGGAACAUGUCUCUAAGCGCCACGAUCAUAUCGUGCGCCUCAUGGUUUGUUUCGAACUGCAUUUGCAGCUCGGGUUCCAUGCAAGCAAGCAUAAGGCAGCUUACUUCAAGGUUAGCAUCACAUGCUUUCUUGUAAGCAUUCUUAGCAGCAGCGGGUGCAUCCUCAACAGGUUCUUCUGGUAGUGGGUUGUCUAGAACAUCUUCCUUUUUCUCAGCCCUGAGAACAAUUCUCAGGUUGCGGAUCCAAUCCGAGUAGUUUGUUCCAUUCAACUUGUCCUUCUCAAGGACCGAACGCAAAGCAAACGAUGUGGUGGUGUUGCUAGGUGCCAUUUAAUCUACAACAAAAGUAAUGCAAAAUACACUAAGACAAACGUAUCCAUGAUAGAGCAAAUUACAUUAAACUAUUUUAACAGAAUCUACUCCCACUAAAAUCAAUAUCCCUCUAUUGAAACUUAGUGAUUCAGGAUCCACAACUAACAAGUCUACUAGUGAGCUUUAGCAUCACCGCUAGCAAACGAGGUAGAUCGGUAAGCAACUUUUGCUAAUCAUAUCACAUAUGACUCCUGUUGUUGGGUGACAUCUCUAUGUCUCGGCGCCCAACCUUUAUGCCCCAAGGUCCUUAACCGUUAAGAUGACCUCGUUAAGCAAACCAACCCUUAUGCGUGUAAGUGUCCGACACAAACCCAUCUAGUCAAGGAAAACUAGUGGCACCCUAAUUUCAUAGACCCACCACUAAUUGUACAAGACAUGGGACGGUGCAAGUUUUAGUUGGGAGGGCAUACUAACUUAAACUUUGUGAGGGAUCGUUCUACUUCUAACAUCACAGCAUGCAGAAAGUAAAACAUAAACAGAAUAGCAUUCACACAGUUGUGACACAGUAUGACCCGUUUUUCAUAUGGUGAUCUCCAUCUCCAUAGAACCUGUUCACCAUGGUGAUCUCCAUCUCCAUGUUCCAUGUGCGCCAUCCUCCUGGUGAUGAGUCCUCCAAGAACUAGAGCAUGCUAUUACGCCUAAUAGCUAGUAAAGAAUCUAGUAAAGAAUCUAGUAAUGAAGAUUACAUAGUUGCUUGGAUCAUCACAGAUUGGUACGCAGACCAUUAAAUACAAUAAAGUCCUGCCAUGUUGCCGUACGCGUGACACGCAGGUCACGAAUGAGUUACACACAUGCAUCACAUACACACACAAGGGGGCCAUACUGAUCACAAGAUACAUCCUGCAAAAGAGAGUUAGGCGUCCUAACGUUCCAAACUUCGGAGGCCCGAAACUCCAUCUUCCAAGCCGAAUUUGGCAAAUCUAAUUUCGCCGAAAACGGCAAAGCGGUUGAAAUUCACGUGUAACUUUUUCUGUAGAUCAAUUUUCGUAUAGAAAUCGCCCCGAUCCGAGAUCAUACCGAAAAGUUACGGCUGAUUUACCGAAGAAUGCGCAUACGGCAAAAUCCCGACCCCGGCAGUAGAUCCCAUCUACCAUUGCAUAUCUAAUGCGCCUGGCGUAUGACCCUGGAUCUCGAUUCGACCAAUCAUAUUGAUCUUCCCUCACUGCAACUGGAUUUACGUGUAUCACUUAACUCCGAUGGCGGAAACCGACCGGUAGGAGUAUGUCGUUACACUACCAUUGCAGCAAGGGCACGAAACCAGGACAUAGAUCAAACAGAAAACUCGCAUAUCUCCAUAUGCACACAUCCCGAAUCCAAAACUAAGCAGCUAAGGCUCUUGAUACCACUGUUGGGAUACGAGGUAGGCUACGCUAGCGCAAAUCAAAAUUUCUACCGCGUAUAACCAGGAAGAACUGCCGUAUAAGGAUCACGGGAUUACCACUCGACGCACUACUGGUGCGGAAGAUGUAGAUAUGCGUCGGUGCAGUGAAGACGAUCACGUAGUCGUACGUAGUCGAACAACGUAGUCGUACGUAGUCGAUCACGUCCAGCGGCUCCUCAGCAGCUCGUCCACGUGCACAGCAAGAUCGCCUCCGGUGCCGCGGCUCGUCGUCGGCUCGUCGUGGCUCGUCGGCGGCUCGUCGAUGGUUCGUCCAAGUGCUGCAGGCGCAACACCUCCAAGGUAUCCACACGUGCAGGGAGGAAGCGUCGCAAGCCGGAUUGCUAGAUCCGCGAGUUGCAACAGGCGAGGGCGUGGGAGGCGCGGCAAGUUGUUCAGCCAAAAGGUGUAAACCCUAGGGCGCCCCCACCCCUCUAUUUAUAGAGGUUCCUGAUGGGCCUCUGGAUCCGAGGCCCAUUAGCACUCCUAAACCUAAUCCAACUCGGAUCAGAUCCGAAUUGGGCUUCCAGCCCCUUAAGUGUGUGACCCUAUGGGUUCGGAUACGUAUAGACAUGGCCCGAGUACUCCUACUCGGCCCAAUAGUCGGUAGCGGCCUCUAGCAAGACGUGCCAACUCCUAUACGCAUACGAAGAUCAUAUCAGAUGAACCAUCACAACAUAAUAUACAUGCUAUUCCCUUUGCCUCACGAUAUUUGGUCUAGCUUCAAGCUGACCGCUCUUUCUCGAUCCUGUGAUUCGGAAUCCCUUUGUAGGUUAACUCUUAACCGUACGUAGCAUGGCCAUGCAUUUUCGGAUCCGAUCACUCGAGGGGCCCAGAGAUAUCACUCUCAAUCAGAGAGGGGCAAAUCCCAUCUUGAUUGACCAUGUCUCAUAGCAUGCUUCUUGACAAACCCGAAAGCUACCUUUAUAACUACCCUGUUACGGCGUAGCGUUUGAUAGCCCCUAAGUAGGUCGAUCCACAUCUAGAAUACAUGCGACAAUCUCAGGUCUAAGGACAAAGCGUAUGUGUUGUUUAAAGAGAGAACUACUUCUCGUGUUGGGUCAGUCCUAACACAUGUCUCCACAUGUUUCCACAUUAUUAGUUCAACAUCUCCAUGUCCAUGACUUGUGAAACAUAGUCAUCAACUAAUACAUGUGCUAGUCUAAUAUUCAUGUGUGUCCUCACAUGAACUCCGACUAGGGACAACUUUAGAAUAACCAUACAAGUAAAGAGUUUCACAUACAAUUCACAUAAUUGCAAAUCAAUUCAAGUAGCCUUUAAUGGAUAUUCAAUGAACACAAUAUACAAAUCAUGGAUACAAAUGGAAUAUCAUCAUCUCUAUGAUUGCCUCUAGGGCAUACCUCCAACAGUAGCUGCCUGAGGCAGUCUUGAAGGGUUCGUCGAUAUCUAGCCCCUGAAUGCCCAGUUCAAGAUCUUCACAACAAGAUCAACGCCGGCCGCGACGCCCGUACCAUCAUUGAUGGAGAACUGACACCAUUUGCACCUUUGGAUGAGCUCCUUUGCAUCGGCUACUGCUAUUGGCCAAUAGAAGCAAGAGCGAAACGCCUUGCCAACCAAAGUGCCUGAAGCAGCGUGGUUCCUGCAUGUGCCCGAGUGGAUAUCGUGAAGGAGGUCAAUGCCCUCACUUUGCAGAAUGCACUUCAUCAAGAUGUCUGUGGAUGCGGCCUUUCUGUACAGCUCCUUCCGAUGACGACAUAGUUUGCACUACGCCGUGCUAGUUUCUCAUGUUCUAUCUUGUCCCCUAGCACUAGCUAGUCGGUGAUCAAGGCUAUGAACGAAGCGCGCCAGUCUUCUUCUGCCUCAAUCAUCAUGACGUCAGUGGGGAGCAAGGUUGGCUAGAGCCUCAGUGCUAUCGUUGACCUGGUCCAGGUCCAAAAUCUUGAUGGAAGGUUUUUGGAGAUCUUACACGAACACGCCGAUUGAGACUUGUGCACGCUUGGAGCCAAGCUUGGACAGGAUGGCGGCAGCGAUGUUGUGCUCCCUAGGGACAUGGUGGAACUCGAGACCAUCGAAGUGUGCCUGAAGUUUGAGGAUUUCCGUGUAGUAAGCAUCCAUGGUCUCCUUGGUGUAGUCCCAGUUCUUGUUGACUUGCUCGAUGAUGACCUUGGAGUCGCCUUACGCAAGGAUGUGCUUGAUCCCAAAGGAGAUGGCAAUGCGGAGAACAUGGAUGAGAGCCUCAUACUCGGCGUUGUUGUUGGUGGCCUUGUAGUGGAUCUGGAGAAUGUACUUGAGUUGCUCACCUUUGGGGGAUAUGAAGAGGACCCCCGUGCCAGCUCCUUCGAGGUUGAGGGUGCCAUCAAAGUACAUUGUCCAGUGUUCCAGCCUCUCCAGGGAGGGUGGCUUCUAGAUCUCUUUCCACUCGGCCAUGAAGUCGGCUAGGAUCUGCGACUUGAUCGCAUGACGUGGGCAGAAAUCGAGGUUGAACUCGCCGAGCUUUAUAGACCACUUGACAACUCGGCCAUUGACAUCCCUAUUGUGGAGUAUUUCACUAAGUGGGUACAAGGAUGCCACCCAGAUCUUGUAUGCCUAGAAAUAAUGGCGCAGCUUGCGAGACGAGAUUAGGAUUGCGUAGAGCAAUUUCUGAACCUAUGUCUAGUGAACUUUGGAGUCGCUUAGGACCUCGUUGACAUAGUAGACCAGUCGCUGCACCAUGUGUGCAUGGCCGGGCUCUCCGCGUUCCGCAACUAGCACAGUGCUGACAACGUGCGUCAUUGCAGAGAUGUAGAGUUGAAGUGGUUCUUGGUUGGCUGGGGCCGUCAUGACGGGGAGAGUGGUAAGGAAAGCUUUGAGUUCUUCGAGUGCCUUGCGGGAUUCAUCAUCUGUAACACCCUAAUUUCAAAUUGUGCAAUUUAAUAAAAGUUGCUAGAAAUAGAUUCCAUGUGUUUAAGGACUCUAAGGUUGCAUUUAAAUUUCUGAGGCAAUUAAAUUCUUUUUCAAAAUAAUUUAAUGAAUCAUAGGAGUUCAUUGUUGCAUUCAUGUUGGUGCAUUAUUUUUGAUUGUUUGAAUUUAAUCUUGAAUUUGUGCAGUUUCCUUUUCCCUAAGGUAGCAAAAUUCCUUGUUGGGUAUGAUUUGUGCAACAAGAGAAAGAUUUCCCUCAAUACCCUUUUCUUUUCCCUUUUUCAUUUCUUCUCCUUCAGCCUGUUUCUCUUUUCUAGCCUGCUUUGUGCCGUGCUCCUCCGCCUUGGCAUACUACCAUGCCGGCCCAGCUCCGUGCGCCAGCCCGUUUGCACACCUCCGCCUCCCUCUCGCUGACCAAUGGGCCCCGCCCAUCAUGCCCAUCCUCCAGUGUGCCAAACCUCUGCCCAUCGUAUCCAUGCUGGACUCGCCCGGGGCUCGCCUUCGCAACCACCGCCUCCAAAUCUCCCGCAAGCACAUGCAUCUGAGCCUUAUCUCCUUGGGUCUAUAAAUACCCCUCCGCCGCCCUUAGCUCCCUCGCCCAAACCCUAGCUCUCGCUCUCUGUGCCGCCGUGCCCGAGCUUUGCCGCUGCCAUUGUUCUCCAUCUCCGUCGCUCGCCCGCCGACGAGAACCUUGCCCGAAGCAGUGCAAACGGGUAAAGCACUCGCUGGACGACCUCUCGCGCGCUCCUAUGCUUUCUCCUUCACGCACGAGCUCAUCGGAGAUGCUCUCCCCGUCGCCGGAGCUGCGCCCUCACCGUCGGCCUUCGCGUCGCCGCUGCCGCCGCCACGAAAACCACCUCGGCAACCCCCUAAACGCGUUCUCCAUGACCUCAUCUAUCUCCCGGUCAAGCUUCAAUCCACAAUCGCGCCCGGAUGCUCAUUUUCGACCAACGCCGAUGAGUCACUGCCGCGCGCCACCGCUUGCCAUCAGUUCUGCCACAGCCCACAAGUCGUAGAGGUUCCCAGCCGUUAGAUCCGGAUCCAACGAUCGGAUCUAAUCUGACUGGGUCGGUACUGGUCAACCCGUGUGUGCCGUGUCAUUUUGCUAGAAAGCCCCUACAUUUCUUGCUUUUUGCGUUGUAGUCCACUUAGUUCAAAAACCUUUAGAUUUAGGUCCUAUAUUCAUUCUCUUGAACCCCCUAGUUUCUGCAUAUUACUACCCGCCAUCCAACUUGGCUCUUUUGCGCGUUAAACCUUCAGUUUAUACGCAUAAUUAUGUUCUAGCCCUCGGUUUCUUUAAGUUUAGCCCUUGAAAGUUUUAAAUCUUUGCCAACAAUCCCCUGCAUCUUGUUUACUGCAUAUCUUUACCAUCCUGGACCCGUUCAAGUGCGUCUUGUGUUCACGAGUUCAUCUUAACACGUAGAUUAAAUUUUUGAGCUUGUUUUUCUCUAUUUAUAUUGUUUGAUAUACUAUUUCUUAUUUUAUUUCUUCUGUUUUCUUGUAUGUACUCGUGUUAUCACGUUAGAGGUGAUGGGAUAGGAGGUAGGCUAUGCUAGUGCAAAACAAAAUUUUCUACCGCGUAAACUAAGAAACCUGCCGUAUAUGGAUCACGGGAUUACCACUAGAUGCGCAGAUGCAGAAGUUGAUGAAGCACAUCGGGGCAGUGUAGUUGAUCACAUGUCGCCGCAGUGUAGUCGAACAUGUCCACGUCCAGCAGCUCCUCAGCAGCUCGUCCACGUGCAGCGGCGUCCUCCUCGCGCGGCGGCUCGUCAAGCUCCUUGUCGGCUCGUCAGGCUCUCGUGCGGCAGCUCGUCCAAGUGCUGCAGAUACAACACCUCCAAGGUAUCCACACGUGCGGGAAGGAAGCGUCGCAAGAUGGACUGUUAGGUCCGCGAGUGCAACAAGACGAGGGUGUGGGAGGCACGGCUACUGCUUGUGCGAAAAGGGAUAAAACCCUAAGCCGCCCCCACCCCUCAAUAUAUAUAGGGGUCCCUAAUGGGCCUCUGGGUCCGAGGCCCAUUAGUACUCCUAAAUCAGAUCCAAUUCGGGUCAAAUCCUCAUUAGGCUUCCAACCCCUUAAGUGUGUGACCCUAUAGGUUCGUAUACGUAUAGACAUGGCGCGAGUACUCCUAUUCGCCCAAUAGUUGGUAGCGACCUCUAGCAAGACGUGUGAACUCCUAUACGCACACGAAGAUCAUAUCAGACGAACCAUCACAACAUCACGUAGAUGCUAAUCCCUUUGCCUCACAAUAUUUGGUCUAGCUCCAAGCCAACCACUCUUUCUUGAUGGUGUGAUUCGGAAUCCAUUUCUAGGUUAACUCUUAACCUCACGUAGCAUGGCCAUGCAUUUUCGGAUCCGAUCACUCGAGAGGUCCAGAGAUAUGUCUCUCAAAUAGAGAGGGGCAAAUUCCAUCUUGACUGACCAUGCCUCAUAGCAUGCUUCUUGACAAACCCAAAAACGACCUUUAUAACUACCCAGUUACGGUGUUGCGUUUGAUAGCCCCUAAGUAAGUCGAUCCACAUCUUGAGUACAUGCGACAAUCUCAGGUCUAAGGACAAAGCGUGCACAUUGUGUAAAGAGAGAACUAUGUAACUGACGUUGGGUCAGUCCUAGCAUAUGUCUCUACAUGUGCCCACAUUAUUAGUUUGACAACUCCAUGUUCAUGACUUGUGAAACAUAGUCAUCAGCUAAUACAUGUGCUAGUCUAACAUUCAUGUGUGUCCUCACAUGAACUCCGACUAGGAACAACUUUUAGAAUAACCAUACAAGUAAAGAGUUUCACACACAAUUCACAUAAUUGCAAAUCAACUCAAGUAGCCUUUAAUGGAUAUUCAAGGAAUACAAUAUAAAACAUGGAUACAAUGGAAUAUCAUCAUCUCUAUGAUUGCCUCUAGGGCAUACCUCCAACAAGAAGGACCACCACUUGAGGGAUUUGAAGCUCAAGACUUCGAAGACUACGAGCAGGAGGAGCAGGUGCAAGAAGGCAAGUCGUGUCCUUGACCACAGCUUUAACCUAAGAACUUUUACUUUUAUGUUCAAUAACAAUCACGCCAUGCACUUUAAGUCAUAAUAAUGAUGGGACCUAAUUAAGGAUUUCCUAGUCUUAUUUCUUGCACCUUGACCAACCAGGGCUUAUUUAAUGUUGUGCAGUAAUUGCUUAGUUGCUCAACUUGGUGGUAUUAAUGAACUCAAUUAUUAAUCCUAAUUUAUUUAUGCUAUACCUAUCUUUAAUAGAAGACCAUCAUGCUUAAUUGAAACAUGGAGAACCACCCGGGAAAACAGUACAACCACAAGAACUAUAUGGCUCUUGUCUUGGCUAAUUAAUUAGGAACUUUGGUUAGUGGGAGCUUUACCUGAAAGGGGCAAAAGGAGGAGACAGUAGUUGGUGUAUAACCCAGUCCUCUUAGGAAGGGAGCUUUGCUAAGACCCUAUGCCUACUAGGGAGGUUUAUGCAUUGCGCUAAUCAUGAAACCUUAGCGAUCUAUCCUGUCUGGUGAAACUUUGUAAAGGCCUCGUAACGUCCCUAUGCAAUCACACCUCGGAAGUGUGGUAUGGUGUCUAGCUAGCACCGCGUGGUUGGGUCCAAAGUUCUUUGAACUUUUACACGACUUGUGGGUAAAGAUGCGCGACCUCUGUAGAGAUGAAAAACUGAUCAAUCAGCCAUGCUCACGGUCAAGAGCGGGCUGGAUCCUCACAUGAUUAAAUUAUCGAAAGGCAAAAAUUAAAUCAUUGUUAUUUUUUUGCGGUCAUCUCUUUUAUGUUCUUGCUUAAUAUGGGUGGUACAAACUUACAUGUAGUAAAUGCUAAUAGAAUUUGACCAACUAAAUAAAAUGCUGACAUGCUAUUAAAACCUUAGUCUAUCCUUUAUUGGCCUUACACUACACAUUCCCCACGCUUGUUGAGUACCAACCAUAAGUGUACUCACCCUUACUAAACACGCUCCUCAGAACAAGUCAACGCCGUGGAGGUUCUACAAGAUUUGGAGGAAUACUAGGCGUACAUUUCUCCGGUCAGCAGCCUGUGUAGUCGCCGUGCUUAUUGAAGAUCCGCUGCGAAAAUAAUAGACUUUUGUGUUAUUUGAUUUAAAGACUACCGGUCAUGUAAUAAUGUUAUACCCUCCUUACGCUAUGGCAUUGACUUUGAUAUUCACUUAUGUCAUCGCAUGUGUAUUAUUUGAUCCUAGUAUACAUGUGAUUUAUGCAUUCAAUUUUGCCUUUGAAACCGGGUGUCACAUCAUCCCACUCGAACCUAUCCGCCUUGUUUAGGAGCUUGAGGAAGGACAAUCCCUUUUCGCCUAAUUUGCUAAUUAAGCGGCUGAGGGCCGGCAUCAUGCCGGUCACCUUCAUGAUGUCUUUCUUGCUAGCUGGCCUUGACGGGAUUGGCUUUGGUGCCGCGCUGGCUGACCAUGAAGCCCAGGAGCUUUCCAGACACAUUUGCCUAGAUCGAGUUUCCAGCGAUAGGCCCGGAGGCUGUUGAAGGUUUCUUUGAGGUUGGCUAUAAAGUUCUCCUCAUCCUUAGUCUUGAAAACCACAUUGUCGAUGUAGGCCUCGAUGUUCUUGUGUAGCUGCUUUGUGAGGUAACCUUGGAUUGCCUUAUAGUGGGUGGCGCCAGUCUUUUUUAACCCAAAAAUCAUGGUGUUGUAGUAGUAGAUGCCGAAGGGUGUUAUGAACGCCGUUUUGUCUUGGUCAGCAGGAUCGACGACAAUCUGGUGAUAGCUCGAGUAACAGUCGAGGAAGCACAGCAGGGUGCUCCCAGCUGUAGAGUCUACGACCUGGUCGAUGCGUCGAAGAGGGAAGGGAUCCUUAGGGUAGUGCCUGUUGAUGUCAGUUUUCUUUUUUACAAGGACUAGAUUAGCUAACUAGUAGGGGUGCUUACAUUCACGGAUGAAACUAGUAGCGAAGAGCUUAUUGAGUUCUACCCUAAUGGCCUCCUUGCGAUCUUGGGCAAAACGGUGAAGCUUUUACUUAACCGGUCUUGCGGUCUUGCUCAAGUCCAAAGAGUGCUCAGCUAGCUCCCACGGGACAGCGGGCAUAUCGGAUGGCUUCCACGCGAAUAUGUCCGAGUUGUCCUCGAGGAAACUGGUGAGAUCCAAUUUGGCGGAGAGGUCGGAGCCUAUGAGGGCCAUCUUGGAGGGGUCUUCCAGGGAGAGAUAGAUCUUCUUGACCUUUUGGUUGGGCUACAGCACUAUGGGCAUCGACUCCAUCUCUAGGAUCAUGAGUUGGGUCUGGUCCACCUUCUGGGCCUCAACGAGCAUGGCGGUGGCUUUGGCUGAGUACUCCAGAGCUUCCGCGAGCUGCACCGCCUUCACAUCGCACUUGUAUGAUGUCUCAACAUCAUCGUAGAUGGAGAGGACACUGUUGGGAGCCGACAUCUUGUGGACGAGGUAGGUGUGAUGUAGAAUCACCAUGAACCUCGUGAGCAUGGGCUUGCUAAAGAUGCCAUGGUAGGAAAUCUUGAAGUUGGCCACCUCGAAGGUGAGAUACUCCGUACAGUAGUUGUCGGGCGUGCCAAAGGUGAUUGGAAAAAUAUCUUGGCCAAUAGGAUAGGCUCCUUUGCCGGGUACGAUGCUGUAGAAGGGGUCUUCAUAGGGCUGGAGGCGGUCAAAAUUUGCACUUCAGGGUUUUGGUGAAGAUGAUGUUGAGCCCACUGCUGCCGUCAAUUAGCACCUUGGGGACGAGAGCCCAAUCUAUGGUUGGGCAAACCACGAGUGAGUAGGACCCGGGAUGUGGAAUGUGUACCCAAUGAUCUUCCCUGGAGAAGGUUAUGGGCAUUUCUAACCACCGCAGAUACUAGACUUGCCAUAUGAAGAUGAAGUGAACCUCUCGCUGCUACAACUUGUGCUUGCAGUUGCUGCAGAACAACUUGGGGCCGCCCACGAUGAUGUUGACCUGACAGUUCGGUCACUGGAACUCCCUGUUCUGGUUGCCGCCAGCCCAGUGGGCGUUUCGGUUUGGCUGCUCGCGGCACUCCUCUCUCUGCUGAUCAUCGCGGUCAUCGCGUUGGCAGUUGUGGCGGGCAGCGCGAUCAUCACGGCGAUGGUCACGGUCGUUGCGGUGGCAGUGAUCAUGGCAGAGGUUGUCAUGAUGAUUGUCAUCCCUGCGGUAGUUGUUGCGGCGAGGUCACUUGUACUACACCAAAGCGCCGAGCUCUUUCUUGAGAACUGUGCAGUCCCGAAGAUUGUGACGUGCAUCCUUAUCGAAGGGGCACGGAGCGUUCAAGGUGUCAUCAAACUCUUCCCGGAGGAAGGUGGUCAGCCUGGCAGGGUCGGCUUUAGCAGUGAGGACCUCAGGGGCCCUUUUUGGAAGUUGGGAGGACUCUGAUCGUAUUUGGUGCUCCUCAUAGGUUGGCACUUCAUGGUCAUCAUUCUAGCGAUGCUUGCCACCCUGGAACUGUACUUGCACUGCCUCCGGUGUCAUCCUGAAUGUUGACGACCUGCAUAGCCUACCCGACCUUCUUGGGGGUAGCCUCAUACAGCUUGCAGAACAUGUUGCUGUUGGACAUGCUGGAGCAGAAGUACCAGAUGACAUCACAGUCAUUGACACUGGCCAGCCUGUUGUGGUUCUCGAAGAAGCGGUUUAUGUACUCUCAGAGAGUUUUGUUCUUUCGCUAGCGAACAUGCCCAAGGUUCUCCAUGUUACCAGGUCGACUGUAGGUAGCCUAGUAGUUCUGGGUGAAAGCCCUAGCGAGCUGACCCCAGGAGUCGAUGCUGCUCGGCAUGAGGUUCUCUAACCACAGGAAAGGGGCGGGAGACAUCACUAGCGGGAAGUAGGCGGCCAUUUGGUAGUUGGUGCCAUUGGCAACCUUCACCAUAGUGUUGUACGUCUUGAGCCGAUAUGGUGGGGUUGGAGCGGUCGUCGUACUUUUCUUUGAUAGACGGUUUGAACAAGGUAGGCCACUCAAUGGCCCUAAGGCGGAGAGUGAACGUGGUGAAACCAUCAAUUGCCAUAUUGUCUACAUCCUCAAGAUUUUACUUGACGGGUGGUGCCCUAGGGCGUCCACCGUUGUUGCGCCUGGGUGGGAUGUAGGCGUCUUCAGGGGCACCGUACAUGCUGUCGUAGUCAGUACGCCAGAGCAUAUCAUCUUCUUGGCGUCGACAGUCCUCCCAUUCUGCAUCGUGGUCUAGCCUGCUAGGAGCGCUGUAGUCAUGGUCGUACUCUGCGCGGUCGCAGAGCUUAGCUUCUUCCCGCUCUUGGUGGUGGUUGUUGAGGUUAGCGCGUACGGUGCACUGGUCGCGUAACUCCUCACGGAGGUCAUGUUGCCAAUCUUGUCUCCCACGAUUCUCACCAUUAGCUCUCCUACCACUGUGGCGGUUGUCGUGGUUCUCGAGUUGAUGGGCGUUGUUGGCGGGUGGAUUGGCGGGUUGCUCCAACUCCUCUUCACGGAUGGGCUCCAGCCCACCUCCCAUGCGGUUGUCGUGGUCGCCUCGGUGAUGACCAGAUCUGCUAUGAGCGGAACGGCUUCGAGAGUGCCAGGUAGAUGUAGACCAGGACUAUGCUGACCGGCUGUGGGCCCAUUCUUCGAUCUGGGUGCUGGCAACACGGAUACAUGCCCGGAUCCGCCGGAUUGGCUUCGAGUCUGGAAGGUUUUCCAGGUCGGCGAAGGUAGCCCCUAGGUUAUCCUAGGGUGUGGUGAAGAUGUUAUGGCCGGCCCUCUUGAGGUUGGCUUGUAGGUUGCGGGAAUGCAUAGGGUGCCUGCGUCUGCCUCAAGCACCGUCCUGGUCAGCAUUGUCACCAUCAUUGGCGCGUGGUUGGUUGGCAUUCGCAACGGGCGGUGGUCGGCGCUGGAUGCCUGCUGCCUUGGCUCCCGUGUUAGCAGCAGGUUGUUGGCAUUGCUGGGUAACGGCUUGCUCCCAUUGGUGUUGGACUCCACGGUCCUGGUUGGUUCUUGGCUUUGCGACCUACUUCCUAAGAAGAGUAUCCCUGGAUGGAUCAUCGGCGGAGACCACGAAGGCUUUGCGAUCUGGCAUGGUGGAGUUGCUCUCGACGUCAUCUCCAUAAGGGUUCGGAGUGAAGAUGAUGCGGGGGAUCUGGAACUCACCACACUCUGGAAACUGGGCGGGUUCAGGUGGGUCUUCAGAUUGGAUCUAAAGAGACUACGUGAAUUUCACGGAAAUCAUGACAGCCAAGUUCCUCAGACGAAAGGGGACGCGGGAAGGACCCUGCAUCAACCUUGUUGAGCGUAGCUCCCUCUCAAAGAGGUCGAUGCACUCAGAAAUCGUGUUGCUAAUGCGAUCUAGCCCCGCGAUUAGGUCGGAGGGCGUGGGUGGGCGGGUCGUAUCAAGGAUGUUGGGAAUCCUCUCGGAGAGGGAGAGAUCGCCGACCUAUUGGGCAAGUAGAGUGAAGAUCCUUGGGUGAAGACCUUGCUCCAUCGAAGUAGAUCCAAUGGAUGCUGAGCUGGCGGCGGACGCCAAGUCGAUGAGGAAGGCAGUGAAGUCAGAGUCCACCAGCAUGCUCCCAAAGCGGAGCUGGAUCGAAUUGGUGAUGAACUCCUUCAUGCUCUCGGGGAAGAUGACACCAUGGGGAUAUGCCAUCGAGCUCGCGGGGGAGGAUCUCACAAUCACCCCUACAUGGAGCGCCAACUGUCGGACUUAGUAGCCUAGCAGUCUGCCAGGGGGUUACCCAGGUGGUUGAUUUGUAGGCUGGGAGGAUUAUGAGACCAAGAACUCACAGGUGAUCUCGAGAACAUGAGGGUUUAGACAGGUUCGGGCCACUAGAGAGUAAUACCCUACAUCCAUUGUUUUGGUGGUUUGUAUUACUUUGCCCUAGGGAGGCACUCUUGGCCGCCUUAUAUAGGCUGAUGACCUAGGGUUACAAGUCGGUCUGAAUCUAAUCUAGUGAAUUGUUACAUGGAGAGCAACUCGAGUCGGUUUACAACAAGUAUCCUGCAAUAUCCGAGUUGAUAUGAAUCGCCUGGCCUCCUUGACUUGUGCUGCAAGUAUCUUUACGUCCAUGGCCCACACGUUCUGGUUGAGCGGGCCCACUUUUCAGGACCCAAGGUUGCGAUGCCUCCUAGAGUUGGCUAUUUACGUUAGCUCAUCACACUCUCAACUUUCCUUUUGGGACUAAAGUCCUAGAGCUACCAUGCCACAUGCAUGGUACUCUAAAUUGGCCUGCCCCAACUGGCCAUGGAAGGUUUGUAGAGGUCUUUCCAUGAGCUCCAAGUAUUUUAUCUGUGUUCCUCGUGUCCCAAACCAUCUCUAGGAAUUUUCAAGAAUUUUUGAGAGUUUUGGUAGUAUUUUUGGUUAUUUAGAAGUGAUUUCAGGAUUUUCUAAAAUUGUUUUAGAAUUUGAAAUUAAUUGCUGAAAUUGGAAAAAGUAGGAAAAUAAACCCUUACUCCAACCUAGUCCAUAAAUACUGUCCAGUGAUCUCCUUAACAUCCAUUUUCCAACCCCGCUAAUUCCACCUCCUUUCGACAACCCUAACUCCAGCAAAUCGACGCCGAACGUCUGCAUAUGCUCAACUCCAGCGAGCUUUUGCGAUGAGAACUUCGGCGAGCAAAUCUUGCAAAAUCAUAAGUCCUUGUCGAUGGUGAGCGCACCAUCGUGUUGGUGUCAUCGUCGACAUUCCGUUUUACCACUUCGGUGCGAGUUUGGUCGCCGUUCCCCGACGAUUCCUUGUUUUCCUCUCUCCUUCUAUUUCUGGUCGUCGGCCAUGGCCAUGGCUUUACCUCCCGAGCUUCCCCGCAAUGCUCGCGCAGCCCCUGGGCGCUCGCGCCCACACUUGCGGCUGCCUACUCAUGGAGCCUUUGCGCCGCCUCACCCCUUUGCCGCGCCACUUCCAGUGCUUCGCCUCCUAGCAGGCCGUGUUGCGCCCCUGCCUGUGCACUAAUAGCCCUUGCGCCUCGCGCUUGCCCAACCAUAUCUUUCACGAUUUAGCUCCGUUUUGAGUGAUUCUUUCGCUCACGUGUUCAUCUUAACAUGUAAUCCCUCCAUUCUUAAAUUUAUGUUUGACCACCAAUAUCUAUUGAGCGAGUUAGUUAACUAAAGUAAAAUAUGUAUCAUUAUGUCUAUUGUCAAAUGAACUUCAGAUUUAACUUGUAGGUUUAUCUAUUUGCAAAAAUAUUUGUAGAAAAUAUGAAUAGUCAAACAAAUAAAAAAAGUUGACAAUGUCAUAUAUUUAAGAACGCAGGGAGUAGAUUAGUUUUGUACCGCUUUUCAGUGCUCUUAAUGAUGUUUGGUGUACUGUUUCUUAUUUUAUUGUAUUGCGUUCUUUGCAUGUGUUUCUGUGAUGCGUAGAGAACGUGCCGUUUGAGGUUUUUCCUAAAGAUCUAGGCCUUGAAGACUCUGAGCAGCAGUAGGCUUAAAGGAAGGCAAGUGUCAUUGUACUUUUGUCCUAAUGAUCUUAUUGAAUCACUAUUGCAUUUGCUUGCUUUUAAUUUGAUGGGGCCUAUCAAUGUUUGCUUUGUUUUUAUGAUCAUUCCUUGUCAACUUGGGUUUGUCUUUCCGUCGGGUAGCUAUGCUUAGUUGCAAUAGCUUGGGUUAUGGUGGUUUAAUGAACAUGAAGAUAAACUUAUUUUAUUUAUGCUAUAGCUCUGGUUAAUUACAAUAAUAUCAUGCAUUAAUGGAACAUAGAGCGACCACCUAGGAAAACAGUGCAACCACAGGAUCUAAUGGGCUUUGGUCUUGGCUAAUUAAUUAGAGACUCUAGUCUGGGAUAAUCUUACCGAAAUGGCAAUAGGGGAGGCAUUUAUGGGGUACAACCCAACCCUCACGCUGAUCUGCUCUAAGGUAGCUUCGCAGUCUUGAGAGAGGUUUAUGCUCUGCUUCGACCUGAAACCUUAGCGGGUUACCACUUACUAGGGAAUAUUUGUAAAGGCCUCCUAGCGUCCCUAUGUAGUCACACCUUGGUAGUGUGAUAAGUUCCUGGCCCGCACAACAUGGUUGUGUCUAAAGUUUUUCUGAACUUUUACACGACUUGUGGGUAAAGAUGUACAACCUCUGCAGAGCGUCUAAAACUGAUCGAUCAGCCAUGCUCAUGGUCAAGAGCGGCCUGGACCCUCACAUGAUCAUUGAACUUGAAGAUGGACUUAAAUCGUGGUUACGGUCACUUUUGGAAAACACGACUUUAGUCUUGGAUAGGGCCAUAGAAGGGGGGUCGUUUAUGAUAUGAACCCGCUAGGGGUGAUUCCCGAUCUUUCGAUGAGAGGCGUGGGAUAACUCGAUUGGUGGAUGGAGACGACGUUCACGGCCCGACUACAGCCUUCCAAGCUGCGCCUUAGCAACCGAUACACCACCUCCAAUGGCUGCCGCGAUCUUGUGGAGCGCGUCACCCGGCCACUAGGGCACUCGUCCUGCAAGCAAUCGAAGAACAAGCAAGAACAAGUAUAACAAGCAACUCAAUUGCAAAUAUAGAGAUGGAAACAAAUCUGAAAUCACAAAGUUGGGGUUCCGAAUCGAGUAGAACGGAUGGUCUAGUCGACACACGCGUCUACAAGGAAGUAGCAAUGGCUAAACUUUCAACAAAACAAAACCCAAUCUGUUCAUGGCGGCUCUAAUCCUUAUUAAUACCUAGGAGGACGACCAGGGGGGUGUUGGGGUCGUGCUCCAACCCUAGGACACGUCCCUAAUGGACCCAACUUGAUACACGGCCCAUCGGGCCAAAAUAGGGCGACGCAGCACCUGUGGACAGAAAACCUCUCGGUAUUAUUUCGAUGAUUGCGGCCGCCUCAGAAUAGAUAUGGACAUGAGUCCGGAUCCAUAUGAAAAUAGACUUCAUAAGGAUUCCAAGGAGUACUUGAACGCUCAAAACGGAGUCCGGAUGAGUUCGUGGCGGUCGUUGCAAGUUGGGCCAGAACUGUAGUCCGAAUCCAGCACCAAAACGUGUUGGAUUGGAUCUCUUUCUUUCCUUGGGCCAAAAGUGACGUGGUGGCCUGGUGGAGGACGUUAGGAAUACUUGGACUUGGCCCCCAAUCUACUUCUUUGGUCCUCCAUGCCUUCCAUGUGUGUUUAACACUAUUUUUGAUCCAUGUAUGUAUUUCUGAAAUUGACAACGAAUACACAUCAUGGUGCAGCAUCAAUUCAUCAAAUGUAUCACAUAUAAUUAUGAUAAAGAAUUGUUUCACCUCUGAGUCAAAAGAUACUAAUAUGGUUGUAUCCGAGCAUGUGAUGUCCUCAUCAUUUUAGUCCCGAGUCAUUCACCCGAGACUAAAGACCCCCUCUAGUCCCAGUUGGUAAAACCAACCGAGACUAAAGGGGUGGCCCCGCAGGCGCAGCACGCGCCCCUUUAGUCCCGGUUGGUCUUACCAAUCGGAACUAAAGUGGGUACGUGCAUGCGUCUGCAUAGCGCAUGCACGUACCCCUUUAGUACUUAAGACUUUUUUUAAAAUUCUUUUCCAUAUUAAUAUUGUAUGCGAGUCGUAUAUAUAUUUCAUGACAGUAAUAUAUAUUUAUAUAUAUAUAUACAAUUCAUAAUAUAAUAUACACAUCAAACUAGUAUUUAUACAAUUACUAUAUAUAUAGUAAUUUGUCCUCUUCAUUCUUAGGAUCCUCCCAUCGUGGUGUUGCUCGGUACGGCUAUUGAACAUCCAUCAUAAUAAAAUUCUCCCACGGGAUUUAUCACCUCGUCCACCUGGAAUCUUAUGAGAUCUUCACAUAUGCCAAAAUCCUCUCCUUCUCGAAAAGUCUUUCUUGAAUCUGCCACAUCAGCAAUUUGGAAAUAUGUGAAUGUUACAUGAACAAUUAAAUAUAAGGAGCUAGAAAACAAUUAAUUAUUAAUAGUUUUAUUUUACGUACAUCUAGAUCAUGCGACGACAGCACCUUGCCAUGCACAAACCUAUUCGUGUGCUCACAGACGUAGUAUCCAUAUAGAGUAUUACCUUCUUCCUGUCUCAAGAACUUUAGUGGGAAAAAACACGUUAUGAAAUAUUCAUGUUAUAGAAUGUACAAAAUGUGCAAACUUCAUACGUACCAGGAACUUUGUAUUGAAUGUAAGUUUUUCUUUGAAUUCACCAUGGUGAGCCUUAAGGAAUCAUUUCCAUGCACUGCAGAUUAAAAUAAUAUCAGGUGAAAAUUUAGGAAACAAACUUUUGCAUAGAGAUAAAGGUCCAGAAGUAUUACGAGUUUAGCAUGUCUUGAAUAUCUUGGUACUCCGCCGGUGGUUUCCUCAAUGAAUCGAACACAAUAACGUGGCUUUUAUCAAUCAUAAUUAUUAGGAGAAUCCUGUGGAAACUGUGUACAUAAAUGUUCAUAUUAGAGCUAACUAACAUUAGUUAGGUAAGGAAAAAGAAAAUGAAAAUAGACGGUACCCACACUUAUUAAAGUUGUAUGGCAGUAGUAUGUAUUCCUUAUAAUUUUGUUUCUCCAAGAAAUUGUAUACUGCCUCCAAUGUUUUCUUUGGUUGAUCCCAUAUCUGCUUUUGGUUAACGAGCGAUGGAUCCAUGAAGCCAACAUUGAAGUACGAUUCUCUGCGGCACCUCUAAAUUAGCAUCCAACAUAAAAUCGAAGACAAAGUUAGUAGGGUGACGCAGACACUUACAGAACCCAGGCGCUGAUGAGAGAGACAUCAAGGGCAUCCUGAUGGUACACUUCAUAUAUAUCCUUGAAUUUCAUCCAUAGGAAUUUCUCACCUGUGUCUAAAAAAUCAACCGGUUUAACCCGAAGGGCGACCAUGAGCCUAUCGUUGGCAGACUACUCCAUGAACCAUUGAUGGAAUUCAUACAUAUUUGUGGAGAGCUUCCAUAGAGCCUUACUAGAGGGUUGCCUACCUCAAAGGGCCAUUUAGGUACAAUUGGCACUGGAGCUAGCGGUUCAACUUGCCCUAGAACUUCACCAAGCGACAUACCUGUAUCUUGCAUAAAUCUAAUGACUCUGUUUUGUUGUUCUAAGGGUAUUACAGCUAUAGUUUGAGCGCUUUUAUCUGGUAAAUCCCCGAGCUGGGGGAAAGUACGACUGGAAGACAACACUCCUCGCCAUUUUUCCUUCUGAUCAGACUUCACUAACAAACGCUCAUAGCUCAAUAGUACGACCAUGUUUACUUCUUUUGACAUGCCAAUAAAUUUUUUUAAUUUUGCUGGAUCUAUUGGUGGCUCCAUAUCCUUUGCUUUUAUUUGUUCAGCACAUGUUUUAAAGAACUCCUUCACUGUUGCUUGCGGUACCUCCCGCAAUUCCUCAGUAGUCAUAUCGGCUGGUAGCUUCUAAAUGGGUUUAGACUUCUUUGUUUUCUUUGGCUGCCUUGACUUGGAAGGCGACGGUCGCAGUUUCUUUAGAGGUGUUGCAGGUUCCUUGCUCGCCGCGGGUCUUAGUCUCGGCGACAGUGAUCGGGGAGGUGUGUUGUGGUCAUCAUCGCUCGCACCACCAGGAUUUGAUGGAGAUGGAGAUGGUGAUCGAGAAGGAUGCGACGAUCCCGAUGGUGACAUCGGUCCUGGAGGUUUAUGUCCUGGAGUUGAUGGUCUUGAGUUCUGAGGAGAUGGCCACUGUAGGGAAUCUACAAGGAGAAAUGAUGUCUCGUUGCUGGGGAUGAUGAUGUAGCGUUUGUGCCAUAGAAUGAUCUCCUAGUGUCCUUUCUCCAUCACCUCCCGGGAGGUCGAGCUCUAGGCCUUCAUAUUGACUACCACAAAUCUACUCUCGGCCAACGCUGGAGUAGCCAGGUGGAAUCUUCAUGCCAUGGCUUGUCUGCCCUGGCAGGAUUGGUAAAGCACUCCCGUACGUAACAUGUGCAUAUAGGAUAAAUAAAGAAGUUAUUAAACUCCCAAGGCAUGGAUAAAUUGAGAAGAUUGCAUAAAUUAUAUAUAUGUAUACCUUAACAGUGAUGUUGCCGAAUGGUCUAUACAGCUUACAUGAGGUACGCUGAGUGAUGUCAUCCACAGGGUACCGUUGGUUGUCCACGGGUAAUCUUGGCAUGUGCUCAUCAUGGACCCCUGUGGAAGCACAUAUGCUUCAGCGUUGAGAAGGGCUACCGACGUUGGGAUCCGGUAGUGCUCCAGAUUGGGCCAUCUCAGUAACUACUAGGGCCACUCAACGAUUAAUUUCUUCCCGCGUUCUUACUUCUUGUGAAUGCACAUUGGCUUCUAACAUGUGCCGUCAGCUGUCCUCUUGCUGUUCCGUUCUUCGCUUGCAGCUUAUGUGCAUGUCGAUGUCCCUACGGAAAGCGAACUUCCACGUAACGACCCCGUAGCCUCAGCAACAUCCUAGGCGUUUGGAUGUUUGUUGGAGCUAGGCUGUUUCCAGCAGACCAGCAACUGAUCCGUUUUAGUUUAGUUUGUUACAUUUUAUUGUUUUUAUGGUUUUCAUGUAGUUAUAUGUGCGUUUGAUUCUAGUGAUCGUGCUCCAUUGGCUCAGGUUGCCUCCAUGAGCGUAAUACAAAUUCUUCGAUCAAUCGGGCCAAUCAAUAGUUUCUAGUAUGGUACCUUGAUUGAAUAGGUCUUGUUUAUCUUUUUCCAUUUGGGAAUUGCAAUCAUGUAACCACCUCGCCCAAGACGAUGAUGCUACUCCUUCUUUCUAGCAUUGGCAAUGUUGAUGCAAACCUUAUUCGCACUACAUUUUCUCAUCUUGUAUGCCACAAAUGUGUUCCAGUGGUCCCUUAGUUUUGGCGACUCAUUGAAAUCUAGAGUUCGGCCUUUCUUGAUAAAGUUGGCAUCUAGAUUCUUCUUGAAGGUCUGGAAUUGGGUUGGCAUCUUUUUCAGCAUCCACUCUUUCACAUCUUUUUCUUCGACACCUUCAGGAAGUGUGAAGUGUUUCUUGACAUCUGCCCACAACAUAUACUUUUGUGUCUGCGGGAGCAUGAAUGGAACAUCUUGUUUACCCUUCCAUUCUCUAAUGCUGAUGGGCACGUUGUCCCUUACAAUAGCCUUGCACCGACUCACGAACUUUUUAGCCACAUGUUUAGGAGCAAUUAGCUUGCCCUUUUCCAUCACUUCCGUGAUGUGAAGCCUUUCCUCCAUAAUCUUGGUAUGACCUCAUGGCUUGUUUUGCUUCAUUGAUCCAGAGGGCUAAUAGUUCAAGAUUGAUAAAUUAGUACAUAGUAAUAAUGAAUAUGAAAUUAUAGAUGGGUUAAAAUAAUGAAAAUGAUAUAUAGCUCGCCGGUACCUUCCGUGACGGCAAGGCUUUAUUCGGCAUUGUCAUCAACGUGGUGCUUGGGCUCAUCAUUGCCAUCACUGGACAUGUUGAGCAACAUGUCUGCCUGGCUACCCUCAUCCUCGGUGUACGUUAUUAGAACAUUGGAGCCACUACCACCAGCAAUAAUCUCCUCCAUUAUAUACCUUGCAUCCUCUUCAUAUCCCAUCUCAACUAAUUUAAACACACAUGAAAUCAUAGAUAAAUUAAAUUAAAAAUUGUAUCAUAGACUUUGAUGUAGCAUCAAUGAAUCAUUCAGCAUCAAAGUUUGAUUUUGUUGAUUUCAUGAAACCAAAACAUCACUAUUCUAGUGGUUGAAUGAAGCAGUGCAUAAACUAUAAUAAAAAAAUAUAUUCAAAUUUUGGUUGUACAUAUAUGCUGUUAUGCAUGAAUAUUUGGAUGAGCAUAAAAAACAUUUGUGCCAGUUUGUCUAGCAAUAUUCUAGUCUUCUACAUUUAUCAUCAGGUUAAGUGAGUUUAUAUUGGUUUUCGUAAUGGAAGGUUCCACUUGGUCUGUCUCUUAAAGUUUGACUGUAACAUAUGGUUGAUUUGUUUUUUAAAUUAACGUCCACAUUUCAAAUAGGUUCAGGCGCACGGAUGGCGGGGGCAGCGCUCGGAUGUAAGGGCGGCACGCGGAACGACAUGCUGGGGCGGGCUACAAGGUGGGCGCGACGGUGGGGGUCCUGGACGGUGGCAGGGAAGGGGCGUGGGUGAAGGUGGGGUGUGCGAAUCGACGGCGAGGGUCUUGGAUGGGGCGGGCAACAACAACAAUGGCAAGGGUGGACGGAGGCGGGGGGAGCUCGGAUGGUAGGCAGGCUGGGGCACCGUGGGUGACAGCGGCCGGGGCAAGCGGAUGGCGGCUGGGUGGUAGAUGGGAGCGAGCGGACGACAGCAGCCAAGGCAGGCGGAUGGUGGUAGGGUGGUGGACGGGAGACGAGCGGGCGCGGGGCAGCGGAUCGAUCUAGUGGAGUGUGUGGGAGACGAGGCAUAAGGGAGAAGGGGCGUGUCUUAACCCUCCUAGUCCUGGGUUGACUUUGCAACCGGCACUAAAGGGCCUUUAGUCCUGGUUGCAAAUUCAACCCAAGACUAAAGCCUCACCCCCCCCCCCCCCCCUUAAUCCUAGUUGCAAUUUGCAAGGGUGCUUUUCCCGUAGGAACUGAAAACACACCCUUUAGUCCCAGUUCCCAAUUGCAACCGGGACUAAAGGGUGUGCCUUUAGUUCCCGGUUGACUUUGCAAUUGGGACUAAAGGCUCUUUAGUGGGGUUUUGCAUUUCCCGCUUGUUUUCAGUUAUUUUCCACUUUACAUAUUUUGAACAUGAAAUUAUAUUAAAUUAGCAAGUAUAUUUAAAAUAAGUUUAAAUCAGUCAUUAAUUCUAUAUUAGUUGAUUAAGUUUUCAAAAUAAUUAUUUUGAUACAUCACUAUCAUCAACAAACUCUUCAAUUAAAUAAUUUCAACGCGCAAAAAAUGCAAUUGAUGUAUGUGGUUAAGUUAACAUUGUUUAUAUUGAUCAAAUAAAUGUUCACCAUAGAGAUUACAAUAAAAUUCAAAGGUUUUGAUGGCCAUAGAGCAUUACAUAAAGGUUAACCAUAUUUAGUGCAUUACAAUGUAAUGUUAAAAAACUUCUUGUUGAUGAAAGUUCUUUGGUCAUGAUCGUGGUGCAAGUACGGAGCCUCUUCUUUGGCUAGGUUCAUGCUUGGGUCAACUUCAAAAGCGAAUGGAGGCAUAUCAUCAAACUGAUCAUAAUCAUCUGACUAGUCUGUUUAAUCCUCGACUCCCACGAUUUUUCUUUUAUCUGGAAGAACUAUGUGGCGCUUUGGCUCCCUUUCUUUAUCUUCUGAAUUUUUCUUGGGUUUGCUAGACAUGUCCUUCACAUAGAAAACCUGGUGCACAUCAUUAGUAAGGACGAAUCGUUCAUCAUUGUAUCCAGUCUUGGUCAGGUCCACUAUUGUCAUUCCAUACUGAUCUUUCAUUACGCCACCUCCAAUUAGCUUCACCCAUUGGCAGCAAAACAGAGGGGUGUUCAGCGGUCCGUAUUCAAGUUUCCUGAUCUCCUCUAUGAAACCAUAAUAUGAGUCCCUGCUCCUGUUUGUGUCUAUGGCAUCAAUGCGGACACAACUAUUAUGGUUGGUGCUUAUCUGGUCUUGGGCUCUCGUGUAAAAUGUAUAACCAUUUACCUCGUAACCUUGGAAUUUCACGAUUAUGCUAGUAGGUCCCCUGGCUAACCAAGCGUGUUGUUCAUGAAUCACGGAGUUACUCAUAAGGUGUUGACGCAACCAAGAGGUUCAUAUCCAUGUGAUUAUAUAUAAUCCACGCAUCAGAUUUCGUCGAGUAUUAGGAAAAUAAAAUCCGCUUGUGCUCCUCGAUAUACUAAGCCACAAAGAAUGACUGUUGCAAAACAGUGAAGUGUGCUUUCUGGAAUAAAUUAGUAUCAUUGCUCAAACUUGAUUUCCUUCCAAGGGUGCCCGUUCCGUGCAACCUCCCCUUGUGGCAUCAUGUUGGAACCCCAAUCGAAUUAAUUGAGUCAAUAAAAUCAACACAAAACUCAAUGACCUCUUCUGCUCCAUAUUCCUUGGUGAUGCUUCCUUCUGGACGGGCACGAUUAAGUACAUAGUUUUUUAGAAUGACGUGAACCUCUCGAAAGGUCACAUAUUGUGCAGGAAUACUGGACCAAGAAUAGUAAUCUCAUUGACUAGGUGAACUAGGAGGUGCGUCAUAAUAUUGAAGAAGGAUGGUGGAAAUACCAACUCAAAGCUGACAAGACAUUGUACCAUAUUGUUCUGUAGCUUUACUAGCUUGGUUGGAUCGAUUGCCUUCUGCAAAAUCACAUUGAGAAAGAAGCAUAGCUUUACGAGUGCCAAUCGUACAUUCUCUAGUAGAAUACCCCUCAGUGUAACCGGAAGCAACUGGGGUAUCAACAUGUGGUAGCCAUGGGCCUUGAGAUUUGUGAUCUUCUUUUCUUUCAUAUUUAUUAUUCCCUUUAUAUUCAAGGAGUACCCAGACGGAACCUUAAUACUAUUCAUGCAUUCAGACAUGGUAUCCUUUUGUUCCUUGUGGAGAGUGUAAUUGGCAUGAUGUAAGUAGUGCUAUCUGUUAUCUCCCUUUUCUGAUUGUAGGUCAUCUUGUUGCUUCAUACAUUUCAGGUCUUGUCGUGCUUCCAAUGUAUCUUUUGAGUUCCCAUAACAACCCAUGAAGCCUAGCACGUUCAUGCAAAGAUUUUUGUUAGGUGCAUCAUAUCUAUUGCAUUGCGGACCUCUAGGAUUUCCCAAUAAGGUAGCUCCCAAAAUAUAGACUUCUUCUUCCACAUGGGUGCACGUCCGUUAUCAUCGUUCGGAAUAGGUUCGCUACCAAGACCCUUUCCAAAGAGUACGCUUACAUCCCUUAUUAUCUCAAAUACACGCUUUCCAUUAUAGUGUGCAUGUUUUUUACGAUAAUCUGGCGCCCCUUUGAAAUGCAUCCCUUUCUUUCUUAACGGGUAGUUACCAGGAAGAAAUCGAUGAUGGCCCAUAUACAUGACCUUCCUAUAGUCUUUCAAAUACAUACUAUCUGUGUUGUCUAAACAGAGGGUGCAUGCUCGAUAUCCCUUAUUUGUCUGUCCUGAAAGGUUACUCAAUGCAGAUCAAUGCUCGUAGGUCAAAGCUCUCUUGCUUAUUAUCAUCCUACAAAUGUACACAUUCUUCCUUCCAGAGCAGUAAAAGUUCAUCAACCAAUGGUCCUAGGUACACGUCAAUAUCGUUGUCAGGUUGUUUUGGGUCUUGGAUAAGCACUGACAGCAUAAUGAACUUCCGCUUCAUGCACAGCCCAGAAAGAAGGUUGAACAUACAUAGGGUAAUAGUCCAAGUACUAUGACCACUACUCAACUCACUGAAUGGAUUGAAUCCAUCAGUACUUAAACUAAACCUUAUGUUCCUUGCAUCACCUUCAAUGUCCGAAAAUACUCUAUCAAUUGAUCUCCAUUGGACCCCAUCCGUGGGGUAUCCCAAUAUCUCAUCUUGCUUGCAUUCUUCUUUGUGCCAUCACAUCAACUUAGCAUUUGACUUGUUUCUAAACAAAUGCUUCAAAUGUGGUAUUAUAGGGAAAUACCACAUCACCUUUGCAGUAACUCUCUUCUUGGGAGGCUACCCCUCGACAUCACCAGGAUCAUUUCGCCUGAUCUUAUACCGUAUUGCUCCACAGAUAGGACAAGCAUCCAAUUUCUCGUAUUCAUCAUCACGAUAGAGGAUAUAGUCAUUAGGGCAUAUGUGUAUCUUCUGAACCUCCAAUUCUAGAGGGCAAAUAACCUAUUUAGCUUCAUAUGUUGUGGACGAAAAUUCAUUAUUCUCGGGAAGAAUGUUCUUUACAAUUUUCAAUAUCCCCUGAAAUGCCUUAUCGGACACACCAUUUUUUGCCCUCCAUUACUGCAAUUCUAGUGUGGUACCCAGUUUUUUAUGCCCCCGCUUGCAAUCUGGGUACAAUAAUUUUUUGUGAUCAUCUAUCAUGUGCUGCAACUUUCUUGAUUCCUUCUCAGUUUCACAAUCUCUGUGUGCAUCCUGUAGUACCUGACCAAGAUCAUCAAUAGGGUCAUCUUCUGCAAACUCAUCUUCAUCAGCCUCGCCCAUUUAGUAUCUACAAAAGUUUGGCCUGCAGCCCAGUCCGGAAUGUUGUUAUCAUCCUCCUCUUCUUCGUCGUCUUCCAUUAUAACCCUUCUUUUGCCGUGUUUGGUCCAAAUUAAAUAGUUAGCCAUGAAAUUGUAUCUAAAUAAGUGGUUCUGAACAAUCCCUAAGGAAGAGUAGUCCUUAUUGUUACUGCAUUGGAAGCAUGGAUAACAUAUGAAUCCAUUCUUUGGCUUGUUGGCUUUGACCCCUUCGAGAAAAUAAUGCAAGCCAUCAACAAACCCCUUGGUCCAUCUAUCCUAGUUAAACAUCCAUUGCCGGUCCAUCUACAUCGUAUUACGUGUGAAAUGGACAUAGGUCUUUGUAUUAGAUAAAGAACUUGAUCAAUAUUAGAUAGGGGGGGAAAUAGAGUUAAUGUGAUUAUAAUAUUUAGUCCUUGCAAAAAACAUUAGAUAAAUAAAUUAUUACAUGAGAAGUGGACAUAGUUCUUCGUAUUAGAUAAAGAACUUGAUCAAUAUUAGGUAGGGAAAAAAAUAGAGGAAAUGUAUUUAUAAUAUUUAGUCCUUGCAAAAAAUAUUAGAUAAAUAAAUUAUUACAUGAGAAAUAGACAUAUGUCUUCAUAUUAGAUAAAGAACUUGAUCAAUAUUUAUAAUUUACACUAAUCAACCUUCAUGAAGAUAAAAACAAUUCACAUGAAAAUUACACCAUUCAAAAUUUAUAACAUUCACUAAAGAUACAUAUAAAGAUUACACUCAUAAUAAGACAAUAAAGAUACAUAUACACUAAACAUUACAGACGCUCCAUAGUGAAGUUCACGUAGUCAAUUAUCCUAAAAUAAUGGUACAACAUAGCAGAAUGUUCGCCCUCCAAGUCAUCUUUGCACAUAACUCAAUUUUCUAUGAAAUCUAUCGAGAGUCACCUUCACAUAUCCAAUACCAUAAAAUAAUGGUACAACAAAAGAUCUUCGAGUCCACGUACUCAGGCUAAAUAACAUAAAGGAAUCUUGAAAUAAUUGUCCAAAUAUCUUUUGGAGCAAGUGCCACAUUCUUACAAUAGAAGUAUGGUGGCACACACACAAUAGCCCAUCCAGGCAAAAAAUCUGUUCACUGAGCAUGACCCAUGGCGGCAAGCCAAAACCAACCAAAAGCCGCUAGGUCAAGGUCAGUGAACAGAUCUUUGCCUGAAGAUGAUAUUGGGCCAGCAUACUUCUAUUAUGAGAAUUAGGCUCCAAAAGGCAUUUGGAAUAUUAUUUCAAGAUUCUUUUAUGAUAUUCAGCCCGAGUUUGUGGACUCGAAGUUCUUCUGUUGUACCAUUAUUUUCUGGUACUGGAGGAGCGGAGGUGACUCUCCAUAGACUUCGUAGAAAGUUGAGUUCUGUGCAUAGAAUAAUGUAUGCACACUCAUGCCAUGUGCAGACACUGUUCUCUGGAUUAGAGGAGCGGAGGUGGUAUAGCCAGUGCCGGUCCAUCUGCAUCGUAUUACGUGGAAAAUGAACAUAGGGCUUCGUAUUACAUUAAGAACUUGAUCAAUAUUAGGUAGGGGAAAAAAUAGAGUAAGUAUGUUUAUAUUAUUUAGUUCUUGGAAUAAACAUGAGAUAAAUAAACUAUUGGUCAAAGAAUUGCAAUUAUUGUUAAAUUACAGUGACAUGAAAAAUUGUAGCAAUGACCAAAUUCUAUUUCUUACACCUACAAUUUAUUUACCUUAAUUUUAUUACAAUGACUAAAUAUUAGAAACACAUUUACUCUAGUUUUUCCCAUACCUAAUAAUGAUCAAGUUCUUUUAACUAAUACAAAUCAUAUAUAACAGGAAGCUAUCCAUCAAAUUCUAGGUCAAAAAUAUGUAUAAAUGAAAAUCCUCUCCAUUCUCCCUCAUUCUAAAAAAAAUCAUUUUUCUCCCUCUCUCAAGCAUAAAAUAAAGCAUAAUAACAAUAAAUGAAGGGAAGAUGAAGUGCCUAACCUUCACAACACUUUGGAUGAGUGAAAUCCUCACGGAAAUGAGGAAAAAAAUUCAGGUAGCACCUCCCCUAAGGUUGCUUGCUCGCCAUGGAGAGGAGGAUGAAGCUCUCGGUCUCUGGUGGAGUGGCUCGGGCUGGGGGAGGAAGAAGAGUUUCAGGCUGGUUGGAUUUUUAGGGGAGGAAGAAGAGUUUCCAACUGGGAUAAAAGAGCCCCUUUUGUCCCGGUUGGUAAUUCCAACCGACACUAAACCUUUUGUAAUUCCAACCAGGAUAAAAGGGAGUGGGCGUCGGUGCGAUAUUUCUAGCCGUUACAAUCGGGACUAAAGGGGGUGUAGUCCUGGUUGGUCUUUACAACUGGACUAAAGGAGCUUAGCACCCCCCCCCCCCCCCCCGCGGUGACCUUCGAUGCCUCAUUCUUGACCCGGGAUGUCCCGGGUCCAAAGUCAACCGGUACAAAAGUACCUAGAUAGAAGGUCAAUUCUCUACUAGUAGGUUAUGCNNNNNNNNNNNNNNNNNNNNNNNNNNNNNNNNNNNNNNNNNNNNNNNNNNNNNNNNNNNNNNNNNNNNNNNNNNNNNNNNNNNNNNNNNNNNNNNNNNNNNNNNNNNNNNNNNNNNNNNNNNNNNNNNNNNNNNNNNNNNNNNNNNNNNNNNNNNNNNNNNNNNNNNNNNNNNNNNNNNNNNNNNNNNNNNNNNNNNNNNNNNNNNNNNNNNNNNNNNNNNNNNNNNNNNNNNNNNNNNNNNNNNNNNNNNNNNNNNNNNNNNNNNNNNNNNNNNNNNNNNNNNNNNNNNNNUUUGGAGCCUCCAUUUUCAAGAUUACGCUGUAAAUCUAUUAUAGACUCUCUUUCCUUUCGUGAUAGCGUUGCUGUUACUCACUUAUGAUGUCACUAUAUGUAUGAAAUUAGAUCCUGGCAUCCAUAUAGGUAGCACUUGGUUUUGUUUCAAAAUUGGGUGUGACAGAAGCUAUGCACGAGGCAAGAGGUUGCGGGUUCGAAUCACACGCACCGCACAAGCAUAUAUUUCGCGUGAAAAAUUGCGUGACUUGAGCGAAUGUGUGAACAUCCCCGGAAUUUAUAAUAUUUUUUUCGGGACUAAAGAUCCCGACCUUGGUCCUGAAUUCGUAAUCCUGGUUGGGAAAUCGGGCUUUAUAUGAGGUUUCCAAACAAGGACUAAAGCUGAGUUGUUCGUGUACUGCACUGCACGUCAAAUGUGCCGCCGCGUGAGAAACACGCUCUUUUGUCAGUUUACGCCGGAUGAUUGAUAGAAGCAGGCGAAACUGAUGCCAGGUUGGCAACUUUUGCCGGGUCAUCGCACUCGCUCGCGCCCUCCUCCUGUCUUCCCAUCGAGUAGACUGACCAAAAAGGUGUGGGUAGGUGCUUCAUGAAGUAUCACCAUCAAGCCAACACGUAUUUACUCAGUCAACCAACGCACGAGGGUUUGAUGUUUUCUUUUCAUUCUAUCAUGAAAGCAGUACAUCUCUCGCGACUUUGACAAGUUUACUCAGUCAACCAUUCUACCAAAGAAGAAGAUGAUGAUGAUGGCGGAGAAAAAGGGGAAGAAAGAGGGGUAGGGUGAGGAUCGGGUGGAGGAGAGUGUGUGCCAGGUACGGUGGUUUGUUUUUUUUUUGCAUGGGUGCAAAAGUAUCUGCUACAAUUUAUGCUAACAUUCAACCCUCUUUGAUCGAAAGGUUAAAGGGCUUCAAUCUUAUAUAAUGUUAUGCGAAGUUAUUCAAAAUGAUGCAUUGCUAAAUGUGUUAGGCAUCUUGCUGGCUCCUGUUAUAGUGUUAUUACAACGAAACUUGAGUUCCUAUAGAAAGUAUGUACAAAUUUUCUAUACAAUAACUUCAUUGCAUCUUUUAAGAGAAGCAUAAGUGGCAACCUUAUGAAAACCAUAUACAGACUAUUAAAAAUGGUACUAGAAUCCUGUGAAUUAAUUGAAACAAAUAUCAAGCUCCAUGUGUUAUGAAACUUGUGCUUCCCUUUUAUAGUCCUUCAUUUUUUAUCACUAACUUUUAGCACCGGAAGACCAAGGCAUUAUUAUACUAGUUAUCACGUGCUUCAACAAAUUCAGUCAUCUGUCCAUGUUGAUUUCAUCUUGCAAACUCUAUGCUCAUCGAGGCUUUCUUCUGGAGGAUGUAAUAAUCUGUGCUUUCUUCACUAGUAUAGUCACCCGAUGAAUUGUCAGACGACCGUCCCUGCAUCAUGAGUGCACUAACACCAUGAAACCCUUGAGUGCGAGGUGGUACUGGACGUGCCAAUCGCUGGAGUUCCUCUGCUACCUCUCUCAUCAUUGGCCUGCGUUGACCGGUCAUGGCCAAGCACCGACUUGCUACCGCAGCCACUUGAAGUAUUAACUCCAUGUUUUCUUGAUUGUCUAUCUCCCUAUCUAUGAGUUCUGUAAGCUUGCCCUCCUUCACACCUUCCAUGAAGACAGACACGAGGCUUACCUUUGUUUUGGACAGUGCCCUCCUUCGUGUUAAGAGCUCCAAAAGAACAACACCAAAGCUGUAAACAUCGCUCUUAUCAGUAAGCUCAAAGUUCAAAAGGUACUCUGGAUCUAAGUAGCCCAUCGUCCCCUUCACUACUUGAACAUUUUCAUCAGCUGACCUAAUCAUGGAGCACCCAAAAUCAGAAACUUUUGCAGAGAGAUCGUGGCCUAGAAGAAUAUUAACGGACUUGACAUCUCCAUGAAAGACAGGGUGGCUAAGAGAAUGUAGGUAUGCAAGUGCUGCAGCAAUCUCAGAGGCAAUUUUAAGACGGACCUCUAGAGUUCUUUUGGACGGAUCAACUUGUGUAUGAAUAAGAUGUUGUAGAGUUUGAUUUGGAACAUAUUCAUACACCAGAACUGGAGCUUCAAACUGCAAGCUGCAACCUAGAAGCUGGACGAUGUUUUCAUGUUUGACUCGAGAAAGUAUAAGAAGCUCCUUACCAAAUUCCAUUCUCCUAUUCUCAUCAAAUCCCUUGCAGAUCUUGAUAGCAACAGGAUUAUUUUCUAAAUCAAGAUUUUGCCCUAUAUAAACAGUUCCCUGACCACCUUCACCAAUGAUUGAGCUUUUGUCAAAGUUGUUGGUGGCCAACUCAAUUUCUUCUCGGUUAUACAACUUAAAUGUUUUGUUGCUCUCUACUUUCAUCAUAUCCAUUAGCAAUUGCCCUCCAUUCUGCUGAAAGCAUUCAUCAGUCUUCCUUAUGUAUUCUUGCCUUAUUAUUUGUCGUUUGUGCUGGAUCCAUUCUUUACCAAGAUAAAGUAAUAGACCAAGCAAAACACAGGCAAAAAUUCCUGCAGGUCAGACAUGUAUCUAACUCGUAAGUUGGUAGAAGGAAAAACUAAAGAAGUAUGGUUAGACCUAUUCACUGAAACAACUACUAAUGUACUGGUUGGUUUAUAUACUUGUGUCACUUAAAUACAAUAUUCAGUCACUUCACAAAUGUGACACCAUGAGGAUAGAUUUGUUUCAGUCAUGCUUUCACAAAUCUAAUUGAACAGUGGGGAAAGAUGCUUUCACAAAUCUAAUUGAACAGUGCGGAAAGAUACGACUAUACGAGUAGUACCUAUUGGAAUUGUGACUUUUAGAGGAAUUGACUGGUCCUUCUCACAUGUCCCAGUGUAUGCGUUGCCUUGGUAAUGCGGAGGACAAAUGCAUUGAAAUCCUCCUUGAGUAUUCUUGCAAGUUCCCUUCACAGAGCAAGGGUAUUUCUCCAGAUUGUUAUUACAUUCAUCAACAUCUGCAAUGUUAGCAGUGGUAUAUAAAAUAUUGAGUAAAGAUUUCCAGUGGCAGUAGAUUAUCUCAUGACCUAAUCAAAGGUCAAAACAUCGCCUCUCUUAUUUAUACAAACAUAUCACGCAAAAGGAAUUGCACCUAUAGAUUUCAUUACCUUUGCAUCCGUCAACAAGGUACGGAUUGCCUUGGAAUCCUUUGGUGCAGUUGCAGAUGUAGCCUUGUCCAUUGUCCGAAUUAAAGCACUCACUGCUACUGCUGACACAUGCAUAUGACUCAGGCUUGUUCCGGGCUUCAUCGCAAGUUCCGUUCCCAAUAGCCCAGUCCACGAUCAACGGUGGCUGCCCAGAAUAAGUAUCGUAGAACUCCGAUGAUGUAGCGUAGCUUUUGGAGAAUGUGAAUUUGGAUGCCUCGACCAGCGCCGCGUAGCUGCAGCGGCUGGUGUUGUAGAUCUCCGACGUGUUGAAGCCUUCAUCGAACCACACCUGGUAGUACUGCAGACCCUUGGGGAUGGCUGUCUGGCAGCAGCCAAUUCCGGAGCAUGAGCCAUCAGUAAGUGUUCUUACAUCGCCUCGCCGGCACAUGGAGACACAACCGCUCAUGUACCUGCCGAUGUUAUUCUCAUCUCCAAUGUAUGCCAGUGUUCUGCACCCAACGACCGUAAACAUGUUAGCAGUCUCUGAGAAUCUAUAGGGCGUACCUGUCAGGUUCAGCCGCCAGUUUAGGUAAUCCAUUUCCUUAGUGGAGGUGUUGUAGCAAUAAGUCGACAUAUCCAUCCUGAUCCGGGCAAGACCUUGCUGCAGCGAGAUAUUCAGAACCUCUACAUCUUUAUGAAAUGGCCUGAAUGAUCCAUGGCCGACUUCCGUGCAGCUCAGGUUGAAGCCGGGCAAAGAGCAGUGAUCAGGCGAGUCGUAAGGCCCAAUGCCAAAUGGAUAUGGGAUAUCGACUUCGCCGCAUUUUCUCUGACAGUUGUUGCUAGGCGGCGGCAAUGCUUCAACAGAAGAGAGUAUUACCGCAAGCAAGAGCACUACUCCAAGACAUAGCAGUGCAUCUAAUCUAUGCGGCAGCAUGGUGUGGUGGUGUUAGUUGUCUUCCCUUGAUUGAAUCGAGCACUUGGCAGCUGCUACUCCAAGGUUGAGGAAGGUCUAUUUAUGCAAACUCCUUGUUAAGUAUAAGAUGGUUAGCGACGGUGUCGACACCAGUACAGGUCAGAUCCGUGUGUGCAUUUACUAGGACGGCCUGGUCAGAUUCCUGUGUGCAUUGACUGACUUGGAUGACCAGGUCUUUCCAUCUGGCUUCGUCCGAAUUUCUGUUUAAAAAAAUCAAUUUGCAGCAAAACGCUAGUUGCUUUCGGCAUCUUGGCAACUUGGCAGCGAGCAUGAUAGGUGAACGGGAGAGAAUCGAAUAAAAAGGCCACUGCACAUCUCCGUAUAUAUAUUUAAGUCCAAACACCACCGGAGAACUUACCUUCGUGUUUUUGUCCCGGUAAACAUUGGAUCCGGAACUAAAAUACAUUUAGUCCCGAGUCAAAAAUGAGGAACCGAAAGGAUACCAAUAGGAGGGGUUUUAGUCCUGGUUGUAAAGAUCUAGCACUGACGCCCCCUCCUUUUGUCCUGGUUGGAAAUUCCAACCGGGAAAAAAGCACCCCCACUUGUCCCGGUUGGUAAUUCCAAUCGGGACAAAAGAUUUAGUUCCGGUUGGAAUUACUAACCGGGAUAAAAGGGGUUUUUUUUCUCCUGGUUGGAAUUUUCAACAGGGACAAGUGGCCGGGGCGUCACCAGAUUUCCAUGCGGUCCUUGAGGCAGCGCUCUCCUCUCCACUUUUCUUCUUCGUUCCUCUCCUCAUCCUCUCCUCCCUCUCCUCUUCUCUCUACCAACGCUCCCCUCCUCCCCCUCUAUGCGCCGCCACUGCACCCUCACCUCCCACCGCCACCGCCCCCUCCCCCUCUGCUCGCCCCUCACUGGCAGUGAGGAGCGGUAGCGGGGCGAGGGUAGGGCAGUGGUGAGGCCGGGCAGCGGGCGGCUGAGCGGCCGGCAGGCGGAGCCGAGGCGGGCGGGGGCGGAUCCGGAGUAGAGGUGGGCGGCUGGUGGGCGGGGGCAGGCGAGCAGCAGCUGGCACGAGUGGAGGCGGAUAGAGGCGAACGGAGGCAUGCGGCGGCGGGCGGGCACAGGCGGCCGGCGCGAGUACUUUUUUUUAAAACUUUUUAGUCCCAGUUGGUAACACCAACCAACUGAGACUAAAGGUGAUCUUUAGUCCUAGAUGAAUGAUUCGGGACUAAACGACACCCCUUUUGUCUCGAAAAUUUAGUUUCGGUUGGAUUUUCGAGAUCUAUAGCCUUAUGCAACCGGAACUAAAGGUUCAUUUUCAAGUAGUGAAAGAUAACAUCAGAAGACUCGAACAACUAUAAGUGCCGUGCUUGAUUACUGUACUUGUAUUUUACGUUGAACAGUCUUGUGAAACCGGCCAUGCUUGCUUGACUGACUACCAUCUGUGGCUAAAAAUGGUUGCCGGGCCGGGGAAGACCUGCCAGGCACUGCUAAAGCAAGUCAGUCUCCACCUAUAUAUUCGUAGGCUUCCGGGUAUGUACAAACUAGUUGUCUUGUCUAGUUGUCUGUUCCUUGCCGUAGAGAAUAAUUUUUUUUCGAGUAACGUUACAUCAAGGUGAUACAAUAGAACAUGAAGAAUUCCCUACCUCUACCAAAAUAGUACACAGCCUUACAAAAGGAAACACGAAAACAGGCAGGCUAAUGACUUUCGAUCUGAAUACUAGACCGCUAUCCAUGUGCCUCGGUAAAAUGUCCUUAGCCAUUCGCGCCGAGCAUUGAGAUGCCGCUACAACCAAACCUUGUGUAGUAGGCUUCCGGAGGAUAGCCCAUGUACGAAGCCAGCGUGUGAUUGAGAAGAUAACAUGCAAAAAAGAAUGUUGUUUCUUCUCAAAUAUCACACCAUUUCUGCACAACCACAAAGACCAACAUGCAGGCGCUGCUCCAAGAAACACUAAAGGUUUGUAAGCCAUCGUGCCAAACAUAUUUUCCACACUACGAGGUUGUAAAAUACCAAAAGCCGCAUAUAUUGCGCAGAUCAUACGAGCAAGUCGACACUCAAAAAAAAGAUGUGGAAUAGUCUCACCCUUGUGACAUACUGCCCUGGUAGUUGUGCUUAGCUAGAUUAUCCUUUGUUAAGAUAACACGUCUAUGUAUUAUAAUAUUUUUAUUUUUAAUGGGAUCUUUAAUUUCAAGAGUCGUUUGUUGUUACUGGGGACCUCGUUAUAGAUCAGAGCCAAAUAAUCUCCAUUUUGAUGUAGGUUCUAAUGAAAUUCAUCUUCAUUAUGGCUUAGCACAAUAUUAGCGAUUCGUGGAAGGAGAUUGUUCCACACCACCAACUUAUUAGUAAUUCAUGGUUGGAAGAGAUUAGGGGCCGGACGAGCAGGGCCCGACGAGCAGGGACGAGCAAGGACUGACGAGGACGAGCAGGGGCUGACGAGGAUGAGCAGGGGCCGGGCAAGCAGAUCUUGCACAGGGCUGACGAGGACGAGCAGGGGUGGAGGGCGGCGAGCGAGCAGCGCGACCUGGGGCGGAGGGAGGGCGGCGUGAGCUGGGCCGGAGGAAGGGCGACGACUCCCAUGCGUGCAUGCUCGACAUGCUGGGUGCGGCGGAGGAGGACGGCGGCAGCAUGCUCCCCGACGUGCCGCUCCUCACCCGAUUCUUCUCUACCUCAUCAUGGCCGCUGCCGAGCCCUGCGACCCACGGCAAGCUCAGCUGAGGCGGGCUCAUCUUCCCCGUUCUGCGAAUCACCACUGAAUCGCGGCGUCCCUCCCACUCCCCUUCGCCUAGUCCGCUUCGGCUGCGAGCUGCGGCGGCGGCGCCGGAGGCUGCACGGGCAGCCCCUGCUCCGCCUCCGCCCCCGAAGUUGUAGGCCUGGCGCUCGCGCUCGCCGUAACCUAGCGCCGCUAGGGCGGAUGGAGGGCGGCAGGCGGGCGGCGCGACUUGGGGCAGAGGGAGGGCGGCGCGUCGGGGGAGGAGGUGGAAGAGGAAAAAGAACGUACCGAUUCGGUACAUAACCGAUGGUAGGCGUCUAAAUAACCCAGAAAGCUAGUUAGAAGCUCGUUUUCCCCUCCUUUCCAGCUUACCAUUGUAACGUGGCUUUCCACAGCUUUUAGCUCACGAAAAGCUAGGCUCAAAAGCUUGCCGUUUGUUCGGGCUUUCGACUUCUAGGGGCGAGAAGCUGGCUGAAAGCCCAAACAAAUAGGGCCUAAAGAGGGUCUUCCCAGGUGGAUGGAAUGGGAUUAAAGGACCCCUUUUUGUCUCGAAAAAUUUAUCCCGAAUGGUUUUUAGAGAGAUUUGGCCUCUACCAACCGGGACUAAAGUCGAGGUUUCUAGCAGUGAGUGCAGAGGCUGAAUACAGGGCAGUGACAAAUGCAGUUGCAGAGUGCUGCUGGCUAAGGUAAUUGCCUGGUGAAUUACAAUGUGCAGUCCUGUCAGCAACAGUGGUCUUCGGUGACAAUAUAUCUGCAGCUUACAUGGCCAGUAAUCCUGUUCAUCAUCGCGGCACCAAACACAUCGAGUUGGACAUCCAUCCCUCGGUGAGUUUUGCGUCGUUCGUUUACCGACUGAUCAGCAGAUUGCAGAUAUAAUGACCAAAGGAUUAGCUUCAGAUUUAUUCGACUCUUUUGUUUCCAGUCUGUGCAUUUUGUCAGGAGACGAUGUUCAGACUGCCGGGGGUGUUACACUGACAAUUAUAGUUUUCCAUUUGGCCCGCGGCCCGCGGGCCGGCCCACGACACGACAUUUGGCCCGGUACAGGCACGGCUCGGCACGGCGGCCUUGCAGGACCGGGCCGACCCGGCCUACACCACGGGCCGGGCCUAGGCCGCUACCUCAGGCCGUGGGCUGGCUCGGCACGGCCUAGCCCAUUCAGCCCGUGGGCUAGCAACGGCCGGCACGGCUUGUUUAGGCGUGCCACGCCUGCCUCAGCCCGGCCAACGGCCGUAUAAAACACCAGCACCCGGCGGCCCCCGGCCGAAACCCUACCUCGCGCCCGCACCGCUCCCGCAUUGAGCCGCCUCUCGCCCUCUCCAGCGCUCCCCUCGCUCCCUCCCGGCUCCUCGCCUCCUCCCUCCGUCCCUCGAUGCCUGCGCCUCCUCCCCUAGAUCCUCCGCCGUCCUUGCCCGCCGUCGUCUCACACUGUCCCUCCCCUCUCAGAUCCGGCGUCCUCGCCCACCGCCGGCUCGCCGGUGGCCCCUUCGCCUCCCUCUCCCCGUAACUACUCUUCCACUCUCAGAUCUGGCGUCCUUGCCUGCCGCCGGCUUGCCGGUGGCCCCUCCGCCUCCCUCCCCCUGUAACUGCUCCUCCACUCUCAGAUUCGGCAUCAUCGCCUGUCGCCGGCUUGCCGGUGGCCCCUCCACCUCCCUACCCCCGUAACUGCUCCUCCCCUCUCAAAUCCAGCGUCCUUGCCCGCCGCCGGCUCACCGGUCACCCAUCUACCUCCCUCCCCGUAACCCCACUUCUCCCCUAGCCCCUCUGGCCCUCCGCCUUCCUUCCCGGCUCCUCGCCUCCUCCUCCCGACCCCUCGCAGAUCCGCCUCACUCCCUGGUUCCCCACCAUUGCGGUUCGUCUUCUCCGGCUUAGGGCUCCGGCUGCACAGGUAAACAACCUCCUCUCGUUCCUCUUCUUGUUUUGACCCCUCGCAGAUCCGCCUCCCUCACUUUUCUCCUCUUGCAGGUCUCCUAUAGGUGCCGCGCGUUGUUGAGGAACGGAACUGCCGAGGCGACGACGUCAAUGGUGGAGGGCUUGAGGGUGUGUUUCCUGUUCCAGGUGUGCUCUUCAUUUGAGGUCUUAGGAUGGACGACAACUAUCCAACCUGCCUCAAUGAUGAGUUGCGGUUGAUGGGGGGAGACCGGAGAUGAUAAUUCUGAUUUGGAGGCGGAUCGGCGGGCGCUGCUCGGUGGUGCUGUCCUCGAUUCUCAGCCAGGUAGUGGAGAUUCUCCACCACCUGCUGCUACUGGCUCUGGUGCUUGUCCGGGCUCGGAGAGUACGGGCAGCAAGAGGACUCGUUCUUGCACCUCUAAGGUAUGGGACGACUUUGAGCCACUAUACGGGGUAAUGAAUGACAAGAGGGUAAGAACUGGUGCUAAGUGCCUACAUUGCAAGAAAGUUUAUUUUGGUAAGUCUUCUAGUGGUACUGGACACUUGCAUAGGCACCUUCCAAAGUGCCCAGUCUUGCUAGGUGCUUCACGUAUGGCUCAGUCCCAACUCAAGUACAAUCCUGAUGGCUGUCUCCAUAUGUGGGAGUACAAUCCUAAUGUUGCUCGUAUCCAGUUGUGCAGAUUGAUUGCUAGACUAGACCUUCCUUUAUGCUUUGGUGAGUCUGAUGCAUUUGAGGAGUAUAUUAAUAUUGCUCAUAAUCCUUGAUUCAGUUGUGUGUCUAGGCAAACCACCACCAAAGAUUUUGUUAAGUAUUUUGAUGAGUGUCGUACUAAACUUGUGGCUUCUUUGCAAUAUGUUUCCUUUGUUGCUCUUACAUCUGCCAUAUGGUCUGGUAAUGCUAAGGAAGAUUACCUUAGUGUGGUUGUUCAUUAUGUUAAUGCUGAUUGGCAACUAGAGAAGGCCUUCGUUUCAUUGAUGUUUCUCAUAAUGCUGAUAAUAUUGCUGAGCGCAUUACAUCUGUUGCUACUGAUUAUGGUUUAAAUGAUAAGAUAUACUUUUGUGUUUCUUGACAUCUGCCCACAACAUAUACUUUUGUGUCUGCAGGAGCAUGAAUGGAACAUCUUGUUUACCGUUCCAUUCUCUAAUGCUGAUGGGCACGUUGUCCCUUACAAUAGCCUUGCACCGACUCACGAACUUUUUAGCCACAUGUUUGGGAGCAAUUGGCUUGCCCUUUUCCAUCAAUUCCGUGAUGUGAAGCCUUUCCUCCAUAAUCUUGGUAUGACCUCAUGGCUUGUUUUGCUUCAUUGAUCCAGAGGGCUAAUAGUUCAAGAUUCAUUAAUUAGUACAUAGUAAUAAUAAAUAUGAAAUUAUAGAUGGGUUAAAAUAAUGAAAAUGAUAUAUAGCUCGCCGGUACCUUCCGUGACGGCAAGGCUUUAUUCCGCAUUGUCAUCAACGUGGUGCUUGGGCUCAUCAUUGCCAUCACUGGACAUGUUGAGCAACAUGUCUGCCUGGCUACCCUCAUCCUCGGUGUACGUUAUUAGAACGUUGGAGCCACUACCACCAGCAAUAAUCUCCUCCAUUAUAUACCUUGCAUCCUCUUCAUAUCCCAUCUCAACUAAUUUAAACACACAUGAAAUCAUAGAUAAAUUAAAUUAAAAAUUGUAUCAUAGACUUUGAUGUAGCAUCAAUGAAUCAUUCAGCAUCAAAGUUUGAUUUUGUUGAUUUCAUGAAACCAAAACUUCACUAUUCUAGUGGUUGAAUGAAGCAGUGCAUAAACUAUAAUAAAAAAAUAUAUUCAAAUUUUGGUUGUACAUAUAUGCUGUUAUGCAUGAAUAUUUGGAUGAGCAUAAUAAAAAUUUGUGCCAGUUUGUCUAGCAAUAUUCUAGUCUUCUACAUUUAACAUCAGGUUAAGUGAGUUUAUAUUGGUUUUCGUAAUGGAAGGUUCCACUUGGUCUGUCUCUUAAAGUUUGACUGUAACAUACGGUUGAUUUGUUUUUUAAAUUAACGUCCACAUUUCAAAUAGGUUCAGGCGCACGGACGGCGGGGGCAGCGCUCGGAUGUAAGGGCGGCACGCGGAACAACAUGCUGGGGCAGGCUACAAGGUGGGCGCGAUGGUGGGGGUCCUGGACGGUGGCAGGGAAGGGGCGCGGGUGAAGGUGGGGUGCGCGAAUCGACGGCGAGGGUCUUGGAUGGGGCGGGCAACAACAACAAUGGCAAGGGUGGACGGAGGCGGGGGGAGCUCGGAUGGUAGGCAGGCUGGGGCACCGCGAGUGACGGCGUCCGGGGCAGGAGGACGGCGGCGGCCGGUGCAGGCGGAUGGCGGCUGGGUGGUAGAUGGGAGCGAGCGGACGACAGCAGCCAAGGCAGGCGGAUGGUGGCAGGGUGGUGGACGGGAGACGAGCGGGCGCGGGGCAGCGGAUCGAUCUAGUGGAGUGUGUGGGAGACGAGGCAUAAGGGAGAAGGGGCGUGUCUUAACCCUCCUAGUCCUGGGUUGACUUUGCAACCGGCACUAAGGGGCCUUUAGUCCUGGUUGCAAAUUCAACCCAAGACUAAACCCCCCCCCCCCCCCCCGCUUAGUCCUAGUUGCAAUUUGCAAGGGUGCUUUUCGCGUAGGAGCUGAAAACACACCCUUUAGUCCUAGUUCCAAAUUGCAACCAGGACUAAAGGGUGGGCCUUUAGUUCCUGGUUGACUUUGCAACUGGGACUAAAGGCUCUUUAGUGGGGUUUUGCAUUUCCCGCUUGUUUUCAGUUAUUUUCCACUUUACAUAUUUUGAACAUGAAAUUAUAUUAAAUUAGCAAGUAUAUUUAAAAUAAGUUUAAAUCAGUCAUUAAUUCUAUAUUAGUUGAUUAAGUUUUCAAAAUAAUUAUUUUGAUGCAUCACUAUCAUCAACAAACUCUUCAAUUAAAUAAUUUCAACGUGCAAAAAAUGCAAUUGAUGUAUGUGGUUAAGUUAACAUUGUUUAUAUUGAUCAAAUAAAUGUUCACCAUAGAGAUUACAAUAAAAUUCAAAGGUUUUGAUGGCCAUAGAGCAUUACAUAAAGGUUAACCAUAUUUAGUGCAUUACAAUGUAAUGUUAAAAAACUUCUUGUUGAUGAAAAUUCUUUGGUCAUGAUCGUGGUGCAAGUACGGAGCCUCUUCUUUGGCUAGCUUCAUGCUUGGGUCAACUUCGAAAGCGAAUGGAGGCAUAUCAUCAAACUGAUCAUAAUCAUCUGACUAGUCUGUUUUAUCCUCGACUCCCACGAUUUUUCUUUUACCUGGAAGAACUAUGUGGCGCUUUGGCUCCCUUUCUUUAUCUUCUGAAUUUUUCUUGGGUUUGCUAGACAUAUCCUUCACAUAGAAAACCUGGUGCACAUCAUUAGUAAGGACGAAUCGUUCAUCAUUGUAUCCAGUGUUGGUAAGGUCAACUAUUGUCAUUCCAUACUGAUCUUUCAUUACGCCACCUCCAAUUAGCUUCACCCAUUGGCAGCAAAACAGAGGGGUGUUCAGCGGUCCGUAUUCGAGUUUCCUGAUCUCCUCCAUGAAACCAUAAUUUGAGUCCCUGCUCCUGUUUGUGUCUAUGGCAUCAAUGCGGACACCACUAUUAUGGUUGGUGCUUAUCUGAUCUUGGGCUCUCGUGUAAAAUGUAUAACCAUUUACCUCGUAACCUUGGAAUUUCACGAUUAUGCUAGUAGGUCCCCUGGCUAACCAAGCGAGUUGUUCAUGAAUCACGGAGUUACUCAUAAGGUGUUGACGCAACCAAGAGGUUCAUAUCCAUGUGAUUAUAUAUAAUCCACGCAUCAGAUUUCGUCGAGUAUUAGGAAAAUAAAAUCCGCUUGUGCUCCUCGAUAUACUAAGCCACAAAGAAUGAGUGUUGCAAAACAGUGAAGUGUGCUUUCUGGAAUAAAUUAGUAUCAUUGCUCAAACUUGAUUUCCUUCCAAUGGUGCCCGUUCCGUGCAACCUCCCCUUGUGGCAUCAUGUUGGAACCCCAAUCGAAUUAAUUGAGUCAAUAAAAUCAACACAAAACUCAAUGACCUCUUCUGCUCCAUAUUCCUUGGUGAUGCUUCCUUCUGGACGGGCACGAUUAAGUACAUAGUUUUUUAGAAUGACGUGAACCUCUCGAAAGGUCACAUAUUGUGCAGGAAUACUGGACCGAGAAUAGUAAUCUCUUUGACUAGGUGAACUAGGAGGUGCGUCAUAAUAUUGAAGAAGGAUGGUGGAAAUACCAACUCAAAGCUAACAAGACAUUGUACCAUAUUGUUCUGUAGCUUUACUAGCUUGGUUGGAUCGACUGCCUUCUGCAAAAUCACAUUGAGAAACACGCAUAGCUUUACGAGUGCCAAUCGUACAUUCUCUAGUAGAAUACCCCUCAGUGUAACCGGAAGCAACUGGGGUAUCAACAUGUGGUAGCCAUGGGCCUUGAGAUUUGUGAUCUUCUUUUCUUUCAUAUUUAUUAUUCCCUUUAUAUUCAAGGAGUACCUAGACGGAACCUUAAUACUAUUCAUGCAUUCAGACAUGGUAUCCUUUUGUUCCUUGUGGAGAGUGUAAUUGGCAUGAUGUAAGUAGUGCUAUCUGUUAUCUCCCUUUUCUGAUUGUAGGUCAUCUUGUUGCUUCAUACAUUUCAGGUCUUGUCGUGCUUCCAAUGUAUCUUUUGAGUUCCCAUAACAACCCAUGAAGCCUAGCACGUUCAUGCAAAGAUUUUUGUUAGGUGCAUCAUAUCUAUUGCAUUGCGGACCUCUAGGAUUUCCCAAUAAGGUAGCUCCCAAAAUAUAGACUUCUUCUUCCACAUGGGUGCACGUCCGUUAUCAUCGUUCGGAAUAGGUUCGCUACCAAGACCCUUUCCAAAGAGUACCCUUACAUCCCUUAUUAUCUCAAAUACACGCUUUCCAUUAUAGUGUGCAUGUUUUUUACGAUAAUCUGGCGCCCCUUUGAAAUGCAUCCCUUUCUUUCUUAACGGGUAGUUACCAGGAAGAAAUCGAUGAUGGCCCAUAUACAUGACCUUCCUAUAGUCUUUCAAAUACAUACUAUCUGUGUUGUCUAAACAGAGGGUGCACGCUCGAUAUCCCUUAUUUGUCUGUCCUGAAAGGUUACUCAAUGCAGAUCAAUGCUCGUAGGUCAAAGCUCUCUUGUUUAUUAUCAUCCUACAAAUGUACACAUUCUUCCUUCCAGAGCAGUAAAAGUUCAUCAACCAAUGGUCCUAGGUACACGUCAAUAUCAUUGUCAGGUUGUUUUGGGUCUUGGAUAAGCACUGACAGCAUAAUGAACUUCCGCUUCAUGCACAGCCAAGAAAGAAGGUUGAACAUACAUAGGGUAAUAGGCCAAGUACUAUGACCACUACUCAACUCACCGAAUGGAUUGAAUCCAUCAGUACUUAAACUAAACCUUAUGUUCCUUGCAUCACCUUCAAUGUCUGAAAAUACUCUAUCAAUUGAUCUCCACUGGACUCCAUCCGUGGGGUAUCCCAAUAUCUCAUCUUGCUUGCAUUCUUCUUUGUGCCAUCACAUCAACUUAGCAUUUGACUUGUUUCUAAACAAAUGCUUCAAAUGUGGUAUUAUAGGGAAAUACCACAUCACCUUCACGGUAACUCUCUUCUUGGGAGGCUACCCCUCGACAUCACCAGGAUCAUUUCGCCUGAUCUUAUACCGUAUUGCUCCACAGAUAGGACAAGCAUCCAAUUUCUCGUAUUCAUCAUCACGAUAGAGGAUAUAGUCAUUAGGGCAUACGUGUAUCUUCUGAACCUCCAAUUCUAGAGGGCAAAUAACCUAUUUAGCUUCAUAUGUUGUGGACGAAAAUUCAUUAUUCUCGGGAAGAAUGUUCUUUACAAUUUUCAAUAUCCCCUGAAAUGCCUUAUCGGACACACCAUUUUUUGCCUUCCAUUACUGCAAUUCUAGUGUGGUACCUAGUUUUUUAUGCCCCCGCUUGCAAUCUGGGUACAAUAAUUUUUUGUGAUCAUCUAUCAUGUGCUGCAACUUUCUUGAUUCCUUCUCAGUUUCACAAUCUCUGUGUGCAUCCUGUAGUACCUGACCAAGAUCAUCAAUAGGGUCAUCUUCUGCAAACUCAUCUUCAUCAGCCUCGCCCAUUUAGCAUCUACAAAAGUUUGGCCUGCAGCCCAGUCCGGAAUGUUGUUAUCAUCCUCCUCUUCUUCGUCGUCUUCCAUUAUAACCCUGCUUUUGCCGUGUUUGGUCCAAAUUAAAUAGUUAGCCAUGAAAUUGUAUCUAAAUAAGUGGUUCUGAAUAAUCCCUAAGGAAGAGUAGUCCUUAUUGUUACUGCAUUGGAAGCAUGGAUAACAUAUGAAUCCAUUCUUUGGCUUGUUGGCUUUGACCCCUUCGAGAAAAUAAUGCAAGCCAUCAACAAACCCCUUGGUCCAUCUGUCCUAGUUAAACAUCCAUUGCCGGUCCAUCUAUAUCGUAUUACGUGUGAAAUGGACAUAGGUCUUUGUAUUAGAUAAAGAACUUGAUCAAUAUUAGAUAGGGGGGAAAUAGAGUUAAUGUGAUUAUAAUAUUUAGUCCUUGCAAAAAACAUUAGAUAAAUAAAUUAUUACAUGAGAAAUGGACAUAGGUCUUCGUAUUAGAUAAAGAACUUGAUCAAUAUUAGGUACGGAAAAAAAUAGAGGAAAUGUGUUUAUAAUAUUUGGUCCUUGCAAAAAAUAUUAGAUAAAUAAAUUAUUACAUGAGAAAUAGACAUAUGUCUUCAUAUUAGAUAAAGAACUUGAUCAAUAUUUAUAAUUUACACUAAUCAACCUUCAUGAAGAUAAAAACAAUUCACAUGAAAAUUACACCAUUCAAAAUUCAUAACAUUCACUAAAGAUACAUAUAAAGAUUACACUCAUAAUAAGACAAUAAAGAUACAUAUACACUAAACAUUACAGACGCUCCAUAGUGAAGUUCACGUAGUCAAUUAUCCUAAAAUAAUGGUACAACAUAGCAGAAUGUUCGCCCUCCAAGUCAUCUUUGCACAUAACUCAAUUUUCUAUGAAAUCUAUCGAGAGUCACCUUCACAUAUCCAAUACCAUAAAAUAAUGGUACAACAAAAGAUCUUCGAGUCCACGUACUCAGGCUAAAUAACAUAAAGGAAUCUUGAAAUAAUUGUCCAAAUAUCUUUUGGAGCAAGUGCCACAUUCUUACAAUAGAAGUAUGGUGGCACACACACAAUAGCCCAUCCAGGCAAAAAAUCUGUUCACUGAGCAUGACCCAUGGCGGCAAGCCAAAACCAACCAAAAGCCGCUAGGUCAAGGUCAGUGAACAGAUCUUUGCCUGAAGAUGAUAUUGGGCCAGCAUACUUCUAUUAUGAGAAUUAGGCUCCAAAAGGCAUUUGGAAUAUUAUUUCAAGAUUCUUUUAUGAUAUUCAGCCCGAGUUUGUGGACUCGAAGUUCUUCUGUUGUACCAUUAUUUUCUGGUACUGGAGGAGCGGAGGUGACUCUCCAUAGACUUCGUAGAAAGUUGAGUUCUGUGCAUAGAAUAAUGUAUGCACACUCAUGCCAUGUGCAGACACUGUUCUCUGGAUUAGAGGAGCGGAGGUGGUACAACCAUUGCCGGUCCAUCUGCAUCGUAUUACGUGGAAAAUGAACAUAGGGCUUCGUAUUACAUUAAGAACUUGAUCAAUAUUAGGUAGGGGAAAAAUAGAGUAAGUAUAUUUAUAUUAUUUAGUUCUUGGAAUAAACAUGAGAUAAAUAAACUAUUGGUCAAAGAAUUGCAAUUAUUGUUAAAUUACAGUGACAUGAAAAAUUGUAGCAAUGACCAAAUUCUAUUUCUUACACCUACAAUUUAUUUACCUUAAUUUUAUUACAAUGACUAAAUAUUAGAAACACAUUUACUCUAGUUUUUCCCAUACCUAAUAAUGAUCAAGUUCUUUUAACUAAUACAAAUCAUAUAUAACAGGAAGCUAUCCAUCAAAUUCUAGGUCAAAAACAUGUAUAAAUGAAAAUCCUCUCCAUUCUCCCUCAUUCUAAAAAAAAUCAUUUUUCUCCCUCUCUCAAGCAUAAAAUAAAGCAUAAUAACAAUAAAUGAAGGGAAGAUGAAGUGCCUAACCUUCACAACACUUUGGAUGAGUGAAAUCCUCACGGAAAUGAGGAAAAAAAUUCAGGUAGCACCUCCCCUAAGGUUGUUUGCUCGCCAUGGAGAGGAGGAUGAAGCUCUCGGUCUCUGGUGGAGUGGCUCGGGCUGGGGGAGGAAGAAGAGUUUCAGGCUGGUUGGAUUUUUAGGGGAGGAAGAAGAGUUUCCAACUGGGAUAAAAGAGCCCCUUUUGUCCCGGUUGGUAAUUCCAACCGACACUAAACCUUUUGUAAUUCCAACCGGGAUAAAAGGGAGUGGGCGUCGGUGCGAUAUUUCUAGCCGUUACAAUUGGGACUAAAGGGGGUGUAGUCCUGGUUGGUCUUUACAACUGGAACUAAAGGAAGCUUUAGCAACGCCCCCCCCCCCCACGGUGACCUUCGAUGCCUCAUUCUUGACCCGGGAUGUCCCGGGUCCAAAGUCAACCGGUACAAAAGUACCUAGAUGGAAGGUCAAUUCUCUACUAGUAGGUUAUACUUUCGCCAUAUGCUUAUGGCUCAUUUUAUGUUAACGUGGGUUGGUAUAUACUUAUACCUUAGUAUUCAGGUGCUAAUAAAAUUUGACCAACUAAAAUUGCUUAUUGUAGUAAACCAGUAAGCCUCUCCUUGUUUAAGCCUUGCAUUCAUUUGUUCCCCACACUUGCUGAGUACGACAUGCGCUUACCCUUGCUAUAACCAAUGUUGCUCAGAAGAAGAGGCUGCUACGAAGUUGUUGUGAAGAUGAUGCUGAGUUCUAGGCGUACGCAACCCCCGAUCGAUUUCCUGUGAAGUUUGGAGCCUCCAUUUUCAAGAUUACGCUGUAAAUCUAUUAUAGACUCUCUUUCCUUUCGUGAUAGCGUUGCUGUUACUCACUUAUGAUGUCACUAUAUGUAUGAAAUUAGAUCCUGGCAUCCAUAUAGGUAGCACUUGGUUUUGUUUCAAAAUUGGGUGUGACAGAAGCUAUGCACGAGGCAAGAGGUUGCGGGUUCGAAUCACACGCACCGCACAAGCAUAUAUUUCGCGUGAAAAAUUGCGUGACUUGAGCGAAUGUGUGAACAUCCCCGGAAUUUAUAAUAUUUUUUUCGGGACUAAAGAUCCCGACCUUGGUCCUGAAUUCGUAAUCCUGGUUGGGAAAUCGGGCUUUAUAUGAGGUUUCCAAACAAGGACUAAAGCAGAGUUGUUCGUGUACUGCACUGCACGUCAAAUGUGCCGCCGCGUGAGAAACACGCUCUUUUGUCAGUUUACACCGGAUGAUUGAUAGAAGCAGGCGAAACUGAUGCCAGGUUGGCAACUUUUGCCGGGUCAUCGCACUCGCCCGCGCCCUCCUCCUGUCUUCCCAUCGAGUAGACUGACCAAAAAGGUGUGGGUAGGUGCUUCACGAAGUAUCACCAUCAAGCCAACACGUAUUUACUCAGUCAACCAACGCACGAGGGUUUUAUGUUUUCUUUUCAUUCUAUCAUGAAAGCAGUACAUCUCUCGCGACUUUGACAAGUUUACUCAGUCAACCAUUCUACCAAAGAAGAAGAUGAUGAUGAUGGCGGAGAAAAAGGGGAAGAAAGAGGGGUAGGGUGAGGAUCGGGUGGAGGAGAGUGUGUGCCAGGUACGGUGGUUUGUUUUUUUCUUGCAUGGGUGCAAAAGUAUCUGCUACAGUUUAUGCUAACAUUCAACCCUCUUUGAUCGAAAGGUUAAAGGGCUUCAAUCUUAUAUAAUGUUAUGCGAAGUUAUUCGAAAUGAUGCAUUGCUAAAUGUGUUAGGCAUCUUGCUGGCUCCUGUUAUAGUGUUAUUACAACGAAACUUGAGUUCCUAUAGAAAGUAUGUACAAAUUUUCUAUACCAUAACUUCAUUGCAUCUUUUAAGAGAAGCAUAAGUGGCAACCUUAUGAAAACCAUAUACAGACUAUUAAAAAUGGUACUAGAAUCCUGUGAAUUAAUUGAAACAAAUAUCAAGCUCCAUGUGUUAUGAAACUUGUGCUUCCCUUUUAUAGUCCUUCAUUUUUUAUCACUAACUUUUAGCACCGGAAGACCAAGGCAUUAUUAUACUAGUUAUCACGUGCUUCAACAAAUUCAGUCAUCUGUCCAUGUUGAUUUCAUCUUGCAAACUCUAUGCUCAUCGAGGCUUUCUUCUGGAGGAUGUAAUAAUCUGUGCUUUCUUCACUAGUAUAGUCACCCGAUGAAUUGUCAGACGACCGUCCCUGCAUCAUGAGUGCACUAACACCAUGAAACCCUUGAGUGCGAGGUGGUACUGGACGUGCCAAUCGCUGGAGUUCCUCUGCUACCUCUCUCAUCAUUGGCCUGCGUUGACCGGUCAUGGCCAAGCACCGACUUGCUACCGCAGCCACUUGAAGUAUUAACUCCAUGUUUUCUUGAUUGUCUAUCUCCCUAUCUAUGAGUUCUGUAAGCUUGCCCUCCUUCACACCUUCCAUGAAGACAGACACGAGGCUUACCUUUGUUUUGGACAGUGCCCUCCUUCGUGUUAAGAGCUCCAAAAGAACAACACCAAAGCUGUAAACAUCGCUCUUAUCAGUAAGCUCAAAGUUCAAAAGGUACUCUGGAUCUAAGUAGCCCAUCGUCCCCUUCACUACUUGAACAUUUUCAUCAGCUGACCUAAUCAUGGAGCACCCAAAAUCAGAAACUUUUGCAGAGAGAUCGUGGCCUAGAAGAAUAUUAACGGACUUGACAUCUCCAUGAAAGACAGGGUGGCUAAGAGAAUGUAGGUAUGCAAGUGCUGCAGCAAUCUCAGAGGCAAUUUUAAGACGGACCUCUAGAGUUCUUUUGGACGGAUCAACUUGUGUAUGAAUAAGAUGUUGUAGAGUUUGAUUUGGAACAUAUUCAUACACCAGAACUGGAGCUUCAAACUGCAAGCUGCAACCUAGAAGCUGGACGAUGUUUUCAUGUUUGACUCGAGAAAGUAUAAGAAGCUCCUUACCAAAUUCCAUUCUCCUAUUCUCAUCAAAUCCCUUGCAGAUCUUGAUAGCAACAGGAUAAUUAUCUAAAUCAAGAUUUACNNNNNNNNNNNNNNNNNNNNNNNNNNNNNNNNNNNNNNNNNNNNNNNNNNNNNNNNNNNNNNNNNNNNNNNNNNNNNNNNNNNNNNNNNNNNNNNNNNNNNNNNNNNNNNNNNNNNNNNNNNNNNNNNNNNNNNNNNNNNNNNNNNNNNNNNNNNNNNNNNNNNNNNNNNNNNNNNNNNNNNNNNNNNNNNNNNNNNNNNNNNNNNNNNNNNNNNNNNNNNNNNNNNNNNNNNNNNNNNNNNNNNNNNNNNNNNNNNGGCAAAAAACUAAAGAAGUAUGGUUAGACCUAUUCACUGAAACAACUACUAAUGUACUGGUUGGUUUAUAUACUUGUGUCACUUAAAUACAAUAUUCAGUCACUUCACAAAUGUGACACCAUGAGGAUAGAUUUGUUUCAGUCAUGCUUUCACAAAUCUAAUUGAACAGUGGGGAAAGAUGCUUUCACAAAUCUAAUUGAACAGUGCGGAAAGAUACGACUAUACGAGUAGUACCUAUUGGAAUUGUGACUUUUAGAGGAAUUGACUGGUCCUUCUCACAUGUCCCAGUGUAUGCGUUGCCUUGGUAAUGCGGAGGACAAAUGCAUUGAAAUCCUCCUUGAGUAUUCUUGCAAGUUCCCUUCACAGAGCAAGGGUAUUUCUCCAGAUUGUUAUUACAUUCAUCAACAUCUGCAAUGUUAGCAGUGGUAUAUAAAAUAUUGAGUAAAGAUUUCCAGUGGCAGUAGAUUAUCUCAUGACCUAAUCAAAGGUCAAAACAUCGCCUCUCUUAUUUAUACAAACAUAUCACGCAAAAGGAAUUGCACCUAUAGAUUUCAUUACCUUUGCAUCCGUCAACAAGGUACGGAUUGCCUUGGAAUCCUUUGGUGCAGUUGCAGAUGUAGCCUUGUCCAUUGUCCGAAUUAAAGCACUCACUGCUACUGCUGACACAUGCAUAUGACUCAGGCUUGUUCCGGGCUUCAUCGCAAGUUCCGUUCCCAAUAGCCCAGUCCACGAUCAACGGUGGCUGCCCAGAAUAAGUAUCGUAGAACUCCGAUGAUGUAGCGUAGCUUUUGGAGAAUGUGAAUUUGGAUGCCUCGACCAGCGCCGCGUAGCUGCAGCGGCUGGUGUUGUAGAUCUCCGACGUGUUGAAGCCUUCAUCGAACCACACCUGGUAGUACUGCAGACCCUUGGGGAUGGCUGUCUGGCAGCAGCCAAUUCCGGAGCAUGAGCCAUCAGUAAGUGUUCUUACAUCGCCUCGCCGGCACAUGGAGACACAACCGCUCAUGUACCUGCCGACGUUAUUCUCAUCUCCAAUGUAUGCCAGUGUUCUGCACCCAACGACCGUAAACAUGUUAGCAGUCUCUGAGAAUCUAUAGGGCGUACCUGUCAGGUUCAGCCGCCAGUUUAGGUAAUCCAUUUCCUUAGUGGAGGUGUUGUAGCAAUAAGUCGACAUGUCCAUCCUGAUCCGGGCAAGACCUUGCUGCAGCGAAAUAUUCAGAACCUCUACAUCUUUAUGAAAUGGCCUGAAUGAUCCAUGGCCGACUUCCGUGCAGCUCAGGUUGAAGCCGGGCAAAGAGCAGUGAUCAGGCGAGUCGUAAGGCCCAAUGCCAAAUGGAUAUGGGAUAUCGACUUCGCCGCAUUUUCUCUGACAGUUGUUGCUAGGCGGCGGCAAUGCUUCAACAGAAGAGAGUAUUACCGCAAGCAAGAGCACUACUCCAAGACAUAGCAGUGCAUCUAAUCUAUGCGGCAGCAUGGUGUGGUGGUGUUAGUUGUCUUCCCUUGAUUGAAUCGAGCACUUGGCAGCUGCUACUCCAAGGUUGAGGAAGGUCUAUUUAUGCAAACUCCUUGUUAAGUAUAAGAUGGUUAGCGACGGUGUCGACACCAGUACAGGUCAGAUCCGUGUGUGCAUUUACUAGGACGGCCUGGUCAGAUUCCUGUGUGCAUUGACUGACUUGGAUGACCAGGUCUUUCCAUCUGGCUUCGUCCGAAUUUCUGUUUAAAAAAAUCAAUUUGCAGCAAAACGCUAGUUGCUUUCGGCAUCUUGGCAACUUGGCAGCGAGCAUGAUAGGUGAACGGGAGAGAAUCGAAUAAAAAGGCCACUGCACAUCUCCGUAUAUAUAUUUAAGUCCAAACACCACCGGAGAACUUACCUUCGUGUUUUUGUCCCGGUAAACAUUGGAUCCGGAACUAAAAUACAUUUAGUCCCGAGUCAAAAAUGAGGAACCGAAAGGAUACCAAUAGGAGGGGUUUUAGUCCUGGUUGUAAAGAUCUAGCACUGACGCCGCCCCCUCCUUUUGUCCUGGUUGGAAAUUCCAACCGGGACAAAAGCACCCCCACUUGUCCCGGUUGGUAAUUCCAAUCGGGACAAAAGAUUUAGUUCCGGUUGGAAUUACUAACCGGGAUAAAAGGGGUUUUUUUUCUCCUGGUUGGAAUUUUCAACAGGGACAAGUGGCCGGGGCGUCACCAGAUUUCCAUGCGGUCCUUGAGGCAGCGCUCUCCUCUCCACUUUUCUUCUUCGUUCCUCUCCUCAUCCUCUCCUCCCUCUCCUCUUCUCUCUACCAACGCUCCCCUCCUCCCCCUCUAUGCGCCGCCACUGCACCCUCACCUCCCACCGCCACCGCCCCCUCCCCCUCUGCUCGCCCCUCACUGGCAGUGAGGAGCGGUAGCGGGGCGAGGGCAGGGCAGUGGUGAGGCCGGGCAGCGGGCGGCUGAGCGGCCGGCGGGCGGAGCCGAGGCGGGCGGGGGCGGAUCCGGAGUAGAGGUGGGCGGCUGGUGGGCGGGGGCAGGCGAGCAGCAGCUGGCACGAGUGGAGGCGGAUAGAGGCGAACGGAGGCAUGCGGCGGCGGGCGGGCACAGGCGGCCGGCGCGAGUACUUUUUUUUAAAACUUUUUAGUCCCAGUUGGUAACACCAACCAACUGAGACUAAAGGUGAUCUUUAGUCCUAGAUGAAUGAUUCGGGACUAAACGACACCCCUUUUGUCUCGAAAAUUUAGUUCCGGUUGGAUUUUCGAGAUCUAUAGCCUUAUGCAACCGGAACUAAAGGUUCAUUUUCAAGUAGUGAAAGAUAACAUCAGAAGACUCGAACAACUAUAAGUGCCGUGCUUGAUUACUGUACUUGUAUUUUACGUUGAACAAUCUUGUGAAACCGGCCAUGCUUGCUUGACUGACUACCAUCUGUGGCUAAAAAUGGUUGCCGGGCCGGGGAAGACCUGCCAGGCACUGCUAAAGCAAGUCAGUCUCCACCUAUAUAUUCGUAGGCUUCCGGGUAUGUACAAACUAGUUGUCUUGUCUAGUUGUCUGUUCCUUGCCGUAGAGAAUAAUUUUUUUUCGAGUAACGUUACAUCAAGGUGAUACAAUAGAACAUGAAGAAUUCCCUACCUCUACCAAAAUAGUACACAGCCUUACAAAAGGAAACACGAAAACAGGCAGGCUAAUGACUUUCGAUCUGAAUACUAGACCGCUAUCCAUGUGCCUCGGUAAAAUGUCCUUAGCCAUUCGCGCCGAGCAUUGAGAUGCCGCUACAACCAAACCUUGUGUAGUAGGCUUCCGGAGGAUAGCCCAUGUACGAAGCCAGCGUGUGAUUGAGAAGAUAACAUGCAAAAAAGAAUGUUGUUUCUUCUCAAAUAUCACACCAUUUCUGCACAACCACAAAGACCAACAUGCAGGCGCUGCUCCAAGAAACACUAAAGGUUUGUAAGCCAUCGUGCCAAACAUAUUUUCCACACUACGAGGUUGUAAAAUACCAAAAGCCGCAUAUAUUGCGCAGAUCAUACGAGCAAGUCGACACUCAAAAAACAGAUGUCGAAUAGUCUCACCCUUGUGACAUACUGCCCUGGUAGUUGUGCUUAGCUAGAUUAUCCUUUGUUAAGAUAACACGUCUAUGUAUUAUAAUAUUUUUAUUUUUAAUGGGAUCUUUAAUUUCAAGAGUCGUUUGUUGUUACUGGGGACCUCGUUAUAGAUCAGAGCCAAAUAAUCUCCAUUUUGAUGUAGGUUCUAAUGAAAUUCAUCUUCAUUAUGGCUUAGCACAAUAUUAGCGAUUCGUGGAAGGAGAUUGUUCCACACCACCAACUUGUUAGUAAUUCGUGGUUGGAAGAGAUUAGGGGCCGGACAAGCAGGGCCCGACGAGCAGGGACGAGCAAGGACUGACGAGGACGAGCAGGGGCUGACGAGGAUGAGCAAGGGCCGGGCAAGCAGAUCUUGCACAGGGCUGACGAGGACGAGCAGGGGUGGAGGGUGGCGAGCGAGCAGCGCGACCUGGGGCGGAGGGAGGGCGGCGGGCGGCGUGAGCUGGGGCAGAGGGAGGGCGGCGGGCGGCGCGAGCAGGGGUGGAGGGCGACGACUCCCAUGCGUGCAUGCUCGACAUGCUGGGUGCGGCGGAGGAGGAUGGCGGCAGCGUGCUCCCCGACGUGCCGCUCCUCACCCGAUUCUUGUCUACCUCAUCAUGGCCGCUGCCGAGCCCUGCGACCCACGGCAAGCUCAGCUGAGGCGGGCUCAUCUUCCCCAUUCUGCGAAUCACCACCGAAUCGCGGCGUCCCUCCCACUCCCCUUCGCCUAGUCCGCUCCGGCCGCGAGCUGCGGCGGCGGCGCCGGAGGCUGCACGGGCAGCCCCUGCUCCGCCUCCGCCCCCGAAGUUGUAGGCCUGGCGCUCGCGCUCGCCGUAACCUAGCGCCGCUAGGGCGGAUGGAGGGCGGCAGGUGGGCGGCGCGACCUGGGGCGGAGGGAGGGCGGCGCGUCGGGGGAGGAGGUGGAAGAGGAAAAAGAAUGUACCGAUUCGGUACAUAACCGAUGGUAGGCGUCUAAAUAACCCAGAAAGCUAGUUAGAAGCUCGUUUUCCCCUCCUUUCUAGCUUACCACUGUAACGUGGCUUUCCACAGCUUUUAGCUCACGAAAAGCUAGGCUCAAAAGCUUGCCGUUUGUUCGGGCUUUCGACUUCUAGGGGCGAGAACCUGGCUGAAAGCCCAAACAAAUAGGGCCUAAAGAGGGUCUUCCCAGGUGGAUGGAAUGGGAUUAAAGGACCCCUUUUUGUCUCGAAAAAUUUAUCCCGAAUGGUUUUUAGAGAGAUUUGGCCUCUACCAACCGGGACUAAAGUCGAGGUUUCUAGCAGUGAGUGCAGAGGCUGAAUACAGGGCAGUGACAAAUGCAGUUGCAGAGUGCUGCUGGCUAAGGUAAUUGCCUGGUGAAUUACAAUGUGCAGUCCUGUCAGCAACAGUGGUCUUCGGUGACAAUAUAUCUGCAGCUUACAUGGCUAGUAAUCCUGUUCAUCAUCGCGGCACCAAACACAUCGAGUUGGACAUCCAUCCCUCGGUGAGUUUUGCGUCGUUCGUUUACCGACUGAUCAGCAGAUUGCAGAUAUAAUGACCAAAGGAUUAGCUUCAGAUUUAUUUGACUCUUUUCUUUCCAAUCUGUGCAUUUUGUCAGGAGACGAUGUUCAGAAUGCCGGGGGUGCAUUUUGUCAGGAGACGAUGUUCAGACUGCCGUGGGUGUUACACUGACAAUUAUAGUUUUCCAUUUGGCCCGCGGCCCGCGGGCCGGCCCACGGCACGACAUUUGGCCCGGUACAGGCACGGCUCGGCACGGCGGCCUUGCAGGACCGGCCCGGCCCGGCCUACACCACGGGCCGGGCCUAGGCCGCUACCUCAGGUCGUGGGCUGGCUCGGCACGGCCUGGCCCAUUCAGCCUGUGGGCUAGCAACGGCCGGCACGGCUUGUUUAGGCGUGCCACGCCUGCCUCGGCCCGGCCAACGGCCGUAUAAAACACCAGCACUCGGUGGCCCCCGGUCGAAACCCUACCCCGCACCCGCUCCGCUCCCGCAUUGAGCCACCUCUCGCCCUCUCCAACGCUCCCCUCGCUCCCUCCCGGCUCCUCGCCUCCUCCCUCCGUCCCUCGAUGCCUACGCCUCCUCCCCUAGAUCCUCCACCGUCCUUGCCCGCCGUCGUCUCACCCUGUCCCUCCCCUCUCAGAUCUGGCGUCCUCGCCCACCGCCGGCUCGCCGGUGGCCCCUUCGCCUCCCUGUCCCCGUAACUACUCUUCCACUCUCAGAUCUGGCGUCCUUGCUUGCCGCCGGCUUGCCGGUGGCCCCUCCGCCUCCCUCCCCCUGUAACUGCUCCUCCACUCUCAGAUUCGGCAUCCUCGCCUGUCGCCGGCUUGCCGGUGGCCCCUCCGCCUCCCUACCCCCGUAACUGCUCCUCCCCUCUCAAAUCCGGCAUCCUUGCCCGCCGCCGGCUCACCGGUCACCCAUCUGCCUCCCUCCCCGUAACCCCGCUUCUCCCCUAGCCCCUCUGGCCCUCCGCCUUCCUUCCCGACUCCUCACCUCCUCCUCCCGACCCCUCGCAGAUCCGCCUCACUCCCUGGUUCCCCACCAUUGCGGUUCGUCUUCUCCGGCUUAGGGCUCCGGGUGCGCAGGUAAACAACCUCCUCUUGUUCCUCUUCUUGUUUCGACCCCUCGCAGAUCCGCCUCCCUCACUUUUCUCCUCUUGCAGGUCUCCUAUAGGUGCCGCGCGUUGUUGAGGAAUGGAACCGCCGAGGCGACGACGUCAAUGGUGGAGGGCUCGAGGGUGUGUUCCCUGUUCCGGGUGUGCUCUUCAUUUGAGGUCUUAGGAUGGACGACGACUAUCCAACCUGCCUCAAUGAUGAGUUGCAGUUGAUGGGGGAGACCGGAGAUGAUAAUUCUAAUUUGGAGGCGGAUCGGCGGGCGCUGCUCGGUGGUGCCGUCCCCGAUUCUCAGCCACGUAGUGGAGAUUCUACACCACCUGCUGCUACUGGCUCUGGUGCUGGUCCGGGCUCGGAGAGUACGGGCAGCAAGAGGACUCGUUCUUGCACCUCUAAGGUAUGGGACGACUUUGAGCCACUGUACAAGGUAAUGAAUAACAAGAGGGUAAGAACUGGUGCUAAGUGCAUACAUUGCAAGAAAGUUUAUUUUGGUAAGUCUUCUAGUGGUACUGGACACUUGCAUAGGCACCUUCCAAAGUGCCCAGUCUUGCUAGGUGCUUCACGUAUGGCUCAGUCCCAACUCAAGUACAAUCCUGAUGGCUCUCUCCAUAUGUGGGAGUACAAUCCUAAUGUUCCUCGUAUCCAGUUGUGCAGAUUGAUUGCUAGACUAGACCUUCCUUUAUGCUUUGGUGAGUCUGAUGCAUUUGAGGAGUAUAUUAAUAUUGCUCAUAAUCCUAGAUUUAGUUGUGUGUCUAGGCAAACCACCACCAAAGAUUUUGUUAAGUAUUUUGAUGAGCGUCGUACUAAACUUGUGGCUUCUUUGCAAUCUGUUUCCUUUGUUGCUCUUACAUCUGCCAUAUGGUCUGGUAAUGCUAAGGAAGAUUACCUUAGUGUGGUUGUUCAUUAUGUGAAUGCUGAUUGGCAACUAGAGAAGGCCUUUGUUUCAUUGAUGUUUCUCAUAAUGCUGAUAAUAUUGCUGAGCGCAUUACAUCUGUUGCUACUGAUUUUGGUUUAAAUGAUAAGAUAUACUUUUGUGUUUCUUGACAUCUGCCCACAACAUAUACUUUUGUGUCUGCGGGAGCAUGAAUGGAACAUCUUGUUUACCCUUCCAUUCUCUAAUGCUGAUGGGCACGUUGUCCCUUACAAUAGCCUUGCACUGACUCACGAACUUUUUAGCCACAUGUUUAGGAGCAAUUGGCUUGCCCUUUUCCAUCACUUCCGUGAUGUGAAGCCUUUCCUCCAUAAUCUUGGUAUGACCUCGUGGCUUGUUUUGCUUCAUUGAUCCAGAGGGCUAAUAGUUCAAGAUUCAUUAAUUAGUACAUAGUAAUAAUGAAUAUGAAAUUAUAGAUGGGUUAAAACAAUGAAAAUGAUAUAUAGCUCGCCGGUACCUUACGUGAUGGCAAGGCUUUAUUCCGCAUUGUCAUCAACGUGGUGCUUGGGCUCAUCAUUGCCAUCACUGGACAUGUUGAGCAACAUGUCUGCCUGGCUACCCUCAUCCUCGGUGUACGUUAUUAGAACGUUGGAGCCACUACCACCAGCAAUAAUCUCCUCCAUUAUAUACCUUGCAUCCUCUUCAUAUCCCAUCUCAACUAAUUUAAACACACAUGAAAUCAUAGAUAAAUUAAAUUAAAAAUUGUAUCAUAGACUUUGAUGUAGCAUCAAUGAAUCAUUCAGCAUCAAAGUUUGAUUUUGUUGAUUUCAUGAAACCAAAACUUCACUAUUCUAGUGGUUGAAUGAGGCAGUGCAUAAACUAUAAUAAAAAAAUAUAUUCAAAUUUUGGUUGUACAUAUAUGCUGUUAUGCAUGAAUAUUUGGAUGAGCAUAAAAAACAUUUGUGCCAGUUUGUCUAGCAAUAUUCUAGUCUUCUACAUUUAACAUCAGGUUAAGUGAGUUUAUAUUGGUUUUCGUAAUGGAAGGUUCCACUUGGUCUGUCUCUUAAAGUUUGACUGUAACAUACAGUUGAUUUGUUUUUUAAAUUAACGUCCACAUUUCAAAUAGGUUCAGGCGCACGGAUGGCGGGGACAGCGCUCGGAUGUAAGGGCGGCACGCGGAACGACAUGCUGGGGCGGGCUACAAGGUGGGUGCGAUGGUGGGGGUCCUGGACGGUGGCAGGGAAGGGGCGCGGGUGAAGGUGGGGUGCGCGAAUCGACGGCGAGGGUCUUGGAUGGGGCGGGCAAAAACAACAAUGGCAAGGGUGGACGGAGGCGGGGGGAGCUCGGAUGGUAGGCAGGCUGGGGCACCUCGAGUGACGGCGUCCGGGGCAGGAGGACGGCGGCGGCUGGGGCAGGCGGAUGGCGGCUGGGUGGUAGAUGGGAGUGAGCGGACAACAGCAGCCAAGGCAGGCGGAUGGUGGAAGGGUGGUGGACGGGAGACGAGCGGGCGCGGGGCAGCGGAUCGAUCUAGUGGAGUGUGUGGGAGACGAGGCAUAAGGGAGAAGGGGCGUGUCUUAACCCUCCUAGUCCUUGGUUGACUUUGCAACCGGCACUAAAGGGCCUUUAGUCCUGGUUGCAAAUUCAACCCAAGACUAAAGCCUCCCCCCCCCCCCCGCUUAGUCCUAGUUGCAAUUUGCAAGGGUGCUUUUCGCGUAGGAGCUGAAAACACACCCUUUAGUCCCAGUUCCAAAUUGCAACCGGGACUAAAGGGUGGGCCUUUAGUUCCUGGUUGACUUUGCAACUGGGACUAAAGGCUCUUUAGUGGGGUUUUGCAUUUCCCGCUUGUUUUCAGUUAUUUUCCACUUUACAUACUUUGAACAUGAAAUUAUAUUAAAUUAGCAAGUAUAUUUAAAAUAAGUUUAAAUCAGUCAUUAAUUCUAUAUUAGUUGAUUAAGUUUUCAAAAUAAUUAUUUUGAUGCAUCACAAUCAUCAACAAACUCUUCAAUUAAAUAAUUUCAACGCGCAAAAAAUGCAAUUGAUGUAUGUGGUUAAGUUAACAUUGUUUAUAUUGAUCAAAUAAAUGUUCACCAUAGAGAUUACAAUAAAAUUCAAAGGUUUUGAUGGCCAUAGAGCAUUACAUAAAGGUUAACCAUAUUUAGUGCAUUACAAUGUAAUGUUAAAAAACUUCCUGUUGAUGAAAGUUCUUUGGUCAUGAUCGUUGUGCAAGUACGAAGCCUCUUCUUUGGCUAGCUUCAUGCUUGGGUCAACUUCAAAAGCGAAUGGAGGCAUAUCAUCAAACUGAUCAUAAUCAUCUGACUAGUCUGUUUUAUCCUCGACUCCCACGAUUUUUCUUUUACCUGGAAGAACUAUGUGGCGCUUUGGCUCCCUUUCUUUAUCUUCUGAAUUUUUCUUGGGUUUGCUAGACAUGUCCUUCACAUAGAAAACCUGGUGCACAUCAUUAGCAAGGACGAAUCGUUCAUCAUUGUAUCCAGUCUUGGUCAGGUCCACUAUUGUCAUUCCAUACUGAUCUUUCAUUACGCCACCUCCAAUUAGCUUCACCCAUUGGCAGCAAAACAGAGAGGUGUUCAGCGGUCCGUAUUCGAGUUUCCUGAUCUCCUCUAUGAAACCAUAAUAUGAGUCCCUGCUCCUGUUUGUGUCUAUGGCAUCAAUGCGGACACCACUAUUAUGGUUGGUGCUUACCUGGUCUUGGGCUCUCGUGUAAAAUGUAUAACCAUUUACCUCGUAACCUUGAAAUUUCACGAUUAUGCUAGUAGGUCCCCUGGCUAACCAAGCGAGUUGUUCAUGAAUCGCGGAGUUACUCAUAAGGUGUUGACGCAACCAAGAGGUUCAUAUCCAUGUGAUUAUAUAUAAUCCACGCAUCAGAUUUCGUCGAGUAUUAGGAAAAUAAAAUCCGCUUGUGCUCCUCGAUAUACUAAGCCACAAAGAAUGAUUGUUGCAAAACAGUGAAGUGUGCUUUCUGGAAUAAAUUAGUAUCAUUGCUCAAACUUGAUUUCCUUCCAAGGGUGCCCGUUCCAUGCAACCUCCCCUUGUGGCAUCAUGUUGGAACCCCAAUCGAAUUAAUUGAGUCAAUAAAAUCAACACAAAACUCAAUGACCUCUUCUGCUCCAUAUUCCUUGGUGAUGCUUCCUUCUGGACGGGCACGAUUAAGUACAUAGUUUUUUAGAAUGACGUGAACCUCUCGAAAGGUCACAUAUUGUGUAGGAAUACUGGACCGAGAAUAGUAAUCUCUUUGACUAGGUGAACUAGGAGGUGCGUCAUAAUAUUGAAGAAGGAUGGUGGAAAUACCAACUCAAAGCUGACAAGACAUUGUACCAUAUUGUUCUGUAGCUUUACUAGCUUGGUUGGAUCGAUUGCCUUCUGCAAAAUCACAUUGAGAAACACGCAUAGCUUUACGAGUGCCAAUCGUACAUUCUCUAGUAGAAUACCCCUCAGUGUAAUCGGAAGCAACUGGGGUAUCAACAUGUGGUAGCCAUGGGCCUUGAGAUUUGUGAUCUUCUUUUCUUUCAUAUUUAUUAUUCCCUUUAUAUUCAAGGAGUACCCAAACGGAACCUUAAUACUAUUCAUGCAUUCAGACAUGGUAUCCUUUUGUUCCUUGUGGAGAGUGUAAUUGGCAUGAUGUAAGUAGUGCUAUCUGUUAUCUCCCUUUUCUGAUUGUAGGUCAUCUUGUUGCUUCAUACAUUUUAGGUCUUGUCGUGCUUCCAAUGUAUCUUUUGAGUUCCCAUAACAACCCAUGAAGCCUAGCACGUUCAUGCAAAGAUUUUUGUUAGGUGCAUCAUAUCUAUUGCAUUGCGGACCUCUAGGAUUUCCCAAUAAGGUAGCUCCCAAAAUAUAGACUUCUUCUUCCACAUGGGUGCACGUCUGUUAUCGUCAUUCGGAAUAGGUUCGCUACCAAGACCCUUUCCAAAGAGUACCCUUACAUCCCUUAUUAUCUCAAAUACACGCUUUCCAUUAUAGUGUGCAUGUUUUUUACGAUAAUCUGGCGCCCCUUUGAAAUGCAUCCCUUUCUUUCUUAACGUGUAGUUACCAGGAAGAAAUCGAUGAUGGCCCAUAUACAUGACCUUCCUAUAGUCUUUCAAAUACAUACUAUCUGUGUUGUCUAAACAGAGGGUGCACGCUCGAUAUCCCUUAUUUGUCUGUCCUGAAAGGUUACUCAAUGCUCGUAGGUCAAAGCUCUCUUGUUUAUUAUCAUCCUACAAAUGUACACAUUCUUCCUUCCAGAGCAGUAAAAAUUCAUCAACCAAUGGCCCUAGGUACACGUCAAUAUCGUUGUCAGGUUGUUUUGGGUCUUGGAUAAGCACUGACAGCAUAAUGAACUUCCGCUUCAUGCACAGCCAAGAAAGAAGGUUGAACAUACAUAGGGUAAUAGGCUAAGUACUAUGACCACUACUCAACUCACCGAAUGGAUUGAAUCCAUCAGUACUUAAACUAUACCUUAUGUUCCUUGCAUCACCUUCAAUGUCCGAAAAUACUCUAUCAAUUGAUCUCCACUGGACCCCAUCCGUGGGGUAUCCCAAUAUCUCAUCUUGCUUGCAUUCUUCUUUGUGCCAUCACAUCAACUUAGCAUUUGACUUGUUUCUAAACAAAUGCUUCAAAUGUGGUAUUAUAGGGAAAUACCACAUCACCUUCACGGUAACUCUCUUCUUGGGAGGCUACCCCUCAACAUCACCAGGAUCAUUUCGCCUGAUCUUAUACCGUAUUGCUCCACAGAUAGGACAAGCAUCCAAUUUCUCGUAUUCAUCAUCACGAUAGAGGAUAUAGUCAUUAGGGCAUACGUGUAUCUUCUGAACCUCCAAUUCUAGAGGGAAAAUAACCUAUUUAGCUUCAUAUGUUGUGGACGACAAUUCAUUAUUCUCACGAAGAAUGUUCUUUACAAUUUUCAAUAUCCCCUGAAAUGCCUUAUCGGACACACCAUUUUUUGCCUUCCAUUACUGCAGUUCUAGUGUGGUACCCAGUUUUUUAUGCCCCCGCUUGCAAUCUGGGUACAAUAAUUUUUUGUGAUCAUCUAUCAUGUGCUGCAACUUUCUUGAUUCCUUCUCAGUUUCACAAUCUCUGUGUGCAUCCUGUAGUACCUGACCAAGAUCAUCAAUAGGGUCAUCUUCUGCAAACUCAUCUUCAUCAGCCUCGCCCAUUUAGUAUCUACAAAAGUUUGGCCUGCAGCCCAGUCCGGAAUGUUGUUAUCAUCCUCCUCUUCUUCGUCGUCUUCCAUUAUAACCCUUCUUUUGCCGUGUUUGGUCCAAAUUAAAUAGUUAGCCAUGAAAUUGUAUCUAAAUAAGUGGUUAUGAACAAUCCCUAAGGAAGAGUAGUCCUUAUUGUUUCUGCAUUGGAAGCAUGGAUAACAUAUGAAUCCAUUCUUUGGCUUGUUGGCUUUGACCCCUUCGAGAAAAUAAUGCAAGCCAUCAACAAACCCCUUGGUCCAUCUGUCAUAGUUAAACAUCCAUUGCCGGUCCAUCUACAUCGUAUUACGUGUGAAAUGGACAUAGGUCUUUGUAUUAGAUAAAGAACUUGAUCAAUAUUAGAUAGGGGGGAAAAUAGAGUUAAUGUGAUUAUAAUAUUUAGUCCUUGCAAAAAACAUUAGAUAAAUAAAUUAUUACAUGAGAAAUGGACAUAGGUCUUCGUAUUAGAUAAAGAACUUGAUCAAUAUUAGGUAGGGAAAAAAAUAGAGGAAAUGUGUUUAUAAUAUUUAGUCCUUGCAAAAAAUAUUAGAUAAAUAAAUUAUUACAUGAGAAAUAGACAUAUGUCUUCAUAUUAGAUAAAGAACUUGAUCAAUAUUUAUAAUUUACACUAAUCAACCUUCAUGAAGAUAAAAACAAUUCACAUGAAAAUUACACCAUUCAAAAUUUAUAACAUUCACUAAAGAUACAUAUAAAGAUUACACUCAUAAUAAGACAAUAAAGAUACAUAUACACUAAACAUUACAGACGCUCCAUAGUGAAGUUCACGUAGUCAAUUAUCCUAAAAUAAUGGUACAACAUAGCAGAAUGUUCGCCCUCCAAGUCAUCUUUGCACAUAACUCAAUUUUCUAUGAAAUCUAUCGAGAGUCACCUUCACAUAUCCAAUACCAUAAAAUAAUGGUACAACAAAAGAUCUUCGAGUCCACGUACUCAGGCUAAAUAACAUAAAGGAAUCUUGAAAUAAUUGUCCAAAUAUCUUUUGGAGCAAGUGCCACAUUCUUACAAUAGAAGUAUGGUGGCACACACACAAUAGCCCAUCCAGGCAAAAAAUCUGUUCACUGAGCAUGACCCAUGGCGGCAAGCCAAAACCAACCAAAAGCCGCUAGGUCAAGGUCAGUGAACAGAUCUUUGCCUGAAGAUGAUAUUGGGCCAGCAUACUUCUAUUAUGAGAAUUAGGCUCCAAAAGGCAUUUGGAAUAUUAUUUCAAGAUUCUUUUAUGACAUUCAGCCCGAGUUUGUGGACUCGAAGUUCUUCUGUUGUACCAUUAUUUUCUGGUACUGGAGGAGCGGAGGUGACUCUCCAUAGACUUCGUAGAAAGUUGAGUUCUGUGCAUAGAAUAAUGUAUGCACACUCAUGCCAUGUGGAGACACUGUUCUCUGGAUUAGAGGAGCGGAGGUGGUACAGCCAUUGCCGGUCCAUCUGCAUCGUAUUACGUGGAAAAUGAACAUAGGGCUUCGUAUUACAUUAAGAACUUGAUCAAUAUUAGGUAGGGGAAAAAUAGAGUAAGUAUGUUUAUAUUAUUUAGUUCUUGGAAUAAACAUGAGAUAAAUAAACUAUUGGUCAAAGAAUUGCAAUUAUUGUUAAAUUACAGUGACAUGAAAAAUUGUAGCAAUGACCAAAUUCUAUUUCUUACACCUACAAUUUAUUUACCUUAAUUUUAUUACAAUGACUAAAAUAAAGCAUAAUAACAAUAAAUGAAGGGAAGAUGAAGUGCCUAACCUUCACAACACUUUGGAUGAGUGAAAUCCUCACGGAAAUGAGGAAAAAAAUUCAGGUAGCACCUCCCCUAAGGUUGCUUGCUCGCCAUGGAGAGGAGGAUGAAGCUCUCGGUCUCUGGUGGAGUGGCUCGGGCUGGGGGAGGAAGAAGAGUUUCAGGCUGGUUGGAUUUUUAGGGGAGGAAGAAGAGUUUCCAACUGGGAUAAAAGAGCCCCUUUUGUCCCGGUUGGUAAUUCCAACCGACACUAAACCUUUUGUAAUUCCAACCGGGAUAAAAGGGAGUGGGCGUCGGUGCGAUAUUUCUAGCCGUUACAAUUGGGACUAAAGGGGGUGUAGUCCUGGUUGGUCUUUACAACGGGAACUAAAGGAAGCUUUAGCAACCCCCCCCCCCCCCCGCGGGGACCUUCGAUGCCUCAUUCUUGACCCGGGAUGUCCCGGGUCCAAAGUCAACCGGUACAAAAGUACCUAGAUAGAAGGUCAAUUCUCUACUAGUAGGUUAUGCUUUCGCCAUAUGCUUAUGGCUCAUUUUAUGUUAACGUGGGUUGGUAUAUACUUAUACCUUAGUAUUCAGGUGCUAAUAAAAUUUGACCAACUAAAAUUGCUUAUUGUAGUAAACCAGUAAGCCUCUCCUUGUUUAAGCCUUGCAUUCAUUUGUUCCCCACACUUGCUGAGUACGACAUGCGCUUACCCUUGCUAUAACCAAUGUUGCUCAGAAGAAGAGGCUGCAAUGAAGUUGUUGUGAAGAUGAUGCUGAGUUCUAGGCGUACGCAACCCCCGAUCGAUUUCCUAUGAAGUUUGGAGCCUCCAUUUUCAAGAUUACGCUGUAAAUCUAUUAUAGACUCUCUUUCCUUUCGUGAUAGCGUUGCUGUUACUCACUUAUGAUGUCACUAUAUGUAUGAAAUUAGAUCCUGGCAUCCAUAUAGGUAGCACUUGGUUUUGUUUCAAAAUUGGGUGUGACAGAAGCUAUGCACGAGGCAAGAGGUUGCGGGUUCGAAUCACACGCACCGCACAAGCAUAUAUUUCGCGUGAAAAAUUGCGUGACUUGAGCGAAUGUGUGAACAUCCCCGGAAUUUAUAAUAUUUUUUUCGGGACUAAAGAUCCCAACCUUGGUCCUGAAUUCGUAAUCCUGGUUGGGAAAUCGGGCUUUAUAUGAGGUUUCCAAACAAGGACUAAAGCUGAGUUGUUCGUGUACUGCACUGCACGUCAAAUGUGCCGCCGCGUGAGAAACACGCUCUUUUGUCAGUUUACAAUGGAUGAUUGAUAGAAGCAGGCGAAACUGAUGCCAGGUUGGCAACUUUUGCCGGGUCAUCGCACUCGCCCGCGCCCUCCUCCUGUCUUCCCAUCGAGUAGACUGACCAAAAAGGUGUGGGUAGGUGCUUCACGAAGUAUCACCAUCAAGCCAACACGUAUUUACUCAGUCAACCAACGCACGAGGGUUUGAUGUUUUCUUUUCAUUCUAUCAUGAAAGCAGUACAUCUCUCGCGACUUUGACAAGUUUACUCAGUCAACCAUUCUACCAAAGAAGAAGAUGAUGAUGAUGGCGGAGAAAAAGGGGAAGAAAGAGGGGUAGGGUGAGGAUCGGGUGGAGGAGAGUGUGUGCCAGGUACGGUGGUUUGUUUUUUUCUUGCAUGGGUGCAAAAGUAUCUGCUACAGUUUAUGCUAACAUUCAACCCUCUUUGAUCGAAAGGUUAAAGGGCUUCAAUCUUAUAUAAUGUUAUGCGAAGUUAUUCGAAAUGAUGCAUUGCUAAAUGUGUUAGGCAUCUUGCUGGCUCCUGUUAUAGUGUUAUUACAACGAAACUUGAGUUCCUAUAGAAAGUAUGUACAAAUUUUCUAUACAAUAACUUCAUUGCAUCUUUUAAGAGAAGCAUAAGUGGCAACCUUAUGAAAACCAUAUACAGACUAUUAAAAAUGGUACUAGAAUCCUGUGAAUUAAUUGAAACAAAUAUCAAGCUCCAUGUGUUAUGAAACUUGUGCUUCCCUUUUAUAGUCCUUCAUUUUUUAUCACUAACUUUUAGCACCGGAAGACCAAGGCAUUAUUAUACUAGUUAUCACGUGCUUCAACAAAUUCAGUCAUCUGUCCAUGUUGAUUUCAUCUUGCAAACUCUAUGCUCAUCGAGGCUUUCUUCUGGAGGAUGUAAUAAUCUGUGCUUUCUUCACUAGUAUAGUCACCCGAUGAAUUGUCAGACGACCGUCCCUGCAUCAUGAGUGCACUAACACCAUGAAACCCUUGAGUGCGAGGUGGUACUGGACGUGCCAAUCGCUGGAGUUCCUCUGCUACCUCUCUCAUCAUUGGCCUGUGUUGACCUUCCUUUAUGCUCAGCUGAGGCGAGCUCAUCUUCCCCGUUCUGCGAAUCACCACCGAAUCACGGCGUCCCUUGUGGUGGAACCGUCCAACUUAAACUGAUUUAAAUGCGCCUAAUUGCUGCCGACGCAGCAAUUAUUCGAAACGCACUUAAAACAGUAUAAGUCCGGUCGUCCGUCGAGUGUCCCUAGGACUCCUCGAAAGAUCCACGUUGUGUCUCGUAGCCAUACAUCAGGAUAGUAUCCGCGAUGGGAUAGCAUCAACAAAUAUUACAUUUUUACAUACAUACAAGAGGUACGAGUUAUUACAAGACUUAGUUUGAAGCAAACUUAAUAGUGCAGUGUUAGACAGAGUUCUAGGACUUAAAACAUAAACGGUUCAGAUGGAGAUGAGCAUUAAAAAAAACUUCUUCUAAGGGUAUUGUGAGACUCAUAACAAUACCCUAGGGCUUCGGGGCUUCCUCCUCGGUGGACUCCUGCGGUGCUUCUGAAAAGAUAGCCACAAGGGAUAACCCUGAGUACGAGGUACUCAGCAAGUCUUACCCGACUAACCAAUAUAAUAGCUUUUCUUUGGAAGUACAUGAUAGCUUUUUGGUGUACUUGGCUGAUACAUUUUUGCCGAAAAGCUUACUACAAGUGAUGCCUUAGUUUUAUCUUUUAUUUGGGUUAAGUCAUUACCUAACCAUUCUAGAUGAUGAGAAGAAAGUAAACGCAACCAUAGAUAUUAAGUCAUACAUCAAACAUUAUCAGAAAGAUAUGCCAUUCAUGAAUUUAUGCUACGAUGCUCAACAGUGAUCAAGUGCAUUCAUAACCGAGAAUUGCGGCGAUCCGGAUCAAUUUACAUCCUGCAGGAGAGUACCCCGAUCACCAGUUAUAUACGACUGUCCAGGUCGUACACAACGACCUUUCGAUUAGCAAAAUCAAUGAUUGGGAAUAAGACUACCCGGACCCAGGGACGCACCCCCACAUGGGACCCCAUGUCUGGCCCGAUCACCAUGUGAGUUUCAGGCUACACCCCUGCCAAUCUCCAGCACGUCAAGCGCGGGUACGAAGUAUUCCCGAUCAGAGAGUUUGCUAACCUACUGGGCUUUACUGGUCCCAUACCCAGUAAGUGAUCAGAUGAUUAUCACUUGAUCAAAGGUUAAGACAACGAAUCGGGCCUUCACCACAUUAAUCUAGCAGACAGAACUACAUCUCUAGCUUCUAUCCGCUUCUCAAUUCCAAGUCAUCUUCCCAUAAAUAACAUGUAAGACUCAAAAAGUUUUCCUUAAGGUUGGUAAACCAAGCAUUGAAGCAACUAAGCAUUUCUAGACUUGGGAUACCUACUAGGGUUUGAACAAGUGGCAAAGAUGUCCUUAGAACAAGGUAUGAUCAUGCACAAGAAUAGGUUUCAAGCAACUCCUAGACUUAAUGCAUACAUAUAGCAAAUAACUGAAUAUAGGACACAUGAAAUAUUGACUUCAAAAUAAUAGGUGUAAUGCACCGGGGCUUGCCUUGUUCGCUUAAAAAGUUAGUACUGUCCGACGGGUUGGCCUCGCAGGGGACCAAUUCAAAGACUUCUUCAAACUCCGAAGGUCCUUCUGAAAAUUCCAAGUAAUCUCCUUCUGGUGCUUCGGGGUCUAUAGCACAACACAUGCAGGGGUUAGGAAUGCAAAUUUUUGAAUAAAAGACUAUACAACUUUCCUUCAUGAUAAAGUUGCUAGCCAACAAGGACUAUACAAUUUAUCAUGAUAAAGUUGCAAGCCAACACACAAAAACCCAAAAAGAUUAGCCCAAAAUUUUUAUUUUCUUACCUAACCUUACUCAAGGCCUUUCUUUUAUUUUUUUUGAAAAGGUUAUAAUUAUUUUCUAACUUGAAAAACUAAUUUCCUAUGAGUUGAGAAUAAUUUGUGAUUACGAAAAUGUUAUUCCAUAUUUUAUACAUUUUAUAAAGAUUAAGUAUUUAUUUAAUUACCUUAAAAGAAAGGCAUUAAAUGAAUACCUAAAUUUUUAUAGUUUUCCUAGGGUAUAAAAAUUUUAAUGCAUAAAGGAAAAUAAAACAAGCCUAACAAAAUUGGUUUCACUAAUUUUGGACACUCCUAGAAAUUUCUGUGAUUUAAAUGGUGGGAUUCCAAUUUAAACUAAUUAUUCUAUAAAGGAAAUCCAAAUUUUCCCGAAAAACACCCCCGGCGACUUUUCUCACGCGGCUCGACUCUACCCCCUCUCACUUGCGCUGGGCCCGUGACGCGGACCCACCCCUUCUCCUAUUCCUUCUACCCGCCGGCCUCCUUUUACCCCGGCCGGGCCCUAUUGGGCCGAUUCCUCUUUCCCCUUCUUCUCCUUUCGCUCGCGACGGCCCAACGGCCCUGUUUUCUUUUUCUUCGUUUCCUCGCGAGCGCGGUCUGCUGGCUCCUCUGGGCCUCCGGCCUUCCUCUCCACGGUCGACCGCGCGCGCUCCCGGGCUUUCAAGGCCGCGGCCCAACUGGCCUCCGCGUCCGGCCGGCCGACUCCCUCUCCCUCUCUUCCCUACUGACGCGCGGGCCCAAGGCGCCAGACUCUUCUUCCUCCUCCCGCCAAAACUCGCGCGUGACAGGGGGCGGUGUGGCUCGCCGGCCGGCGCCCUACCGGCGGGGGAACUAGGUCAGGAAAGCACCUCCGUGCCCUCACACACCCGUGCGUGGCAACAGUUCCUCGGGAGAUGGCCGGAGCCAUUCCCUCCACGGCGGCGGGCGGCGGCACCUACGGCCGGUCGCGAUUACGCACGACAACGGCGCAAACUACCCCGACGACUACCACGACACCAUCCUAGCAUCCUAAGGACCUGCUUAAGGCUACCCAAGAAGGAAGAGAACAAGCGCAAGGGGGUGCUCACCGUGAGCGGGAGGUUUAAGGCGUACCGGCGGAGAGGCUGGGCAACAAGCUGCUAGGGUUGCUGGUGGGGUGUGGGUGGAGGUGUGGACGGAGGGAAUCGACGGGAGCUGCGGUGUGGUGGGAGUAUUUUGCUCGGCGGCGGCGGCUUGGACAGAGGAGAUGGCGGCGGUAAAAAGGACAGCGGUAGAAACGGCAGCGCGGGAGCGGUAGUUAUUCAAGCUUUCACCGCGCGCAUGGGCGACACCGUGGCCUACUCGUAGGCUUGCGUGGUGAGGAGGUGGCGUAGCUGCCGCGCUGGCGAGCGACCGACGACGGCGGUGGCGACACGUCCUGCCUGCUCUGUCAUCGUUCCCCCCCUUUUCUUCUGACGCCCGAAACUUCAGAGCUCCACCACGGCCGAUUCCAAAUCCGACGGUGCAUAUGUGUCUUAAGAAAAGUUGUAGAUAAUCUCGAGCUUUCCAAGUCAUAUAUAAACCUUUGCCCGAGAUAAACAUCCAAAAGUCUCCAAAUUUAAAUUUUUCUCGGGCAAAUGACUGAACCCUUUUUCCCUUCCAUUCAGUUUCGUCAGUCACUCGAUGUGGUCAUGUGCCCGACUUAGUGAAUCAUUUCGGUGCUCCAAAUCCUCUUUCUGUAGUCCAACUUCUACCCAAUUGUGUUCUACCAUCUUCAAGGUUUCCAUUUUGCCCAAAAACACCUACCUCUUUUGAUCUACAUUCCUCUGAAAUCCAUUUCAAAGUCGGCCACACACUGCUGUCUUCAGACUUAGUCAUUUUCAGUGAUGCAAUUACAGUGACGAGAUGCUGACUUUAGGCCUUCAUUUGAAAUAGCUCCCUCUGCUAUUCUUGAUCAAAAACACCCAAAUCUAGUAGUCCAAGGUCCACACUUUAAUAUGGUGUAGUUGUUCUGAUUUACUUAUUUGAAAAAUUCAUCAGAAAUCAAUUUUGAAAAUGGACUCUGCUGCUGUUUUCUGAAUUUUCCUAUUGUCAGAUGGUGAAUAGUGCACUUCGGUUUUAUUUGCUUUCUUUGAUUCUUUUGAGAUAUCUAGGACCAAUUCUGUUCCAAUUUCUUGAUCCUCAAGUUCUAAUCACCCUUACACCUUUAUUCCAUAUUUUUGACGAAUUUUUCUGAAUUUCAAUUCAAAAUUCAAAUUUCGGUCAAAUUUGACCUGAAUUUGAUUUUUGGCCAAUUUCUUUUUAUUUUCUUCUCAAAUUGCUUCCAAUUUUUCAAAGUCACUUUGGUGACUAAAAUGGCAAGGUAUUACAUCCUCUCCCCCUUAACAGAAUCUCGUCCCGAGAUUCCCGGGGUGAAAUCCUCGGCUUUGAGAAUGGAAAGGAAACUGCAUCAGGUCAACUAUUUUUCUCUUUUCUGUACAAGGAUAGUGGGGUGGUGGCUUUUGUUCAUCUGUCCCUGAUGGUUUCAAACAAUUCAGGAUAUUUAGACUCUAGGUCUUCAGCCUGUUCCCAAGUAGCUUCAUCCGGAGUAUGAUUUUUCCAUUGUACCUUGUAAAAGGUGAUACUCCGAGUUCGGGUAUCUCUUGUCUUUUGAUCCAGAAUUUUAAUAGGCCUUUCUUCAUAGGUUAGAUCUGGUGCGAGCUUGAUUUCUGGAUCUUCUAGAGUUUCUUCUGGAACUCUUAAACACUUCUUAAGCUGGGAUACAUGAAAUACGUCAUGUAUAGAAGUAAGUUGGUCUGGUAAUGACAGCUUGUAUGCCACUGGACCCUUUCGUUCCAGAAUCUCAUAAGGACCAAUAUAUCUUGGGGCUAACUUACCCUUUAUUCCAAAUCGUUGUACUCCUUUCAUCGGGGAUACCUUUAAGUAUACAAAAUCUCCGGUAUGAAAUUCCAAGGACCCUCUCCUUUUAUCCGAAUAACUCUUUUGUCGGGACUGGGCUAUUUCCAAAUGUUUGCGAAUUUUCUGGACCUUUUCCUCGGUUUCCAUAACCAGAUCUGAUCCCAAAUGUGUUCUUUCUCCUACUUCUGACCAAUUCAAAGGGGUUCGGCAUCUUCGACCAUACAGGGCUUCGAAAGGUGCCAUUUUAAUGCUAGCUUGAUAGCUAUUAUUAUAGGAGAACUCGGCUAGGGGCAAACAUUCGUCCCAUAGCUUAGAGAAGGUAAGGACACAUGCUCUCAACAUGUCUUCCAAGAUUUGAUUAACUCUUUCUGUCUGUCCUCCAGUUUGAGGCUGAUAGGCAGAACUUCUAAUUAGAGUAGUGCCCAUGUCCUUUUGCAACUGUUCCCAAAAUCUGGAAACAAACUGGGAACCUCGAUCAGAGAUAAUUGUCUUUAGUACUCCGUGCAAGGAUACGAUCCGGGCUAUGUAGAGUUUAGCAUAUGUCGACACCGGAUAGGUAGUCUUGACGGGAAUAAAGUGAGCUGACUUAGUAAGGCGGUCGACAAUAACCCAUAUGGAAUCAUACCCUUUUGAAGUGGUAGGAAAUCCAACUAUAAAGUCCAUGGAAAUAUCCUCCCAUUUCCAGACAGGGAUUUCUAAGGGUUGAAGUAAACCUGCCGACUUUUGUAGUAUGGGCUUAACUCUUCGGCAAGUAUCACAUUCAGCUACAUACCUUGCAAUUUCAGGUUUCAUCUUGGCCCACCAAAACCUUUGCUUUAAAUCUUGGUACAUUUUAUUGCUUCUGGGAUGAAUAGCAAACUUAGAUAGAUGUGCUUCUUCUAAGAUCAACUUUCUUAGACUUUCAUCCUUAGGAACUACUAUCUUUUUCUUGAAGUACAGUCCUCCAUCUUCUUCUUGAUUGAGUUCGGGGAUCUUCCCUUCUGCUUUUUGUUGAUAGAGUAUCUUAAUCCAUGGAUCUUCUUUUUGGGCUGUUAUAAUUCUUUCCUUUAAGGUAUCUUGUAUCAUAAUAUUCUGAAGGGUGCCUUGUUUUACUAUUUCCAAACUCAAAUCUUCCAUUUCCUCACAUAAGUCUUAAGGUUAGACUGGACGGUAGUGCAGUGGCAUUGGGCCUUUCUGCUUAAGGCGUCAGCCACCACAUUAGCCUUACCAGGAUGAUAAUGGAUUUCUAAAUUAUAGUCUUUAAUCAGUUCCAGCCAUCGUCUUUGCCUCAUGUUCAAAUCCAUUUGAGUAAAGAUGUACUUCAAACUUUUGUGGUCAGUAAAGAUACGACAUUCACUACCCAAAAGAUAGUGUCGCCAUAUCUUUAAUGCAUGCACUACGGCAGCAAGCUCUAAAUCAUGGGUAGGGUAAUGCUCUUCAUGACGCUUCAGUUGACGAGAAGCAUAAGCAAUAACUCUGCCUUCUUGCAUAAGAACACACCCUAUGCCUGUUUCAGAGGCAUCACAGUAUACAUCAAAGGGCUUCUCUAUAUCCGGUUGAGCUAACACCGGGGCUGUAGUUAGCAACUUCUUUAAGACUUGAAAUGAUUCUUCACACUCAGGUUUCCAUUCAAAUUUUACUUCUUUCUUCAAUAACUCUGUGAUUGGUUUGGAAAUUUUUGAGAAAUUGGGAAUGAACCUACGGUAAUAACCGGCCAUUCCCAAGAAACUUCUUACUUCAUGAAUAGAGGUUGGUGAUUUCCAAUCCAAUAUAUCCUUAACCUUUCCGGGAUCUACUUCAAUUCCUUUUUUGGACAAUAUGUGCCCAAGGAAUGGAACUUUCUUUAACCAGAAUUCCCAUUUACUGAACUUGGCAUACAACUGAUGUUCCCGGAGUCUAUUUAGAACAAUACGCAAGUGUUGCGCAUGUUCCUCUUCAUUUUUAGAAAAGACAAGGAUAUCGUCUGUAAAGACGACCACAAAUUUAUCUAACUCUGGCAUGAACACUGAAUUCAUGAGGUACAUAAAAUGCGCUGGGGCAUUUGUCAGUCCGAAAGACAUAACCAAGUAUUCAUACAGUCCAUAUUGGGUUGAGAAGGCUGUUUUAGGUAUGUCUUCGGGUUUUAUCUUAAUUUGAUGGUAUCCUGACCGAAGGUCGAUUUUUGAAAAGACCUUGGCUCCAGCUAAUUGGUCAAACAACAAGUCAAUCCGUGGUAACGGAUACUUGUUUUUAAUGGUUACCGCAUUCAAAGGGCGGUAAUCCACACAUAACCUUAAUGUGCCAUCCUUCUUUUUAACAAAUAGAGUAGGGCAGCCCCACGGUGAAGUGCUAGGUCGGACAAAACCUUUGUCCAACAAUUCUUGGAGUUGUAUUUUCAAUUCUGCUAACUCCUUAGGUGGCAUUUGAUACGGUCUUCUCGAGAUAGGAGCGGUGCCUGGUUCUAACUCAAUGGUAAACUCUACCGCUCUAUCAGGCGGUAGUCCAGGUAGAUCUUCUGGGAACACAUCUAUAAACUCAUUAACCACAGGAAUAGAUUCUAGAGUCACUGCUCUAGUCUUUUUGACCAUCUGGUCCAAACAAGGAUGAGCGGGUAAUUGGAGCUCGAAUGGGUGGCCUUGGUCAUCUUUCAUACUAACGAUCCGAUUAUCCAUAUCGAUUUGAACUUUAUGUUCCUUCAUCCAAUUUACCCCCAAAAUAAUAUCUAUUCCUUGAUCUUCCAGAAUUAAAGGAUAAGCACCCACCUUAUUUCCUUCUAGGUUUAAAAUCACAUUGCGAGUUACUUGAUUUGUAUUCUGUGUAGCUCCAGUAGCUUGAAUAGCAUACUUGACAUUUAAUGUAUGUACUUCUAGUUGGUGUUGCGUAACAAACCUUCUACUUAUAAAAGUAUGUGAUGCACCCGAAUCAAAUAAAACCAUGGCAGGAUAAUUGUUAACAAGGUACAUACCUGCCAGAAUAGGCUCUCCUUCUGGAAUUUCCUCCACAUUCAUAUAAUGAGCUUGUCCUGUCUUGGUGUUCACAAAUUUGCGACGGACAAACUUCUGCCCAGUGCCUUGACCCGAAGUUUGAGCCCUCAAAUUUGCGUUUCCCCCAACCUUGGGAAAACGGCAGUCCUGGGCAAAGUGUCCCGGCUUCCCACAGUUAAAGCAAACCUGUGGAUUCCCUGGAGGAGUAGGGUUACGAAACCCAAGAGGUGGCGCAUUUCCAGGACGAGGAGCAUUACUGGGAGCUCUGACAUUCCAGGGCUGGAAGGAUCUCUGCUGAAAUGAAGGUCGAUACACAGGUCGAGGAGGACCUCGAUAUACCACCUUCAUUCUUUGUGGAGCACUCCCAAAGGUUCCAAAAGGAAUAUUCUUCCUUUUCAAAGCUUCCUCUUUCCUUAGGGUUUCAUCUAGAAUUCUCAUCUUUUCUUCUACGGUAAUGGCUGUACUUACCGCAGAGCUAUAGUCGGCAAAGGUGCAGGUGGACAACUUCUCCUGCAUUCUUGCAUUGAGCCCACGAAGAUAACAAUCUCUUUUUCUGGACUCGGUAUUGACAUGUUCUGGUGCAUAUUGGGCUAAGUGGUCGAACUCAUUGGUAUACUCAAGAAUGUUGCGGUUCCCUUGCUGGAGUCCUAAAAAUUGCUCCAGUUUCAUUCGCAUGAUACCUUCCAGCACAAACUGUGUCCUGAAGGCUUCCUUAAAGUUCUCCCAUGUAACCUCCCUUCCAACUGGCUGCCUAGCCAGAUAGCUGGUCCACCAGGUCCCAGCGGGACCUUGAAGCUGGAGUCCUGCAAACUCUGCCUUUUGAGUGGUGGUGCACUGGGGGAUUACUCAAAACUUCUGUUCCAUUGUUUGAAGCCAUUCAUUAGCUUCAAGGGGAUGCUCAGCCUUCAAAAAUAUUGGAGGACGAGUCUCCAGGAACUGGGUGUAGGAUACACCCCGCUCUGGAUCCCGCCGAUUUCCAUCGUUACCAGUGUUCUGUACGAUCAUUUGAAGUAAUCGAGCCUGUUCGGCCCCGGAGUUCAUAAGGCUGGCUAUAGCAUCUGCCAGCGUUGGAGCUCUCGGUAAAUUCUCCUCAUGGCCCCCUGACCCUGAAGCUCGUGGACCUCUUGGAUCCGUCAUGCUAUCAAGAGUAAACAAAACAUUAAUAUUUAGGGUGCAUUUUAUCAACAGUUCCCUGCACACUAAUAUUUCACACAUCACAACAUGACCAUACAUAAACCACACUUAUACACAUAUUUAUUUAUAGUACAUGAUUUGAAGUUACUCUUUACAAAACCAUCGUGCUACUCUGUCCAUCACAUGUAUCUUACAUAAAUAUAUUACAACAUCUCUUAGAUAAGGUCUCGCUUCAACCAUCGUAAGGGUAGAUGCCUAGUUCUUCGGCAUUCAGUCCUAGUCGGGCCAUUGCUGCUUGUAGAAUAUCUUGCUCCACUGUCAUCAAUGUUUGUCCUGGAGGAGCGACAGGUGGGGCUUGAUUCACUGAGUUCUCACUUCCUGAUUCCGGCCCGAGGUCGCUCGAAGUGUAAGAAGUGUAGGAUGCAGAGGUACUAACUCCGGAAUUUCCCUCCAUCUCUUCAGGAUCCUCCUCUUCUUCCCCGUCUUCUUGCUCCGCUUCUUCCCACUGCUACAUUGGCCCGUAGCCUUGUGGAUCUAGCCCAUCGGCGUUUGCAUUGGCCCAGACAAAUUGUUGAUUUCCCACGGGAGCUUCACCCUGAUCAUCUUCCAUGUCAACAUCAAACCCUUCUAAGUUCUCAUGAGCGUAUAGAUCAAUCUCAGGAGCUGCAGGUGGAGCAAGAUCUUCCUUCACUCCUACCACAUCCACUAACUGGUCCGCUUCUUCUGGGUUCGGUGGCUGGGGCUCUUCUGGUGGUGGAGGCGGUGGAACAUUAACAAUGUUUUGCGCAGGUACCUGGGCCUGCAUCUCCUCCAAAGCCAGACGAAGUGAUAAGAUCUCGUCCAGCUGCUGGAAUCUUUUUGCUUCAAGCCUAUUAACAUUGGAUUCGGCUUCCUCCCUUGCUCUAUCUGCCAUGCUCCUGCUAGCCUCUAUGAAUCCUUGCAUCACCCUGAGUUUUUCUUUGUAGUCGUCUAUUCUCCUGGACUGUUCCCUUAUUAUUUUCUCCAUGUCGUGUUCCCUUGUCAAUGCCGCCUUUUUGUACAAUUCCUUAUCAUGUCGGGCGCCCAUUAACUCCAUUUUGGCGUCUUCAUUUUUCUGCCUCUGAUUGUAAUACUCUCUGAUGCAAGACUGAUGUAAGUUGUACAUGGCCGUCAUGUAAUCAGAAGCAGCAGCAACCAAGAUAUCGUGCUCUACACGAGAAGAGUUCUUCAGAGCUUUAAUUCUCCUCUUCCAGAUCCCGUCAUCUUGAUUCUUGAUAGGAUAGAACCGAGCAGAGCUCGACCCUAUCUCUACUUUGUGCUUUUCACAUAACUCGGUAAGAGCAGUCAUAGCCGCCCUUUCAAUUGUGUCAUUGAACUCAAAGCCUGACUCCAUUACUUCUUCUAGACGCCAAUUGGGAUUGGUGUCUUCAUCUGGAAUGUGCACAUAAACAGUGCAGUACUGUUUGUGACCCGUAUCUUCCUUCCUCCAAUAAUAUUCUGGAGGGUUGUGAAAGCCUAAUUCCUGCAGCGUCUUCCAUAGCAACUUCACAAACCCCGGCUUAUCCAGAUAAUGGCCGCGGGUCCAUCCAUCUUGAUCAGUGUAACCUUCUUGAAACAUCCUAUAAAAGAAACGAGGUCAGGUCUAACGGCACUCACUAAACCCAAAAAUUUUGAAAAUAUGCUUAUGCAACAUGAUGCAACGAUUCCUACGGACUCACAGACUCAUAUACACACUCGUAAAGAAAUUGGUGGCAUCGUAAUCUCUCCCUAAAUAACAGACUACCGAAUACUAGCGACACGCAGCAAACAGUUAGCAUCUGCAAAACAAACAACCAGUUAACACUACUGCCACCUGUGACUCAUGUUUUCUUUAUUUUAAAAUAGAGUCCCAGUUUUUAAAUGGUAAUACCUGUUGAUUAUCCCAACCUACGGCUCUGAUACCAGCUGUGGCGGAACCGUCCAACUUAAACUGAUUUAAAUGCGCCUAAUUGCUGCCGACGUAGCAAUUAUUCGAAACGCACUUAAAACAGUAUAAGUCCGGUCGUCCGUCGAGUGUCCCUAGGACUCCUCGAAAGAUCCACGUUGUGUCUCGUAGCCAUACAUCAGGAUAGUAUCCGCGAUGGGAUAGCAUCAACAAAUAUUACAUUUUUACAUACAUACAAGAGGUACGAGUUAUUACAAGACUUAGUUUGAAGCAAACUUAAUAGUGCAGUGUUAGACAGAGUUCUAGGACUUAAAACAUAAACGGUUCAGAUGGAGAUGAGCAUUAAAAAAAACUUCUUCUAAGGGUAUUGUGAGACUCAUAACAAUACCCUAGGGCUUCGGGGCUUCCUCCUCGGUGGACUCCUGCGGUGCUUCUGAAAAGAUAGCCACAAGGGAUAACCCUGAGUACGAGGUACUCAGCAAGUCUUACCCGACUAACCAAUAUAAUAGCUUUUCUUUGGAAGUACAUGAUAGCUUUUUGGUGUACUUGGCUGAUACAUUUUUGCCGAAAAGCUUACUACAAGUGAUGCCUUAGUUUUAUCUUUUAUUUGGGUUAAGUCAUUACCUAACCAUUCUAGAUGAUGAGAAGAAAGUAAACGCAACCAUAGAUAUUAAGUCAUACAUCAAACAUUAUCAGAAAGAUAUGCCAUUCAUGAAUUUAUGCUACGAUGCUCAACAGUGAUCAAGUGCAUUCAUAACCGAGAAUUGCGGCGAUCCGGAUCAAUUUACAUCCUGCAGGAGAGUACCCCGAUCACCAGUUAUAUACGACUGUCCAGGUCGUACACAACGACCUUUCGAUUAGCAAAAUCAAUGAUUGGGAAUAAGACUACCCGGACCCAGGGACGCACCCCCACAUGGGACCCCAUGUCUGGCCCGAUCACCAUGUGAGUUUCAGGCUACACCCCUGCCAAUCUCCAGCACGUCAAGCGCGGGUACGAAGUAUUCCCGAUCAGAGAGUUUGCUAACCUACUGGGCUUUACUGGUCCCAUACCCAGUAAGUGAUCAGAUGAUUAUCACUUGAUCAAAGGUUAAGACAACGAAUCGGGCCUUCACCACAUUAAUCUAGCAGACAGAACUACAUCUCUAGCUUCUAUCCGCUUCUCAAUUCCAAGUCAUCUUCCCAUAAAUAACAUGUAAGACUCAAAAAGUUUUCCUUAAGGUUGGUAAACCAAGCAUUGAAGCAACUAAGCAUUUCUAGACUUGGGAUACCUACUAGGGUUUGAACAAGUGGCAAAGAUGUCCUUAGAACAAGGUAUGAUCAUGCACAAGAAUAGGUUUCAAGCAACUCCUAGACUUAAUGCAUACAUAUAGCAAAUAACUGAAUAUAGGACACAUGAAAUAUUGACUUCAAAAUAAUAGGUGUAAUGCACCGGGGCUUGCCUUGUUCGCUUAAAAAGUUAGUACUGUCCGACGGGUUGGCCUCGCAGGGGACCAAUUCAAAGACUUCUUCAAACUCCGAAGGUCCUUCUGAAAAUUCCAAGUAAUCUCCUUCUGGUGCUUCGGGGUCUAUAGCACAACACAUGCAGGGGUUAGGAAUGCAAAUUUUUGAAUAAAAGACUAUACAACUUUCCUUCAUGAUAAAGUUGCAAGCCGACAAGGACUAUACAAUUUAUCAUGAUAAAGUUGCAAGCCAACACACAAAAACCCAAAAAGAUUAGCCCAAAAUUUUUAUUUUCUUACCUAACCUUACUCAAGGCCUUUCUUUUAUUUUUUUUGAAAAGGUUAUAAUUAUUUUCUAACUUGAAAAACUAAUUUCCUAUGAGUUGAGAAUAAUUUGUGAUUACGAAAUGUUAUCCCAUAUUUAUACAUUUUAUAAGAUUAAGUAUUAUUAAUUACUUAAAAGAAAGGCAUUAAAUGAAUACCUAAAUUUUUAUAGUUUUCCUAGGGUAUAAAAAUUUUAAUGCAUAAAGGAAAAUAAAACAAGCCUAACAAAAUUGGUUUCACUAAUUUUGGACACUCCUAGAAAUUUCUGUGAUUUAAAUGGUGGGAUUCCAAUUUAAACUAAUUAUUCUAUAAAGGAAAUCCAAAUUUUCCCGAAAAACACCCCCGGCGACUUUUCUCACGCGGCUCGACUCUACCCCCUCUCACUUGCGCUGGGCCCGUGACGCGGACCCACCCCUUCUCCUAUUCCUUCUACCCGCCGGCCUCCUUUUACCCCGGCCGGGCCCUAUUGGGCCGAUUCCUCUUUCCCCUUCUUCUCCUUUCGCUCGCGACGGCCCAACGGCCCUCUUUUCUUUUUCUUCGUUUCCUCGCGAGCGCGGUCUGCUGGCUCCUCUGGGCCUCCGGCCUUCCUCUCCACGGUCGACCGCGAGCGCUCCUGGGCUUUCAAGGCCGCAGCCCAACUGGCCUCCGCGUCCGGCCGGCCGACUCCCUCUCCCUCUCUUCCCUACUGACGCGCGGGCCCAAGGCGCCAGACUCUUCUUCCUCCUCCCGCCAAAACUCGCGCACGACAGGGGGCGGUGCGGCUCGCCGACCGGCGCCCUACCCGCGGCAGAACUAGGUCAGGAAAGCACCUCCAUGCCCUCACACACCCGUGCGUGGCAGCACUUCCUCGGGAGAUGGCCGGAGCCAUUCCCUCCACGGCGGCGGGCGGCGGCACCUACGGCCGGUCGCGACUACGCACGACAACGGCGCAAACUACCCCGACGACUACCACGACACCAUCCUAGCAUCCUAAGCACCUGCCUAAGGCUACCCAAGAAGGAAGAGAACAAGCGCAAGGGGGUGCUCACCGUGAGCGGGAGGUGCGGCGACGACGGACAGAAACGGCGGCGGUUUAAGGCGUACCGGCAGAGAGGCUGGGCAACAAGCUGCUAGGGUUGCUGGUGGGGUGUGGGUGGAGGUGUGGACGGAGGGAAUCGACGGGAGCUGCGGUGUGGUGGGAGUAUUUUUCUCGGCGGCGGCGGCUUGGACAGAGGAGAUGGCGGCGGUAAAAAGGACAGCGGUAGAAACGGCGGCGCGGGAGCGAUAGUUAUUCAAGCUUUCACCGCGCGCAUGGGCGACACCGUGGCCUACUCGUAGGCUUGCGUGGUGAGGAGGUGGCGUAGCUGCCGCGCUGGCGAGCGACCGACGACGGCGGCGGCGACACGUCCUGCUUGCUCUGUCAUCGUUCCCCCCCUUUUCUUCUGACACCCGAAACUUCAGAGCUCCACCACGGCCGAUUCCAAAUCCGACAGUGCAUAUGUGUCUUAAGAAAAGUUGUAGAUAAUCUCGAGUUUUCCAAUUGAUAUAUAAACCUUUGCCCGAGAUAAACAUCCAAAAGUCUCCAAAUUUAAAUUUUUCUCGGGCAAAUGACUGAACCCUUUUUCCCUUCCAUUCAGUUUCGUCAGUCACUCGAUGUGGUCAUGUGCCCGACUUAGUGAAUCAUUUCGGUGCUCCAAAUCCUCUUUCUGUAGUUCAACUUCUACCCAAUUGUGUUCUACCAUCUUCAAGGUUUCCAUUUUUCCCAAAAACACCUACCUCUUUCGAUCUACAUUCCUCUGAAGUCCAUUUCAAAGUCGGCCACACACUGCUGUCUUCAGACUUAGUCAUUUUCAGUGAUGCAAUUACAGUGACGAGAUGCUGACUUUAGGCCUUCAUUUGAAAUAGAUCCCUCUGCUAUUCUUGAUCAAAAACACCCAAAUCUAGUAGUCCAAAGUCCACACUUUAAUAUGGUGUAGUUGUUCUGAUUUACUUAUUUGAAAAAUUCAUCAGAAAUUAAUUUUGAAAAUGGACUCUGCUGCUGUUUUUCUGAAAUUUCCUAUUGUCAGAUGGUGAAUAGUGCACUUCGGUUUUAUUUGCUUUCUUUGAUUCUUUUGAGAUAUCUAGGACCAAUUCUGUUCCAAUUUCUUGAUCCUCAAGUUCUAAUCACCCUUACACCAUUAUUCCAUAUUUUUGACGAAUUUUUCUGAAUUUCAAUUCAAAAUUCAAAUUUCGGUCAAAUUUGACCUGAAUUUGAUUUUUGGCCAAUUUCUUUUUCUUUUCUUCUCAAAUUGCUUCCAAUUUUUCAAAGUCACUUUGGUGACUAAAAUGGCAAGGUAUUACAUCCCUCCCACUCCCCUUCGCCUAGUCCACUCCGGCUGCGAGCGGCGGCGGCGGCGCCGAAGGCUGCACGGGCAGCCCCUGCUCCGCCUCCGCCCCCGAAGUUGUAGGCCUGGCGCUCACGCUCGCCGUAACCUAGCGCCGCUAGGGCGGAUGGAGGGCGGCAGGCGGGCGGCGCGACCUGGGGCGGAGGGAGGGCGGCGUGUCGGGGGAGGAGGUGGAAGAGGAAAAAGAACGUACCGAUUCGGUACAUAACCGAUGGUAGGCGUCUAAAUAACCCAGAAAGCUAGUUAGAAGCUCGUUCUUUCCUCCUUUCCAGCUUACCAUUGUAACGUGGCUUUCCACAGCUUUUAGCUCAUGAAAAGCUAGGCUCAAAAGCUUGCCAUUUGUUCAAACUUUCGACUUCUGGGGGUGAGAAGCUGGCUGAAAGCCCAAACAAAUAGGGCCUAAAGAGGGUCUUCCCAGGUGGAUGGAAUGGGAUUAAAGGACCCCUUUUUGUCUCGAAAAAUUUAUCCCGAAUGGUUUUUAGAGAGAUUUAGCCUCUACCAACCGGGACUAAAGUCGAGGUUUCUAGCAGUGAGUGCAGAGGCUGAAUACAGGGCAGUGAAAAAUGCAGAUGCAGAGUGCUGCUGGCUAAGGUAAUUGCCUGGUGAAUUACAAUGUGCAGUCCUGUCAGCAACAGUGGUCUUCGGUGACAAUAUAUCUGCAGCUUACAUGGCCAGUAAUCCUGUUCAUCAUCACAGCACCAAACACAUCGAGUUGGACAUCCAUCCCUCGGUGAGUUUUGCAUCGUUCGUUUACCAACUGAUCAACAGAUUGCAGAUAUAAUGACCAAAGGAUUAGCUUCAGAUUUAUUCGACUCUUUUUUUUCUAGUCUGUGCAUUUUGUCAGGAGACGAUGUUCAGACUGCCGGGGGUGUUACACUGACAAUUAUAGUUUUCCAUUUGGCCCGCGGCCCGUGGGCCGGCCCACGGCACGACAUUUGGCCCGGUACAGGCACGGCUCGGCACAGCGGCCUUGCAGGACUGGGCCGGCCCGACCUACACCACGGGCCGGGCCUAGGCCGCUACCUCAGGCCGUGGGCUGGCUCGGCACGGCCUGGCCCAUUCAGCCCGUGGGCUAGCAACGGCCGGCACGGCUUGUUUAGGCGUGCCACGCCUGCCUCGGCCCGGCCAACGGCCGUAUAAAACACCAGCACCCGGCGACCCCUAGCCGAAACCCUACCCCGCACCCGCUCCGCUCCCGCAUUGAGCCGCCUCUCGCCCUCUCCAGCGCUCCCCUCGCUUCCUCCCGGCUCCUCGCCUCCUCCCUCCGUCCCUCGAUGCCUGCGCCUCCUCCCCCUAGAUCCUCCGCUGUCCUUGCCCGCCGUCGGUCUCACCCUGUCCCUCCCCUCUCAGAUCCGGCGUCCUCGCCCACCGCCGGCUCGCCGGUGGCCCAUUCGCCUCCCUCUCCCCGUAACUACUCUUCCACUCUGAGAUCUGGCGUCCUUGCCUGCCGCCGGCUUGCCGGUGGCCCCUCUGCCUCCCUCCCCCUGUAACUCCUCCUCCACUCUCAGAUUCGGCAUCCUCGCCUGUCGCUGGCUUGCCGGUGGCCCCUCCGCCUCCCUACCCCCGUAACUGCUCCUCCCCUCUCAAAUCCAGCAUCCUUGCCCGCCGCCGGCUCGCCGGUCACCCAUCUGCCUCCCUCCACGUAACCCCGCUUCUCCCCUAGCCCCUCUGGCCCUCCGCCUUCCUUCCCGGCUCCUCGCCUCCUUCUCCCAACCCCUCGCAGAUCCGCCUCACUCCCUGGUUCCCCACCAUUGCGGUUCGUCUUCUCCGGCUUAGGGCUCCGGCUGCGUAGGUAAACAACCUCCUCUCGUUCCUCUUCUUGUUUCGACCCCUCGCAGAUCCGCCUCCCUCACUUUUCUCCUCUUGCAGGUCUCCUAUAGGUGCCGUGCGUCGUUGAGGAACGGAACCGUCGAGGCGACGAUGUCAAUGGUGGAGGGCUCGAGGGUGUGUUCCCUGUUCCGGGUGUGCUCUUCAUUUGAGGUCUUAGGAUGGACGACGACUAUCCAACCUGCCUCAAUGAUGAGUUGCGGUUGAUGGGGGAAACCGGAGAUGAUAAUUCUGAUUUGGAGGCGGAUCGGCGAGCGCUGCUCAGUGGUGCCGUCCCCGAUUCUCAGCCAGGUAGUGGAGAUUCUCCACCACCUGCUGCUACUGGCUCUGGUGCUGGUCCGGGCUCGGAGAGUACGGGCAGCAAGAGGACUCGUUCUUGCACCUCUAAGGUAUGGGACGACUUUGAGCCACUGUACGAGGUAAUGAAUAACAAGAGGGUAAGAACUGGUGCUAAGUGCCUACAUUGCAAGAAAGUUUAUUUUGGUAAGUCUUCUAGUGGUACUGGACACUUGCAUAGGCACCUUCCAAAGUGCCCAGUCUUGCUAGGUGCUUCAUGUAUGGCUCAGUCCCAACUCAAGUACAAUCCUGAUGGCUCUCUCCAUAUGUGGGAGCACAAUCCUAAUGUUGCUCGUAUCCAGUUGUGCAGAUUGAUUGCUAGACUAGACCUUCCUUUAUGCUUUGGUGAGUCUGAUGCAUUUGAGGAGUAUAUUAAUAUUGCUCAUAAUCCUAGAUUCAGUUGUGUGUCUAGGCAAACCACCACCAAAGAUUUUGUUAAGUAUUUUGAUGAGCGUCGUACUAAACUUGUGGCUUCUUUGCAAUCUGUUUCCUUUGUUGCUCUUACAUCUGCCAUAUGGUCUGGUAAUGCUAAGGAAGAUUACCUUAGUGUGGUUGUUCAUUAUGUGAAUGCUGAUUGGCAACUAGAGAAGGCCUUCGUUUAAUUGAUGUUUCUCAUAAUGCUGAUAAUAUUGCUGAGCGCAUUACAUCUGUUGCUACUGAUUAUGGUUUAAAUGAUAAGAUAUUUUCUAUAACAUUGGAUAAUGCAUCGGCAAACACUGCCGCAAUUGGUAAGCUUCAUCCUUCAUUGACUGGUUACAUGGGCAAACUAUUUUUUCAUCAGCGUUGUGCUUGUCACAUUGUUAAUCUUAUUGUUCAGGCUGGCCUUGAUGUUUUCAAGCCUAUGCUUAGUUCAUUUAGAACUGCAAUUUCAUUCCUAAAUUGUUCUAACCAACGUAUUGUGGCAUACAAGUCAUAUUGCAUUGCUAUAGGUGUCUGCCCUCGUAAGUUUGCUUUGGACAUGGAUGUUAGAUGGAAUUCAACUUAUCUCAUGUUAAAGAAUCUAUUGCCCCAUAAGAUCACAUUCCAUUAGUUCAUAACCACUUAAUAUGGUUUGGUUGAAGGUCAAACAAUUCUAACAGAAUUACACUAGUAUGUUGCUGAAAAGAUUAUGAUAUUUCUUGAACAAUUCUAUGAUUCUACUGUUAUUCUGUCUGGUGUUUAUUAUCCAACUGCUCCAUUAAUCUUGCAUCAUAUUCUUGAGAUAGCUAGGCACCUUAAUUUCUAUGCUAAUGAUGCUAAUCUGAAACAUGUUGUUGCACCCAUGAAGUCUAAGUUCUUAGAUUAUUGGUCUGAUAUACCUAUACUUUAUGCCUUUGCUUUUAUAUUGGAUCCUAGAGCUAAGAUUACUGGUUUUAGCAAUGUGCUUCAGCUGAUGUCUCAGCUAACUGGUAAGGAUUAUUCUAGUUACUUAACUGAUGUAAGAGCUGAAUUGUCUACAAUCUUUGGCAAAUAUGAAGCUAAGUAUGGUUCUGUGAGGAUGUAGAGGGCCACUCAGCCAGGCCCUGCAGGUAAGAAAAAGACUGCUUGGGGUAAGAUCUUUGGUUCCCAGGGUGCUUCAUCUACUUAUUCUGCUGCUAGCCUUGGUGCUGGCCUGGGUUCUACUUCUGUUUCCUCCUCCCUGUCUAGGAGACAAUCUGCUAGUGCUUUAUUGCAAGCUGCUCAAACAGGUGCCUCUCUUGCUGCUGCUUCUGAACUGUCUGCCUACCUAGACAGUGACACUAUCAACCAAUAUGAUGAUGACUUCAACAUAUUGACCUGGUGGCAUGAGCAUAAGUUAUCAUAUCCUCUUCUAUCUAUCUUAACUAGGGAUGUUAUGACUGUGCCUGUCUCUACUAUAUCUUCAGAAUCUGCAUUUACUACCACUAGCAGGAUCAUUGAGGAGCGGCGACGUCGUCUGACCCUGAGAUGGUGGAGAUCUUGGCUUUGAUCAAGGAUUGGGAGCAAGGAGAUUCAAGACUGCAGCAUACCGUCGACGAUACCGAACUUGAAGAGUCAUUUGAGAAUUUGUAUCUUGAUGAGUAAGAUUUCUAAUCUCAUUUACUUCUCCUGCAACAUACUUGUUACUUGAUGAUCUCUGAUCCUCCUAUCAUUUUUUACAGAAGCUAGAUGCUUGUUGUCCUGUUGGUGCUCUGUCAAUAUUCAGGAGCAAGUUAGAACUCAGAAGCCUCAUGCUAUUGUGCUUGUGUAGGUCUUGUGACUUGUGAGUUGUGAGUUGUCAGUUGAGUUGUGAACUUGUGUCUGAACAAUGAACUUUGAUGAGCUGGCUGUACUCUUUUUUCCAUUGUAGGGUUUUCUCACGAGGUGUGAGUUUUUACCUACAAAGAUUUUUAAUGAGGCAGCAAUACAAACAACUCAAAAUAAUAUUCAAAUUUGUUUGUGUUAUUGUGAUUGUGAAUCUGUGUGAAUAUGUGAAUCUGCGUGAAUCUUUGUGAAUAUGUUGAACAUGUGAAACUGUGAAUAUGUUGAAACUAAGUUUUGAAUUUGGCUUUGAAACUGUGAAAAUGUCUUAGUGUGAUGAAUUUGAUUCUGGUUAGGGGUUUUUAAUAAAAUGUGUCACAGGCUGGCACAGGCACGGUGAGGCUGUUAAGGCCCGCCGGGCUAGCGGGCCGGCACGGCCUACGUAAGAAGGUAGCAAGCUGGGCCUGGGCCGCUUCUUCGGCACACGGGCCGGCCCAGCCUGGCACGGCUGUUGUGCGGGCCUAAACAGGCCGGGCUUAUUCGUGCUCGUGCCAGGCCAGGCCGGGCCGCCCAUUUGGCCAUCUAUACUAACAAUGUAAAUGGUUGUAACGUUCUCCUAUACAUUGUAUAGGUUUGAUCCUACUCUCUCGGUCCCAAAUUACUAUUUGUUUUGACUUUUCCAAGUACAUGACUUUGAUUUAUAAGGGCAUAGCAAAAGCUAUAAAUAUAAAAAAACCAAAAUAAAUAGAAAUUUGUGACGGACGGAGUAGAUUCUAGGCUUGACCGAGCACUAGUUUGUUAGCCAUAGGUGCUUCCUGAACAUGUAUUUAACCACCUCCGCUCAUGAAUGAAAGUGUGUUGGAUCAAAAGAUCUCUCACAUUCUCUCGUUCUACAAUCAUCAUCGUCGUCAUCUAGCUAGCUUUAAUCAGCUGCCGUGGCGACUGGCGCGAGGCAGCUCCCUGCCGGCGAGGAAGUGCGCGAAAAGCUGGCAUGUAGCAGAGCAGAAGAUGACUUGAUGGAAGGCAUGUAGUAGACGUAGUUGAUGUCGAGAAAGUAGUACUUAUAGGUCUAAUGGUGUGCAUAAACGAGCUGCAGCAUAAAGUACAUCUCCUUAAUGGGCUAUAAAGAAAGGGCCCAUUAGGCAUUUCUUGGGCAUCAAACGCCAAUUUACAUAUUUGCGAACAAGCCCACAUAUUGCUUCCUGUACUUCGUUGUAUCAGCAUGAUUGCUAUAAUGGAGAACAACUUUUAGAUGUUGAAAGGCGUGGAAGAGCACGACGAAUCCCGAGUCAGCCGUGGAAGCAGCCAGCAGAGUCGCGGGGGUGCUAUUCAAGCUCGCCGUGAACACUGCAAGAAACAAACUCAAAAUGAUUAAUAUACUUUGAUGAUGAAUGGAAACGGUAUGACAAAACAGAGGGGUUUCUGUGUACUUACGAGGCUCUAAGUCUCUGCCGUUCACUGGUGGAAAAGUGAGCAUUAGUCCUAGUUGGAGAGUCACAUAGGUCUCGAAAAUCCAAUCGGAACUAAUCUUUCGAGACUAAAUACCCCCCUCUCUAGUCCCUAGUAUUUCACCUAAGACUAAAGACCUCCUUUAGUCUGGUUAGUACUACCAACCGGGACUAAAAAUAUUUAAAAAAUAAAAAAAAAUGGGCUACCCCUGCUCCCGCCGCUUGCGCCUACGCUUGCACCUACACCGGGCCAGCCCAUGCCAUGUUGGGCCCUCGCCCACCGACGCCGCGUUGGGCAGCUUCACGCCAUGUCGGGUCCUCGCUCACGGCGCCGCGGCAACACAGCUCCCCUAUGCCGCACCAUCUCGCGGGGAGGGAGCUAGGAGGAGGAGGUCGGGGAGGUGGGGAUGGAGGGAGGGAGCAGAGCUUCGAGAGGAGGAGGCUGGGAGGAAGGGAGGGACCAGUGCUAGCUAGGCCGGGAAGGGGGAGGGAGCAGAGGGUGGAGCGAGUUGAGGGAGAGGAGAGGAGGAGAUAAGGGAGAGGAGAGGAGCGCUAGUUAGGAUCCUAAUUCAUUUUAUCCUAGCUGGUGGCUCCAACUGAAAUUAAAAAGGAUCCUUUUAGUCCCGAUUAAAAUUACAUUGCUAGAAAAAUCGAGAUAGGAAGUAAUUCAUGUUAUUCCUAGCGGAGUGGGGCCGAACUCCCGGCAGCAUGGGGCUGGCCUCCCGGUGGCACAGGGCUGCGGUGUGGGGGUCGGCCUCCUGAUAGCGCGGGGUUGCGGCUUUCCCGAGACAACGGUGCAGGGAGCGGCCUCUCGCACGGGCCCGACCUCACUCCAGAUAGAUUAAAGGGUACAGGCUGAUGACUGGUUGAGCCAUUGCUGAACAAAUAAAUCAUCGUAGAUAGAACCACCAAGCUCAUAACGAUUAAUCUAGCGUCCCUAGCAGUCGAAUCGGACCUAACCGAGACAGCGCUGGCAGCAGAGCGGUAGACUUAAAAGUUACUGGCCGAUGAAUUUAGAUGCGACGAGAUAAAAGGCUCAGUAAUAGCUCAGUGAAGGCCAAGAAUAAUAAGAUGUAUCGGUAAAAGCUUUACUGGCGGGCACGGCGACUUAAAAGUUACUGGCAUCCCAUCUAGAUCGGACCUAACCGUGCCAUCUAGAUCGGACCUAACCGAGGCAGCGCUGGCAGCAGUGCAGGAUUAAAAGCUUCCGAAUCACAAGACUCCUACUUGGGCACAUCAAAUGACUGAUACAGACUUUCCUAAUUUAACAUAAGGAAACUAAUCUUUAAGAUACAAUUAUGACCCUACAUAUCCCAUAUCUGGUAGGAUAAUGCAAUGUAUAGGCCUUUCCAGAGUCCUUGUCUGAUACGCCUUUCCAAUAUCUUUAUUAGAAUAUUCUUUUCAUUAUUUCAGGUUUUAUAGGAUUUUAUGGGCCAAAAUCCUGUGUCAACAGUUUUUCUAACUUUAAGUAAACUAUAUAAACUUGCACAUGUCUAUUCUCCCCUAUAAAUAUAGACGCCGGCCAGCGGCAUUAGCAACUCGAGAGUUGUAGAGCACACGGGAUAAUAUGUCUGGCAACAUGAGUAGUAGUCCUGGCUACUUCCUCGCCCUUUCCAUCCUGGUCCUCGGCGUUACAACUAACCUGCAGCCGCACCCUGGCUGCACAGCUGCUAGGGAGUUCCCAGGGGCCAACUCGCCCGCCAAGCAUCAGGCCCCGGUGGCUGUGGGCACCGCCGCCCCAGCCGGGACCAAUGGCAACGACACUACCGCCCCACAAGUGGCCGUUCAUGGCCGCAGUAGCCCAGGUAUGGCAUGACUGACAGCCCUUGCUAGCUCGAUUUGGGCAACCCGCAUCUCAUUUUUCGCUUCCCAACAUGACCAUGACGUUACAUUUCUAUCUGUACAUUUUAGCAGCAGCUAGCCUUCAUCUUUACAUAUUUGAUGUGGGUUUAUUUACAUAUCUUUUUCCCCUGUUUUAUGCCUUUUUGCGUGCCAAUUAGCUGGAGGGGCCGAAGGGCAAUACAUGGACCUCAAGGGCGAGUGCGCAACUCGUGCAGGGUGCUACGUUCCAGGGGUUGCAACACAGAGACACCCGACCUUUCCGCCCGUAGUUGGUUCUCCAACAGGCGGUUCUUCAGGAUUUUGGGAGUUCGUCCGUGGUGGAUGGCGGAGAAUGAAGAUUCGUCCUCCCGUACGAAAAUGACUCCCUGCAGCCGCAUCCCUUAAACCAUGGUUGAUGUCUUCUGCCCGUGUUAUAUGGGAGAAAAUCAAUGGUGUAUGGGAGUUACUACUGUGUCUGAUACCUAGCUAGCUUGGCAUCCGCUUGGUGUCGGCCAUUUGGGAAGGCUCCCUGCUGCUUAAUGAGCUAGCCUUCAUCGUUAAAUAAAACGUCUGAAAUAUGCAUUUACUCGUACUGUAACGCUGCAGUUCUCUCCUGCGUCCAACAGAGCUGGGGUUGGCUUCUGAUUCAUGGUCUGGAGUCUUCGACGAUGUGGGGCGCGGCGUACAGAUCGGACCUGUUGAUGAAGGCCCUGCCAUUUUUCUCGUGUAUUGUUUCUUAGAGUCUUUUGUUCAGGGGUUGAAAGUUGUAACAAGCAGGGUGUGCUCUGUACAACAGAGGUGUCAGCACUCUAUCGCUGUUUAUUUAUAUAUAUUUUUGAGCUAAAAUUUGAUGAAUAGCUUGCUUGUUAUAUAUGAUUCGUAUUAAGUAAAGAACUUGAUCAAUAUUAGAUCAAUAUUAGGUAUGGAAAAAAAUAGAGUAAAUGUGUUUUUAAUAUUUAGUCAUUACAAUAAAGUUAAGGUAAAUAAAUUGUAGGUGUAAGAAGUAGAAUUUGGUCAUUGCUACAAGUUUUCAUGUCACUGUAUUUGAACAAUAAUUUAUUUAUCUCAUGUUUAUUGCAAGGAUUAAAUAUUAUAAACAUAUUUACUCUAUUUUUUCCCCUACCUAUUUUUGAUCAAGUUAUUUAUCUAAUACAAAGCCCUAUGUUCAAUUUUUCACAUAAUACGAUACAGAUGGAUCGGCAAUGGAUGUACCACCUCCGCUCCUCCAAUCCUAGAGAACAGUGUCUGCACAUGGCAUGAAUGUACUUACACUAUUCUCUAGUAUUGGAGGAGCAGAGGUGGCUCUACAUCCUCUAGUAUUGGAGAAACAUUCUAAAGAGCUGGUUCCUCCGCUCGUCCAAUACCAGAGAACAGUGUCUGCACACAGCAUGAAUGUGCUUACACUAUUUUCUGGUACUGGAGGUGUGGAGGUGGCUCUCCAUACACUUUGUAGAAGAUCGAGUCAUGUGCAGAGAUGGCUUGCAGGGCGAAUAUUCUACUAUGUUGUAUCUUUAUUUUAAGAUAAUUGACUACAUGAAGUCUACUAUGCAGCGUCCGUAAUCUUUAGUGUAUAUGUAUCUUUAUUGUCAACCUAGUGAAUGUUAUGAAUGUUGAUUGGUGUAAUUUUCAUGUGAUUUAUUUUUAUCCUUAUGAAGGUUGAUUGGAGUAAAUUAUCAAUAUUGAUCAAGUUCUUUAUCUAAUACGAAGACAUAUGUUCAUUUUUCACAUAAUAAUUUAUUUAUUUCAUGUUUAUUGCAAGGACUAAAUAAUAUAAACAUAUUUACUCUAUUUUUUCCCUACCUAAUAUAAACAUAUUUACUUUAUUUUUAUCUUUAUGAAGGUCGAUUGGAGUAAAUUAUCAAUAUUGAUCAAGUUCUUGAUCUAAUUUGAAGACCUAUGUCCAGUUUUCACAUAAUACUAUGCAGAUGGACCGACAAUAGAUGUAUAAAGCGGACAGGUGGACCAAGAAGUUUGUUGAUGGCUUGCAUUAUUUUCUCGAAGUGGCCAAAACCAACAAGCCAGAGAUGGAAUUCAUAUGUUGUCCAUGCUUCCAAUGCAGUAACAAGAAGGACUACUCUUCCUGGGGGACUGUUCAUAACCACUUGUUUAGAUACGGUUUCAUGCAUAAAUAUUUGGUUUGGACCAAGCACGGCGAAAGAAGGGUUAUAAUGAAAAAUGAUGAACAAGAGGAGGAUAAUAACAAUAUUCCGAACUGGGCUACAUGUCAAGCUUUUGCAGAUACUACAAUGGGCAAGGCUGAUGAAGAAGAGUUUGUAGAAGACGGCCCUAUUCAUGAUCUUGGUCAGGUGCUAUGGGAUGCAAAGAGAGACUGCGAAACUAAGAAGGAAUCAAAAAAGCUACAGCACAUGAUAGAUGAUCACAAAAAAAUUGUUGUACCUAGAUUGCAAGCAGGGGCACAAAACACUGGGUACCAAACUGGAAAUACUAUAAUGGAAGGCAAAAAAUGAUGUGUCCGAUAAGGCAUUUGAGGAGACGUUGAAAAUUGUAAAGAACAUUCUUUCCGAGAAUAAUGAAUUGACUUCCACAACAUAUGAAGCUAAACAUGUUAUUUUCCCUCUGGGAUUGGAGGUUUAGAAGAUACAUGCAUGCCCUAAUGACUAUAUCCUCUAUCGUAGUGAUGAAUAUGAGAAAUUGGAUGCUUGUCAUGUGUGCGGAACACUGCGGUAUAAGAUCAGAUGAGAUGAUCCUGGUGAUGUUGAGGGGUAGCCUCCCAAGAAGAGAGUUUCUAUAAAGGUGAUGUGGUAUUUCUCUAUAAUACCACGUUUGAAGCAUUUGUUUAAAAACAAGGUGAAUGCUAAGUUGAUGCGAUGGCCCAAAGAAGAAUGUAAGCAAGAUGAGAUGCUAAGACACCCCGCGGGUGAGGCCUAGUGGAGAUCAAUUGAUAGUGCAUUCGUGAACUUUAAAAUUGAUACGAGGAACAUAAGGUUUUGUUUAAGUACUGAUGUAUUCAAUCCAUUCGAUGAGUUGAGUAGUGGUCAUAGUAUUUGGCCUGUGACUCUAUGUAUGUUCAACCUUCCUCCUUGGUUGUGUAUGAAGCGAAACUUAAUUAUGAUGUUGGUGCUUAUCCAAGGCUCAAAACAACCCGGUAGCAACAUUGACGUGUACCUAAGACUGUUGGUUGAUGAACUUUUACUGCUCUGGAAGGUAGAAGGUGUACAUAUGUGGGAUGAGGCUAAACAAGAGAGCUUUGACCUAUGAGCCUUGUUGUUCAUAACGAUCAAUGAUUGGCCUGCGUUGAGUAACCUUUCAGGACAGACAAACAAGGGAUAUCGGACAUGCACCCAUUGUUUAGAUGACACGGAUAACAUGUAUUUGAAAUACCGUAGGAAUGUCAUGUAUAUGGGCCAUCAUCGAUUUCUUCGUGCUAACCACCUAUUAAGAAAGAAAGGGAUGCAUUUCAAAGGGACCCCAGACCAUCGUAAAAAACCUGCACACCAUAAUGGAAAACGUGUAUUUGAGAUGAUAAAGGAUGUAAGAGUAGUCUUUGGAAAGGGUCUUGGUAGCGAACCUGUUCCGAAUGACGAUAAUUGAUAUGCACCCAUGUGGAAGAAUCUUUGUGUGAUGCAUGCACCUAAUGAAUAAUCUUUGCGUGAACGUGCUAGGCUUCAUGGGUUGUUAGGGGAACUCAAAAGAUACAUUGGAAGCACGACAGGAUCGGAAACAUAUGAAUCAACAAGAUGACCUAAAUCCGGAAAAGAGAGAUAAAGGAUAACACUACUUACGUCCUACUAGUUACACUCUCAGCAAGAAAGAGAAGGAUAACAUGUUUGAACGCAUGAAUAGUAUCCAGGUUCCAUCUAGGUACUCCUCAAAUAUAAAGAGAAUAAUAAAUAUAAAAAAAGAAGUUCUACAAGUGCUAUGGCUGGCCUCAGCGCUUGCAGCAAUUCACCCCGUUGUUGGAGCGCUGCCGCAGCCAAGUAGCAACUGCCAGAGAAGAUAUGGCCAACUCGAGAUCCACUACCCGUUUGGCAUCGGAUCAGGCGACUCGCCUGACCACUGUGCCAUGCCUGGCUUCUACCUGAACUGCAGCGACUCCAAGACAUUUCUUGGUAAUGUCGAGGUGCUUAACAUCUCGAUACAAAACAGCACUGCACGGAUGAGGGUGACCAUGGCCUCAUCUUGCUACAACACCUCCACUAAGGACAUGGACUACAACGCUCGGGCGUUGAACCUUACAGGUACGCCCUACAGGCUCUCCGACACGGCGAACAAGUUCACGGUUGUUGGGUGCAGAACAUUGGCAUACAUUGCUGAUCAGGACAACGUGGGAAAGUACGCGAGCGGCUGCGUGUCCAUAUGCCGGCGAGGUGAUGUGAGCAUCCUCACCGAUGGUUCAUGCUCUGGAAUUGGCUGCUGCCAGACAGCCAUCCCCAAGGGGCUACAAUACUACAAAGUGUGGUUCGAUGAAGGCUUCAACACAUCCCAGAUCUACGACAUCAGCCACUGCAGCUACGCGGCGCUGGUCGAGGCAUCCAACUUUACAUUCUCCACAAGGUAUGCUACAUCGUCGGCGUUCUAUGACACUUAUGGCAGGAAGCCGCCGUUGGUGGUGGACUGGGCUAUCGGGAAUGGAACGUGUGAGGAAGCCCGUAACAAGCCUGGAUCAUAUGCUUGUGUCAGCAGCAACAGCCAGUGCUUCAAUUCCACAAACGGACCAGGCUACGUCUGCAAUUGCUCCAAAGGGUUCCAAGGCAAUCCAUACCUUGUCGACGGAUGCCAAGGUAACGAAUCUGCAUAAACCUACAGACUACAUAAUUGAAACAUGAAAGAAGCUGAGUAGAGCUGUAGAAUCUGAAGCUUAAUUAUGAUAUGUAUAAAUGUUACUGAAAAAAUAGUAGUAGUACAGUUUCACCAGAAGCUACAAGCUAAGUCUAUUCCUGGUCUCUGAAGUAAAAUUUGACGCUCUAAACAUGUUAAAUGUUCCAUAUUAUCAAUCAAUAUACUGCAAAUUUUUUACAAAAUAUUUUUUAUGCAAUUGCUAAUACUGCAGAUGUUGAUGAGUGCAAGGAUCUGGAAACCAACCCUUGCUCUGUGAAGGAAGCUUGCAAGAAUACUCAUGGUGGAUUUGAAUGCACUUGUCCUCAACAGUCCCCCAAAGGCAACGCCUACAACGGGACAUGUGAGAAAGACCAAUCAAUUCCACUUAAAGUCACAAUUCCAAUAGGUACACCUAUCUUUCCUCUUUCAAUACAUUUAUUAUGUUUUAGAAGUAUAUAUGUUCAAAACAGAUCCACGAUCGUGAGAAGUUGGUAGAUAUUAUAAGGAGUAUCAAGCUGAUAACGUAUCCAACGGACAUGGAGACACAACCACGAAAACACAAAUAUUAAACGAAUUGCUUACCAAUUAUUAAUUGUUUCAGCUAACCAGAGUACUUUUCAGACUCUUUUUUCCAGCCGUCUAACAACUUGAAGUUUCCAUACAUGUCUGAUCUGCAGGAAUUUUUGGCUGUCUUUUGGUUGGUCUUUUACUUUUCCUUAUUAAAGAAUGGAUCAAGCACAAACGACGAAUAAUCAGGCACGAAUACCGAAGAUGAACGAAUGUUUUCAGCAGAACGGUGGCCAACUUCUAAUGGAUAUGAUGAAAGUAGAGAGUAACAAUUCAUUUCAGUUGUAUGACCGGGAAGAAAUUGAGGUGGCCACAAACAACUUCGAUGACAGAUCAAUCAUUGGAGAAGGUGGUCAGGGAACCGUUUAUAUGUGGCAAAAUCUUGAUGCACAAAACAAUCCUGUUGCAAUCAAGAUCUGCAAGGGAUUCGAUGAGAGUAGGAGAAGGGAAUUUGGUCAGGAGCUGCUUAUACUUUCUCGAGUAAAACAUGAAAACAUUGUCCAGCUUCUAGGUUGCAGCUUGCAGUUUGAAGCUCCAGUUCUGGUGUACGAAUUUGUGCCAAUCAAACCCUGCACUACCUGAUCCAUAGACAAGAUGAUGCAUCCAUCAGAACUAUGGAAAUCCGUCUUAAAAUUGCCACUGAAAUUGCUACUGCACUAACAUACCUACAUUCACUUAGUCACCCUAUCUUUCAUGGAGAUAUCAAAUCUGUCAACAUUCUUAUAGGCCACAAUCUCUCCGCUAAACUUUCUGAUUUUGGAUGCUCAAUGAUUAGGUCUGCUGAUGACAAUGUUCAAGUAGUGAAGGGGACAAUG
rnacentral:lncRNA from 1 species